rnacentral:lncRNA from 1 species
UACAAAGAAGUUCUAAAAGACUACAAGAAAGAGUUUCCACUAAAGAAAAACAAUGAAACCAUUUCUACUAAAGACAAACAAUGAAACCACAGAUGCUUUGUGAAAUAUGUACCCGCACAAUCCAACAAACUUUAGAAAUUCACAAACACUACCUAGAAUUUUUGCUGACCAGCAAAAAAUUUAUGCAAUUUAAUUCUUAUUGUUAUUAUUAUUUUCAAUGUGAACAAAUAUGAUUGAAUUAUGAAGUAUUUGGCCAGAAGAGGAUCUUGCCUAAUUAUAGUCAUUAAACAACCAUUUAUACCAUAGCCUCUAGACUUUAAAAAGUUUAUAAAACUCAAGGGCUUCCACCCAAUUUCUAGAUAUCUCCAUAACAUUCUUCUGACUAUUAGAAAGCAAUUACCACUUUAAUUUUUCAUUUCAUGAGUGUUCAAUUCAGAAAAAGACCAGGAUCGAACUUGCGAUCAUGCAGUCGAAAAUCCACCUGUGCAUGAAACUAUUGCCUCACGAUUGCAAACUCAAGUUGGAGUCCAGUAACAACUCUAGGUUUGCUGAUGUGCUCCAUUUGAAAUAAAGGAACUAAAGAAUACUUUAUAAAGAUUAAUUACCUUCAUAUUUUAGGUUGGGGUUAAGGCAAAAUGUGAUAGAUUGAGAGGAAGAAAAUAUAUCUUGUUCAGGAAGCCAAUAUUUUGGAGUUCACCUUUCCAUUCGAGUCCACUCUGCUAUAGCAAAAUCAGAGUCACAACUAUGCCUCUUUAAGCUAUCCUUUAAUUGGAUGAAUUGCAGAUUUGGUUGCUGAGAAAGUGGAUAAGAAAGAAAAAUGCAUACUGUAGCUUGAGAUUAAGAGUUUGUUUUCUAAAAUGAGAGAAAGGGAAAGAGAAAAAAUGCAUAUUGUAGCUUGAGAUUAAGGGUUUGUUUUCUAAAAUGAGAGAAAGGGGAAGAGAAAUGUUCGACAACUUUGAGAUGACAAAUUUUUAGAUUUGGAAAAUUUGAGAUGAGUCUCAGGUUUUUUUUUUUUUUUUUUUGUCUUUGUCUUUGUUUUUUUUUUUUUUUUUUGUUUUUUUCCCAAAAACAACCUGUUAAUGUGGUUGUUGACAUAGAAGUGGGUGAGGGCAAAAUGGGCAUAGAAAAAAGAGUCAACACAAAGUGCACAAAACCCAUAUUAUUUUCCACAUUAAUGACUGAUUCUCAUAUUUCUUGUUCUUGGGAUUUGAAAACCAUAUUAUUUGCAAAUGGACCUCCCAAAGCACAGGUUUCCCUUAGUUUUAUGUCUCCAUCUACAUUUUACAUAUAAAUAGAUUAUUUUAUAAAAUUUGUUUUGUAGAUAUAUUAGUUAAUAAUUAUAUAAUUAAUGAUAUAGAAAACAUAUAAAAAUCAUAUUUAAAAAAGAUAAUUACAUAUUCCUCAACAAUCCAUCCCAAGAAUUCGAGGUUGAGUUGAAAACAUGUAGAGUCUUUGAUGUUAUUAUAAUCAUAUCCAACACAUAUGAUUAUUGUUUAUGAGAUAUUAUUAGAAAGUUUGUCUUAAAAUAAUUGAUUUAUUACCCACCUUUAGCAAAUGCCCAUUUUUGCGUCUUUCAAAAUUUUCAUUUUUUUUUUGUUUAAAAGAAGUAUUGUAAAGAAUGAUGAAAUAAGAAAUUUGUUGAGAAAGUGUGAGUAAAUAAUUUUACAUAAAAAGAGAUUUAAUACUUGAUAAAUAAAAUAAUAAAAUCAUGAUUUCUAGUUGUAUAGGGCCGGGUGGAUGGAGUGGCUAAGAUGUAAUUCUUGAAAUAGAGGAGACAACAUCAAUGUAUAAAAGUUUAACAGAGAAGGAAAGUGUGUUUGAAUGACUUUAUUUUCUUCAUUUAAAGUUUUGACGAUGAGUGUUUAUACAAGAUAAAUUUUCAAAUGAUAGGACUCCUAUUUACAUGGAGUUUGUGAUAUACUAUGAUUAUACAAAUUUAAAAUUCAAACAGAUUCAUGAGUUGAUAGGAGUCUGCUCAAUACGCCCCUUCAAAAUGGUGGGAGAUAGCACACCAAUCUUGACUCGAAGGGCCUAAACUCGUGCAGAAGAUGAGGGCUUUGUUAGAGCAUCGACAAGUUGAUCCGUGGUUGACAUAUGGGACACCUUGAGCUCACCUGAUUAAACCUUGUUUCAAACAAAAUGAAAAUCAAUCGCCGAUGUGUUUCAUGGAGAGUGAAACAUGGGAUUUGCACAAAGAUAUGUUGCACCCACGUUAUCACAAGAGAUAGGAGGUGGUGAUAAAUUUGAAACACUAAGUUUUGAGAGAAGAGAAUUAACCCAAAGAACCUUUGAGGCUGUAGAGGCCACGACGUGAUAUUUCGCUUCAGUGGAAGAGCGUGCUAUGAACUUUUGUUUCCUCGAUGACCAAUACACAAGAUUGUGACCAAGAAAAACAAUGGGAGCAUUGGUGGAGGAUCUGACAUAAGGAUUCCUUGCCCAUUCAACAUUCGAAUAUGCAUGUAGAUUGAUGGGCGAUUUCUUAUGCAAGAACAGACCAUGCACCAUUGUGCCGACUAAGUAUCUAAGCAAUCUUUUAACACAAGACCAAUGUGUUGAUGUUGGAUGGUGCAUAAAUUGAGAUAAUUUAUUCAUCAAGAAGGUGAUGUCAGGGCUAGUAAGAGAGAAGUAUUGAAGGCUUCCAACAAUUGACAUAUAUUUAGUGGGACCAGGAAAAGAGGUGUCAUCACACAGAUUUGGAACAUUGUUGAGGAACAUCAAUGAUUGAACUGGUUUGGUAGCCACCAUUUGUGUUUUCUUAAGAAGCUCUCGAAUGUACUUGAGAUAAAAAUAAUCCUUUGGAAGUAUGUAUCAUUUCAACACCAAGAAUAAAAGAUGAAGUCCUGAGAUCCUUAAUGGAGAAUUUGACUGCUAAUUGAGAGAUCACGCGAGCACGAAAAACAUUAUUGUUACUUGUUAAAAUAAGAUCAUCAAUAUAAAUAAGUAGGUAAACAAUGAGACCACUCUUUUUAAAAAUGAAGAGGGAUGUCUCGGUUUAGGAGUUGACGAAGGCUAUUGAGAGGAGAAAUUGGCAAAGUUCAUGAUACCAUGAUCGUGGAGCUUGUUUAAAGCCAUAAAAAGCCUUACAAAGUUGGCAAAUGUGAUGAUGUGUGUAUUCGUGAACCCAGGAGGUUGAAUCAUGUAAACAUCUUCAUGAAGUGUCCUAUGCUAGAAUGCAUUAUUAAUGUCCAAUUCAUGAGUUGAUAGGAGUCUGCUCAAUACAAUGUGGGAGUGUGAUUUCAAAAUUAGGGUAAUUUCGAAAUGGAUUUUGUAUUCACAAGUUGAAUUUCAAAAUUAUUUUGAAAUGGUCUUUUAACUUUAAGCAGUUGUGUUCAAAAGGUCAUAACUUCUUCGUUUCAAUUUUGAUUUACACAUUGUUUAAAACAUUGGACUCUUUACUUCCCGAGCUUCAAAACGAUAUAUAGUAUGCUCAAAAAUGACAUCAGGAUUGGUUCAAAUUUCAUCUUGAUAUUAGAGUACAUGUUGUGAUUAGAUUUUGAGUUCCAAAUUUCCAUGUAAACUUGAUUGCAUUUGCUUCAAACCUCCUUCAUUAUGGUUGCUUGCCCUCUAUCUCACUUUGCAACAUUUGUUACUAGUAUUUUAUGUCCAUGACUUACUCAUUUCAACCUUUCUUGGAUUCUUCAUGGUUCACAAAUUAUGGAUUCUUCAUGGUUCACAAAUUGAGUCUUUCAAUUAUGCAUGUUUAACUCCUAUUUCCUUGGUUGAUAAUGACUUUUACACUUAUCAUUUUCUUUUAUUCUUUAAACCUGAAUUUAGACUUACAAAAAAAAGUUAGAUCCAUAACUAGGGUCUUAGCAUCAAUUUGAGUUAAGUUGGAUGAUUUGAAAAUUUUAUAUUACAUAAAUCAUAUCAUACAUGUGCCAUUGGAGUGCACAUUUUGGCUCUAAUCAUGUUCCAACCCAUUGUUUUACUCUUGCAUGAAGUAUGUGGCCAUUGAUUUUAAUUUUAUUUGCGAUUAGGUUCAAAAUGGUGCUUUUGUGUUGCUCAUGUGUCAUCAGAAGAUCAACUAAUGGAUUCUCUAACAAAACUACUACAUCAUAGUCAUUUUUUUUUUUCUUAAGACCAAGAUUGAGAUCUCCAAUCGGAGCCAACUCCAUCUUGGGGGCAUGUUAGUGAAAGAUAAAAUUUAUCUUUAAUUUAAAUAUUAAUAUUUAUCAGUUAUUAGUUUUAAUUAGAGUAAAAGAUAGAGUUUAAAUUGGAGUAGGAGAUAAACUUGUGUUUGAACUAGAAUAGAAGAUAAAGUAUAAAGAUUUAUGUUUGAAUUAGAAUAAAAUAUAAAGUUUGAAUUAGAGUAGAAGAUAAACUUGUUCUUUAUUUGUAUAUAAAUAUUCAUCAAUUCUUGAGAAGAAGAUUAUUUCAUAGUUUUUCUAUCUUCUUUUUUCUUCAUACAUAUCUGCAAGAAAUUGAAGAUUUCAAGUAAAAUAUUUUCUGUUUUAAAUAGUGAAAAAAGCUAGAAAUUCACUUUGUUAUCUCUUGGGGUAAAUUGACAAGGUUUAACGUUAAGAAGGUGAAUUAUUUUUUCAGAAAAACUGAAGUAGCUAGGAUAUCUGGCCAGUUGUGAUCGAUAAAAAAGUUGUAAAAUCUCUCAUAUACUAAACAGGUUUUGGAUGUUGGUAUGGUAAAUCCAUCUGCAGUCAUUCGUCAUCUCAUCUAGUGAGAUGUUUGGGAGGUGGUGACCGCCGGAUUGGGUUUCAUUUGGUUAAAUCUGUCAGUGGGUUGGCUACUACCCGAGCCUCUUGCUUUGGGGGAGGUGGGUUCUAGAUAUAAUGUUCAAACCAUUUUAGUUAUCAUAUGCAUGACAUGUAAGCAUAAUCUCUUUAUCACUUCUUCAAUGGGAGUUCAUGGUUAGGAAUUGACUUCUUUUCUUCUGGGAUGCUUGGCAUGUAAUGGACAAAGUUACUUUUAUAUCGAUCGAAUUUCUAGUAUUAUAGUGAAGACUUACCCUUUUGACAUUUUAUAUCGAAUUAUAGAAGAUGAAAGGGACAUACAUGCAAUCGACUGACGCUUUAGUGAAUAUGCUGAAAAUAUGCUGAUGCUGUGGAGAUCGUAUGAGGACAGAGGAAAAAGAUAGAAAUGGAUAUAUAAUUAGACCUAGGUUUUUAUUAAAUGAGAUGGGGAACAUAGAGUGAGGGAAAAUCAAAAUUUUUGGCUGCAGUUCACAUUGGUGAUAUUUUGGAUUGACAAAGACUAACGACUUUUCUAUUUUUCUUUUCGGCCUGACUGGAUAGUUGGACAUGGACAAUACAGAAUCCACAGAAGGAUUGUUGGGACCGCUGAAAAUUAGCUAGAAGAAGCUGAGGAAGUAGUCUACGUAGUCAAAUACCAAACACAAAGAAAGAAAGAAAUGGAUAUCAUGGAUGCCUAGAGUUAUACUCCUAAUACCGUCACAGGUAUUUUUCUUUCCUCCUUUUUUUUUCUACGAUAAUUAGAGCAUUUCUCCUCCUCCUCCUCCUCCUCCCCCCACCCCACCACCAAAAAAUAAAAAAAUAAAUUAUUGCAAGUAACACUUCAAAUAUUAAUUUAUACAUUCUAAAGUAUAUAUUCAUGAAAUAACUUGAGUAUCAUACAUUAGUUCUCAAAAAAAAAAAAAAAAAAAAAAAAAAAUUACUGGAAGAGAAAAGUUUAAGAAAACAUAAAAAUAUUCAACUACUAUUUUAAAGAGAAAAUUUAAUUUUUACACUAUAAAUUUGAAGAGAACUUUUACAUGCAUCUUAUAUAAACUACCAUUUUUUGCUAAAAGGCUUAAAUUUGUCAAAAAUACCCCUUAGGUGCUUAACGUUCUGGUCAUAAUAUAAUUGGCAUCUUUUCUCAAACAUAAGGCCUGUGUGUGGGAACAAGAUUUAAUGUUAAUGAGCUUCGCCACCGACAUUUAGUUCCAGAAAUCAUUAUUUUAAUAGAGUGGGCUCAAUUUACAACUUUAAUUAAACUCUAACCAACUGCAUUGUGAAAUGAAUAUGUUUCUUUCGUGGUGAAUCCAAUGAGUUGGGAGUCAAACUUUGCUUCAUUGUGUAUAGAUGAAAUGUUAAGACUCCAUGUAACCUCAAACAUUUCCGCAAUNNNNNNNNNNNNNNNNNNNNNNNNNNNNNNNNNNNNNNNNNNNNNNNNNNNNNNNNNNNNNNNNNNNNNNNNNNNNNNNNNNNNNNNNNNNNNNNNNNNNUUCUUUCGUGGUGAAUCCAAUGAGUUGGAGUCAAACUUGCUUCAUUGUGUAUAGAUGAAAUGUUAAGACUCCAUGUAACUCAAACAUUUCCGCAAUGAGCGGGAGUUCUAAAUUUAAUAAUUGAAAUUGUCAGUGGAACCAGUGGACAAGAGUUGGUUUGUGGUUGACAAACUUAUCCGUUUGAUCUUUACUUGAACAGUUCCAGUGUGUGGAUGGGUACUGAUGAAGUGUGCGCAUUUAUUUUGAGAAGCCUGCUUGUUCGCAUAGAUUUUAACGACAUGAACAUUGUGGUAAGGUUAGAGAGUAAUGCGAAUGUAGGAGCUUAUAUUAGAAAUGACACAAACACGUAAAUAGAAGUAAUCUAUAUAUGAUAUUACUCAUGGACUACAAGCAAAGAAGUACAAUACAUGGAGUAAGUGAUGAAAUGAGCAUUCCUCACUACUACUGCUUGACUGAUGGAACAUGAUGCACGAGAUAGCAUAAGUAGUAGUAGGAAGCAGCUCUUAUUUGUGGCGUCGGUAUACAUCAUACUAGGUAGAUGGUUCAAUUGGCAUGGAUGGGUGGUGGAGCCUUGAAGUGCUUGUGAUGGGGAGCCCACGGCUUCUUCUCAGGAGUUGGUGGCUUCUUGUAUGGAGUUGAUGGAGGUGUUUCUACUGGAGGGUGGCCAGGGUAGUGACCCUGGGGUGGUGAAGGUUCUUUUGUCGGUGGUGGCCUCACUAUUAUUGGCGGUAGAGUUGGUGGCUUGGGCGUUGGCGGUGGUCUCACUACUCUUGGGGGUAGAGUUGGUGUCUUGUGUUUUGGUGGUGGAGGUGGCUUAACAGGAGUUGGUGGCUUGUAUUCUGGGGGUGGUUUCUCCACCGGAGGUGGCUUAUAAACUGGAGUUGGUGGCUUGUAUUCUGGGGGUGGCUUCUCCACUGGUGGUGGCCUGUAAACAGGGGUUGGUGGCUUAUAUUCUGGGGGAGGCUUCUCCACUGGAGGCGACUUAUAAACAGGGGUUGGUGGCUUGUAUUCCGGGGGUGGCUUCUCUACGGGAGGUGGCCUGUAAACAGGGGUUGGUGGCUUCUCCACCGGAGGUGGCUUAUAAACGGGGGUUGGUGGCUUGUAUUCUGGGGGUGGUUUCCCCAGUGGUGGAGACUUGUAAACAGGAAGAGGUGGUUUGUGCUCAUAUGGGGGUGGCUUGUGGUCAUUAGCAAGUGAGGGAGUGGUGAGGACCACCAAUCCAAGGAACAACACGAGUGAGCAAGCAGAAGACAUGUUUGGGCUCUGGUGAUGCACAAGUAGAAGAAAUGGGAACCAUUUAUAAUGCUUCGAGACCUUGGUUAGCACCAAAAUAUGUCAAAAUCUUGAUUACUUCAUUUCAUACAUAGAUUUAAAAUUAUUUCAAUCAACCAUGAUCCUUAAUUUUCUGGGUGGUCCAUAAAUGUAAUGGGGUCAAUUUGGGACCUAACAAGCUGAGAAGUUUGACAAUGCUGCAAGGCUUCAUCCGAAAGUCCGGGGAAGAAUAUUAGGAGUUACACUCCGUUUCCUUUUUUGGGUGCAUUUUUCUCCUUUAACAUUCUAUUCCCUUUUACAUUAGCAUUUGAUCUUAGCUCAUUUCAAGUACAAGUUUCUUGAACCCUAUACCAUUGUCAAAGUUGAGUAACCAUCUCUACUUUGCUCAAGAAACAUAAAAGACAAUGACAAUAAAGAAAAAGGAGAGAGACCAUACGUGACUUGGUUUAUAGGUGGCUUUGUGUUGACAUUUGAGUAUGGAAGCCGACAUGCAUCUUAGCUUCGAUUUUAAUUAAAUUUGUACAUUAGUGUCUGUGUCAUUCAUUUUGGUAUAAAAGGUCUCUUGAUUUCGUAAGUUUGGUAAGAACCGUUGAAAAUAGCAGUAGCAGCACAUGGUCCACUUUCUUUCACAAAAUAAUUUUAAAAGUUUAGAAGCAUAGGAGGUAACAUUAGUGGCCUUGUGGCUCAGCCACGAGUACUAUGUGGUGCUCGAGAAAUUGAGUUUAAUUUCCUUCCGAUAGUUCAUGAUAAGGUCCGUCACUGUCCUGAGACAGAUUGCGUUUUUUCUUUUUUCCUUUUUUAGUGUUUUAUUGACUAGCUAGGUGUGACUUUUCCUACUUUAAGGCACGAGGCAGAAAAGAAACUGGGAUUUAGUGCUUAAGAAGGCAAAUUUAAUUCGAUUUGGAUCUAAAAUUUGCCAGCAACAUGAGAUUUUCCAGCCUAUCGUUGCUCCACAUAUAGACAAGGCACUUGUAGAAGUGGCUUGUUUGUAGCCAUUCCCGAUAUUUGGACUCACUUGAUUCACCGGACACUUUGAUAAAAUUUAAUAUUUAUUAUUUAAUAAUUUAAAUUGAUUUAAAAUUAAAUUAUACCGAAGUUGUGAUUUAAAAAUUAUUAUUUAAUUCUUACUUUUAAAUAUGAAGAUUAUUUGAUAAAAAUAAUUUAAAAUUUAUUAUAAAUUAUCAAAUUAACAUAUUUAUCCUUAUAAAUUAUAAUUAAAACAGAAAAGGUCAAAUGAUUUGAGUAUCCAUAGAUGUGGUAAAAUAAUAAAAAAGAUUAUAAAAACAAUUAUGAUAAAUAAAGAUAAAAAGUAAAAUGAAUAUGUGAAUUUAAAGAAUAAAUUAAUUAUUUUUAUUUAUUACUUAAAAUUAUUUUUGACUUUAAAUUAUAUUAUUAAAUUAUUUUACCAAACAUACUUAAUUUAGUUAAUAAUUUAAAUUUAAUUUAAGUUAUUAAAUUGAUUCACCAAAUACCCACUUAAUCAAAGACUGAAGUAUACAUUAUUUGGCCAAAUGCAGCUAUUGAAAUUUAACUUUUUCCAAACUUAUUCAUUUUGUGGAAAUAUUUUUAGAAAUGAUUUUAAAAAUGCACUAUUCUGUGUGUUGAUUUUAUAUUUUGGCAUUAAUCCAACAUAGAAAACGGUUCUUAUUUUCGCUGUUAAAUAGGUACCAGAUCCUUAAUUAGUGCCGUGAAUCCGGCAGCUUCCAAUGAGUAAUUUGGACUUGGGUAUUGACAAUGUGUGGCCAUGCUUCUACUAUUUUAUUAUUCUUGAAACAUAUAUGAUAUAUUGGACUUUAUACAGGGAAAAAAAAAAAAAAAAGUCUUCACCAAAAAUGAUUCCUCCUAAAAAAUAGACUCCACAAACUAGGUUUAACAGGAAAAUGAUUCUAAUCUAGUAGUUUCCAGCCACAUGAGCAUUUACGUAACAAUAGUAUAGUUGAUAACGACUUUUAUUUUAUUUAUUUUUAAAUAGUUAAAGGGAUAAUUUUUGAGCUUAAAUUUUAUUUUUUUAUUUAGAAACAUUUUACUUUAUUUUUUAAUCAUAAUUCUAUUAUAUUAAUGUUUUAUUUUCUAUUUUUUAAUAUAUAAGGAGAUACUAAAUUUAUGUGAUUAUUUUUUAAAAAUUUAGUAUAUGAAAUUAAAUAAUUGGAUAUAUAUACAUAUAUCAUAUAAUGUUUUUUAAGUGUGAUUUUUGAACUUUUUAGUCAUUUUAUAAGUUUAAGCUUUUGAUUUUUUUUUUUAAACUUUGGUAUUUUUUAUUUUAUAUAAAACUAUUUUGAUUUAAUUUUAUUAAAAAAUAUUGGUAUUAUAAAUUAUUGUAUUAAUUAUUUUUUUAUAUUAUAAUGUAACUGGUAUAUACUAAAAAAUGUAUGCAAGUUCAAUUUAAGUUUCAAAUUAAAAAAUUUCAUUUAAAUAUUUAAUAACUUGUUCAUAAUAAAAAAUUAAACAACAUAAUACAAAUGAAAAGAAACAUAAAAGAAAAAGGAAAAAAUGGUCCUCUCUGUGUGUCACAUUACUAGGUCAUCCUCUUUUUCUAUGACCCUUACAAUAGAAUGGCAUAUUUGUCAAAUCUACUUAUGAAAGUUGGAAUGUUUCUACAUGUGUAGGGUCCAUUGGAACUAAUGGAGGAAAGGCUUAACGUCUAUGUAAAUCACAACGUUGCCUAGGUGGGCAUAGAUCUAGUUGUGUAACAUGAGAUGGUGUGAGAGUACAAUAUAUGCAUUGUAGUCUCUAUGGGAAGAGAGAUAGGUAAUGGUAGGGUGGUAGACGGUAGGGUGAUCUCUAAUAUAAUGACAUUUGAUGUGGUGGCUUCUAAGAGAGGAGAUAUAAGAGAUGGUAGAAUGACAUUUGGUGUAAUGGUCUCUAGUGCAAUGACAUGUGAUAUGGUGACCUAUAAAGAAGAGAUAUAGGUGAUGGUGAAGUGGUAUGUGGUGUAGUGACCUUUGAGAUAGAAAAUAGAGGUAAUGGUAGGUUGGCAGGUGGAGUGGUCUUUGGUGUAGUGACAUCAAUUAUAAAUGUCUCCAAGGGAGGAAAUAAAGGUGAUGGUAGGUAGUAAAUGUUGAGGUGGUCUUUGAUAUGUUAUGCUCUAAGAGAGAAGGUAUAGGUAAUGAUAAUAGGGAAUUUGACAUAGUGGUGUUGGAAAUAAAAAGUGAAAGUGACCGUAGAGGUGAAAGGGCAAGUGUAAAAGCCUCAAGUACGAAUGGAGUAAUUAAUGUGGAUGGUGCUAACAUAGUCUUAGGUGGAUACACAAAUAGUCAUAGUCAUCAACUAGCUUGCCCACCAUCUGUCUUUCUGCUAGUGAUAGGUUACAUCUUAAUAGUAAUGGCCAACAUAAGUGGUGUGGAUCCGAUUUUUUUACGUGUGUCCCCACUCAAUCGACAAGACUUAUUUUUUAUUAGUGAAAAAUUAAUUUUGGAAAAGUUGGAGUCACCACUUAUUUUAUUUUAUUUUAAAAAGGAAAGUAAAACAAGAAAGAGAACUCUAAAGAAGUGACUUCAUAGUUUUGGAAAAGUUAGUCUUAAAAAAUCCAAGUCUUGGUCCGGAGAUCAGGUUACUUAUUGGGAAGAUACCUCUAAGAGGUAAUACCCCUCUAAACCCUAAAGAAGUCUCUAAUGACUAAGUUGAGGAGAAUGUGGUAAUUAAUUAAUUGAUUGAGGGUACCUAGGUAGACUAAGGUGAUUUCAGAAUUAACAUACCAAGCUAGAAAGUCCAAUCAUGAUCAUAAAAGAGAGUCAAAGUAUGUACCUGAACUGCUUCUCAAACGCUAUCAUAAAACAUCAAAGUUAGUAUAGAAAUAUAACACAUAAUAUUUGUUUUAUCCAAGCAAAUAAAGCAUACAUCUAAGCACCCAAGAAUCACAUCAAGUAUGGAUAUAGUCAUCAAUAGCAUACGUGUCCAUAGAACUAUCGAAAGUAAAUGUGGAGGAGCGUAUCUGGACAACAUAGAUAACUUAUAAUGUGCUUCCACAAGACAUGGGGGUUAGAUAAAAGUUAUAAUAAUAAUUAGUAAAUGAAAGAAUUCUAGCAUGUUUGGUAUCUAAAUAACAUAGCAAAAAUGAACAAGAGUACACGAAAACAUCAAUUAUCACACGAGUCAUAUUGGCUAGUAUUUAAUCAAUAAACCAACAAUAAAUGACUAUAAACAUAUAAAAUGACAUAUUCAAAGAGACCCAAACAUAAAGAGCCUAGAACACAAGCUUACACUAAAUUUAGAAAACUAAAACAUGGAAUUUUAAAAGCAUAAAUUAGCAAACAAAUUGAUGGAAACUAAAUUUAGAUAACUUAAGAAUAUUUUUCUUAUCCUUCAAUUUAAAUCAGUAAGCCAACAAUAAAAAAUUAUAGAAACAUGGAAUAUCAAGAUCAAUGGGAUACCUAAACUAUAAUUUUUAAAAGAAAAUAAACUAAGCAUAAUAUCUACAAAGCAACUAAACUAACAUUUUUUUAAAAAUAAAUUAAACAUGACAUUAAUGGAGUAACCAAACUAAAUUAAAGUAAACUAAAAACAUUUAUGAAUUUUCAAACAUGGAAUCAGCUUUCUUAGUAAAUUAAAAUUAUUAAAAUAAAAUCUAAGCUUAAAAAUGAAUUAAAUACUAACUAAAGCAAAUCUAAAACCAAAUAUUUAACACAUAGGAUCAAUUAUAUUAACAAACUAAAAUUUUAUAAGAACACUUAAACCUAAAGUUGAAUUAAAAACUAACCAAUUUUUAAAACUAGAUCUUUAACCCAUAGGAUCAAUUAUAUUAACAAAUAAAUAAUAAAUAAUAAAUAAAUAAAACUCAAACCUAAAGAUGAACUAGAAAUGUACCAAAGUAAAUUCAAAACAAGAUCUUUAACACAUUAGAUCAAUUAUAUUGACUAACUAAAAAAAAAAAAAAAAAACACUCAAACCUGAAACGAUGUAUUAGAAACUAACCAAAGCAAAUUUAAAAUAGAGUCUUUAACACAUAGGAUCAAUUAUAAUCACUAACUUAAAUUACAAUUUUUGAAACAUGAACUAAUUAGUGUUGGAUUAAUUAAACUAAUUAACUAAAAAAAACUAUAAACUAGAAUACGGUGAAUCAAGAAUUCAAAUCAACAAACAUAAAAUAUGGGUACAAUGAAAUGAAAAUCUAUUAAACUAAUAAGACGGAAAUAUGACAAACUCAUGAACCCACAUUUUGAUCAACUAGGAAAUAGAAAUUAAUAGACCUGUAGCAUGGAUACAAUGAAAUGAGAUCAGUUAAAUUUAUUUGCCGAAAUUCUAAAAAACACAUACACUCAAAUAAGAUCUAAAUCUAAGACCAAGCAAAACUCAAACUUUCUCAAUCUAAUGCAAUGAAUCAAAACUAAAAUUAAAUAGAAAUCAAACCAUUUUUUUUUUAUCUAAUAUAAUAAAUCAAAGCUAAAACUAAACAAAAUCGAAUUUUCUUAAUUUAAUAUGAUGAGUCAAAGCUAAAAUUGAACAAAGUUCAAACCUUUAUAUAAUGGAUCAAAGUUAAAUCUAAAUGAAAUCCAUACUUCCACAAUUUGAUAUAACAAAUCAAAAAUAAAACUAGAUAAAAAAAAAGUCAAAGCCUUUCAACUUGACAUAGUGAAUCCAAACUGAAACGAAACAAAAUUUUAACUUUUCCAAUGAAACCCAAUAUAGAAAAAAUUAGCUUACCUUCUUUAGAAUAUAUGUAUGGGCCAUAAAGAAGUCACCUUGGUGCAUGUGUUCCUCACUUUGACGCCAAUGGACGACUUUCUAUGGUAGCAAAUGGAGAUCCUUUUUGGUGGUAACUUGCGUGUGGAAACCUAUGGUACAACCAAUGUCAUCUUUUAUUGUGCGUGUGGACCAAUUUCUUCUCGAGAACUCAUGUGUGUUGUGCUCAAAAUAUGUUGCCUGUGAGAAUCUAUUGGUAUACCCCACAUAUGGUUUCCUUGAGAGAAUCUGUGGUUGUGUGUGGGCGUUUUCUUCAUGACAGCAUGUGGAUGUUCCCAUCUAUGGUAGAUUGGUUGUGAUGCUUUAGUGCAUGGUCUCCAUAGGAAUAGUGUGUUAUGGAAAUUUGGUUUUUUUAUUGGUGCAUGUUGUCUAGACUUUCCCAUAUGCGUGGACUGUGUGUUCAUGCUUUUCUUUUCGGAUGGUCGCCUGUGUUAAUGUGUGGCGGUGUCUACAAUGAAAGAUACAACCCUUUCUCUCCUUCUGCGUGAUAGAAAAGUCAAUCCCCCAUGGUGCGACUAUGUUCCCUCGUCCUUUUUGAAAAAUUUUGGUGUUUUCCCCCCAAAAAAUCCCCUCCAAAAAUCUAAUUAUAAAUGUCUGCUUUGGCCUAAUGUGUGUGCUACUUUUUUUUUCCUUCUUUUUAUGGUUGUGCGUGCUUUUCUUGAUACGUGGCUUAUUUCUUAAGGAUAUGAUUCGCUCCCAAUUGGUGUCUCAGCUGAUUCAUGUCCUUUCAAUGGUCCCUGACAGUGGUGCCAUUUGAUUCGUGUCCAGCUGGUGUCCCUUGAUUGUGGUCCUCAGAAGGGAGUAAUCAAUAAAAUUUAUAACCUAUUACACCAUGUAUUAGGAUAGCCUUAGCUAGCAUAGCAUAGUGGCUCUAGGGUCGUUUAUUGGGAUGAGUUUUCACUUCACAAUUGAUAUUAAUUCAAGAGCUGAAUUGGUGCCUUUUCAUUUCAAGGUUAGCUUUAAAAGAAAACAUAAUCUUUGGUGGAAAAAGGUUUGGUUUUAAACUAACCAAAAAUAGUAACUGAUUUUACUUACAAAGAAAAGUGUUCUUUGGAGUUUAGAUCACUAGGCUCAGGUUCCUCAUACAAAAAGGAGAGUUCCGAUCAUUUGUUUCUUUUCCUCGCAUUAGAGAAUUAACAUAUAGUUAAUUCUCUAACCGGUGCGGUACAUAUGCUUCCCAUUAAUGGGUUCAAACACUAAAUACCUCUCACUGAUGCACCUUGCAAUGGCUCGUGCCUCUCACCUAGCAUUUAUCAUUCAAGGUGAUCUUUAACCUUGGAUUACCCAUCAAAAGCUCGCAAGAGAUAACUAAAGGAUGUCUCCUUAGAGUCCAAAAGCUUACCAAGUGUUGGUUAUUCUAGAAAAUCCUACCUUCAAACCACCUCCCAAAGGCUCGCAAGAGAUAAACAAGUGCAUCUCAAUGGAUGAAGAUCACUUGCCUUACCAAGUUUUGGCCCAGAUGAUUUAAUGACAUUUUAAGUUAACUAAAAAGAUAAAAACCAUUAACGGGUCACACUUUCUCUUCAUUAAAAACUAAAACAACAAAACUUCCAAUUUAUGCAUGAGGAAACUUACCUGGCUUUCUUCACUUCAAGAGAUGAAGAGCCUAGCCACUCAUCAUUUGAGGAAAAAUCCUCAGAGUUUGAUUUGCUAGAAAUAAAAAUAAUGAGAAAACAAAAAUAUAUAUAUGAAAAACAGAGCAAGUUCUCUGUAAUAUAUUUUUCUUCCUUAUACAAAAGGUUGUCUCUAAGAACAAGUUCCCGAGAUCUAUCUGAUUGUAAAUAAAAUUACAACUAUAUAUAAGAGGUUAUUCACCCCUUUGUUCUUUCUUAAAGACUAAGGAAUCCUAUGAUAGGUGGGUUACAAGGAGAGUUUGGGGAUUUAGACAUCAAAUAUCUAAAGCAAAAUAUCUCAAGAUGUUAGUCGGAAAUAUCAGGAAGCUUCAGGAGAACACCGCGACACUGUAUACUGAGAGAAAAACUCUCCGGGUAAGCUCUAUCAAAGGAUCCAGACAUGUCUGACUGGGAAAGUUGAAACGUCCUUCUCUCCCAUCCGGAUGUGAGAUAUCCGGAGAAAGUGAAAUGUCGGUCGGACAGAAUUCUUUCCCCGGGUGGAAUGAGUUGUGUUGCGCGUCGCAAGGGGGACCGUCUGCGUGUACAAGUUGUAGGGACCCCUCUCCCGGAUGACACCGAGCGCGUAAGGCUAUCCGGAUCAACUCCAUUCGGAUUCCCCAAGAGGACAUGUGGCGUGCUCCCCUAUCAGGACUCCCUUAGGGAGAAGCACACGACACUCGUGAACAUCAUACCCGGACGAUAGCAUGUCCUAUCCGGAUGUGUUGUCCGGAUCAUUGACUAAAGUGAGCAAGCCUUGCUACGUCAUUCGGACAGCUUGCCACAUACCAUGUUCCGUCGCCAUCUGAUGGUGUGUCCGAACGCCUUGUCCGGACAUCUUUUGCUCCUUGCAUUCCGGAUUUGCUUAUGACAAAGGACUUCAAAGCUUCGGUUCUUCAUGUUUCUGAGCUUUCCAUUGCUUUGCCAUGGAUUCCAAAGAACUCUCCUUAAUCACGGAUUGCUUUGGUGAUCAAAAAGUUAUCAAAACACAAAAACUUAACAUAGUUUGAUUAGAAUUGAUUGCAAGGGUUCUUAAUAUGUUAAUUGGGUUAAAAGGUGAUAACUACUACUCAAAAGUGUUUAUAAGAAUUAAUUACAAGCUAUGAAAUAACACUUUUUGAGUAGUAAUCAGGAUACAUCCUAGUUUUUCAUGGAAUUGAUAGUGGGUUGUUGUGCAUGAAUGCCACCAUUUCAACUAUGCUGUUGUUAUUUUUAAAAAAAAUAUGGAUUAUGCGCGAGUGGCAAUUCUCCACUAUGGAAAGUGGAUUGCUCCUUCAACCCAUGCAUGGCUACGUAUUCCUAUGUCUUUCUACUUGUGUUUGAUCCUCCAAAAAAAAUUUCGGUUUAGUGCUAGUAGAUUUUAAGUGGUGGAUCCCCAUUUUUUGAAAAUGAAGUGGCAGCCUCCCAUUUCAAGACAAAAUGGUAGCCUGCCUUUAAUCUUUGGAGAAAAAUCUGUGCAUGACCUUUUUUUUUCCCAAAAAAUCCGUGCAUGGUGUCCUUUAAUAUUUGGAGAAAAAUCUAUGUUGGAUCUUUUCUUUUCUAGAAACAUUUGUGUGGUCUUUUUUGUUAGCCCAAGGGUUCUUCUAAUCAAGUUUUGAUGAUAACAAACCAUGGUUAAGUGACUAAUUGGUUUAAUGAUUAAGAAUCUCAAACAUAAAAUCGAAAAUUCAUCAAAGGACCAAAUGGAUACAAGAUCGAGACGCUUGGAAGACUUGUAAUCAUAGGAAACUAAUGUAAGAUGAAUGCAUGAGUGCACUUAGGAUUUUCACACGUUUCAUGCAACUUAGAAAACCCAGUUUAUUCUUUAAAACUUCAUCCCAGUUUAUUCUUUUUAUGGUUGUGUGUGCUUUCCUUGAUACGUGGCUUAUUUAUUAAGGAUACAUCCCAGUUUUUCAUGGAAUUGACAGUGGGUUGUUGUGUGUGAAUGCCACCAUUUCAACUGUGCUGUUGUUAUUUAAAAAAAAAAAAAAUGGAUUGUGCGCGAGUGGCAAUUCUCCACUAUGGAAAGUGGAUUGCUCCUUCAACCCAUGCAUGGCUACGUAUUCCUAUGUCUUUCUGCUUGUGUGUGAUCCUCCAAAAAAAAUUUUGGUUUAGUGCUAGUAGAUUUUAAGUGGUGGAUCCCCUUUUUUUGAAAACUAAGUGGCAGCCUCCCAUUUCAAAACGAAGUGGUAGCCUGCCUUUAGUCUUUGGAGAAAAAUCUGUGCAUGACUUUUUUUUUCCCAAAAAAUCCAUGCAUGGUGUCCUUUAAUAUUUGGAGAAAAAUCUAUGUGGGAUCUUUUAUUUUCUAGAAAAAUUUGUGUGGUCUUUUUUGUUAGCCCAAGGGUUCUCCUAAUCAGGUUUUGAUGAUAACAAAUCAUGGUUAAGUGACUAAUUGGUUUAAUGAUUAAGAAUCUCAAACAUAAACUCGAAAAUUCAUCAAAUGACCAAAUGGAUACAAGAUCGAGACGCUUGGAAGACUUGUGAUCAUAGGAAACUAAUGUAAGAUGAAUGCAUGAGUGCACUUAGGAUUUUCACACGUUUCAUGCAAUUUAGAAAACCCAGUUUAUUCUUUAAAACUUCAAUUUCAUUAAAACCCGAGUUUUUAACUAAUGUACCUUAGGCAAAAUGUUUUAUAAUUGGCUUAAUAAUUCACCUAAAUACAUUUUCUAAGUGUUAGAAAAGAAAGGAAUUAAAAAAAGGUUUUCGGGGCAAAAAAGGCUCAACCGGUCGAGGCUAUGGUCAACCGGCUCAACCGGUUGAGGAACCAAUCGAUCGGUUGUGCUUGUCCGAUCGAAGACCAAUCGAGGGAUGCCAAAAAAUUUCUCUCUCUCCUAGUGGCCUUCUCUUCCCGGUCGAGGUUCGGUCUAGGCAACGGUAACAUGUCAAGCAUUAAAUGCUCCGACGACUAGUGAAUCGGUCGACCCCUAGCCCGAUCGGACGAGGUUGCCUUUUGCUGUUUUUGACUCCCGAGCUUAGAAACCUAUAAAUUGAGAGCUCCACUUCAUUUAUUGAUAAAAGAGAACACUUGCAUUCAAUAGUCUACCUACCUUUUCUUGAUCAAAAAGCUCUCAUUUCCUUCAUAGUGCAUUAAAUCAUCACUUGCAUAUCCUUUAGUGCACUAUUGUGUGUCAUCCUAGCUUUGUUUUGUAUUUGAGCUAUCCUUAAGCUAGGUUGAGGGAUUAUUUCUUAUAAAAAUCUGAGUGUUAAAGCCUUCAAGAGAUUUGAAUCUUGAAGAGAUUGUGUAAGAGCCCAUUGGAGCCGGAGUCCAAGUGUAAGAAGAUUGGAAGCUUGGUUGAAGCUUCAAGUUAGUGGAACCCUCACUCGGUUAGGAGGUUGAGGAGAGUGGACGUAGGUAAGGAAGUGUCGAACCAUUAUAAACCCGAGUUUGAAUUCUCUAACUCUAUCUCUUUAUUUUGCUUAUAUUGUGUUUGAAUUUGUUGUGAUUGAAAAGAUUUUAAAAACCUAAUUCACCCUCCCCCCUUUUGGGUUUUUUUUUCUUAAUUAAGCAUAACCUUUGUUUUCUAAUUUUCUUUUUAGGAAAAUCCAUGCGUGGUAUGUCCAAACUCUCCAAGUGGCAGUCUGCCUUCUUCUAAAAAAUUUGUUUCUAUUUCUUUAUUCGACUACCUUCCAUGUCUUCCUAAUGAGUGCUUGUGCUCAAUGGUCAAUCCCUGGUGGUUGCCUCCUUUUCCCAUAUAUACGUGUUGCAAAAUCAACAUCCCACUAUAUGUGGGUUGCCUCUAUGGCAAGUUCACAUUUCCCACAUGAAACCUAUGAGUUUCCACCAAAAAUUGCCAUGAAAAAGUCUUUAUAUGCAUCUCAUGCAAUAAAAAGUCAAGCCAAUACUCAUCUUAUCUCGAAAAAUAAGUAACCAAAAUCAAGAUCAUGCCUAAGUGAACUAUGCCAAAAGAAGUGUCCAAGUGACCUAUUAUGAAAAAAGUGCCUAAGUGACCUAAGGUGAAUGUGUGUAAGCUGGAAGGUGUCUAGGAUGUUUAGGACAAUGCCUAAGCCUAAAAUAGGGUUGCCAAGGGUCACAAUGGGGUUAGAUAAAUCUCUCAAUCAGAGUCUCCAAGGUGGCUCAUAAAAGAUAAGCUACACGAGUAAUGAUGGGCCACCAGGGAAUUAUUGUAAAGCACCAAACGAACACAUAAUAGGACAUGUGUUAGAAUGAAAAAAUGGAGGGUUUACAAGUGGUCUCAUGGAUGAGCUUGAUAAUUUAAAUGACUCACAUAAUGAACGUAUGUGAUGUUUCUCUCCAAUAACAAGCAAAACAUCACUAGCAAUAUGAUGAAUGUCUCCUAAAUCACUUGAAGUAGUCCUAGCAAAUCAAUUAGAAAAAUCACACAUAUUGCUCUAAUGUAAUAUUAUAUACAUCUGUCAAUGAAUGGGAGAACUAAUGACACAACCAUCAUGUUGAUAUCUCGAACCCUCUAAUCUCAUAUGUAGGUGGGAUCACACUUAGAAACUCAUAACACAGUAAUGACCAAUCUAAGUCAAAAUGUGUUGGUGAUCGGAGGCCCAUGAAUAUGAAGUUCUAGGAUGAUAAUGACAUCUUAUAAAGUAAUGAUCAUCUCCUUAAUAGAUAGGUGAAAUGUGUGUGUCUUAGGACACCAUCUCUCAACAAGACUUGUGAUCAAUCCCCAGUCUAGUGUAACAUGCCUAUUAUGACAUCCAUCGUAAAAUCUAGACUAGAUAAUAUAAGGACAAAUGUGAGGGUUCAUCUCCCUUUCCCACAUAAAUUUAAAAAAUUAUUAUUGACAAGUUAAGACCAAACUAAGUUGCAAAAUAUAAAUAAGUCCAUUAGAUAACAAAUUUAUGUUUUCUCAUUUUCUCAUUUUUAAAGAGAUAUUAUGUGCUUCCAUGUACAUACAUGCUAAAGUCAAUUAUACGAGACUUAUAUCCAUCUUGUAGAACCAAAUCGAACCUAUCUAAUAGAUCCAGAUUAGAAGUAUGUCCUCUAUACUCCAUAUUUAUAACACAUUUAUAAAGAUAAAUGCUAAAAAAAUGUUAAAGAUAUAAAUUUAAUGAACCAUACUUUAUGAUUUUAAUUCUCAAUUAUUGUUCAUAUUUAUAAGAGAAAAGUUAAAAAAAUUGAUAGAGUUUUCCCUCUAUCAUGGACAUUAUCCCAAAUAAAAAUAAAUUGAUUAUGCAAAUUACAUUAAUAUUUGUAACCAAAUGAUCAAUAACUAUCUUGUAUCAAUUUAGUAAAUAAAUUUAAGUAUAUCUUUUCAUUUAUGACUAACAAAUAACUCAUACUUGUCCAAUAAAAGCCACACCUAAUUUCUAAAAUUUUGUCUUCACCUCAAGUGAGUGUUACAUUGAGAAAGAAAAAAUAUGAAAGAAAAAAUGAACACCUUUUUCUUUUAAUAAAAAAAGGCCAUAACGAAACAUUAAAUCUCACUGUUACACCUAUCUUCAAUGGAAACAUGAGGAUGUGAAUGGUGGCGGUGAUAUUCUUUGCUUGAAGCUCAUAAACAAAUAUUCCUUACUAAGCCUAUGCCAUUUAGUAUUUCAAUAGUGGACCCCCCCCCCCCCCCCCCCCCCCUCCUUGCAUUUCAGAUUUAGCAAACUUAGAACCAAAUAACAAAGUGCAUUUGAACCCAUAAAGAAGUAAUGAGACUCUCCUAUAUUGGCAAUAGAAGAAAUUUUUGGAGGUAUAGGAGAUUCACGGAUGAAGAAGUUGGGCCCCAAUUGAGAUAAGACCCAAGAAAAGAUGGGGUAGAGAGGGAUGGUUGGAAAUUGUAAAGUAAGAUUUUCAAAAUGUAGUUGAUGACUAAGAUUUUGACAAUUUAAAAAAGGUUUAAAAAUGUAGUUAGCAAUCGGGGUUUUGUAACAUUUAAAAAAUAAAAUAAAAUCUCAGGCCACAUGGUAGCCCAUGUGAUUCAGAAGCUUGAGAAUUAUUUUAUAAGAAGACUUAAUUUGUGAUUUUUUUAUAACUAUAUUAUUUUUUUUCUUAACACACGAAAAAAAUUAUGAAAUAAGACAAUUUUCCUAAGAAAGCAUGUAAGUGACUCUUGGUUAUUUUAUUUAACUUCUUCUAGUUUGGAGAGGAUUAAUACCUUUGCUUUUACUCACUUGCUUGGAUAUGUACACGUUGUUCAUGUCACUUUUCAUUUAAUUUUCUGAUUAAGGGAAUUGGAACCGUACGUAACUGUCUUUAUUCCCUCUGAAACUUGGACUUGGAGUUGGACUUUCAAUCUCAUCAGUCGUGUUUCCAUAAAAAAGAAGAUGGAUUAACCAAUUUUCCUAUGCCUACUAAUCAUACACAAAACUCCACUUCCAAAUAAAAAGGAAUGGGAUAUCACUUGUUAAUAGUGGCUAAAGACUAUUAAUAACCAUGCAAAGAAAUGUCACAUUUUUUGUUCUACGCAAAUUUUAUUCAUCAACUACUAGAACCAUUUCAUACAAUAGUAGCUUUUCGAUCCUUUGAUAAAUGGACACUUGAUGUGAUAACACCAACUACACCUAUAUAUUCAAGCAAUCAUGCGUAUAUAAUAGUGGAUAUGGAUUACUUCUCUAAAUGGGCAAAAGUUUUGUCAUUCAAGGAAAGUGAACGAGGAAACACAAGUUUACUUUCAUCGGAACUAAUAUUAUAUAUUGAUAUGACUUCCCAUUAUUACUUACGAUGGAAUAUGCUUCCAUAAAAUGGCCUAGAUGAACAAACUAUCCAAGAAGUUUGGGAUCAAAUAAUAUAUAUAUAGUUCAUGUGUGAUUCUUUGGUUGACAACCUUGUUAAGGGGUGAGUGAAGCACUUUGGGCAUACCACAUACUACAUGCUAGACUUCCACCCAAGCUACCCUAUAUUCCUUAUGAACAAAGUAGAAGUUGUCAUCUCUCUUGAAUACCAAAUCCUUUCACCUAAUAAUGCUAUCUAAAAAGGUCUUAAAAAGGAUAAAAAUGCGCAUAUUUGAAUUUUUGAAUUAGGAGUGCUACUUAAAAAGAAGCUAGAUAUACAAUAAUAGAAUGUUAUCAAGCAUAUCUCUUCAAAGUUUUUGACCAAAAAAUAUAUGAUUUCUCAUUUUAGGUAGGAGACUUAGUACUCACUAUUCAAAAACCAAUUAUCAUUACUCAUAAAAACUAAUAGAAAGUUUGGGCCAAAGUAGGAUGGACCUUAUAUUAUGCAACAAUUAUGCCUAUAAAAUUGUUGCAAAAGAGGUUUUAGAAUCAAAUCAAUGAAUGAAAAAUUAUUAAAGCAUUACUAUGCUUGAAGGCUAGUCAUUUUCCCUUAAAGUGCAAUAUUAAGUUGCAUAGUACUAUGUGGAUCCGCAUUUUUCACAUGCGUUCCCACUCAUUGUCGAGACUCACUUUUUAGAAGUGAAAAAUUAGUUUUAUUAAAGUCGAAGUUGCCACUGGGGAUUUGAACCCUAACAAAAGGUUCAAUUUAAGGAUAAAAAUAUCGAUAAUCACAUAUAUAUAUAUUGGUACUUUGAUUUUAUGAAUAUAUUGAAGAAAUAUGGACAAAUAUUUUGACACAAAAUAUGUACAAAAUAAAAAUUAUAUAAAAAGUAAAAAUAAAUAUUUUAAAAUUAUUUUUUUAAAUAUAUAUAUAUAUAAUUUGACAUAUUUGAUAAUAAUAUAUAAGGGUCUCCAAAAAGCCCGUGGCCCGCUUUAGGCCCGGUCCGACCCGACAGGCUAAAGCCCGGCCCAAGCCCGCCGGGCCCAAGCUCGGCCCGAGCCCGUUUAUGGGUGGGCCGGGCCGCGAGCCCGUAGGCCUGCUCCUUUAAAAAAAAACUACAAAAAUAAAAAGUAUUAAAAAAAAUAUUCAUUUCAAAAUUUUAUUCAUUGAAUGUAUAAUUACAUUUGAAAAUGUGGGAAAAGUUUACAUCACUACAAAAUAAAUACAUCCCAACUAGGUUGGCACCUAUUUAUUUGUCAAUCAUCUGUAUUUUUCAACCACAAAAAAUAAAAAUAAAAAUAUAAUAUACAUUUAGUCAUUAUUUUCUGGCGGUGAUGGCGAACUAUCAUGCAUCCAUGAAGAUCUUGAUAAUUUUAAAGAUUCCAUAUCGGUAAGCAUCUUUGUUUCUCGAAUGGAAUCAUACAUCCUUUUAUCUGCUAUUUCCCAAUCUUUCACACAUAUCCCUGCUUUAAUAACAUCUGACGCUAAGUUGCAUCGUUUUUUACUAACUACUCUUCCACCUGCACUAAAAGCAGCUUCUGAUGCAACUGUACUCACAGGAACUGUUAGUACAUCACGAGCAAUUAUAGAAAGCACAGGAUAUUUGUGUUGAUGUGAUUUCCACCAUAUUAAAAUAUUAAAAUCUUCUUGAUCUUCAAAUGAAAUUAUAUCAGUAUUAAGAUAUUUAUCUAAAUCAGAUGUAUUAUUUGGAGAAUUAUUUGUUGUCUUUUUUCGACUUUUCAACAUUUCUAGAGCUCCUUUAUAAAAAGAUGAGGAGUUUGUAGAUGUAGGUGGUAAUUUAAUAGUAUUAAUAUCAUUACCAUAUUUUUCUUUAUAAUAGUUAUAUAAAUUAUAUAAUAAUGAAUUUAUUUCAUUUUUAAUUUCUUCAAUUUUUAUUUGGUCAUUAAAAUAAAUAAUUGUUAACCAUUCAUCCAAAGCUUCAAAUUUCAAUCUAGGGUCCACAAUUAAAGCAAUAUAAAAAAUUAAAGGUAUUUCUCCCCAAUAUUUUCUAAAUUUUUAUAUCAUUACAAAUAUUGUAUCAUUAAAUAUUUCAAAACUUAAAUAUUUUUGAAGUACAAUAAAAAUAUUAGUUAUUUGCGUAAUAACUCGAUUUGAAGUUGGAUAAUAUACACCACAAAAAAUGUUUGUUGAAGUAUCAAAAAUUUCAAAAAGAUCUCUUAAAACAUCCGCAAUAUGCCAAUCAUAAUCAUUUAAUGCAUAAAUAUCUGCUUCAUAAUCAUUGUUAAUUAAUUGUAUUUCAUAUAAUUCGACUACUUUUCUAUAUUUUGUAAUAUUUUCUAAAAGUUUAUAUGUGGAAUUCCAUCUAAUAGCCAUAUCCAAAUUUAUAUUUUUUCUUUUCAUAUUUAACAUUUUGCAACAAUCAAAAAAUAAUUCAUGUUUUGCUUGAAAACUAUUAAUACUAUAUGCAAUGCCUCUAAUUUUUUUCCAAUGUACUAUCAACAUUUUUUAAUCCAUCCUUUACAAUUAAAUUUAAAAUAUGUGCACAACAACGCACAUGAAAUAUUUUAGCAUGAUCUUCUUUUACUUGCCAAUAUCGUUUUAGUCUAUGUAUUGCUGCAUCAUUAUUAGCAGCAUUAUCUAAUGUUAUUGUCAAUAUUUUAUCACGAAUGCCUAAAUCUAUAAUUUCAUCAUUUAUUAAAGAUGCUAUAUUUUUACCACUAUGUGGAGUAUUUAUUAAUUUAAAUAAAAUUAUUCUUUUAUUUAAUUUCCAUUCAUUAUCAAUGUAGUGAACAAUUAUAUAUAAAAAACCAGUAUGAGUUAAAGAUGUCCAAAUGUCAGAUGUUAAACGAAUAUUUCCUUCAAAAUUUGCAAAAUUUUUUUUUAAAAUUUCUUUUUGUGUAUAAAUUUUUUUCAUAAUAUCUCUUUUAACUGUAUUUCCAGAUCAACCUUUAAAUUGAGGAUUAAUACCUCGUUGAAUUGUUCUUGCAAAAUCAUGAGUUUCCAUCAUGUUGAAAGGUUGUUCUGCUCUUAUUAUAUAAUCAAUCAUUUCUUCACAACAGUUAGAUUCAUCAUAAGAAAAUGUUUUUAAAUUUCCACUUUCAUUUUUACUUAAUUGCAUAUAAUUUCUAAUAUCUACAUUAUUUUUAGUUUUACAAUUUUCAUGAUGUCUUUUUAAAUGACUUGUAUCUGCAUUUGAGCCACCAGUAAGAAAUUUAUUACAAAUUUUACAUUUUGCUUUUAUUUUUUUUUUAUUAUUUUCUAAAAUUAUUUCUAUUCUAUCAAAAAAAUUCCAUAUAUUUAAAGUAAAUUUUUUGUUUGAUGAUAUUUCAUCACAUGGACUAGACGAAGAAGCACUUGUCAUAUUAUAAUUAUUGAUAAAAUAUUAUGCCAAAAAUAAUAAAGUAAUAAAUAUAAAAAAAAAUGUAACAAAAAAAAUAAAGUAGUAGGGGUGAAGUAUGUUACUCAAUUAGAGAACCUAUGCAGAAAUUCCUAGCAAAUUUGAACUCUUGGAGCCACCAAUGCUUGUUUUGCACCAUCAACAAUAUUGUAUAAUUUGAGGGAAAAAUAAAAGAAUUUAAAAUAUUGUAGAAUGUGAGAGAAAUAGAGAGAAUUUGAUGAAAAAAUGAAAAGGAAGAAAAUGUAUUUAUAGGAAGGUUAAAAAUAAUAAUAAUAAUAAUAAUAAUAAUAAUAAUAAUAAUAAUAAUAAUAAUAAUAAUAAUAAUUGGCCAUGUGACCGUUGGAGGCUUAGCUCCAACGGUCACAUGGGCUGGAGCUAGGCUCCAACAGUCACAUGACCGUUGGAGCCUUUAAUUUUUUUUUUUAAAAUAAUAUACUUUAUUUUUAUAUAUAUAUAACUAACUCAAUUAAUAAACAUAAAAAGAAUAUAGUUCAGUUGGUUAGAACCUUGAAGUUUAAACAUGAGGGGAGGGGUUUGAAUCCCUCCCUCUCCCUUAGGGGCUUUUUUAAAAGCCAUUUUGGCUUAUUUCAAAAAGCCUGUCGGCCCGACCCGCCCUGCAGCCCGCGGGCCUAGCAUUUUAGCAUGGCCUGGUCUGUUGACUAGUCAAAUGGCUCAUAGGCUCGGCCCGAACUGGGCCGCGGGCCUCUUAUUUACGGACCGGCCCGACCCGGCCCGCCCGUUGGAGACCCUUGAUAAUAUCUUCUAUAUUAAGUUACAUUAUAGUUUAUUUUACAAUAUUAUUAUGAUAAUAUGUCUAAUUUUAAAAUAUAUUUAAUAUUAAAAUUAUGAUCUAUUUUAAUUUAAAUGUAUUCAAUGAUAUCAAAUAAAUAAUAAUAUAUGUAUAAUUCUUUUAUUAUUUAUAUUUAUUAUUUUUAAUAAAUAUAUAGAUUAUAUAAAAAAGACCGGAUAUAUCUUUUCAAAUUUUGUAUCGCUCUCCAAGGAUAUUAGAUGUAUGGGAAUUUGUAUUGCUAUCUACGGAUACGUUGAUAUAUGGGUGAUUUAUCAGGAUAAUUAGAAAUUCUAAUUAUGUAAGCAGGUACGGAGUUCUGUGUCGGUGCGAUCUUGUCGACAACAGCUCCAAAUUGUGCAUCUUGCUCAUAGAGAGUAGCGGAAUGCACCAAUCGUAGGCUCAGAGUACCACUGAGUCGUCUGGCAGAGACCCAACUGAAGGUGCCUGUGUUGUUCCUGAUCUGAUCAGGCUUCAAACUACAAGGUGGAAUACUGGUUCCCCUAUAUCAGAAGCUGGAGAUACCCACCCCAUAUGCUCGUCUGGAUGUGCUCCUACCCUUUGAAGCCUUCUUCCGAGUCAAGUCCGAAUUGAUAAGGCUAGUGAGUUCCCAACCAACUGUACUCAGCAUGCUGCCAGGUGGAGACCCUCCAUAUUUGAUGGCUUCCUAAUAUUAAAAUGCUGACCACUGGUCUUCAUGUUCCACAGGCUUAAUUGUGUCCUUUGCUGAAAGAAUGGAUAGUGAUCCAUUUUAACACAUGAUUCACGCCGUCUUUGCCAUUCUUCAUGGUCUAGCCCUUUUAUAUAUAUGCUUCCUGAACUGUUGCUAUUAAUAAAAUGUGGUAUCUAUCCCGUACACCUUCCUGAUGGCCAGCGAAUGCAGAAGCUACAGAAACGGUUCCAUCUUUUGCUUCCGCCACUUUGGCAUCCUCCAUGAUGAGAUCGAAGGUGAAUAAUCAUAUUCUGGGGAUUUAUGUCCUGGAUAUUCUCAGUAAUGCCCAAUUUCCUGGUGCCGGCCUCAUUUCCAUGGGAACUGAUGGAUAACUUAAGGCUUCUACCAUCUGCGUGGUUCGCUUCUAACACAGGAAACUUCACGGCUAAAAGCAAGAUACCAAGAACAUCAAGGCUGUGACAAAAAUUAGUAUUUUUAACUUGUAGGAAUUUGAAAGGCAACCAACCAUCUAGCUCUGUUCUUAAAGCUCCCAUAGGAGGAUCAGAGGCUGGAUUGCUCAAGAUGAACUCAUCCAUUGUUGCACUUAAAAAGAAUUGGCAUGAAUUGUGGCCGCUCUAAUAGGUUCCCUAAACCAUCAUCCAAGUGGGCUUGCGGAAGGUAGCGAGUUUAAAACACCUAGGGCGAUGAACAGUGGACUGUGAUGCUCACAAAAGAGAAAAGGAAGAAUUCAAUAAUUCCUAAGAAUCCAUUUGCCUGUCAUCCAAAUUUUUAUAUUCUCUUCAGUCUGACGCGUUAUGCCAUAUAUUAAAAAUAGCGGCUUCUUCCAAGCCGAGACAGACUGUGCAAAGUUCGCAAGGCCAAUCAUCACCAUAAUCUGAAGUUGGCCUCCUCAAUCGCAGCUUGUAUCCGAAUGCUCACUUCACGGGAUGGAUUGUAAUGAAAACUAAUCUCAGUCCCAGCUAUGGCAGCAUCCUCACUUGACAGCAUUUUCUGCAUAUUCUAGAACAAAGCAAUAAACCCUCAAAGGCUCCUUCGGAUCAGAGUUAGAAGACUGUCCCUCAGGAACGUGAACACUAUGGUGGUUCUGAUAAGCAGUGAUAUUGCAUUAGAGCCUUUUGGAACAAGAGGAUCUUUUCAGGUGGAAACUGUAAACUGCUUCAUGUUGGGCUGCAACCUUUUCUUCAAGCAAUACUUUCUUUCUGUAUCACGACUUAUGUUGCUUCCGGAGCCAUCCCGUGUGGACUGCCCUUCAGUGAAAGAAUAUGUGUGUUGACAUGUUGGAUUGUAAUCUUUGUUCCACUCUAAUGGCUUUUGGUCCUCCUCUUUCUCUUUAUGACAGAGAACCAUUUAGUGAUCCAUCUCUAUAUUGUAGCAUUGCUGGUGCUUUGCAAUACUACACUCUCACCAAGCAUAACAUCUAUUUUUCCGUGACCAAAGUAUGUCGGUUUAUGCAUGCGCAAACUCUUAUUCAUUGGCAAGUUGUCAAGCGUAUCUCAUGAUUUCCCAAAGCCACAAGUUCUUAUGGUCUUUCUGUUCAAGCUUACAAUGAUCUAUCUUUUCUUGGUUAUACUGAUGUCGAUUGGGCUAGUUGCCCUGAUAACAAGCACAAUACUAGUGGGUACAACACUUUUCCUGGUCCUAAUCUCAUUUCAUGGGCAUUUUCAAAGCAGAAGGUUGUGUCUCACUCCAAUAACGAAUCUGAAUAUAGGGGACUCACUAAUUAAUGUUGUUGCCAAGGUCACUUGGAUUGAAUCUGUCUUACGUGAGUUGCGUGUUUCUCUACCCCAACCACCAAUUUUGUUGUGUGACAACAUUAGUGCUACACACUUGGACAAACCAUGUUGAAAUACACUAUCAUUUUAUCCAUGAAAGGCUUAUGCAUCACACACUCAAAAUUCAAUACACCUCUUCUAUAGACCAACUAGUCAAUGCUAUGACCAAAGCUCUUCCUUCAUCUCACUUGUACAAUCUUCAGUGCAAGCUGAUUGUUCUUCCCAAACCACUCAACUUGAGGGGAGAUGUUAAGCCAAUUUAAUAAAUUGAUUUCUUUUGGUUAAUUUGUUAGAAUCAUUUUUAUUAGAGGUUUGUUUGUACAAUUACAUCCAUUUAUCAGGAGAGUACACGUGUACAACUCCUCUUUUAAUCUCACCAUUGUAUAUAUAUGAUACACGACCUUACUCAGAAUUGCAUAACAUUUCCUCUGCUCAUUCCUUUUCUUCUUUGAAUUUUCCCUUACCUCACUGAUUUUGAUUUAUACCUGGUGUUUUCACCUUUGGUCUCUACCUUUCUAGCCAGUUUUCUAAUUAAUCCGUAUAUGGUAUACCUGUCAACUAAUGAGGAGAAAGAGAAAAGGGGAUUGCUGUUCCACCAGCUACAUAUAAUAAUUAAUUACAAUCAUGGUAAUGGAUCCUGAAAUCCAUCCUUUGUGGAUUUUGUACGGAAUAUUGUUGUUAUGUAUGUGGGCUCACUUAGAUGUAUAUUGCUAGCCUGUCUGGGAAAUGUGAUUGCAGGUCCAGAUUAUGAUGUUGAUAUUAGUGGGAUAAGCAAGAGAUGCAGUUAACACGUAUGUGAUGGACUUGAGUAACUUUUCCAUUUCAGUCCAUUUUUUAAGAUUAUGCUUAGUCUUAUUACAAGGAAAGACCAUAAGAAUCAUGAGUCAUUGGCAAGGUAAUAUCAUUCCCUCUUUACAGGCUUCUUCACCUUUUGGUUUUUUUAAUAUCCAUCAAGAUCUUUUAAUUGGAGGACAAUUACAAGUAUAUAUAUAUGUAUUAAAAGGGGAAAAUAUUAAAACAGGAAAUUUUAGGGAAAAUAUAAUAAUUAUUUCUUCCUUCUUUCCCAUAUAGAACUACACAAAAUAAAACUUUAAUAAUUUUUUCUUAUCUUUUUUAUUAUUAUUUUUUCUUAGAAACAUCCGUGGUCUCACAAGCUUGUAAUCCUAGAUUGUUAGGCUCCUUUAACAGUGCCCCAACAUCGUGGUCCAAUGACAAGCUUCCACGCCUUAAAAUCAGAAAAUGCCAUUAAACUUUAUCAGACAUUACAGUUCAAGACAAAGCUUUCAUUUGCUUAAUGUGAUAAUGAAAUUGUUAAUUUCAUUUCGUGGGCAUCUAAAUUUGGACGAGCAAGACCUCUGAAUUCCCUGUUUUUAUCACCAGCAGAGGAGAUAAAAUCUUAAUGGUGAGAAUCUCCACGUGAAAUUUAUGUGUACUGUCAACAUAUUUUUGUUUAUAUAGUCCAGUAGCUGCAGGAAGUCUAGAUUAUAUAGGUAGCAGUAGCACUAUUUAUAGCACUCGAUAUUCGCUGUAUGAAUACAUUAAACCUUGUUUUCAAUACGCAUCACAAGCAAGUACUAGAUACUACAAGGAGUGACAGUCGCAUCAACAUUUCUUGAUAAUAGCAGUGACUGAUUUAUACACAGAACAGUACUGUACACGUACCAGUCACCAGAGAUAGGAUCUUAUUCCUACAUACGACUCUUAUUGAUCGAAGUCACUCAGUUGGGGUAGCCUGGAGUUGGAGGUUUGUGUGGUGGCUUCUUCUUUGGAGGAGGCUUUAUCUUUGGAGGCAUCAUCUUUGGAGGCAUCUUGUGUGAGUCUUCUUCAGCAUUCUCUACAGGAGGAUGGCCAGGCUUAUGACCCUUAGGUGGUUUGCCAACUGGGAUUGGUGGCUUGUGUCCUGAGAGUGGCUCCUCUUCUUCGGGAGGUUUGCCAACUGACGUUGGUGGCCCGUGUCCUGGGGGUGGCUUGUGUUUUGGGGGUGGUUUCACUCCACCGGGAGGUUUACCAAUUGGUGUUGGUGGUUUGUGCUCAAUCGGUGGCCUCUCAACUGGGGGGCGCUUGGGGUAAUCAGCGAGUGAAGAAGUGGUGAGAACCACCACUCCAAGCAACAACACUAGCAAGUAUGUGGAAGACAUCUUUGAGUUUGGCUCAGAUGGUGUAGAACUAGAAUCCUGGGUGGCCUUUUAUAUUAGUUGGGCCCUAUGCCCGAACGACAAGUGUCAUGGUGACACAUAAAGUGAUGGGGUCGAUUUGGGCCUACCGGAUUUGAAAACUUGGACAAUUCGAGAAGCGUCUCCUGACUCCGGGUUGUAAAGUGAAAGAUUAGGUAUCGACCAUUGAAGUAUGAUCACAACUUUUGGCCUUUGGCUCUCUCUACUGCCGUAUAGCUUUUUUCCUUUGGAUAUUUUUCUUAGCUAGACACAAUUAUUGAGCAGUCUAAUCUCGAAAUGGGAUUAGUAUAGCUUUAAGCAAAUUUAUUAUAGUUAGUGGAGGACUUUUAAGAGUGCAGACGACAUUUAACACAUGCAUGCAGUAGUAUAGGGGACAUAACACUAUUCUUUUUCCAAAGAUUCACAUGAUUUUUAUAUUAUAGUAUUGGCACAUUGUAUGUAGCUGGUUUUGUGGUUAAAAUUCCAUAUGUAGACACUGGCGUUUCUCCAUUUCUCACAAUUGAUGUUUACCUCCACGAUUACUAGAUUAGAUAUACCAAACAAUAACACAUUGUAUAAUCUAUCCGCCCUUCAAAAUCUACUGUAUGAUGAAAUGUUUCAUGUGUGUGUGAAGUGUUAGAAAUGCACUAUAGGCAACAUCAUCUUCUUUUGUCUAGGCUUGGGCCUCAAAUUAUACUCCCAUGCCAUGAUAAAUUUUCAUGUGCAUUCUCUAAAGAAGAGUGUCUUGAAUGUGCCAAAUCAUUUUGAUUGAUUUUAUGAUGUUAAUUGCUCCGCAUAUGGAUGGGUAUGUGCUUUAUUUGCUUAUUCAAUCCACAAUUACCUUGAACUGAAGUCCUAUUGGAGCUCUAUUAUUUUAGCAACGUCCUGUCAAAUAGGCUGCUAACUUGGGGUGGUAUGGACCCAAUGAUCCAUCUUAAUCUUGGGUUGAUUUUGUCUGACUCUAUCUAUCUCAGAGAGAACCAGGAUCACCAGUGCUGGUCUGCUUAAAGAAGACUCAGUACUGGAUUAAUAUUGGUUUGGGUCAAUAGCUUAUAAUGCAUUGAAUGCAGAAUAAACAAGAUCAAUGAAACCCAAAACACACUGCCCACACAACUUCACUCUGGUGUCUGUUAUUCAUCAAUUCUAUUCCCACAUGAACUGGUUCAAGUUUAAGAAAAUGACAACGGAUCCACUGUAUUAACUUGGUUUUGCUUGGUUUUGAGCUAGUUGCCAAACCAGCCAUGAGUUUUACCUCUAAUGUCAAUGAACAAACCCCAAAUGAACAACUGCAACAGCUUAAAGAGAAGGAAUGGAGAUGAAAAUCCCUGUUUCUUCUCAUUCUGGGGACAAAUUAGAACAUAACUACAAAGGUUCUAUUAAUUGACUUACUCUACCAUGAAUUAUGGUUCUUUGGUUUUCCAAAUUUAAAUUGUACAUGAGAUUAUUUUUUUCCUUUAUAUAUAAACAUAUUAAGGUUUUCUUAUUUCGUGGGCAAAUGCGCUAAGGAUGAAAGUCAUUUCAUUUGGCUGCAACAGCAUCUUAUAAUCAACAUGCAUAAGCAGCAGUUUUAAUUGAUCGAUUGAACACCGACUCACAAGAAUAGAUAGAAUGGUACAAGACAGCUCUUAUUAAUUUAUACUCGUUACUCAUUUUAUGUAGCCCCAUUAAGAUGGCUGGCUGGACCACCGAGGUCUGGGGGUGGUGUUGCUUGUGUGAUGCAGCGGGCCGGGCAGACACUUCUCUAGUUGCUUCUAUUUGGAGUUAGAGGAUCAGUCUCUGCCAACCUUGAGGACUCUCUACCUCAGAGGGUCCAGGUGGUGGACUCUGGUGUCGGUAGCUUUGAACUCUCAGUAGACUAGUGUGUCUUAAUCAGUCACUGCCAGAGGCUGGCGUAGGCAGUGACGAUAAGGUGAGACAAAUUACCGAAUAGUCAAUAUCGACUGCACUUGACCAUUAUAGAUUUGUUCUGACAAAAGUGAGAAAAGGGAGAAAAUCGGAUGUUGACCUUUAUAGAAAAAGAUAAGAUUUACUGCAACACAGAGCACUGAUUUGUUACUUGGAAACCAAGUUAUGCUAUUAGCUAGCCUCCAUUAGCAGCAGGGUACCUUGCUGCCUGAUCCUAAUCUGAGUUCCCAAGGUUUCAAUCUUCGUUUGUUAACGCUUCAGGAUUUGGAUAUUUCAGCUUCGUUUCUCCAUUUAGCCAACGCUGCCUGGUUUGGAUUUCAAUCCUCAUCUGGAACAUUCUUUUUUCGGUCUGAUUCAGGAAGUGUUUGGUGAUAGUUGAUUAAAAUUAAACAGUACUAUCAUACAAAUAAAGCUGAUCUAAUUUUGGUGGGCAAUAUACCAACUCAUUUAUUCUUGAAAACACCAUGGGGAAUUGGAGGUCCAUCCGAAGUACUAUUUGAUGGGACUCACAAAAAGAACAGGUGCACAUUUAUGAGAUCCGUGGAAGAGAUAACUAUGACAGCUAUGCAUGUACAACAGAUUUAUGUCGAGUUCACCUCGUAGAUAUUUUGUUUUCAGUGUCGGUGGACCCCAAAAUGGAAAUCGGAAAUUAAGGUUAUAUUUAUUUUUUUAUUUAAUUUUAAAUAGAAUUUUAAUUUUUAAUAAUAUUAAGUAUUAAAUUAUUUUUUUAAGGGUAUUUUAUUUUUAUUAAGUAUUAAAAAGUAAAAAAAAUUAAUAUGUUGCUUUUUUAUUUUAAAAAAAUUAUAUAUUUUAAUUUUUUCUAUUUACUAAAAAGUUUAUAAUAAAUUAUAAAAAAAUAAAAAAAUAAAAAACUUAAAUUCUGAAAAUAAAUUAUUUUUAAUAAAAAAAUCCAAAAAAGCAAACACCACCUAAAUUUGAGAUGACUCAAAAUUUUAUAUUUUUUUUCACCUAAAUUAUAUUCAUAAAUUUAAAAUUAAAAAAUUAGGAAGUUGAAUUUUAUUUUGGAUAAUUGGAAACUACAAGAAAUCAAUAAAAAUAUUUGGAAAAAAAAGAAAAAGAAAAACUAUCUAUAUAUUCACCCCCUUCUAAGAAACAUAACUUUAGUUUUUAACUAUUUUUUAAAAUAAUUUUUGAAAAAUGUUAUAUAAUAUUUUAUAAAACAAAAAAUCUGUUUGACAAUUUGAUAUGUCUUUAACUUAUUUUUAAUAUUUAUAUAUAUAUAUUUUAAAAAUAAUUUUAUAUUUAGAACUUUAUCUUUAAUUAUUAUAUAUAUUUAUAUAAUUAUUUUUUUUAAAACAACUCUUAAAAAAUAAGUGAAAGUAAUUGAAAACAACUCAAAGAUAUUUGAUGAAAACACUCUAAUUUGUAUUUUUGAGAAUAAAAAAAUAAAUAAAUAAAUUUCUAGUUAUCAAAUGUAUUUUUUAAUUCUUUUAUUCUAAAAAAUAGAAAAUCGUUUUUGAAAAUAAUUAUUAAACAACAUUCUUAAAAAUUCACUCGUUACAAUCUAGAUUUAAUGCAAGAAUGAUUGAAGGAGUCCUCCAAUAGAACCCAAAGUUAUAAACAUGAACAAGAAGCCCUAGAAACACCAAAGAUCUCAUAUGGUAUAUAUAUGAGCUUGAUUGAGAACUGUUUUAAAUUCAGUUUUUUUUUUUUUUUUUUUUUUUUGUUUUCAAAGUCAAAACAAGUUUACUUUUAAUUUUUACUUCUUUUUUUUAAUUUUAUAAAUAACAGUUUUUUAAUAAUUUAUUUUGAAAACAUGAUUAUUUUUAAAACUUAUAAUGAAAAUAGGAAUUUUUUUUUUAAUAUCAUGGUUAUUUUCCCUUCUUUUAAGGAGGGCUAUUUUAAAAAUAAAUUUACAAAUAUGAAAAAUGAUUCAAACUAAAGCAGUACAAAUAAAAAACAUUUUUAAGAAAUAUUUAAAAAUAGAGAAAAUUAUUUGAGAACAUUUGAAGUCCUUAAAUAGACUUUUGUUUUAGAAAAGGCAAGAUAAUUAUUUUUGAAAAUUGUUUUCAUAAUGAUAUGCAAAAACCUACGUAAAAACCAUAAUUAUAAUCGGCCACAUAUCAAAUCUACUAAAUAUGAAAAGUAAGUACAUAAUUAUAUUUGACUUAGAUGCAAGGAGGAAAAUGUCGCGAUAUUAUCGCCGAAAUAUCGUGUGUCGAAGGGUAUCGACACGAUUUUUCUUGCAGAAAUAUCGGCCAGUCGAUUUUUCGGGAUAAAUCUCGAGAAAUCGGCAAUUUAUCGCGAUAUAUCGGCGAUUUUUCCUCGAUAUAUCUUCUGGUCAACGCGGGUCAACGGAGUCAACACGCUACAGUGAAAGUCAAAUGUGCUACAAUGUCCCCGCUACAAUCACCUCCCCAAACAAAUUGCCAAAUUGCUUCCGAGGGGAUUUGAACCAGCCUUCUUGCCAUUUGGGCUAACUCGCCCUUAUGAUAUAUAUUGCAUUAAACAUAUAUAUACUUAAAGUCCUUAUAUAAAGAAAAUGUUAAAAAAAUAUUUUAAAGAGCAAAUUAAUUAUAAUUAUUUUAUAAUUAAAAGCAAAAUUUUCUUUUAAUUAAUUACCAAAAAUAUAAAAAUUAUAUAAUUUUCUUCAUAAUGUUUUUAAUAUCAUUAAUAAUUAAUUAAAUAUUAAAAAAUUAUAUAUAUAUAUAUAUAUAUAUAUAUAUAUAUUAUAAUUUAUUUUAUAUUGUUUAAUACAAUUGAAUUAAAUGGAUCAUAUUUUAAUAUUAAUAUAUAUUUUAAAAUUAGACAUAUUGUAAUCAAAUAUCAUAAUAUUAUAUGUAAUUUAAUAAUAAAUGUACACUUAUAAAAUUCAUAUUUUUAUCGAUGCAUACAAUAUUAUUAUCAAAUAUGAUAAAUCAUGUUAUACAUAUAUCAAAAUUUUCAAUAAAAUAACUUUAAAAUGUCUAUUAUACUUCUAAUUAUAUUAUUAUGAGGUUUUCUUUACAUUUUCAUGAGUUUUAAACAAUUUUAAGCACCAAUAUUUUUUUCCAAAAUAUCCACCGAUAUAUCUCCGAUAUAUCCAAUAUAUCUCCGAUAUCUCCGAUAUAUCCGUAAAAUCGAAGUACCGAUAUAUCCGUGAUUACCGAUAUUUUCAUCAUUGCUUAGAUGCAACCUUCUUCCAAAUGACAUACUUUAGUCAAUACUUAUAUUUUUUCGUUUCACUUCUUUGAUACAACACCUCAUGGAUUUAUUGUUUAAUUUAUUUGUAAUUAUAAAACUAUUUUUCAUUUUUAAUAAGACUUGAAUUAAUUUAAUAAAUAUUAUAUAAUUUGAAUUUAUAAUUCUUUUUAUAAAAUCAAAGUAUAUUAAAAAAAAAACAAUUUAUCCGAAGAAAGUUUUUUAUUUUUUAUUUUUUAAAACCGAUUUUAAAAAUAACUAGCUAGACACCCUUAUUUUGAUAAAAUACGAAAUAAAAGUGUAAAAACAACAUGGCCAAAUAGGGGCUUAAAUUUUAUUUUUAAAACAUUUUUUUACACUAAAGUGCAUUUUAAAAACACCAUCAAAACCAACUACAAGUUAUGCUUCUUCCCGUAAUAGAAAUAUUUUAGGCCAAAAUAGAACCUCCCCAAAUAAAGACCCUAUACUAAACUCCUUUUCAUUUUAUUAAUACAAAAGUGGGGAAAAAAGGUCUAUGCUCACCUAAAAAACAUGAAUAUUGUGAAUUCACCAUUUCUAUAAGGAAGUUGAAAACUUCAAAAUUUUAUCAACAAAUUCUCUAAAAUCCUCAAAAUAUAUAGGGCCUGUUUCACAAAGUUUUUUAAAAUUUGUUUUUAUAAAUUGCUUUUAAAAUAUAGAAUAAAUAACAGUUUUUUAGAUUUUUUGAAAAAUAAGAGUGUUUGGUAAGAUGUUUUUUUUUUUUUUUUUUUUUUUAAGAAUUAAAUAAAAAAUAAAAAAAUUGUUUAGAUAAAAGAAUUUGUAUUGUUUUUAAAAACAAUGUCUUACUUUUAUGUUAUAAAAAUUUUAUUAAUUUAAUUUAUAAUAAUAUGAAAUGAAAUUCAAGUUAAGUCUUAUUAAAAAAUACAAAUUAAAUCUAUAAUUAUGCAUGAGUUAAAGAUAAAUAUAUAUUUUUUAAAACUAUAAAAUAAAUUUUCUAUUAUAGUGAAACAAAAAUUACUAUAAAAUAAAAAUAAUUUUAAUAUUCAUUUUUAAUACAAGUCAAAUAAGUACUUUAAUUAAUUUUUUUUAUCAUGAUUUCUUAUGUUUUUUUUUUUUUCUAGAAAUUAUUUUAAGUAAUAUAACUAAUUUUUUUUUUAAUGUUUUAUAAAAAUAAGGAUAUUUGGCAAGUUGUUUUUAUAAAAGGAUUUUAAAAAUAAAUGGAUUUUUUUUUUUUUUAAAAAAAGAACAAAAUGAUUUGUUUGAAUAAAUUGUUUUGAUUUUGUAAAAACAUUUUAAAUUCAAUUUAUAUAAUAUUAAUUAAUUAAAUUAAAUUGAAGUUUUAUUGAAAAUAAAAAUAAUUUUGUAAUUAAAAUUAGAUUAAAAAAUAUAUAGGUUUUAAUAAAUCGUAAAUAGUAAUAUUAUAAUAAAAUUAUAAAUUAUAUUUUUAACAUAAAAUAUACUAUUUAUUACAUAUUAAAAAAAAUAUUUUAUUAUAUUAAUAAUUUUAUGGUAUUAAUGAGUUUAUUAUUUAAGUUUUAAAUUAUUUUUAAAAAUUAAUAAAUUUGUUAACAAAUGCAAUGUACUAAAUGUGGUUUAAUUUGGAGUUAAUUUGUUUAGGGAAAAAAAUAAAAAAUAAAAAUCUUAUGUAAAAGAGAAAUAAUAGAGUGUGUGUGUUUUUUUUUAUUAUUUUUAAAAAUCAGUAAAAAGAACUUUUACUUAUUGCCUAAAAAUUAUUCUCUAUUUUAUUUUAUUUUUUAAAUCUAGAAAUAGAUAACAAUAAUAAAAAAAAUUAAAAAAGAAAAAUGUUUUUUAAAACUCAGACUUAUAAUUGCUUUUGUUUCUCAUUCGCACCCCUGGAUUCCUGGAUUCUAAACACAAAAUUAAGUUGAAUCGUCCAUCUAUCUUGUAAGCCAAGAAUUCACAUAGAAGAAAUAAUCGGAAUUUGAUUUGAUAUCAGAUUUAGAGUGGCUCACUACUCAUGCAUUGUCCCACAAUAGUAAUGCUUUGGGCCGAGAUAAACCCAUUUGUGGGCCCAAAUAAAACCCCUGGUUUGAAAACAUCGAUUUUACAGUGGCCCAAAAGAUUAUCUAUGAGGGGAAGAUAACUUGGAAGUCAAGCAAACACAUUUAUCGCUAACUUUUCUCUAAUUAUAAAAUUAUAACUUGGUCUUCUACACGUCUCACUUAAGAGGCGGAGCCACUUGGCACUACCUUUCCAUAUUGUAAAAGGAGAAGAAGCAGAAGGAGAAGAUUCUUAUGCCAUUCCACACACCAUGGCUAGUACUGCUAUGCUGCUUGGCCCGCCGGCUCUCCGCCAUCCUAAUUCUCCCGCCGGCACUGUCUUUGAAGAUGGGGUCAUUCUAACGGAUUCCCUGAUCGUCCGCACCAGUAAUCUGGAGCUUUCUGAAAAACCGCCACUGGAAUCCCUGGCGUAGUGCUCUGUCAGUGGGGAUAUUGCUAUGGAUUGUUUGGAUUCCCAAGCCCACAAUCUUCAUCUUCCCGGGAAACCGCCGAUGGGCUUAACGGAAAACAAGUCUCCGACCUUUUUGUCUUCCGGGAACCCGUGCUUGGACUUCUUCUUCCAUGUGGUUCCCGAUACGUCGUCUGAUGAUCUGAUCCGACGGUUUGAGUUGGCUUGGGAAUUCAAUCCGCUGACGACGUUAAAACUGAUAUGCAACUUGAGAGAGGUGAGAGGCACCGGAAAAUCUGACAAAGAGGGUUUCUACACGGCGGUUCUCUGGCUCCACGACCACCAUCCCAAAACCCUAGCCUGCAAUGCUAGGGUGUUGGCCAGCUUCGGUUAUUUCAAGGAUUUUCUCGAGAUUCUCUACCGGCUUCUGGAGGGCCCUAAAAUUCGAAGAAUCGAAAAGAAAGACUGGCUGGAUCGAAAAGGAAGGAAGAAAAAUUCCCGGAAAAGGAACUCAAUAUUCAAGCGAGAAAAUAGGCCUGGAGUUGAAUUUCCUGUAGAAGAGAAGGAUGUGGAGUAUAUGGUGGAAGAAUUUGUGGAUAAAGAAAAGGCUAGGGUACUGAGAAAGGAGAGAGAACUUGCUCUUGCCAAAAGAGCCCUGCACAAGUAUUCUACUGAUUCUAAUUAUCAGUUCUUACAUGAUCAGAUUUCAGAUUUAUUUGCUGAACUUCUGAAAUCUGAUAUUCAGUAUUUAAACUCCGGUGAGCUUUACAAGAUUAGUCUCGCAUCCAAAUGGUGUCCCACAAUUGAUUCUUCUUAUGAUAAAUCCACCUUGAUAUGUGAAAAUAUUGCUCGAAAGGUUUAUUCUCGCGAGGAAUAUAUAUCCAGAAUACCAAGGAAUUGAGGAGGCUCACUAUGUUAAUAGAGUCAGGGAUAGGUUGAGAAAACAAGUACUUGUUCCAUUACGUAAGGCCCUGGAGUUGCCAGAGGUUUUCAUGUGUUCGAACCAGUGGGGAUCACUUCCCUACAACCGUGUGGCUUCAGUGGCCAUGAAAUCAUACAAGAGCCUCUUCUCAAAACAUGAUACAGAGCGGUUUGGUGUGUAUCUUGAGAAAGUGCAAACUGGGAAGGCUAAGAUUGCAGCUGGUGCAUUACUUCCCCAUGAGAUUAUAGCUUCAUUGAAUGAGGAGGAUGGCGAGAAAGUUGCAGAGCUUCAGUGGGCGAGAAUGGUGGAAGAUUUAUCAAAGAAUGGGAGGCUCACAAAUUGCAGUGCGGUAUGUGACGUAUCAGGAAGUAUGAGUGGAACUCCAAUGAAGGUGUGUGUGGCUCUGGGGCUGUUAGUUUCAGAGCUCAGUGAAGAUCCAUGGAAAGGUAAUGUAAUUACUUUCAGUGCAAGUCCUGAGCUUCACAAGAUCCAAGGAGACAGCCUUGUAUCCAAGACUGAAUUUGUGAGGAUGAUGGAAUGGGGUGCGAACACUGAUUUUCAGAAAGUUUUUGACAGAAUCUUACAAGUAGCAGUGGAGGGAAAUCUGAGUGAAGAUCAAAUGAUAAAGAGGGUUUUCGUUUUCACUGAUAUGGAGUUUGAUGAAGCUUGUGGGAGGUAUAACUAUUGUGAAUAUGACUAUGAUAUGGAGGAAAUUGAUGAGAGUCAGAAGGCAUCUCAGAAGUGGGAGACAGAUUAUGAAGUGAUACAGCGGAAAUUCCAGGACAAAGGAUAUGGAAAAGUUCCGGAGAUAGUGUUUUGGAACCUUAGAAACUCAUCAGAGACUCCAGUGAUGGCCACAGAGAACGGGGUGGCCUUAGUAAGCGGGUUUUCGAAGAAUCUGUUAGACCUUGUUUUUGGAAGGAGGUGGAAUUCUGACCCCUCAGGAUGUGAUGGAAUUAGCCAUCUCUGGUGAAGAUUACAAGAAACUUGUUCUAUUUGAUUAAGAUAUCAAGAGAUUUAUCAAUAAUAAUAUGUUUUUUUUUUUCUAUGUGAAAUACAUGUAAUAUUAACUAUGGAGUUAUCAAAGUUCUGGAAAUUUAAUUAUUUCUUCUUUUCAAGUUUUGUUUGUCUUUGUUAGGAAUUCCCCUUGGGCGGACCCAGCUGGGGACUUGGAUUGAGGAAGUAAGGAGGCGAAAUUGUGUUCUUCUAUGGACAGAGAAAAAAGAUAAAAAUAAAAAAUAAAAAAGGAGGUUAUUUGCAUUUGGAUGUCAUGUGGUUUCAGGGUACAACUACAAGUUCGAAAUUGUACAUAAUGUGAAAAUUCCUGUGUGGAGAACAGCAUAAAUAUGUAUCUCAGUGUGUUUUGUUUGAGCUAAUUGGCAAAUUCGCUUUAAACAUGGUCACAUGGAUGCAUAUUUAUUUGUGAAAUGAUAGUAGUCGAUUACUUGGUCAGUAAGGUUUGUAUCUCUAACUCCAACAUCUUAUUGUAGUCUUUUAAAAUGUCAAAAGUUUAAUGCUAGCUUGAGAAAUUUUGGAAUGGAGACAUUCUAAACAAAGUUAAUAAUCCAUGAGACUUGGUAAAACCGAUCAGAUGAUGCUUACGUACAUGAAUGCCUUCUUUAAGCCGUAUCCUAUUUUCAUUGAAUGAGACGUGCCAUCUAGUUUUGUUCUUGUCUUGAUUGGAUCAUGAUCCCGGGAAUUGAUUACUGUUCUGAAUUUGCGAAUGUUCAAGGUAUUAGAGAAAGUUAAUAUUAUCGUUAAUUUACAUAUUAGUAUUUAUCUAGUUAUUAUAUAUUAGUUUGAAUUAUAAUAUAAUAUAGAAUUUGAAUCAAGUUUACUAUUAGUUUGAAUUACAAUAGGAAAUAAAGUUUGAAUUAUAGUAUAACUCAAAUAUAUUUGUAUAUAAAUAUCCAUCUUUAUCAAUGAGAAUAGUAAACCAUAUUUUUCUCUAUCUUCUUCUUUCUCUAUAUAUAUGGUAUCAAAGCCUCCAAAUCCUAAACCUAGUCUCAACUUAGAGCAAAUUUAGGGUGCAGGGUUUAGGCCCCGCCUCCCCCAACCCUUACCACAAAUGGUAGUGACCUUGUUAUGCCUAUGUAUUGUCAAUGCCUCAUUUUCUAUGGUCUUCAAUACAAUAUCUAGUUUCAAUGUCUCUUUCCUUACUAUCUCCAAUGCAAUAUAUUGAUUUCAAUAUCUCUUUACAACCAAGAGCUCCAAAUUUUCCUGGUUCAAAUCUACCAUAAUUUUUAUUCUCCUUUGCUUUUUACCAAUAUUAGUUCCCCUAAUUUAAUAUAUAUCUCUUUAUUACCUUCAACUCUACCUCUCUCUUUCUUUAAAAGCUUCCUCAAAGAUUUGAUUGCUUUCUUGCAUGUUUUGGGAAAACAAACAUGCUCAUAUUCUAUUACCUCUACUUGAGAUCUGCCUUAUACUCUACCUUCUUCUUUACCUCCUAUAUCAUCUACUACAUUAGCUUCAAAAACAUUAUUUAGUUUGAUGCUAAAUAAGGCUCCUAAUCCUACCCUUCCUUCAACUAACUUUCUUUUACAAGUCCCUCAAAGUUUUUUUUUUUUUUUUUUUGGAAAUUUGGCUUAGAAAGAUUUCAUUACUCUUACCUAAUCUUUCAACCAUCAAGUCGAAUCCACUUAUCUCUUGAAUCCAAGGAGACUACCCUCCACAAAAACAAGGAGAUUGACCCCCACAAUAACAAAGAGAUUGUCCUCCAUAGAAACAAAGAGAGCUUCCUUCAUGGAAGCCGAAUACAUCGCAAUCUAUUUUCUUUCUCUCAAGAUCAAAUCUCCAAUCGGAGCUCCAUCUUGUGGGGAUAUAUUAGAAAAAGUUAAUAUUAUCCUUAAUUUACAUAUUAGUAUUUAUCUAUAUUAUAUAUUGAAUUAGAAUAGAAUAUAGAAUUUGAAUUAAGUUUACUAUUAGUUUAAAUUACAAUAGGAAAUAGAGUUUGAAUUAUAGUAGAACUCAAAUAUAUUUAUAUAUAAAUAUCCAUCAUUAUCAAUGAGAAUAGUAUUCCAUAUUUUUCUCUUUCCCUGAGGCUUCAGAAUGUGAUCUUGAACAUUUGAUCUUUUGGAUUCUUCUUGUUUCGGUGGUUUAAUAUAAUGGAAUGUUUAAUUAUAGCCUACUUUAUCACCAUGGAUGUGCUCCUGCAGAUUUCUUGAGGGUGAUGGUUAUUUUGUCAUGUUUCUUGAAUGGUUUGCAUCAGCUGCCUGAGCUGUUGUUGCUGGUCACUUUUGCAACCAGGGAAAGAAUCAUGGCUUUGGAGAAGCCAGCUUCUGUUUUUGUUGCCCAGCUGUUAGUUCACUAAGAUUGGGGGUCCUAACAUGUAUGUAUAAUCAUAAGCAAGGAAAUUUUAUGUCUUACGCUAGAUAGGUACCAUGAUAUGAUGUUUGAUUGAUUUAUUAACUCUACCUGUUUCAAAAGGCAUCAACAUUAAUUUUACCCUUUUAACACAUUGGAUUGUUUGACCUUACGAGAUUUUCUAUUUCUGUACUAUUUGAACUGCAAUCGUUAUGGUCCUUAGGUCUCUAAACCUUCGUUUAAAAUAAAAGUAAGGAGCACACAUAGUAAAAGUUAAUUUUGGGUAACUUUUAAAACAAAGAGAAAAGUAAAAGUUGUUUUUGAGAAAAACAUAUAGAAAUUGAAAGAUUUUUUAUUUUGAGAAAAAAAAGUCAUAGAAAAGAAAUAAUAUCCCCAUAUAAGUAGAUAUGAUCUAUCCGAAGUGUAGCUACUCUCCUGGAUUUAUUCUAACAUUUUAAAAUUUUUCUCAAUGGGCAAAGGAAUAUCAAAUCAAGCUUGAGUAGGAUUAAUUUCUUAAUUUUUAAAAUAACUUAUAAUUAAAAUUUUUUGGUGUUUUCUUUUUUGGACAAUUUUUUAUGAAGACUCUGAAUCAUGCAAGAGAUAUGGUUAUUUUAAAAAAAAAAAUAAUUUAAAACUCAAAUACAUAAUCAAUGUCACAAAUUUAUAAACAAAAGGUUUUUAAAAAAUACUAUUAUUUCCCCUCUACACAUAAUUUUACUUUUCCGAUUUAUUUAUUUUUGUUGGAAAACAGUCUUCAAAUCAAGUAAAAUUAAUAUGUUAAAUUUGUUAAACAAAUAAAUUUUAAAAUACAAUUUGGAACUCAAAAAUCAAUUCAAGUAAUGCUAAAAUUCAAAAAAUCAAAUUUGGAAUAAAAUGACUUUGUAAAUUUUUUUACUAAACAAAUGAAUUUUAAAUCAAGUGAGAUUUAAUACAUUGGAUUUUUAUGAGAAUAGUAAUUUUAAAAAUUAAUUUGGAACUCAAAAAUAGACACAAUAAAUACCAAAAAUCAAUGAACCAAAAUUGGUUUGGAAUAACUCCAUAAUUUUUUAUUUAUUUAUAUAUUUAUUUUUUUGUGCACACGAAUUUCUUACUAAGCAUAUUGCUUCCAAAUUGAGAAAAAUUUACUAUUUAGAUUUUUUUAAUGAGUUUAAUGGUAUUUAAAAAUAAUUCAAAAAUUCGAAAAUUGACUAAUUUAAUAUUAUAAAUUCAUAAACCAAGACUAAUUCAAAAUGCAUUGGGGGCUAAGGGGGUUGAAAUUAAUGCUCCAUUUGGUUGUGGCCACCAAUUGGCAAUGGCCACCAAUCAACCAAUCAAGGUGGCUAAGGGGGUUGAAAAUAGGGACAAUGGGGUGGGUUUGGGACAGGACACUCAUAUCCCAUUCCCAUCCCAAUUACACAGUUAUUUCCCAUCCUUAUUCCAAACUUGUGUUGGGGCAAGUUGAUUUGUUCCCAUCUUUGUUAACGAAAUGACUAAUAACCUCAUCCUCUCCUUGUCUUAGAUGUACAUUUUCUCAAAUUUGGUCAGGUAUGAUUGAUUCAAGCCCUAACCUUAAUUGGUAAUGAGUGGAUACCACACCUAAUUGCAUUCUUCUUUCGUUGCAAAAUAAUGAGAUUAUAAUAAUCUAGCAAAUAAGAAAAAAUAGUAUGGAAGUUCAAAUUAACACCAUAACUAUCAAUAAUUUUAAGCUUAUAGAUGACUUAAAUGAUUGAAAACUAAUGCAAAAUACUAAAAAAAAAAAAAAUCAUCUAAAGAAUUCACAAGAGAAUAGAACGAACAAAACCAAAUAGGAACAUGGGUCAACAUUAGUUACAGAUUUUGAUCCCUUUCAAGGCCAAUCUUUGAACCAAGACUUCAUCAAAUCUACUACUUCAAAGGCUUUUGUGUUCUUCUUGAGUUGUACUCUGGAACAAAGACUUCGAGGUGAUGCUUUAGAUGAUUGCAUUACACAUAUUUAGGGUAGGGAGAUUGGAGAAGCUUGAAGAUGCCAACGAUGGGUACAAUUGAGUGGUCAAUAAGAACAAUGUGGCCUAUGACUAGUUUGAUGUCAUGGUAUAGGAGUUUUGGGCAUUGAGGUGAAAGCAAGAGCAACAUGGAAUUGAUUUCAAAGUCUUUCAAUUAGUGUAAAGGAGGAAGAAGAAGUGGUAUUGAUCCUAGAAAUAGUGUUUUAGGUGUUGCAUUAGAGGAAAAGAAAAAGAAAAAGAAGGAACCAUUGGAAUUAGUACGAGUGUGAAGAGAGAAGUGUAUACAUAAGGGGAAGUAAAAGCAAAGUUCUAAAAAUUUAUUUUUUUAUUGGUGGUGUAUGGUUGCAUGAUUAUCCCUAUAAAUAAUAGGAGUUUUUUGGUGUUCUACUAGUAGUUGAAGGAUAAUUUCAUAAGAUAAUAUUUAGAGCGGGGUGGGGUGAGUUGUGACAAAAUCCAUACCCGUCCCAAACAUUGGUUCAGGUUUUUAAAAUAUUUUCAAACUUAUCAUAUACCCAAUUUUAUAUUUCAUACUUGUCCUAAUAGAGACAGGUUAGUCAGGGUUACUUGAGUAGCCUACAAAACUAUCAUCCCUAGUUGAAAUGCUCUUUUUGGCAGUGGCAGCUAGAAGCUCGAUCGAUUGACCUACAAGACUAGUUGUCAUCAUUUUAAAAAGAGUUUUGGCUUUGGUUGUGAGUGCAAUUGAAUCUAAACUAACAUUUCCUUAAUGCAUCUACUUCAAUCCUAAACUUCUUACUUAAGCCUCAAUUGUUGUUAAGAUUUUGGAAAACCCAUUUCCUUAAAUUGUAAAUUUAAGAAAAAAAAAAUUAAAAGUGAGACAUUUCUUGAUUGAAUGUUGUUAAAGGUCCCUUGGAAUUAAGACUUGGUUGAAGCCUUGGAAGAUUAGCAGAACUCUCAACUUAUGUUUGAACCUUGAGGAGAGUGGACGUAGGCCAAAAUUUUGUCAAACCAUUAUACAAAUUGAGUUUGAAUUCUCAUUUCUUGAUUUCUUAUUUAUUUGCUUUUUCUUAUUAUUACUUGAAUUGUCAUUUGCAUUCAUUAAUGUUAAAAUUGGUUAUAAUUAGCCAACACUAAUUCUCUUUCCCCUUCCCUUAAUUUCUUGGGUGUAAACCUAGGUUGGAUUAACUAGAUUUUAUCAAAUCUAUUAAGAUGGUAAAAGAAUAAUUAUUCUUAACAUACAUAAGAUCAUCUUCAAUCAAAUGACUCAUUGGCUGAUAUGUUGAAUUUGCUUAUUACUUGCAACUCAAAAUUGUGUUCUAGUUGAUAUGUCAAGUCCUGAGUGUAUGGACAUUAAAUUUGUAGUACGUGAUGAGUAUUUAGAUGGUCCAAUUCCAAGAAAGUGAUUGAAAACUAGUUCAAGAAAGGUGCAAAAGGGAAUUGUUUUGGUAUUUUCGUUUUUAUUCUUGAAGGUGGCAGAGCUAAAAUUUGAGAAAUCAAGCAAAACAUACUGAAAUUACAUUGAAAGAAAGAAAAUGGGAGUUAAUGUCUUGCAGUACAUGAUAAGGACUUCAUGCAUGUAGUGUGACCCAUGUCUUGGACUGAUGCCACACUCACGGUUACACUUAUACCCUUAGUUCUCUCUUUACUACCUUAGCUAACCUAGAUCAGGUUAUGAGAUAGGCACCUCACCACACCAUUACUUGCCCAUUAAUUAGUGACAUUUUCAAGCAAUGAGGUAACAUGGUGACACCAAGAGGGUAUAUUCCUCACCCCCAACAAGCCUAGACCUGGUCUAAAAAAAAUGGAGAAAAAUGACGUGUUGUUAUGCAGAAAUAUAGCAACCAUGCCUUCCUCAUUACUUAGAUUCAGAAUGUGAAGGUGAAAUUGAGAAACAGAAACUCUUGAAACCAAAAUGAAAAUUGAUACUUUUACGAAGAAUUACAACAACAUUAGAGGAAGACUACAUUCUUCCUCUUUAUUCCUACAUUUCUACACUACUUCUACUCCACUCCAUAUUUCUACAUACAUCUUUAAUCAGUCUUCCCUCCUUUAUAUAGAGCCAUCUUCACACAAAUUCCGCAAGGUAGAAAAGAGGAAUGAAACUUGGAGCAAGGUUCGACUACUGGCUGUAGCUUGUCAAGGCUGAAAGUGAACUUUUUUUCUUGGCUUUUCUGGGCAUAGGUAGUAACUUGUAGGUUCCUUUUUGGAAUGAAAAUGGUACGGCUAGAACAUGUGGCACUCUCUUGUUGGAUGAUGUGUCAAGCAUGUGGCAGCCAUCUAGUGGAGAUUAUGUCAAUUUUGGGAUGGAGAGUUGGCAUCCAAUUGCAAAGAAAUAUGACAUCUACCAACAUGCAAUGUCAACCUAUGUAGAUCAUAUGAAGAUAGAGAGGAAAAAUAUAGAAAUGGAUAUAUAACUAGAACUAGCUUUUUAUUAAAUGAGACGGAGAGCCAACAAUGAAGGAAAAUCAAAAUUUUUGGCUCAUAUCAAAGAAUUCACAUUGUGUUACCCUAGGUUUUCUUAAAACUUACUUUUAUGAUAAUAAAAAAUCAUUAUUGUUUAAUCCUUUGUUUUAAACGCAUGUUUAGCAGGUUGUAAAAUGUAAAUAUCUUUCGAAAUUCAAAUAUGAAGAUAUGACAUCAUUUCAAGCAAUAUAGUCUCUAGGAAUUAAUGUAAAGCUAAAUUAAGGUGCAAUUAAGUUAGUUCAAUGCAUUAUUUUAAGAAACUUGACCUAUCAAAACCUUGUCUUACUUCAAAGCCUCUUUUUCUUUUCUUCCAACUAACAUUUUAAUAAGUGAUCGCAAAAGUACAAAAUUAGAUGAAAUCCAUUUCAAUGGUUAAAAUGAUCAAAUUCAAACUUUUUCUAAGUAUCUUUUAAAAGCAUCAAUAUUGAAAGACAAUUUUAUAUUUAGUCAAAGCUUGGACAGAGCCAAAAAGCACACAAAAAUUUAUAUUUUCUAGCUCUCUACCUUGGAUGGUCUCUUGAUCCUACUUGGAGAUGUGCAUAAAUAAAAGGAUUUGAAAAUGACAAUUGACUAAGUAUGUAGUCAAUCAAUUACUCAUUGAUUGACUAGUUGAUCAAUUAACUUUGCAACAUCAUAUGCAAUCCUAAUAGCUAGUCAUCUAAUCAACUAGGUAGUAAAUCAAUAGGCCAAAAAUAUGUUUAUAAUGACUAUUUUGUACAAAAACCACUUAUAUAGUUAAAUAUAAUGCAUUUCAUUUAUAAAUCUUCUAAUUCUUGAAUAACAAUCCUAUCAUCCUUUGAAAGUUUUUAUUACACCUUUUCUACAUUUGUUCUAAAACUUAUACAUCACCCUUAAUUGUACCAUGAGAACCUAGCAUUUUUUUUUUUUUUUUUGUAUUUCAUCAAAGUUAGCUCUUGUACUCAUUGUUGUAUUAUUUUUAUUGUAACUUAGAGAGCGAGUGUUUUCAAGUGAGUGAAAUUGACUUGUAAAUAUUGUAAAGAUUCAUUGAUAUGUAUCUCAAACUAGGUGUACAAGUUGAAACAUUUGCUAGUAGAUUUUCUCAAGAUUUAGAAUGAGCUUAAGGCUAUCGAAUUAGGUGGGGUUGCGCCAAACCAUAUCACAUCGUUGUUUGCACCUUUUUUUUCACUCUCUUUUACUUAGUUGCUCUAUAUAUAUUGUCUAGCAAUAUCCUAAAGGCUUGAUGGGCUAGGGAGCAUCCCUCUGAAUGAAAAAUUUUCAUUCAAUUCUUAGUUGUAUUACGCAUAUAUAAAAUGCCUCAUUGUUUUAAUGGUAUUCAGUCGUGGCACCACAGAUAUGGACAUCUAAAUUUUAAAAGUUUGAAACUUUUAGCUAAAGAAAAUAUGGUGCUUUGCCUUUUUGGAAAGCAUGUUGAUGAAAUCCAUGAGAAUUGUAUACUUGGAGAGCAACAUCGAGAUAACUUUUUUUUUUUCUUUUUUUAUAAUGCAUUGUUUGUCCAAAUUCCGUACAAAUUAGGCCACCACAUGUUCAUAAUUCUCCCUUCUUGAAUUUGAAAACUCGGACAAUUUGACAAUGCGACACCUAAGUCCGGUUUUUAAAUGCUAAAGUGAAAGGGCAGGUAUGGACCAUUGAAAUGUGAUAACAACUUUUGGCCUUUUCCUUUUCUCUGUAGCCAUGUUGUCUCUUUUUAAUUUCUUUUGCAUGAUUUUCUUACCUAAACAGAAUCAUAGACUUGUUUAAUCUCUAAGUGGGAUUUCAUCCACCUUAAGCUACUGUAUUAUAUCUCGGUGGAGGACAACCGACAUAGAGCACAUGCAAGUGGGUAUAUGGGACAUGAAAUAUCUUCUUAUAAAGCUUGUUUUGCAGUUAAAUUAAUUGGAUAAGUAGACACUGGCGUUUCUAAAUUUCCCACCUAAGAUAAUGACCUUAUCCUUGACUGCUAGAUACACAAACAAUUAUACCUUCAAAAUCUACUGUGAAGUGCUUCAUGUAUGUGUGAAGUAUUAGAAAUUUCUUUCUUGGCAACUUGUUUUUUUCUUUGCGGUCUACUGAUAGGUUUGACUAAAAUUAUAUUCCCUGUCCUGCUAAUUAAUUUUCACGUGCAUGCUCAAAAGAAGAGUAUGACCUUAGUGCACCAAAAUCACUUUCAAUAAUUUGUGAUAAGUUUUUUUGCAUGACAUUAACCUUAUUCAUUUAGAUAAUGUUUAGUUCUCAUAAAUAUUAAGAAAAUGAAAAUAAAUAUUAAGAAAAAUAUUCUUAUAUUUGAUUGUAUUAUGAAAAAUAUCAUAAAAAAUCAAAUAUAAUUAAAAUUAAUUAAUAAUUUAUAUAUUUUAAAAUUAUUUAAUUUUUAUAUUAAAGAUAUAAUAUAAAUGAAAUGAGUUUUAAGUAUUAUAUAAAAAUGAUUUAUUUAUUUAUUUAUAUAUAUAUAUAUAUAUAUAUUUAGUUUUUCUCUUUAUUUUAUUUUCCUUAUGUUUUCCUCACAUUUUCCGGAAUCAAAGAUAGGGAAAUCCACAAUUACCUUCAACUGAGUAGAUUCUAUUGUUUUAGCAAUGUUAGGCUGCUAACUUGUGGUGGUACGAACCAAAUGAUCCAUGUUAAUCUUGGCUUGAUUUAAUUUGGCUCUAUCUCAGAGAACUCAAGGAUCACGUCAACUCUGGUUUCUACUAUUCAGGUCCAUUCCCAGAUGAACUGGUUCAAAUUUGAGAAAAUGGUAACAGACCUUUAGUGAUAUUGGUUUGGAGCCAGUUGCCAAACCUGCCCUGAGCUUUACCACUAAUGUCAAGGGACAAAGCCAUUUGAACAAAAACAAUAGCUUCAAGAGACUGAAUCGUGGAUGAAAUCUGAUCCACAUUUCUUCUCAUUUUGGGAAAAAAUGAGGACUUAACCACAAAGAUUCUACUGCCUCAUAGUGCUUUUCCUGAUCUAAGGUUGGCUCGUUUCCCAAAUUGUGAGGUGCACGUGCCACUCUCACGCUCAGGAGUGUAUCCACGUGGUGGACAUAAGAUGGUGGCUUAAUAUCUGGUGUCGGUGGCUUUACUUUACUAGGAGAGUAGUGUGUCUUCAUCUCAUUCACUGCCAGAGGGUGGCGUAAGCAGUGACGCUAAGGUGGGGCACAGUCAAUAUCAUUUGCAUUUGACCAUUAUAAUUUUCUCCCGGCUUUAAAGUAACCUUAUCGUGAUAAUGGAUUACUAGCACUAGUUCAGAUGACAGUCAUGUUAAAUUCGGACCAUGUUUGUGUCACAUUAUCAGCAACCAUGUGCUUGUGGUUCAUGCUAUCUGCAACUAAACUUGAUAUAUAACCAGGUGAACUUCAAUCUAAAUUCUGGAAGUACUCAUGUGAUAGAUGGUGCCUGUCUGCAGUGAGUGUAUCUAUAAGAGGGAAGGCUUGGCAAAUGUUCAGUUUUCUGGGAAUUCAACAGGGAUCUAAAAUAGAUUGUUUUCUUUGCUGAUUUCAAUGGUUGAAAUUUGAGAAGAUUGUGUCCACAUAACACAACUAUUACUGGUCCUUCUGUUGCAAUUUAUCCUCUAAGGCUCUAACAUGUCUUCCAAUUCCCACUUCCCACUUCCCUGUUACUCCAGGAAAGCUGUUUCUGUCAUUGUGAAGAAGAAAAGAGACUGUACAUAUCGAUGCUUUUAAGUGGACUGGAGAAUUCAUAUCAGGUGGUCUGCAGCCAUACAUGCCACUUUGUGAAGGUUGGAACAGUCAAUCACUAGGCUAUAUUAGUGGGGCCCAGCCACUUCAAUCAAGGACAAGUCUUCAUACUUAAAGUCAAAUUCUGCCUUUAGUCUCAUUAUAAAUUGCUGUUUAAAUAUCAAGCAAACAUUUGUUUAAUGCGAUUAAGACAGCACUAACUCAAUACUUGUUCUAUUUUUGGAUGCAAAUGCUUGAUAGUUUCAUCAUUGGAGGGGAUAAAGGUGCAUUCAUGAUUAUGAAUACUUGUAGUUAUAUUUUCAUUCUCUUUUUUCUCAAUGGGACUUGUUGGCACAAUUUUGCUGUUCAGAAACCUACCUCUCCAUGGAAAAUCAGUUGUGAUUGAUAUUACUGGAUAUAUUCAAGAAAGCUAAAUGUAGAUAGCACAAAAUAUUAUCGACAUAAAUAGCAUUAACAGCGUACGUAUGUCUCAAUGCUCAUCAGCUAUAAGCAAGGGGCAAACACUUACUAUGAGCAACUUACGUCAAAAUUCCGGAAUAGGACAUAGAAGUGACAGGUCAGUAAAUAUAGAACACUGCAUAUGAGUCACAAGAAAGGAAAUUACGGGUACAUAGCAGCUCUUAUUUUACAUCCUACUCAUACUGAUCAAAGUCACUCAGUUGGGAUGGGUGGGAGUGGGAGGUUUGUGGGGUGGCUUGUGCGGAGGAGUUGGCAGCUUCUUUCCAGGACCUGGUUGCUUCUCUGCUGGAGUUGAAGGAGGCUUAAUCUUCCGAGGUGGCUUGUAUGAGUCUUCAGCAUUCUCAGCAGGAGGGUGACCAGGGUUGUGACCACAAUGUGGUGGCUUCUCUCCCUUAGGUGGUUUGCCAACUGGGGUUGGUGGCUUGUGUUCCGGAAGUGGCUUCUCUUUGUGUUCAGGAGGUGGCUUCUCCACUGGAGGCUUGUGUUCAGGAGGUGGCUUCUCCACCGGAGGCUUGUGUUCAGGAGGUGGCUUCUCCACCGGAGGCUUGUGUUCAGGAGGUGGCUUCUCCACCGGAGGCUUAUGCUCUGGUGGUGGCUUCUCCACCGGAGGCUUAUGCUCUGGUGGUGGCUUCUCCACCGGAGGCUUAUGCAAUGGUGGUGGCUUCUCCACCGGAGGCUUGUGUUCAGGAGGUGGCUUCUCUACCGGAGGCUUAUGCUCUGGUGGUGGCUUCUCCACCGGAGGCUUAUGCUCUGGUGGUGGCUUCUCCACCGGAGGCUUGUGUUCAGGAGGUGGCUUCUCCACCGGAGGCUUGUGUUCAGGAGGUGGCUUCUCCACCGGAGGCUUGUGCUCUGGUGGUGGCUUCUCCACCGGAGGCUUAUGCUCUGGUGGUGGCUUCUCCACCGGAGGCUUGUGUUCAGGAGGUGGCUUCUCCACCGGAGGCUUAUGCUCUGGUGGUGGCUUCUCCACCGGAGGCUUGUGUUCAGGAGGUGGCUUCUCCACCGGAGGCUUAUGCUCUGGUGGUGGCUUCUCCACAGGAGGCUUGUGUUCAGGAGGUGGCUUCUCCACCGGAGGCUUAUGCUCUGGUGGUGGCUUCUCGAAUGGGGGAUGCGUAGGGUAAUCAGCUAGUGAGGGGGCGGUGAGAACCACCAGGCCAAGCAACACUACUAGCAAGUAUGUAGGAGACAUCUUUGGGUUUGGGCUCAGAUGGUGCAAAACUAGGAGAAUUGGCUAGCCUUUUAUAGCGGAUCGUACCCAAUAAUGAAAUGACACGUGUCAUUAUGACCCAUGUGUCAUGUGGUCGAUUUGGGUCCUACAGUGUUGAAAACUUCGACAUCCACUUUUUUGGCCUUUUGCUUUCUCUACAGUCGCCUUGCUUUUUCCCUCUUUUCUUUUGUUUUCCUCCUGCCCCAUUCUAUCAACUAAUCACAAUUAUGUAGUUGUUUAAUUCUUAAAUGAGAUAUUAUCCGUCAAUCAUAUUAUCUUUUAUCAAGAGAGAACGGAGUGAAAAGUGGCAAUCCAAAGAAAGAAGAUCCAUAAUGCAGCUGUAAUUUUAUCGUUUACUUUUAUCUCUAGGACCACUGCAUUUUUGUUGAGAGGUGCAAUAAUACACGUCUUUAUCUGCCAUUCAAUGUUUACAGUAAAGAGAGGGCACAAAACUCUUCACUGCUCUGCAUGUGCCCCAAAAAUGCAAUUGGACAAAUUAUGAUUUGCAUGCUAAAAAGAGGCAAAUGAGGUUAAUUAGCACCAAAAUUAUUUUGUUUUCUGGACACCCCGGGGCCCUUUGGUUGGUUUGGGGGUCAGAAAAUGAACAUCAUAGGGGGUUUUUCCCUAAUGUGCAUUUGCAUUUGUAUCUGAUGGCUUUAACUCGCCUUGUUACUACAAAGAAAUUGUCACAGAUAGGAACUUAUUCCAGGCUGAGUAUCUCCGCAUGGACCCUAUAAAAGAAGACAAGUCAUAAUGAACAUCUAACCUUUGUUCAAUUUGAUUCAAUGCCCCUAUUGUGUCCAUCUCACAAAUCUGAAUUAUUAUAUCCAUUGAAUACAUAAAUUAAUGAAGAAAAUAUGAAACCCAAGAUACAUCUCUGCACAACCUCAACCCUGGUUGCUAUGUUUCACUUCUAUUCACAUGAGGAUAUUGAUUACGGAAUAAGGAAACCUAGCAAGGGUUUACUCGGCUCUGGUUUGAUGCUAAUUGCCAAACUUGCAACAAGCCCUGAGUUUGACACCUAAUCGAUGGGCGAAUUAAAAGUCUCCUCCAAACAUAUAUUCCACAGCUUGAAGCUCACAGAAGAUGCUAUACAGGCAGGGAAAAACCUUCAGAGUUAGCUACCAAAGAUAAUUAUCAAGGAGAUAUCACCAAGAGAAUUCCAUGGAGUCUGAAUCAAAGACAAAUUGCUCGCUCGUGGGGGUUCUUACUUAAUUUCUUUUGGGUAUAACUCACUGAGGGCACUGGCUUUGUUAUUUGCAUUUCGCAUUUAGAGUUCUGUUCUGGAAGGUUUGUUCUGGAAACAUAUAAAAGGAGCAUCAUUUUGUUCUAGGGUAACCCAUAGUUGUGAGUGGGUCCAUUUGCAUGCUACUUAGUUGAAAAGUUGGACAAUUUGCUCCGACGCCUACCUCCUGGAUUCCAUGCUCGGAUAAAGCAAGAAUAAUAAAAUAUUUAUAAUUUACAAAUGGGGGAAAGAAAAAAAUGUCAACAACAAACUAGGAAAAAAGAGUAGUAAAAUUUAUGCCACAUGCUAUUGAUAGAAGGGGCAUGUAUUAGAUCCAUCACCAUUUGGUAAGAUUUUAGUAUUAUAUUUUUCAAGGUUCAUUAUUUGAGGGUGUGUUCUUCAUCUCUGUUGCAUUGCUUCUUACUAGGCCCACUGAGGUGGGUUCUUCACCUUUUGUAUAUUCUCUGCACUAGAUCAAUGAGAAAGGGGGAAUUUUGGUGAAUUUGCAGCCGUUGGAUGAUUGAUUCUAGGCUCAGUCCACCAAUGAUGCUCUCUUCACUCUUUCUCAUCUAGUGUCAUUCACAACUAUGUUUUGAUUCAUAUUUGUACUAUCAAAGAUAUCUCAUUAUUCUAGCUCAUUAGGUAGAGUUCCUAAUCUUCCUCCUUUUUGGUCUAUGGACAGUAUUGGCUUCAUAUUAAGAUCAUGUUUCAAUAAUUGCACAUUAAUGAAUGGAUCAUGACCCACAUAAACAGAGUCAGGGUUGAGUCAGUGAACCCUAAAAUUUCACAAUUCUAAAUUUGGGUUCUUUAACAAUGCAGGGUCAAGGACGCGUGGUGAUGAAGGAAAGCUGGUAAGCUCAGUGUUACUUCAAUUCCUGCCAUGUAGGAUGGUGAGGAGAUAUUCACUAUGCAAUUAAUAAUAGACAAUAUUCACUAUGCAAUAAUAAAGCAUAAAUUAAGUUGAAUGAAAAGCAUUUUCUUUGCAAGGAGUUGAUUUUGGUUUCAUAGUUUGUUCAACUGCUAUUUUGGAUAGGAAAGUGUGAGGAGAAGAAAAUAAAAAAUAAAAAUAAAACAAAAAAUAAAAAAUAGAUUUUAUAAAUUCAUUUAAUUUAUUUUUUUUUUAUAAAAAUUAACUAAUUUAAAAUAUAUGUAAAUUUCUAAUUAAUUUAAUUACAUUUUUUUUUUCAGUUUUUCAUAAUAAACCAAAUAUUAGAAAAUUAUUUUUAUUAAGACACCCAAGAUGAGGUAAUAUGCAAUGAAAACAUGAAUUAUAUUAAAAUUCAAAACAAAUUAAGAGAAAUCGGAAAAUAUACAUAGAUAUCUAAACAAAGAAAUUUAAAGAGAAGGAACCACAAACUUUAUUUACAUAAUUUGAAAAUAAAAAACAUAAAACAUACUUAUAGUAAGGAGAAAUUGAAUAUCUUACAAUGGAAGAAGGGAGAAAAGCUUUGAAGAAAGCUUUUGCUUGGAAGCUUACAUGGUGAGAGGUAGAGAAAGGAGAGAGAGAGAAGAAAAUGAAAAAUGAGAAGUGGAGAAAAUUGGAAGUUUUGUGUGCUUACAACUGAGGAUAGAGCCUCCUUAAAUAGCAAAAAAUGGAAUAUUAAAUAGUACCAAUCAGGAGACAAAAUAUUGUUUGCUUUUGAAACCCGUGCAUGAAUAGUAAUCCCGUGAGUGAAUAGUGAAUAAUAAAAGUGAAUAGUAAAAGUCACUUUCUACUAUAGCACUUUAGACUUUUUCAUCGAGAAUCUUACUUUCGGCUGAGUGAUGAUAGCUGAUAGGUUGCUUUGGAUUGUGGAGUCAUAUGUUUGAUGUUUUCGGUGCUGAAACCGCUUAGUUGGAGAAUAAUCUCGUCAGUAGAGCAUCAUGAGAAGCUUGAAUGGAGAGAGCUUAAUGAUGCCAUAUGAUUGGAAGGAAUCCUAUUUUAAUUUCCUUAUUGGAGGGAGAAUACCCUCACAAUCAUCUUCAUUAUCUUGAAGGUAGUUUGAUAUAGAGUCAUCUGACUCAGCAUAAGAGUCCUCUUGGGAGAAGCUUGAACUGCUUUUGUCAAGGAUUUUCUGAAAUUCUUGAGGGGUUUUUGCUAUUGCUAACAUGGUUUGGAGUUGCUGUUUCUUAAGAAGAAACUGUGCAAUAUCAUAAGAUGAUGAAGCUUGUGUAGGAUGCUUUAGGAAAUAUUGCUUUAUUGCUUGUAGUGAGGUAUCAUUUUUCAAGGCAUCCCACCACUUAGACUUGAAAGUCCUUCCAAGGGUUGGAAAGGCUGCUGAUUCAUCUGCUAUAAUGAUAUAAUCCCACUGGACUAUCCAGGCAAGGCCAAAUUCACUAAAAAAGAAUAAUAAUUGGGGAAAACUGAAAGUUCUCUAGGGAUAACAAAAGAACUUUGGAAUAGCUCAAAGCCAUCCAAAAUGGGUUUUGGGAGAAUUUUAAUAGUUGGACCAAAAUAUGUCCACCAAUUGUGGAACCAAAAUGGAAAAGAGGGGAGUUGAUGCUUAGAUGGGAAAUAGAACAUCCCUGAAUGAUGGAAGUCCUUGUUCUGGAUCAGAAAAGCAUUGAACCAUACUCUUUGGUAGUCUCAAUAAUUGAAAAUUUUAGGUUUUGAAGGCUUAGAAAAUUCUCUUGAAAAAUUAGGAUUCCCACCCCACUGCUUAACUGUAAGGAUUUUAUAAAUAUGGUAAGUGGAGAAUGCCAAAUCCAAAUUGCUGAAUUUAUCAGCAUUGUGCUUGAUUUUAACAGAGCCGGUUUCCAUAAGGAUUGCUUCAUAAAAUUCUCUUGUUUUUAAAAGAUCACCAAAGGGAUAAUGAAAAUUUUCAUGAAAAGCUUUUGCUGCAAUAUCUCUAGGGUUUUUAGAGAAAAACUCUUUUUCAAUAACCAAAAGAGGUUGAUUUAAAUCUUUUUGCCAAUAUCUUGCUUUUGCUGAAAGAGGUGUGGGGUUGGCUACCACCACAAUUUGCUUAUUUGAAAAAGAAGAGCUUGAUGCUAAUUCAUUUUGAGAGGGAUUAGCUUUAGUAACCUGCUUAAAGGUCUGAGACACAGUAAUAGUUGGAUACUGAGUAGCCUUGACUGGUUUAGAAGGAUUCGAAGGAUCAUAGUACAAGGACAAAAUCUUAUUAGGCAUAUGGUCAGAAGAAUGAAGCCUUGCUUCUUCUUCUAGCUCAACUUGUUGGCUCCAAAGUAUUUUAUGGGGAGAAGGUUCUUUGCUGGUUUUAGAAGACUAGGAUUCUGGAAGUUUAGGAGCUUGGGUAUUCUUUUUAGGGGCCAUGGUUUCGUGAAUCCUGUAAAAUUCACAAGUUAAGAAAUCAGGGCUCGAAGAAUGUUCUCCUUUAAUAUACUCAAUUUGUAAAUUAAAAUUGCUUAAAAUAGCUUGAUAUAUAGCAAAAAUAUGCUUAGAAGUUAUAUUCUUAACAUCCUUUUGUAAAACUAAUUUUGCAAAUUUACAAUCAACUCUUAAUAAAAACUUUUGAUUCAAAAGAUCAUCUUGAAAUUUUGAAAUGCAUAAAACAACGCUUAAAGUCUCUUUUUUAAUGAUGUUAUGAAUGAGUUGGGUAGUAUUCCAGGUUCUUGAAGUAUACCUAACUAACAUCUCAAGGUUACCAACACUUUGCUUAAGAAUCCCACCAUAACCUAUGUCUGAGGUAUCGAUCCCAACAAACUCAAAGGUUUCUGGAUUGAUAGAGCCUAAACAUGGUAGGGUCUUGACUUUGGACUUAACAUCAAUAAUGAAAACAAUGGUGAAAACAGAAAACUGGUUAAAGUUUUCAUCCAUUAUAUUCUGGAAUUCUGAGGUGCAUUCUUAAGAUCAAAGGGCAUUAUGAACCAUUCAUAAUGUCCAAGAGAUACCACAAAGGUGGUCUUAUUUGGAAUAGGACACCUAAUCCAACUUAAUGUAUCAUUAAGAGGCAUGUAGUUGACGACUAGUCUAGGUGUUCCUUUUUCUGAUUCAACUUGUUCCUGAACAUAGAAGGUUGAACAACUCCAAAGGGACUUAGACUUCCUUAUCAACUUUUUAUCAAGAAGAUCCCAAAUCUCCUUAUCACAAUAGCUUAACAAACCCUUGUUCAUCUGGAUAGGUCUUGAUUUAGUGGGAAUAUUCUUGUCACUAAAGUCUAGUUCAUAAGGUAAUUCUACCUCAUGUUGUUUCCUAUGCCAAAAUGCAUUAGGAAUGUUAGAGCAAACUUCUUCAACAAUCAGAUUAAUUUCUUGCUCAUGACUUUCCUUAGCUUGAAUCACCUGAUCCCUUAAGGUGUUUAUAUUUUUCUUAUUAGGUGGUUGGCAAAUUCAAAAAUAAUUUCCUUAUCUAAGAGCUUUGUUCUUAUACUUUGGUCAUCUACCCACAUGGGAUAGAUGGAGCUUAAAAAGGGGAUUCCAAGGAGAGCUUUCUCCUUAAGAUCCUUAACUAGAAUGAAGGUUUGCUUGAUGCAAAUGCCUUGGUUAUUUAUGUGAGCAUCUGACAGCUUAUACUCAAUGUCAAGCCUUUUACCAUUAGCUCCAAAGAGAGAUUCUUUGGUUUUCUUACAAAACUUAAUAGGACCUAGACCUUCUUGUAGGCAAUUCAAAGCUGUUCCUGAAUCAAUCAAAGCAACAAUAUCAAUGACAAAUUUACUCUUAAUUACUAUAGUAAGGGAGACUUUCCACCUCUGGAAAAUAACCCUACUAACAGUAUUUAAGUAUCCAUCCGUCUUUUCAUCAUUAGCAUGUGAAGAUUCUAGAACCUCUUCAAGGUUUUCCUAGUUAUCAACAAGAUUUUCUAUAACAAUCCUAUUUAUUUGUUCUUGGAGAUCUGAAAAACCUAAGCUUGUGUAUUGUCUUAAAUCUUUAAUUUCCUUCUUAUACUGUCUUACUUCUUCUUGAAGAUCCUUAAUGGUUACGUCUUUGGUAGACUACUGGUUAAAUCUUCCUAAGAUUUCAUUUAAGUUAUAAGAAUUUACUGUCUUCUUAAUCUCUUGCUUAUCGACAAAUUUCUUAAAAACUUCAUAAAGAUCUUGUUUAGUUUUUUCAUCUUCAACUUUCCUUAAAACAUCUAGGACAAGUUCUUGAUCUUGGCUUAUGACAUUUAUAGUCUUAGGUUGGCAAUCACAAUUAUCCUUAAUGUAUUCUUCUUGGUCACUAGAAGUUUGGCUUGAGAUUUCCUCACCACUACUAUCUAGUUGGUUAAUACCAUUUUCAUUAUCUGAAUCAAUCCUUGAUUCAGACUCUGUGGAAUUUAACAUUACUUUACAAAGCAUAUCUUUUAAGUCUUCUGUGACAUUUAAGUUAUUAAUUUUCUGCUUAACCCUACAAUCUUUCUUAUAGUGGCCUAUCUUACCACACUUAAAACAAACUGGCUUAGAUUGUGAAGGAGCUUCUAGCUUUUUAUGGGCUUCUUUGUUCAUCAUUCUUUGGAUGUGCCUUUGUUUCUUAGUUUCAUUCAUCCUAUAGUUGCCAUGAGUUCCUCUCUUGUUGUGAUAGGACUUUUCCUUACUAGGCUUUGUACUUACUUGUUUCUUACGUUGCUUAGAGGGGGGCUUAGUUUCUUUUUGGUUGAAUCCAAACUAGCUACAAAAUGAACCAAACUCAUUCUUGUAGAUCCUUUGUUCAUUUUUCAUCUGUUGCUUAAGCUUAAAGUCAUUGCACAGUUUAAUUGCUUCUGAUGUGACAAUGCUUAUAAUUUCUCCAUAAGAAAGCUUAUCAUAAGGGAUUUGUCCAUUAAACUGUUCCCUUAUCUUAAUCCUAAUCCUCUCAGAGAAAAGUCUAGGUAGUCCUAAGAUGAAUUUUUCUUUCCAAAAAGACUGGUUAUAGUUUGAUCUUAGUAUGACUUUGGUUAGGAAAACUUCUCUAUACCAUCUAAAGUCAUGAAGCUUGGGACACUUAAGGUUGGUUAAGAGAUCUACAAUCUUAUCCUUAAUCUUUGCAGGAUCUCCAAUGAAGUGCUUUGAAAUUGAAUAGAUUAGAGUAGCCACUACAUCCUCUAUAUCUUGUCCAUCUUCAUCCUUAACCACUUCAUUUUCCUCAUUAAUCCUAUAGGCUUUUAGGAUACCAUUUCUAUCCUCAAAGGUGAGAUAAUUAUCCCACCAACCCUAAAGUUGACCUGUAAACCCAACAACAAUUGUUUGAGCUACAGCAUGGCCUGACAAUCUAUUGUUUAACUUAUAGGUUGUACUAACCAUGGUCAUUUCUUGAAGCUUAGUGAGUAUGUUGUACUCAAUCAUACCAUCUAUGUUCCAUUCAUAGAUAGUGUCACUAGUGUAGGAAGCUUGAGUAUGCUGGUUUCUUUCCUCAUACUACAUAUCAGGAAAAGUUGGUCUAGGGUAGUAAUUCCUAGUUCUUGGUUGUUGAUAAUCCUCAUAACUGUUUGGUUAGGAGGUUCCUUAAAAAUCUUAAUUAGUUCAUCAGCCUCUGCUUCAGAACUAAUUUCUCCUUUAACCAUAUUGAUUCUCUUGUGAGAUGGUUGAGGUGUCUCAGAGACAACAAGGCUAUCCUUAACCUUUUGGCUUAUCCUAUCAAUGAGGGCUUGAUCAAUAUGGAGAUUCUCUAGGAAUUUCUUAGAGAAUUCAAAAGGCUUAAAUAAAGACUUAUUAUCUUUCUUAACAAACGUAGUCUUAAUGUAGUCUUGUGUUUCAAUGAUAUCCUCAAACUUGUUGAGUUGAUCGCCUGUAGUCUUAAGAAACAUGUUAGUGUAGUUGUUUUGUUCCAUGAUUCUUCUAACGUCAACAACACUAUCAAUUCCUUUAUUCUUUGGCCUAGUCUUAAAAGGUGAAGCUUUGACUAUGGUUCAAUUAAUGUUCUUUUAUAUCUUAGCUUCUAGAGGGUGGAUGGAUUCUAUGAUAGUAUCGUCACUAGUUUUCCAUAUCUUAGUUUUUUUGGAUGUGUCAUUGACACGCUUACUAGGGUAAUCUAGAUAUUCCUCUUGUUUGAAGAGUUCAAACCAGAUCCAAUACUUAAUGUUCUUCUUUUCUUGUCUUAAGUAUGUGUAGAAUUCUUCUUGGUAGAGGGUUCUAAUGUCUUUAAGGACCUUGCUAAAGAACCAAACUCUCCUUUUCUUAUUGACUUCAGAAUAGAAGUCUUUCCUUAAGAGGUCCUUGUUGAUUCAAAGUCUUCGUUAAUUAGGCUUACAGUGUUAAUCAACUGAGAAUAAGUAGGAGACAUAUCAGGAGAUUCGUCCUGAUGUGAUUCUUGAGUAAACUCAUUUUCCUCCAUGUAAAAGGGUUUGGCCACGUUGGUGUGACUUCUAACACCUGUUAGCUUAAUAUUCUUAGGAUUUGCUGAACUAGAUCCUUCCUCUAUCCUAGUGGUUCUUAUUGGGAUAGAUGAACUUGAAGCUCUAGAGGGCUCAUAAUAUGAAAUUCUAAGGCUGCUAGAAUGAUGAAAAGAGUUGGAGAAAAUUAGAUCUCGUUCUCCAUCAGGAUAUUGAACAAUCUGUUCAAUUCUUUCAGAUCUUUGCUCUAUGGCUGGGACAACAUUAGCAAAAUGCCAAUUUUCUGGAAACUCAACCUCAUUCCACUUGAUUUUCAUGGGGACUAUGAAAUUAGACUUGUUUAUCAUAUCUAAGUGGAAGAUAGUGGUUUCACCCUUGGGACUGGUGCACAAUGCUCCAAAUCCAACGCUUAUGGUCAUGCUCUUAUAGGCAAAUCUGGUGAUGAUGGAAACAUGAUUGUUUCCUUGCUUGAACUUAAAGUCAUGGGUCUUAACAUGAAGGACAACUGAAUCUAAGAUGUUGACAUCUCUUAGUCUAACUGUGAAGUUAGGGAAACACUGGAAAUAAACAGGACCAUCAUUUAAUCCUGCUUGGGUAGCUCCAAUAAUAGAAUCUCGGUAAUCAAGAUGUCUAUUAUCUCUUAAACACAUGACAAUAAAGGUGUUUAGACCUAGUCUUGUCAAGGGCUUAGCUGCAACUUGAAUCAUGCCAAAGUGUAUGAAGUUGUAGUCUCGCUUAUGCUUAUCAAUGGACUUACUAUCCAAGAGUCUUAUGACUUGAUCGUCGUGUUCUAAACUUACUGACAUUUCAGGGGUUUUAAUGGUGUAAUCUGUAAAGAACUUAAAGGUUCCUUUCUUAUAAAUUUCUUGAUUAGGUACCUUGGGUAACUUCCAAUCAUCUAAAUCAUCUUGGAUCUUAGGAUAAUUGAUCUCUUCAUUGUUUACUCUUGAGAAUUUGUGGAUUUCCUAGACAUGGUUCUGAAAAUCAAACUCAUUUUAAGGUUUUAAUCUAGAGCCUAAUAGCAGAUUAACAGACCUAGUGAGUAAUCACCCCAACCCUUUUCCAACCUUAACAAACGCCUAUCUCCAGCUAACAAUGGGCUCAACUCGGCAAGGAUCGCACUCAGGCACACUACUAUCUUUCCUAGGAUAGAUCAAAACACCCAAAACAAACCCGACUUCCUUUUCCUAGGAUAUAUAUAGUAUUUUGGGUUUGAGUAGGAGUUCAUGUUUUGUAUGUAAUUGUAGUCUACGUUGGACUAGGUUGUUUGCUCCUAAUUGAAAUAGGAAUGGUUGGUGUCACAUCUCAUUCAUUUUCUCAUCUAUUUCCAUGUUUAGAUAACUCAAGUAAUCAUAGGAAUGAAAUUAAGAAUGAUUUGAGGGAAAUGAAAUCUCACUUGUAAGUGGGAUCUCAAUUCAUCAUUAAUAGAAGGUAUUUUGAUUACAUAGUGCAAGUUAUUUUUAAAAACACUUUUCAAAAAUUGAAAAACCAAAAACUCUCUUGGAUAAGUUGUUUUUAAAAAGAAUUUUUGUAUUUUUAUUUUGUAAAAAAAAAAAAUAGUAAUUCAAUUUAUAUAAUAUAAAUAGACUUUAAUUUUAUUAAAAAUAAAAAUAAUUUUUUAAUUACAAAUAAAUUAAAAAAUAAAUAUUUGUAAUAAAAUAUGAAUAGUAAUAUUAUAAUAAAAUCAUAAAUAAAUUAAAAAUAUUUUUAAAAACAAAUAAGUUUAAUUUUUUUGAGGUACAAAUGAGCCAAAUUUUUCAUUAGGUACACAACCAACAAUUUUUAUUGGAAACAUUCCUCAAAAAAGAAUUCGUUUCCCAUAUAGCAAAGAUAUUUAUUAUUUAGUAUCUAACCAUCCGUAGUAAUCAUAUCAAUUCUACUAAGUUAUUUAAUAAUUCAUUUAUAUAUAGUACUCAAUUAUGAAUUUUUUUAUUUGAUGUAUAAUUAAUUAAUCAAUGUUUUGAAUUUUGAAUUAUUCUUAAAAUUUAAAACAUUAAUUAUGUCUAUUACUUUUUAUAGUCAUUAUAUAUAUAUAUAUAUAUAUAUAUAGAGAGAGAGAGAGAGAGAGAGAGAGAGAGCUUAAAUUUAUCUUUAAAAAUUAUUAAAUUUAUUAAUAAAUUCAAUACAAAGACUCAUUUGAUUUGAAAUUCAUUUCUUUAGUGAAAAUUUUGAAACUAAAUAGUACUUUGUUUUACUUUGUUUUUAAAUCAUACUCACAAAUAAGUUUUUAUCAUUUAGCCAAAAAAUCUCAAAGAUGUUUCUAAUUUUAUUUAUUUAUUUAUUUGUAAAUGAAAAUAAAAAAUUAGUUUAAACUAAAUAUGCGGAUAUUAUUGUUAAUUUAUUUCAUUUUUUAUUUCCAUUGUUAUUUAACAUUGAAACGGAAACAAAUAAUCAUUCCAAUCUUACAUUCUUAUAUGCAUCUAAACACAAGAAUUGAAAUCACCAAAUUCAUAUUCAAGGCAAAAUAGAAAUGGAAAAAAAAUAUUCAUUUUCAUUCCUCAUUCUCAUGUGCUAAACAUGACAUUAGUUCUACUACCUAUUUCACCAUUCUUCUUGAUAAAUUUGGUAUAUGCAAUAUUGAUCUAAGUGUGAGGUGAAUAAGAAUGAUGAUGGGAUGGGCUUGGAAAUAAGGGCAAAGUUUCUAGGUGCUAUCUAGAGGGGCAACGCGACUUUUUCAAAUUUCGAAUAUUUGUUCUCAACAUAAAGCAAAACUUUACUCACACAAUAGAUAAGACUCUGUUUGUUUUCUUCAUCCACGACUAUAUAAUGUAUAGCUCUUACUCAAGGGAUGAGCUACUUACUAUUAAGGAUUGGGUAAGAUAUUGCCUAAUGGCCAAGAAGGCAUGUCAAAAAAUAAAUCUAAUCACCAUAAAAAAUAAUAGGGGAAAAUUAAUAUAUUAUGAAUGAUGACUUUACUAUUUCUCUAUAUACAUAAUUAUAUAUUUUGAAUUUUCUCACUAGGUAAUGAGAUUCUAAAUCAACUGAAACAUAAUUAAUAAUUUAUAUUUUUAAUGAAUCUUUUAAUUUUUAAAAAUAAUUUAAAAUUUUAAAAAACAAUUCAAUUAAUUACAUAUUAAAUCAAAACAUUUCAAAAUAUUGUGUUUGUAGAUGAGUACUAAAUGCUUGCAUAUAAUAAUAAUAAUAAAAAAAUUGACUCAUUUAGAUGUUAAAAAAGUUAAAUGUUUUUCAUUAUUCAUUUUAAGUAAAAUAUUAUUGACAUUAUUAUUAUAAAAUUAUUAUUAUUCAUUUUUAACAAAAAACAAAAUAAGUUAUUCUUUUACCAAGAUGUCAAUAUCUAUAUUUUUCUAACAUAUAUUAAAAUAGUAUACUUUUCUUUUAUUAAAAAUAAUAAUUAUUAUUAUAUUAUUAUUCAAGUUUUAUUAAAAAAAUUUAUCUUUUAAUUCAUUUGUAAUUACAAAAUAAUUUUAUUUUAUUAAGAAUUUAAUUUAAUUACGCUUUUUUUUUUUAUAAAAAAAACAGUUAUGCUUUUACCAAGAUGUUAAUAUUCAUAUUUUUCUAGCUAACAUAAAUAGAAUAGUACACUUUUUCAUAUAAAAAAAUAAUUUAUGAUUUUAUUAUAAUGUUACUAUUCACAUUUUACUAAAAAUAUUUAUUUAUUUUAUUUAUUUUUAAUUAUAAAAUAAUUUUAUUUUCAAGAAUUUAAUUUUAAAAAAAUAGAAAUCAUUUAUUCUUUUACCAAGAUGUUAAUAAACAUAUUUUUCUAACAUAUACUAAAAUAAAAAAGUUUACUUGUUCAUUAAAAAAUAUAAUUUAUGUUUUUAUUAUAAUACUACUAUCUAUGUUCUACUAAAAAUAUUUAUUUAUAAUUAAAAAAUAAUUUCAUUUUUAAUAAGACUUGAACUAAAUUAAAUUUAUAAUUUUUUUUUAAAAUAAAAUAGAAAAUUAUUUUUUAAAAACAACUUAUUGAAAGAAAUUUUUUAUUCUUUACUUUUAAGAACUGUUUUUAAAAGCAACCUAUAAACCCCUUUGGGUCUGUUUGGCUAUGUUUCAUGCAACUUGUUUUUAAAAAUUGUUUUUUAUUCUUUAAUUUAAUUUUUUUUAAGUUAAAGAAUAAAAAACAACUUUCUAGUGUUUUAUAAAAAUGAGAGCUUUUGACAAGUUGUUUUUAAAAACCAUUUUUAAAAAUAAAAAAUAAAAAACUUAUUUAGAUAAAUUGUUAUAUAUAUAUAUAUAUAUAUAUUUGUAAAAACAUUUUAAAUUCAAUUUAUAUAAUAUAAAUUUAAUUUAAUUUAAGUCUUAUUAAAAAAAAAUUGUUUGGAUAAGUUUUUUUUUUUAAAUAGUUUAUUAUUUUUGUUUUGUAAAAACAUUGCAAAUUCAAUUUAUAUAAUAUAAAUUAAUUUAAUUCAAGUCUUAUUAAAACCAAAAUAAUUUUAUAAUUACAAAUAAAUUUAAAAAUAAUUUUUUUAGUAAAACAUGAAUAAUAAAAUUAUAAAUUAUAUUAUUGUGGACCCUGCAUUUAUGCUCAUGCGCUUCCACUUGUUGGCGAACUCAUUUUUUAUUUGAAAAUGAUUUAUUUUUUUAGAAAAUGACUUAGAGUCGCCACUUAUUUUUGUUUUAUUUUUAAAGGGCAAGCAAAAUAAGAAAGAAAACCCUAAGUGUGACUCCUUAUUCGAAAAAGGUAGUCUGUGUAAAACCGGAUCAGGGUUCAGGGAUCAGGUUACUUAUUGGGAAGGUAUGACAAUGACCGUAGCACUCCUCUAAGUCCUUAAAAACGGGCCUCUACUAAAAAAAAUAAAGUAAUCAUGGCAAUCAGUAAGGAAAUCACUGGAUACCCAGAACAAUUAUGCACAUGUGAGAAUUAAAACAUGCAUAAGAAUGGACAAAGUGAGAGUGGGUGCGUACCUUGACAACGAACCACAAUGCGUUAUCAAGAAAUGGGGUUAGUGCACGAUCAAUGAACAUAAAACACGUCACACAUGUCACUAAGCAGAGUGAGAAAUCAUCAGAUAUUACAAUUCAAUCAAAUUUAUUUUUAGAAGAAACAUCUGUUGAUGUAGAGCCCCUACCAAAGCCUAAUUUAUUUUUGCAUGAAUCAAUUUCAUAAAUUCAAUCGCUUGGAAUUACAGAAUUAAAUUCAUGCUUAUUUUAAAACAUCUUUUUAAAAUCAUGGAAGAUGUGAAAAUGGUUUUCCAAAGAGAAAAUGACAACUGAUUUUAUUGAAAAUGGGAUUUUGGGGACCUAAACGUUAAAGAGGGAUUAGGAAUUGAAAAUUAAAUCAUUUGAAAAUUGAAUUUUUCAAAAAUCAGUUUUGAAAGCAUGCAUGCAAGUAUGGACUGUGAAAGUGGGCCUAGGGAGGGUGGCCAUGCAAAAUGAGGUCAUACACGUGGGCCUUGGGUACAAUUGGGACUACUUUGCUGGUGCCAGUGGUGCUUGCAGCUGUCAUCCAUGAUUUCUUCAUUGGGAUCAAUUUCCAUUCUUACUGCCAAACAUUCCAUAACAAUUGACCAAACUAGUAACCCUGACCUUGCAUGAAAAUGAACGUUACCUAGAAACUCACUGCCAGUGAGAUUCAUUGCUCUUUCAAAAGGUCUCAUUUUCUUUCUCAUCCAAUUGCUUUAAGGAGCAUUCUAGCGUCACGAUUGGUGACUGCGCAUCAUCUAGAGCCUUCUUUCUUCUCAGAAUCAGGUUUGCGUGCAGAGGCCUGUGCUUGUUCAAGGUUGACCUAAAUUCAUCUAGGUUUAGAACCGACCAGUUGAGCUUGGGGAGCAACGACAAGAAUAUCAGUCACUUGCGAAGAGAAAACUCGAGAUCUUUCAAGUAAUGCCUGACAUAGAUUCCUCCAACCUGUGGCCAAUAUCUCAUUCCUUGUUGGCCAGACGCCUAUUAGGGCGUAUCUCAAUCAAUAAUAUGAUUUUUCGUUUGUUCACAAUAAAGACCGGAAGCCAUGGUUGUGAUUUAUGCAGUACAGAAGAAGUUGCCAUGGCUGGUAUCCUUACAAAUUCUGGUGUUUCUGCUAUCUGUUCAAGUGCAAAACACAACAGCUUUAUCAAGUUUGUCCCUAACAACUGAUAUUGAGCCCUCUGGAGGAAACCUUGAUAAAUUCAUAAUCACUUUUGACUCAUGCAUGGGCUGCCCAUCAAAUUUUCCUAGCAACGAGACGACUGCUGUCAUCUACUGCAAAGAGAAUUUCUUCUCGCAAAGACAAGAGGAGUUUAAGAAUACACACUAUUCUGCCAUUUCAUUUCCUCUUUCUCCACAACCAACAUAAACCAUAGUGUCUACAUUAGAGUACUUAGAAAGAGCUUAACUGAUGACCGUUUUUCCACAACCAAAUGCCCCAGGUAUGGCACAAAUUUCACCGAAAACAGAAGGGAAAAGGGCAUCAAGAACACGCUGUCCUGUAAGUAGUGGGGUAUCAGGACUACUCUAGGGAAGUUAUUUCUGUCAUUUUGAAAAAGAAAAAUUAAAGAAUGUACACAUGCUUUCAAGUGGACUGGAGCAUUCUACAUAUCAGGUGGUCUGUAGCCACAUGUGCCACUUUGUGGAAGUUGGAACAGUCGAUCACUAGGCUAUUUAGUGUGGCCAAGCCACGUUAAUCAAGGACAAGUCUUCAUACUUAAAAGUCAAAUGGUGCCUUUAGUCUCAUUACACAUGGCUAUUUAAAGAUGAACUAAUCUUUAGUGUAAUGUGAUUAAGACAGUACUAACUGAUCAAUAUUUUUUCUAAUUUUGGAUGCAAAUGCUUGCUGGCUUCAUCAUUGGAUGGGAUAAAGGUGCAUUCAUGACUCUGAAUACUUGCAGUAAUACUUGCAGUAAUACUUCAUUCUCUUUUUUCUCGAUGAGACUUCUUGGCACAAUUUUGCUUCUCAGCAACCUACCUCUCCAUGGAAAAUGAGUUGCGAUUGAUGGUACUGGAUAUUUUCUAGGAAGCUAAAUAUAGAUAUAUAGCACUCAAUGUCAACGAUAUAUAUAGCAUUAACAGUAUAUGUCUCAAUGCUCAUCAGCUACAAGCAAGGGACAAACACUUACAAUGAAUAACUCACGUCAACAUUCCUAAACAGGACAUAGAAGUGACAGAUCUAUAUAUAGAACACUGCAUAUGAGUCACAAGAAAAGAUAAUACGGGUGCAUAGCAGCUCUUAUAUUACAUAUUACUCAUACCGUUCAAAUUCACUCAGUUGGGAUGGGUGGGAGAAGGAGGCCUCUGGGGUGGCUUGUGCGUGUGAGAAGUGGAAGAAAGUUGAAUGGAAUGAAACUGAAAAACAGGGUAGAAUAGAGGUUUCUUGAAUCUUCUGAAAUCUUUAUUUUUCUGAGAUUUAUUCUCUGUUUUUGUGAGUCGUGACUCUACAUAUAUACAUGUAUUUAAAGUUAGUUAUGCCUUAUAACUAAUUAUCUAACAGUACCAAAACUAAUCAUCUAGUUGCAUGUUUCUAAUUAAUGCUAUUUAGUUACAACUAUAUAUGGCUUAACAUCCUCUCUCAAACUCAAAAGUCUAGCUAGAACAGUGAGUUUGCUUCAUAGAUUGAGAAAUUGUUGAAUAGGUAAGGCUUUGGUAAGAGCAUUAGCAAUCUGGUCAUAAGAAGGAAUGUGUUGAACCACCAAAGUCUUAUUGAGCACCUUUUCCUGAACAAAAUGGCAAUCUAGUUCCACAUGCUUAACUCGAGAAUGAAAAUAGGAUUGGCAGCAAGAAAGGUGGCUGAAAGAUUGUCAUAGAACAAAACAAAAUAGGAGAAUAAGAAGAUGAGAUAGAAAACUCCUGAAGAAGAUGUUGAAUCCAUUGAAGUUCAAAAGCAACAUUUGCUAAGGCCCUAUACUCAGCUUCAUUGCUGGAACGAGACACAACUUUCUGCUUACUGGAGUUCCAGGAGACUAGAUUAGAGCUAAAAAAGAUGCAAUGACCACUUGUACUUCGACGAUCAUCAGGGCAACCAACCCAAUCAACAUCAGCAUAAGCAGUAAGUUGAAAAUCAGGAGAAGAAUAAAAGGAAAGACCAAAGGAAGUAGUGCCCUUAAGAUAAUGCAACAAUCGUUUAACAACUUGCCAAUGAAGAUCAGUUGGUUAUUGCAUGAAUUGGCAAAGUUUAUUGAUAGAGAAAGAGAUGUCAGGCCUUGUAAUGGUACAAUAUUGCAGGGCUUCAACAAUGUUGCGAUAUUGAGAAGGGUCAGCCAAGAGGGAACCUUUAGAGGCAGAUAAAGUGUGAGAGGUAGUCAUUGGUGUAUCAAUAGGUUUAAAAUAUGGAAGACCAGCACGAGUUAACAAGUCCUGAAUAUAUUUGGUUUGGGAAAGAUGAAGAGAAGAUCCUUGCCAACAUACUUCUACACCCAAGAAGUAAUUCAGAAUACCAAGGUCCUUGAGAGCAAACUGAAAGUGUAAAGACGAAACCAUUUGGUGGACUAGCACGGUAUUAAGACCACUAACAAUAAUGUCAUCAACAUAGAUGAGAAUAAUGAUCAUGUCAGUCCCUUUCCGAAGAGGAGCUUGCUUCAGACCCUACAAGGCUUUGCGAAGUUUACAGAAAAAACCGGGUUUAGAAUGAUCAACAAAGCCUGGAGGUUGAACCAUGUAAACCUCUUCUUCUAACUCACCAUUGAGAAAGGCAUUAUUAACAUCUAAUUGUUCCACUAACCAACCAUGAGAAAUAGCAAGAGAAAGAACAAUUCAUAUAGUAGUUGGUUUAACAACAAGGCAAAAGGUUUCAAAAUAAUCAAUACCAUAUGUUUGAUUAAAACCCUUUGCAACUAAGUAGGCUUUAAAACGAUCAAUUGAGCCAUUAGCUUUGAGUUUCAGCUUGUAUAUCCAUUUACAACUAAUAAUGCGUGUAUUAACAGGUUUAGGAACCAAUGUCCAUGUGGAAUUGGUGAGAAGAGCAUCAUACUCAGUCUUCAUAGCAGCUUGCCAAUUAGGAUGCAAUAUUGCUUCUUUGAAAGAGGAGGGUUCGACAACAGUAGUUUGGAUAGCAAGGCUAAAUAUUUUUUUGGGUUUAAAAAUACCAUUUUGGCUACGAGUAACAAUAGUUCGGUUUGGAAGUGAAAGAGGAUCAGUGGAGGAGGCUGGAACAAGGGAUUGUGGUAAAGUAGGAAAGGAAGGUGGAUGAGAUGGAACAAAAUCAGUAGGGACAAUAAUGGGAGAAGAAAAAUUAGGUGGAGAAUGAUGAGGAUUCCUUGAAGAUGGUGUAGGAAUAGAGAGAAUACCAGAAUCAAGAAGUGUUAAAGAAGAGUUGGAUGAUGAUACUGGUUGACAGGAUAAAGACUUUGUUAAAAAUGGAAAUCGAGUUUCAUCAAAUACAACAUGACGAGAAGCAUAUAUCCGAGAGGAAGCCAUAUCCAAACAGAGGAAUCCCUUGUGUUUAGCACUAUAACCCAAAAAACAGCAAACAACAAAUAUAUUUGCUAGCUUGUGAGAAGCAUAAGGGCGAAGAUAAGGAAAACACAAGCAUCCAAAACUUCAAAGAGAUGUAUAAUAAGGUAAACGAUUAUAAAGAACUCCAUAAGGAGAAUUUUGUGAAAGAACAGCAGAGGGAAGGCAAUUUAUGAGAAAAAUGGCAGUUUGAAAUGCAAAUGACCAAUAUUUGAGAGGGUAUACCAGCUUGUAUUAACAAAGAAAGACCAACUUCCACAACAUGACGAUUCUUUCUUUCAACUCUUCAAUUUUGCUAAGGAGUAUAAUGACAAGAGACUUGAUGAAGAAGACCAUUUGUAGCCAAAUAAUUCUGAAAAGCUGAAACUGAAACUCAUCAAAUUGAUUUUUAGUAUCAAAUUUUCUUCAGACUGAACACAUUGAUUUUUAGUAUCAAAUUUUCUUUCAACCAUGGCUUGAAAAUGUUGGAACAUAAGUAAAGCUUCAUCUUUAGUUUCCAAAAGGUACAACCAUGAGAAUAUGCUAAAAUCAUCAAUUAGCAAGAGGAAAUAUUGAGCAUUACCAUUGACAGAAACUAUAGGAGUUGCACCCCAAAGAUCAACAUGGAUGAGACCGAAUGGUUUUAUUGCUCUAGAAGUGGAUAUUUCAAAUGGAAAACGAUGGCUUUUAGCCAACUGACAAGACUCACAUACAGAGUUAUUAUUGUCAUGUUUCAAAGGUAUUUUAUAAAGAGAUAAGAUUUUGGAAACUACAUUAAUAGAGGGAUGACCAAGUCUAUUAUGCCAAAGCCUCAAAGAACCAACGGCUAAAGUACUACUAGUAGAGUAAAAUACUAGUGGAUGACCAACAACUCUUGGUGUAGCAAGAAGUUUAUAGAGACCCUUCUCAAUUUUUCCUUGAAGAAGAGCAAGUCUCGUUUCCUGAUCCUUUACCACAAAAUGAGAAGAACGAAAUUCAAUAAAGGUGCCAUUGUUUGAGUAAAAUCGUUGCACGCUAACUAAGUUGGUGGUAAUAGAAGGAACAUGUAAGACAUCAUUGAAAAACAAAGAACCACUUGAAGAGGCAAGAGAAAAUUUACCAAUAUUUGCAAUGGAUAAACCCUUACCAUCUCCAACAAUUACUUUGUCACCACUGGUAAAUGGAUUAUGGAUUGUUAAAUUGUUAAGAUCAGAUGUGAGAUGAUGGGUAGCCUUUGUAUCAAGAAACCAAUAAGUGUCUCCCAUUGUUGCAGAAGUUGUAGUCAUAGCCUCAGGAUUGUUAGAGGUGGAAUGUUUAGAAUCUUUUGGCUGAUAAUCAGAGUUAAACCGAUACCAGCAUUGUAAAGCGGUGUGUCCGAACUUACAACCGAGAGAAAUAAUCUUUACUUAUUCUCUAAAAACUGUUCUUUAUUCCACACAUUAUUUCUAAAAACUGUUUCUAGAUAACAAUGACAAAAUAGUAUUAGGAAUUUUUAAAAAUAAAAAUUGUUUUUAAAUUACAUGAUCUAUAUCAUUCACAUUUGACCAUUAUAGCUUUGUUCAGGAAAACACUUGAAAGUAACCUUAUCGUGAUAAGAGAUAUAAGUUGGCUGUAGUUUCAAACUGAAAACAGAGGAUGGCAAUAGAAAGCAAAGCAUUAGUUAUCUGCAAUCAGUGGUGAUCAUGCCCCAUGUCAAUUUCGGACCCAUAUCUUAAAACCGUAUAAUUUGCAUUUCAACAUUUCUGAUUUCUCAGAUGUUUCAUACUCCACAGAAGAACAUUGUUUGUGAAAGCAUGCAUUUAUGCUGGAUUUUGGAUGAUGUGGGAACUGGGGCAAGGAUCAUAUGGAAGAGUGGUCGAUUUUUUCUGUACUUUAACAUUUGAAAUAGGAGCAGCACGGGCAUUUGUGGGGCUUAAUUGAUUUUGAAGCCUGAAAUUGCGUUUCUGUCAUUUUGUAAAAAAUAUGGCAGAUUCCAUGCUCUCAUAUGUUUGGUCUGUGGCCAUGUAUAGAUGCCACUUAGUGACCAGUUUGUAACUGUCAAUCAUAGUGUUUUGACUCUGGCUCAACAACAUCAGCCAUUGACGGAUUUUCAUACAUGCAAAUCAAAUAGUCUUCUUCCUCCCUUAGGAAUUUCGGUUUAAAUGUUAUUAAGCAUACAUUUGGCUGACAAUUAUUAACCACUUCAUGAUAUGGUUUCUUACCCUUAAUCAAUGGUUUCUAAGUGAAUAUAUGCAGAAGGAAAUCUGAACUGUAGACAGCAGUAUUGAUAAUUAUCAAUAUUCUUUAUAUAAGAGAAUAAACAACGUCAUAGUGAUCGUCGCCUACAAGAAAGGUACAUUUCCCAACAAGAUGUAGUUGUGACUGGUACAUGGACGUAAUUAACUCGUAGAAAAGGAUAAGACCAGUGCACGGCAGCUCUUAUUUUACAUGCUAAUUAUGCUAACCAAAGUCACUCAGUUGGGAUGGGAGGGAGAUGGAGGUUUGUGCGGUGGCUUGUGGGGCGGAGUUGGUGGCUUCUUUUCAGGAGCUUGUGGCUUUUUCGGAGCUGAAGGAGGCUCAAUCUUAUGAGGCGGCUUGUACGAGUCUUCUUUACUCUCGACAGGAGGGUGGCCAGGGUUGUGACCAUAAUGUGGUGGCUUCUCUCCCUUAGGUGGCUUGCCAACUGGGGUUGGUGGCUUGUGUUCAGGAAGUGGUUUCUCUCCCUUGGGAGGUUUACCAAUUGGGGUUGGUGGCUUGUGUUCUGGGAGUGGUUUCUCUCCCUUGGGAGGUUUAGUGGGUGACUUGUGUUCUGGAGGUGGCUUCUCCACCGGAGGCUUGUGCUCCGGUGGUGGCUUCUUGGUUGGAGGGGGCUUGGGGUAAUCAGCAAGAGAUGGGGGGGUGAGAACCACCACUCCAAGGAACAACACUAGCAAGUAUGUGGGAGACAUUUCUGAGUUUGAGCUGAUCAGAUGAUGCAAAACUAGAAGAAUUACGUGACCUUUUAUAGCAAGUAGCUCCCAAUACCCACAUGACACGUGUUACUGUGACCAUAAAUAUUAUAGGGUCCAUUUGUGCCCUACCGGGUUGAAAACUUGGACGCUUGGCCGAGGACACACCGAACUAUGGAGGACUAUUGACGUGUGAUCACAGCUUUUGGAUUUUUCUUCCUGUGCAGCUGUCUAGCGGUUGGCAUUAUUUUUUUAAUCUUAAAUAAAGGCAUAGUUAUAGAGUACAUUUAUAUAUCUUCAGAUAGCCAUUAAUAUAUUUGAUGAAGAAAGACAAGUGCAUACAACAUGUAUACGGCUUGCUUCAAUCGAGUACAUUUAUGAUCAGUUUUCCAGUGCAAGUAAACCAGUUUUUUGUUCCACAACUAUUUUGGAAUCUUGUUUAUCAGUUUCUAUCAUUAUAAUGUCACAUAGGCUGCAAACUUGGGCACCCAAAGAUCUAGUUGGGCAAAUUUGUUUCAGAAUUUCAAUGGUGGAUUCAGUAAUUGUUAAAAGGUGUUUCUUCAUUAAGGAAAGAGUCCUGUAAAAAUAUUGUUAAAAGGUGUCAUAGAAACUAUAAUAAUUAAAUAACUUCUUUUCCCCGUGGGUGGUGUUUCUUCUGGGGAUACCCAAAAUGAGUUCAGAUUAAAAUUGGUUCGAGUCAAAGCUGUCUCUUUUGUCCAGAAAUCAACUAUUUUGCGCAUUGCAUGAAUCGAUAAAGAAAAAAUGAAAGCCAAAUCACACCUCCCCUGCAAAACCUAAACCCCGGUUGCUAACUUUCUAUGUUUCAGUCCUAUUCAUACAGGAAUAUUGGUUCAAGUUUGAGAAAAAUGGCAACUUACCUAGGGAUUACUUGGUUGUGGUUUGCGACGACUAUUUACGCAACCAACCAUGAGUUUGACUUUAACGUCAUGGGUUGAAGCCUCCUACAAUCGUGUAUGAUAGUUCAAAGCUCGUAGUAGAAAUUAUACAGGAAGGAAGAAACCUCCAAAGCUAGCUCCAAAAGAGAAUUAUCACAUCGAUAGCUCCAGAGAUUCCCAAGGGGACUGAAUCAAAGACAAGUUCCUCACUUUUUCUUCUUUUGAGGCCAAAUAUGAACCAAGGAUCACACGACCUCAUUCAACUUCAUAAGUUUGAUUUCAUGCAGUUGAACACUGGGUGAAGGCCAUGACAAGAAUUGAUUAAAAAAUUCUACCACUGUUUUAAGUAAUGGAAGAUUAUUAUCUCUGAUUGGCACCACAACAGCACAUGCUGCUAGAUCUUUCUAGACACUCCAUGCAAUGAAAGUACAAUGGAUCUUGUAACGAUAGAAACUAAGCCAUGCUACAGUACUAGAUGACGAGGUAAAACUAUUAGACAUGGGUGGCAGCCUAUAUGGGAGGGACACAAGUCUAAUUGAUUUGCAUUUCAGCGUUCUAGAUGGGUAUGUUUUGGAAGAUUUGUUCUGGAAAUACCGCACCAAGUAGGAUUCUUUUUUCUCUUGAGUGGGUCCACUUGCAUGCCAAUUAUCGAGUUGAAAAGUAGAGCACCUACCUCGUGCUCGUGGAACCGAAGGUCAGUGAAGUGGGGCUCCUUUUGGCCUCUUGUGUUUCUGUUCCAACCAAGGCGGCGGAGGGAAAAACAGCAAUAUGUCUCCGCUAAAUAUCAACGCAUGAUAGCGAAUGAGGGAGAAAAAAAGUAAUUGGCAUCUCAAUCUCACAAACUUGGUACAGUAGUGACAUUAAUAGUCUUCCACAUGGUUUUUAUUUUAUUUUAUUUUAUAUUUUAUAUUUUCCAUUUUUUUAUUUUUUUGUAUGUCAAGGCUAAUGAAUAAAAUGCGUUAGCUUGUUUUGUGAUUGGAACUGCAAAUGUCCAAAUUGGAGUUUCUCCAUUUCUCAGUUCGGAUGGUUAACUUUAUAAACAAGAUAUAGGAAACAUGUGAACGUCUUGAGGAACAAUUCGAAUUAUUGAUUAGAACUCCUAGGUUGAGUUCCAAGAUUUAAAUCAGACCCCUCUAGCAGCUUCAGGGGUACCUAGCAAUUAGAACAUAUUAAUGAAGAUUUAGGAUUUAGACUCCGGAAUACAAAUUAAUAUGUAUCUUAUGCUCUGACUAGCUUCCCUGCAUAUGCACAAAAUGGAGAUGACCCAAAAAAUAGCAGAAUCGCCUUAGUUUAUGUGGUUAAGGUGAUUCUCCGGUUAAUAUCCACAUUGGCUCAUUAUGCAAAUCAACUGAGCUAUUUUUUUUUUAAUGUCAAAUAGGAACUCCUAAUUAACCUAACCAUUGGCCUGUGUAAAUUGAUUUCACAUGCACAAUGUUGUAGUAGAAGUCCACAUUUUGAAUUUUAUUUUUGGAAAGGUAAGGAAAAUGAAGCAUUGUGUAAUUAUAAAAAUAACUUCAUUGGAAUUCACAAGGUUCACCCAAAAUGGAGCUACAUCCGUAUUCUAUCUUACAGUAGACUAUAUAGAUUGUACAAUAGUAAAUUGCAAAUACAAUUAAUAAGUCUUGUGUUUCCUUACUAAUAAUCCUUUGACAUAAACAUUGCAGCACUAAGGUCCUCUUGGGCAGACACCUUGCACCCAUGAGAGCACUAAGAGGAAGCAAGGCGGAGUCAUGGGUGCAAUGUCAUGACUUGUUGCACUAAGAGAGGCUUGGUGAUGGCAUAGUGCUGCAGUAGCAAGAAUGUUGCCUUGGCAGGGACACGAUCUAGGGACAGAUGCCAAGAAAGGCUUAGCACUCACAUGAGUUGCACAAAGAUGAAUGAAAUAGAACAUCAAAGAGACAUCUUGGCAAGCUCAAGAAAGACAUGUGGGUUGGUAAAUGAAUGGAUGCAAGAGGCAACAACAUGAGGAGUUUCAAAUGGAUAGGGAAUGAGUCAAAGACAUUUGAAAGCUACAAGUUGGAUUCUAAUUACGAUUGCAAUUUGAGUUUGAGUAGGAGUUUAUAUUAUGAUUGUAAUUGUAGUAUGAGUUGGACUAGGAUUGCUUAUCCCUAGUCAAAAUAGGAGUUGUUCAUGCCACACCCUAUGAAAAGAGUUUGAGUAGGGACUAGGAUUGCUUGCUCCUAGUCAAAUAUGGAGUAGGUGGUGCCACACCUAUAAAAAAAAAAGGGACAACAUGAGAGAGAGAGAGAAUGAAUUCACCAAAGAUAUUGUGGGAGUUUUGCUUUGUUACAUCUUGUAUUAUUAUUUAGAAUAGUAAUAAAAUACAAGUUGGGGCUAGAGCCCCAUAAUCUCGUGUGCCUUUGUGGGUUAUUCUUUAUUUGCCAUCUCGUGUGGAUUGGAUUAGAUUGAUGAGGCGAAAUAUUAUGUGGGAAAUUUAUGUUGGGACACUUACCAUAACCAGGUAAAAUCUACCAAGUCUUUUGUAAUAUCUUCUACAAAUAUUUUAGACCAGUUCUUCACAAAACAUCAUAAUAUGUUUUGUGUUUCUCUUGGAUUUUGAGUUGAAUUGUCUUAGAUCAAUUGAAUGCAUCUCAAUAUUAUUAUCUUGUUUGAAGGCUUGAUGAUUUUCCAUUUAACUUUACUUUCUUUAGGUUAUGCUUGAUUCCUUAAAAGUACUAAGGAAAACAAAAAAUAAAAAAAAAUAAAAAAUGCAGAGGGUUAGGACAUGUGUUAUCUAAUUGUCCUAUCCAAAGAUAUUAAGAAAGUCAUGUAGGAAAGUAAUUGAAAACUAGGUCAAGAAAGGAGCAAAAGGGAAUUGUUUUGGUAUUUUCUUUUUUAUUCUUGAAGGUGGCAGAGCUAAAAUUUGAGAAAUCAAGCAAAACAUACUGAAAUUACAUUGAAAGAAAGAAAAUGGUAGUUAAUGUCUUGCAGUACAUGAUAAGGACUUCAUGCAUGUAGUGUGACGACCCAUGUCUUGGACUGAUGCCACACUCACGGUUACACUUAUACCCUUGGUUCUCUCUUUACUACCUUGGCUAACCUAGAUCAGGCUAUGAGAUAGGCUCCUCACCACACCAUCACUUGCCCAGUAAUUAGUGACAUUUUCAAGCAAUGAGGUAACAUGGUGACACCAAGAGGGUUUAUCCCUCGCCCCAACAAGUCUAGACUCGGUCUCAAAAAAAUGGAGAAAAAUGAGGUGUCGUUAUGCAGAAAUACAACAACCAUGCCUUCCUUAUUACUUAGAUUCAGAAUGUGAAGGUGAAAUUGAGAAACAGAAACUCUUGAAACCAGAAUGAAAAUUGAUACUUUUACGAAGAAUUACAACAUUAGAGGAAGACUACAUUCUUCCUCUAUAUUCCUACGUUUCUACACUACUUCUACUCCACUCCAUAUUUCUACAUACAUCUUUAAUCAGUUUUCCCUCCUUUAUAUAGAGCCAUCUUCACACAAAUUCCGCAAGGUAGAAAAGAGGAAUGAAACUUGGAGCAAGGUUCGACUACUGGUUGUCGCUUGUCAAGGCUGGAAUUGAACUUUUUUUCUUGGCUUUUCUGGGCAUAGGUAGUAACUUGUGGUUCCUUUUUGGAAUGAAAAUGGUACAGCUAGAACAUGUGGCACUCUCUUGUUGGAUUAUGUGUCAAACAUGUGGCAGCCAUCUAGUGGAGAUUAUUUCAAUUUUGGGAUGGAGAGUUGGCAUCCAAUUGCAAAGAAAUAUGACAUCUACCAACAUGCAAUGUAAACCUAUAUAGAUCAUAUGGAGAUAGAGAGGAAACAUAUAGAAAUGGAUAUAUACCUAGAACUAGCUUUUUAUUAAAUGAGACGGAGAGCCAACAAUGAAGGAAAAUCAAAAUUUUUGGCUCAUAUCAAAGAAUUCACAUUGUGUUACCCUAGGUUUUCUUAAAGCUUGCACAAAGCCAAAAAGCACACAAAAAAUUAUAUUUUCUAGCUCUCUACCUUGGAUGGUCUCUUGAUCCUACUUGGAGAUGUGCAUAAAUAAAAGGAUUUGAAAAUGACAAUUGACUAAGUAUGUAGUCAAUCAAUUACUCAUUAAUUGACUAGUUGAUCAAUUAACUUUGCAACAUCAUAUGCAAUCCUAAUAGCUAGUCAUCUAAUCAACUAGGUAGUAAAUCAAUAGGCCAAAAAUAUGUUUAUAAUGACUAUUUUGUACAAAAACCACCUAUAUGGUUAAAUAUAAUGCAUUUCAUUUAUAAAUCUUCUAAUUCUUGAAUAACGAUCCUAUCAUCCUUUGAAAGUUUUUAUUACACCUUUUAUACUUUUGUUCUAAAACUUACACAUGUACAUCACCCUUAAUUGUACCAUGAGAACCUAGCUUUUUUUUUUUUUUUUUUUGUAAUUCAUCAAAGUUAGCUUUUGUAUUCAUUACUGUACUAUUUUUAUUGUAACUUAGAAAGCGAGUGUUUUCAAGUGAGUGAAAUUGACUUAUAAAUAUUGUAAAGAUUCAUUGAUGUGUAUCUUAAACUAAGUGUACAAGUUGAAACAUUUGCUAGUAGAUUUUCUCAAGAUUUAGAAUAGAGCUUGAGGCUAUUGAAAUAGGUGGGGUUGCACCAAACCACAUCACAUUGUUGUUUGCACCUUUUUUUCACUCUCUUUUACUUAGUUGCUCUAUAUUUGUUGUCUAGUAAUAUCCUAUAGGCUUGAUGGGUUAGGGAGCAUCCCUUUGUGAAAAAUUUUCAUUCAAUCCUUAGUUGUAUCACGCAUAUAUAAAAUGCCUCAUUGUUUUAAUGGUAUUCAGUCGUGGCAUCACAGAUAUGGGCAUCUAAAUUUUAAAAGUUUGAAACUUUUAUCUAAAGAAAAUAUGGUGCUUUGCCUUUUUGUAAAGCAUGUUGAUGAAAUCCAUGAGAAUUGUGUACUUGGGAAGCAACAUCGAGAUGACUUUUUUUUUUUUCAUUUUUUAUAAUGCGACACCUAAGUCCGGUUUCUAAAUGCUGAAGUGAAAGGGUAGGUAUGGACCAUUGAAAUCUGAUCACAACUUUUGGCCUUUUCCUUUCUCUGCAGCCAUGUUGUCUCUUUUUUCUUUUGCAUGAUUUUCUUACCUAAACAGAAUCAUAGACUUGUUUAAUCUCUAAAUGGUAUUUCAUCCAGCUUUAAGCUACUGUAUUAUAUCUUGGUGGAGGACUUUUAAGAGUGAAACCGACAUAGAGCACAUGCAAGUGGGUAUAUGGGACAUGAAAUUUCUUCUUAUAAAGACUGCAUGGUUUUUAUAUUAGAGUUGUUGAGGCGCAAUGUAUUUAGCUUGUUUUGCAGUUAAAUUAAUUGGAUAAGUAGACAUUGUCGUUUCUAAAUUUCCCACCUAAGAUAGUGACCUUAUCCUUGACUGCUUGAUGAGAUACACAAACAAUUAUACCUUCAAAAUCUACUGUGAAGUGCUUCAUGUAUGUGUGAAGUAUUAGAAAUUUCUUUCUUGGCAACUUGUUUUUUCUUUGCCCUCUACUGAUAGGUUUGACUCAAAUUAAAUUCCCUGUCAUGCUAAUUAAUUUUCACGUGCAUGCUCAAAAGGAUCACGUCAACUCUGGUUUCUACUAUUCAGGUCCAUUCCCAGAUAAACUGGUUCAAAUUUGAGAAAAUGGCAACAGCCCUUUAGUGAUGUUGGUUUGGAGCCAGUAGCCAAACCCGCCCUGAGCUUUACCACUAAUGUCAAGGGACAAAGCCAUUUGAACAAAAACAAUAGCUUCAAGAGACUGAAUCGUGGAUGAAAUCUGAUCCACAUUUCUUCUCAUUUUGGGAACAAAUGAGAACUUAACUACAAAGAUUCUACUGCCUCAUAGUGCUUUUCCUGAUCUAAGGUUGGUUCGUUUCCCAAAUUGUGAGGUACGUGCCAUUCUCACGCUCAGGAGUGUAUCCACGUGGUGGACAUAAGAUGGUGGCUUAAUAUCUGGUGUCGGUGGCUUUACUUUACUAGGAGAGUAGUGUGUCUUCAUCUCAUUCACUGCCGGAGGGUGGCGUAAGCAGUGACGCUAAGGUGGGGCACAGUCAAUAUCAUUUGCAUUUGACCAUUAUAGUUUUCUCCCGGCUUGAAAGUAACCUUAUCGUGAUAAAGGAUUACUAGCACUAGUUCAGAUGACAGUCAUGUUAAAUUCGGACCAUGUUUGUGUCACAUUAUCAGCAACCAUGUGUUUAUGGUUCAUGCUAUCUGCAACUAAACUUGAUAUAUAACCACGUGAACUUCAAUCUAAAUUCUGGAAGUACUCUUGUGAUAGAUGGUGCCUGUCUGCAGAGUCCAUCAAUUGAAAAAUGGAGUGAGUGUAUCUAUAAGAGGGAAGGCUUGGCAAAUGUUCAGUUUUCUGGGAACUCAACAAGGAUCUAAAAUAGAUUGUUUUCUUUGCUGAUUUCAAUGGUUGAAAUUUGAGAAGAUUGUGUCCACAUAACACAACUAUUACUGGUCCUUCUGUUGCAAUUUAUCCUCUAAGGCUCUAACAUGUCUUCCAAUUCCCACUUCCCUGUUACUCCAGGAAAGCUAUUUCUGUCAUUGUGAAGAAGAAAAGAGAAUGUACAUAUCGAUGGUUUUAAGUGACUGGGGCAUUCAUAUCAGGUGGUCUGCAGCCAUAUAUGCCACUUUGUGAAGGUUGGAACAGUCAAUCACCAGGCUAUAUUAGUGUGGCCCAGCCACUUCAAUCAAGGACAAGUCUUCAUACUUAAAGUCAAAUUCUGCCUUUAGUCUCAUUAUAAAUUGCUGUUUAAAUAUUAAGCAAACAUUUGUUUAAUGCGAUUAAGACAGUACUAACUCAAUACUUGUUCUAUUUUUGGAUGCAAAUGCUUGAUGGUUUCAUCAUUGGAUGGGAUAAAGGUGCAUUCAUGAUUAUGAAUACUUGUAGUUAUAUUUUCAUUCUCUUUUUUCUCAAUGAGACUUGUUGGCACAAUUUUGCUGUUCAGAAACCUACCUCUCCAUCGAAAAUCAGUUGUGAUUGAUAGUACUGGAUAUAUUCAAGAAAGCUAAAUAUAGAUAGCACCAAAUAUUAUCGAUAUAAAUAGCAUUAACAGCGUACGUAUGUCUCAAUGCUCAUCAGCUAUAAGCAACGGGCAAACACUUACUAUGAGCAACUUGCGUCAAAAUUCCAGAAUAGGACAUAGAAGUGACAGAUCUAUAUAUAUAUAGAACACUGCAUAUGAGUCACAAGAAAGGAAAUUACGGGUGCAUAGCAGCUCUUAUUUUACAUCCUACUCAUACUGAUCAAAGUCACUCAGUUGGGAUGGGUGGGAGUAGGAGGUUUGUGGGGUGGCUUGUGCGGAGGAGUUGGCAGCUUCUUUCCAGGACCUGGUUGCUUCUCUGCUGGAGUUGAAGGAGGCUUAAUCUUCCGAGGUGGCUUGUAUGAGUCUUCAGCAUUCUCAGCAGGAGGGUGACCAGGGUUGUGACCAUAAUGUGGUGGCUUCUCUCCCUUAGGUGGUUUGCCAACUGGGGUUGGUGGCUUGUAUGAGUCUUCAGCAUUCUCAGCAGGAGGGUGACCAGGGUUGCGACCAUAAUGUGGUGGCUUCUCUCCCUUAGGUGGUUUGCCAACUGGGGUUGGUGGCUUGUGUUCUGGGAGUGGCUUCUCCCCCUUGGGAGGUUUUUCCAAUGGGGUUGGUUUGUGUUCAGGAGGUGGCUUCUCCACUGGAGGCUUGUGUUCAGGAGGUGGCUUCUCCACCGGAGGCUUGUGUUCAGGAGGUGGCUUCUCCACCGGAGGCUUGUGUUCAGGAGGUGGCUUCUCGAAUGGGGGAUGCUCAGGGUAAUCAGCAAGUGAGGGGUUGGUGAGAACCACCAUGCCAAGCAACAGGACUAGCAAGUAUGUAGGAGACAUCUUUGGGUUUGGACUUAAGACAGUGGAAAACUGCGAGAAUUCUCUAGCCUUUUAUAGCGGGUCGACCCAGUACUCACAUGACACGUGUCAUUAUGACACAUGUGCCAUGGGGUCGAUUUGGGUCCUACAGUGUUGAAAAGUUGGGCAUUUGAGGUGUGAGCACAACUUUUGGCCUUUGCUUUCUCUACAGCCGCCAUGCUUUUCCCUUUUUUCCUUUUCCUUUUGUUUUCCUCCUGCCUCGUGUUCUCAACUAAACACAAUUAGGUUGUUUAAUUGUUAAAUGAGAUUUUUGUCUGUCAAUCAUAUUAUAUCCUAUCAAGAGAGAACAGAGUGUAAUGUAGUACACAUAACACGAGGCAGUAGUAAUUUUAUCAUUUAUUUUUAUAGCUUGGACCACCGCAUUUUUUCUUCUAAAAUAUUCUGUCUUGUUAAGAGACGCAAUAAUACACAAUUUUAUCUGCCAUUCAACAUUUACUGUAAAGUUCUUUUAUCUCUUUGUAGUUCUAGAAAAGUACAAAAUGGAACAUCAUGUAUAUGGUGCCUUCUGUCCUAAAAAAGAAACUGGACAAAUUAUGAACUGCAUGCUAAAAAGAGGCAAAGGAGCUUAAUUCGCAGCAUAAUUAUUUUGGUUUCUAGAGAGCCCGGGGCCUUUUGGUUGGUUUGGGGUCAGAAAAUGAACAUCAUAGGGAUUGUGCCCUUAACUGGCCUUGUUACUACAAAGAAAUUGCCAUAGAAAUUUAUUCCAGGCUGAGUAUCUCCGGAUAGACCCCAGAAAAGAAGAGUCAUAAUGAGAAUCAACCUUUGUUGAGUUUGAUUCCAUGCCUCCAUUGUGUUCAUUUCAUGAAUCUGAUUUGCAUUUAACAUUACAGUUUUGUUCUGGAAACAAUCAAAGGAGCAUCGUUUGCUUCUUGGGUGACCCAUAGUGGUGGGUGGGUCGAUUUGCUUAGUUGAAAAUUGGACAAUUGGCUCCAUCGCCUACCUCUUGGAUUCCAUGCUCGGAUAAAACGACAACAAAUAAAUAUUUAUAACUUACAACUGGGGAAAGGAAAAAAUAGUACUAAAUUCAUGGUACAUGAUAGUGAGAGAAGGGGGUGUUACACUCAGCUAAAGUUCUUUUCUAAAUAUUGCAUGGUGUUUAAUUUUAUGUGUCGGCGCGCGUGUGAAUGGAACCUGCAAAAGUCCAAAUUGGCGUUUCUCCAUUUUCCACAUAGGAUGGUGACGUUAAUAGACAAAGAUACAAUAUCUGUAGACAUUGCUUAAAAAUCGAUGUGAAGUAUUAGAAAUUACAGGCCACUGUACUGGGGGAGCGGCUGCCCCGCCAAAGGAAGAAUGUAGCAAUUUCUUCUGUUAGCCAGGCCUUAGGAUUUAUGCAUGGGAUGCCUAAUAACAAACAGAGAAAAUAUGCUUUUGGGGAAGGUAUCCAACAACAGACACCAUCAUUCAGAUGGUGGGAAGGUAUCCAACAGAUGCCAUCAUUCAGAUGGUAACAUAUAUAUACAUUUAUUAGUGAGUUUUUUUAAUACCUAUAAAAAAAAUAUACACUUUGAUAUUGUGGCUGAAUCCAUUACAUACUCAACUAACCUUGCUCAUUAGGGAUUUGACGUAACAAGGGCAACGUUGCAGUAAAAGCUCGAAACUUUAUGCAGGUGACAUUACAUUUGGUAAAGAAGAGGAAAAUAAGGAAAGCCAUCCAUAAAAGCAAAAUUCCUCAUGGGAUGAAAUUCACAAACUUCAUUUACGUUAGAGUCGCAUCCAGGCAAUUAAUUCCACAUUAGACCGCCUUUUGACAUGUGUACGGAUCUUUUUUCAAAAAUUAUUUAUAAAUAAUUGAUACUUACAAAAAUAAUUUAAGAUUUAUAAAGGAUAAAAAAAUAUUUUCAAAUCUAUGACAAUUUAUAAAAUAUUAAUAAAAAAUUAUCUCUUAAACUUAGUAUAGUUUUAUCGUAUUAAACUUUUAUUUUGAACAAAUAAUUUUAAUCUAAGUUUUAAAUUCUAAAAUUAUUUCCUUAAAAUAAAAUUUUAAAAUUCAACACUUCAAUUGAAAUUGUCUUUUAAAAAAAAUAUCUUCUUAUUUUAAUCCUUAUAAACUAUAGUUGAUUGAAAAUACUAUUGAAGUUCUCUCUUCAAAAAAAGUCUUAUUUUAAUCUUCAUAAAUUGCCCUUGAUUUGAAAAUAAACUUUGGGUUAUCAUAUUUUAAAUAAUAUAUAUAUAUAUAUAUAUAUAUAUAUAUAUAUAUAACAAAUACUCUAUUUUUUUUUUAAAUGAACUAAUUUUAAUUAUAUUUUAUUUUAUUUUUUUAUAUAUUUUUAAUGAUAAACCAAACAUAGAAAAUCAUUUUUCUAAAUAUUUUAAAAUUUCUAAGCAACCAAACAUAAUCUUCAAAAUAAAAGGAGAAUAAGGAGGGACAAGUGAGAAAUGGCGAUUAAAAAAAAGUGUACAAAAGCUCAAUUAAUUUUCUUCUAGUCUUUUAUAUAAAAAAGUAUUGGUAUGUAAAUUAAUAUUUGGAUUUUAAUAGUAUUUUAUUUGUCUUUCUCUAUCUCAUGUAAAAGAGAAUUUAAGAUAUUUCCUAAAGCAAAGCAUUAGUUAUCUGCAAUCAGUGGUGAUCAUGGUCCAUGUCAAUUUCGGACCCAUAUCUUAAAACCGUAUAAUUUGCGUUUCAACAUUACUGAUUUCUCAGAUGUUUCAUACUCCACAGAAGAGUAUUGUUAGUGAAAGCAUUUUGUAACUGUUACUCAUAGUGUUUUGACUCUGGCUCAACAACAUCAGCCAUUGACGGAUUUUCAUACAUGCAAAUCAAAUAGUCUUCUUCCUCCCUUAGGAAUUUCGGUUUAAAUGUUAUUAAGCAUACAUUUGGCUGACAAUUAUUAACCACUUCAUGAUAUGGUUUCUUACCCUUAAUCAAUGGUUUCUAAGUGAAUAUAUGCAGAAGGAAAUCUGAACUGUAGACAGCAGUAUUGAUAACUCUCAAUAUUCUUUAUAUAAGAGAAUAAACAACGUCAUAGUGAUCGUCGCCUACAAGAAAGGUACAUUUCCCAACAAGAUGUAGUGGUGACUGCUACAUGGACGCAAUUAACUCGUAGAAAAGGAUAAGACCAGUGCACGGCAGCUCUUAUUUUACAUGCUAAUUAUGCUAACCAAAGUCACUCAGUUGGGAUGGGAGGGAGAUGGAGGUUUGUGCGGUGGCUUGUGGGGCGGAGUUGGUGGCUUCUUUUCAGGAGCUUGUGGCUUUUUCGGAGCUGAAGGAGGCUCAAUCUUAUGAGGCGGCUUGUACGAGUCUUCUUUACUCUCGACAGGAGGGUGACCAGGGUUGUGACCAUAAUGUGGUGGCUUCUCUCCCUUAGGUGGCUUGCCAACUGGGGUUGGUGGCUUGUGUUCAGGAAGUUGUUUCUCUCCCUUGGGAGGUUUACCAAUUGGGGUUGGUGGCUUGUGUUCUAGGAGUGGUUUCUCUCCCUUGGGAGGUUUAGUGGGUGACUUGUGUUCUGGAGGUGGCUUCUCCACCGGAGACUUGUGUUCUGGAAUUGAUUAAAAAAAUUCUACCACUCUUUUAAGUAAUGGAAGAUUAUUAUCUCUGAUUGGCACCACAACAGCACAUGCUGCUAGAUCUUUCUAGACACUCCAUGCAAUGAAAGCACAAUGGAUCUUGUAACGAUAGAAACUAAGCCAUGCUACAGUACUAGAUGACGAGGUAAAACUAGUAGACAUGGGUGGUAGUUGAUUACUACUCAAAAAGUACUCUUUUAUAGUUUGAAACUAACUGUUUUAAACACUUUUGAGUAGUAGUUAAUAAAUUUUAACUCAAUUGGCACAUUAAGGAACCUAGCAAGGGUUACUAAUAAACUUUUGGCAAGUUUUGGUGUUUUUGGUAGUUAUUCGAUCAUUGAAACAAGCCAAGAAUGAGGGAGAAUUUUGUGAAGUCCAUGGCAAUGCAAGUUAAAGCUCAAAUACACGAAGAAUCCAAGCUUUGGAGCACUACAUAGCCCUUUGCCAAGCCAAUUAGAGAUGCAAGGAACAAAACCAAAGGAAGAAAUCCAACAACCAACAUUUUCGCAUGGUUGUGUGAAAUUUCGCACACCAUGCGAAACCACAAGAGGUAGCCAAAGAAUUUCACAUGGUAUGCGAAAUCUUCUCAUGCACCGACUCCGUUAGAUUUUUAUCUUCAGAUAUUUUGUGUAAUUUCCUAGUUUCUCCUUGUAACCAACCUAGAUAUUUUCUUUUAUAUCUUUUUUUAUAUUUUUUAGGUAACAUCAUAUAUAAGGGGAGAGACAUAAGGAGGAUAUGGAUGUUUUUCAUAGAACACUUGUAAAUUUUCAGUAGUAAGAAAUAUACAAAGCUUUUUGCUAUGCCUUACCUUCUCAUUUUGUUUUCACCUGUCUUUCUAGCCAAACAACCUCUAAGGAUGAUUUCUCAGGGGAUGAGUGGCUAGGUUUUACGUUUCUUGGAGUGAGGGAAGCUAGGUGAAGGACCUGAAUGCAAAGAUGAGAGUUUUCCUUGCUUUAAAUGAAAGUAGUUGUUAAACAUUAAUGGUUUUUAUUUUAAGGUUUAGCUUUAAAUCCCUUAAAAACACCUUGAAUGACCAAUACUUGGUAAGCUUUUCGGAUUCUAUGGAUGCUUAUUGCUAGAUCCAUGGAUGUCUAUUAGUUAUCAUUUACGAGCCUUUGGAAGGUGAUUCAAGGUGAGGGUCUUUAGUGUUUGAAGCCAUUAAUGGGAAGCAAUUACCAUUUUUUCAUGAAUCCUUUGGAUCAAAUCUUAAUUGCUAAAUAUAAAACCGAUUUGGGAAAUAACCAUCCUUUAUGUUAUUAUCCCCAACGCAAGGAGAAGAUCCGGAAUCUUCCCUUUUGUCUAAGGAACCCGAUCCUAGUGACCUAAAGCUCCAAGAGACCUUUUCUUUGUAGUUAACUUCAUUUAUUGUUUUUGCUUAACUUAAAAUCAAUCUUUGCAACCACAAUUCCAUUUUCUUUAAAAGCUAAUUUUUAUAAGGAAAAACACCAUUUUAUUUCCUUCACUAAGUCAACUGUACGAUGAAAACCCAUCCCUGUGGACGAUCCUAGAGCCAUUAUACUAUGUUAGCUAUGCUACCCUAGUGUGAGGUGAUUUAGGUUUUAUAAAUUUUGUUGAUAACACCCAUCUGAGCCAGAAUCAAAUGGCACAACUGAACCAGGGACGAAUCAAAUGGCGCCGCUAUCGAGGAUGGUGCCAAAGUACAUUGACAUGACUUUUGGUGAACACUUGUGAUCUUCAUCACAAGUUUGGUGAUUUUUCUAUUACUAAUUUUUUUCUUUGUUUUUAUUUUAGCUUAUCUUUUAUUUAGUUUUUAGCUAACCUUAACUUUUUCUUAGAAUUGUAUUUCUUCUAUUUUCUUUGUUUUUGUUUCAGUGAUCUUUAGUUGUGCAUGCCCUAUUGGAUAAGAAAUAUUGAGGGAAUACUUGUGAAGAUUGAAAAUCCUCGAGAAACUGAGUUGGAAGUGUGAUUGAACAUCAUGGAUGUUCCACCUGAAGACCAGAAUAGCCAACAUGGUUAAGAGGAUAAUUUCAAAGCAUACCGAUCCAUGAGGGACUGCAUGCAUCCACCUCGUAUGAGUGCACCGUCAUGCAUAGUGCCUCCCACUGAGCAACUAGUAAUCUGACCUCACAUUGUGCCACUCCUACCUACUUUCCAUGGGAUGGAGAGUGAGAAUCUCUACUCGCAUAUUAAGAAAUUCGAGGAGGUUUGUAAUACAUUCCAAGAAGGAGGAGCUUCAAUUGACUUGAUGAGGCUCAAGCUAUUUCCUUUCACUUUGAAGGAUAAGGCUAAGAUUUGGCUUAAUUCUUUAAGGCCAAGGAGUAUCCGAACUUGGACUAAUUUGCAAGCCGAUUUUCUUAAGAAGUUCUUCCUUACCCAUAGGACCAAUGGUUUGAAAAGGCAAAUUUCGAACUUCUCAGCUAAAGAGAAUGAGAAAUUCUAUGAGUGAUGGGAGAGGUACAUGGAAGCUAUUAAUGCUUGUCCUCACCAUGGCUUUGACACAUGGCUCUUAGUGAGUUAUUUUUACGAUGGUAUGUCUUCUUCAAUGAAGCAACUCCUAGAAACUAUGUGUGGAGGAUACUUCAUGAGUAAGAAUCCGAAGGAAGCCAUGGACUUUUUGAGUUAUGUGGCUGAAGUUUUAAGAGGAUGGGAUGAACCAAAUGCUAGAGAGGUGGAAAGAAUGAAGUCUCAACCUAAUGCUAAGGGUGGGAUGUAUGUUUUGAAUGAAGACAUUGACAUGAAAGCAAAGGUUGUAGCUAUGGCAAGGAGAUUGGAAGAGCUAGAAAUGAAGAAGGCACAAAAAGUGGAAGCCAUUUCUGAGACAUCAGUGCAAGCUAUGCCUUGUUCCAUUUGUCAACCUAAUGCUAAGGGUGGGAUGUAUGUUUUGAAUGAAGACAUUGACAUGAAAGCAAAGGUUGUAGCUAUGGCAAGGAGAUUGGAAGAGCUAGAAAUGAAGAAGGCACAAAAAGUGGAAGCCAUUUCUGAGACAUCAGUGCAAGCUAUGCCUUGUUCCAUUUGUCAAUCUUAUGAGUACCUAGUGGAGGAGUGUCCUACAAUUCCAGUAGUGAGAGAGAUGUCUGGUGAUCAAGCAAAUGUUAUUGAUCAAUUCAAGCCUAAUAAAAAUGCUUCAUAUGGCAACACCUACAAUUCAAAUUGGAUGAACCAUCCAAAUUUCUCUUGGAAACCAAAGCUACCUCAAUACACACAACCUGCUCAAGCACCUUAGCAAUCCUCGAAUCUUGAACAAGCUAUUGUGAACCUUAGUAAGGUUGUGGGAGAUUAAAAGUCCAUCAAUGCUCAACUGAAUCAGAGAAUUGACAGUGUAGAGAGUACAUUGAACAAAAGGAUGGAUGAGAUGCAAAAUGAUCUGUCUCAAAAGAUAGACAAUGUCCAAUAUGCAAUCUCAAGGCUUACCAACCUCAACACAGUGCAAGAGAAAGGAAAGUUUAUUUCUCAACCUCAUCAAAAUCCCAAGGGUAUCCAUGAAGUGGAGGCUCAAGAGAGAGAAUCUUCAAAGGUGAGGGAAGUCAAAGCAGUUAUCACCUUGAGGAGUGGUAAAGAGGUUGAUCAACCCACAUCCAAGCCAAAGCAUAAUGAAGAGAGUUUUGUAGAAAAAGAAAAGAGAGGAAAAUAAAGGAAAGAGAAUAGAGAAAAGUACAAAGAAAGAUGACCAUGAGUCUAGUGUGGAUGAAGAGCCCAAGAGGAUAGUGAUCAAGGAAAAUAUGAUGAAGAAACACAUGCCUCCACCUUUCCCCUAAGCUUUGCAUGACAAAAAAGGAACCAAUAAUACAUCGGAAAUUUUUGAAGUAUUGAGGCAAGUGAAGGUCAAUAUCCCUUUGCUAGAGAUGAUCAAACAAGUGCCGACAUAUGCAAAAUUCUUGAAGGACUUGUGCACUGUAAAGAGAGGGUUGAAUGUGAACAAGAAAGCUUUCUUGACCGAGCAAGUGAGUUCCAUCAUACAGUGCAAGUCUCCAGUGAAGUACAAAUAUCCGGGCUACCCUACCAUCUCAGUGAGUAUUGGAGGUACUUGUGUGGAAAAAGCUUUGUUGGACUUGGGAGCAAGUGUGAAUUUGCUACCCUACUCUGUCUAUAAGUAGUUGGGACUUGGAGAGUUGAAGUCAACAUCCAUCACCCUAUCUCUGGCAGAUAGAUCAGUGAAGAUUCCAAGAGAGAUGAUAGAAGAUGUCUUGGUUCAAGUUGACAAAUUCUACUAUCCAGUGGAUUUUGUUGUUCUUGAUACGGAUCCGAUUGUCAAAGGAACUAAUUAUGUUCCUAUCAUACGAAGACCCUUCCUAGCUACAUCAAAUGCAAUCAUCAAUUGUAGGAAUGGAGUCAUGAAACUCACGUUUGUCAACAUGACAUUAGAGCUCAACAUCUUCCAUUUGUACAAGAAGCAUAUCCAUUCAGAAGAAAAAGAAGGUCUAGAGGAAGUGUGCAUGAUUGACACUUUAGUGGAGGAGCAUUGUGAUCGACAAUGCAAGAAGAUUUAGUUGAGAGUUUUGGGGAUCUUGAUGAAGGGUUACUUGAACCCUCAGAUUUGCUUGCUACCCUACUCCAUUGGAGGAAGAGAGAAGAAAUUCUACCCUUAUUCAAUGAGGAGGAGACACAAAGAGCUGCUAAAGAUAAGCCCCCAAAGCUUAUUCUUAAGCCACUACCCACAGAGUUGAAGUAUGCAUACUUGGAAGAAGACAAGAAGUGCACUGUUGUUAUAUCUUUAGCUCUUACCAUUCAUCAGGAGGAUUGUCUACUUGAAGUCCUUAGAAGAAGUAAGAAGGUAAUAGGGUGGCAAAUUUCUGAUUUGAAAGGGAUCAGCCCUUUUGUCUGCACCCAUCAUAUUUACAUGGAGGAUGAAGCUAAGCCAAUUCAUCAACCUCAGAGAAGGUUGAACCCUCACAUGCAAGAAGUGGUGAGAGUUGAAGUUCUUAAGCUACUUUAGGCUGGUAUUAUUUACCCCAUAUCAGAUAGCCCAUGGGUGAGUCCUACUCAAGUUGUGCCAAAGAAGUCGGGGAUCACGGUGGUGCAAAAUGAUAAGGGAAAAGAUGUCUCUACAUGUCUCACUAUAGGUUGGAGGGUGCGUAUCAAUUACAGGAGGUUGAAUGUAGUGACAAGGAAUGACCAUUUCUCGUUGCCCUUUAUUGAUCAAGUGCUUGAGAGGGUCUCUGGGCAUCCUUUUUAUUGUUUCUUGGAUGGCUACUCGAGGUAAUUUAAGAUAGAAAUUGAUGUUGAAGACCAGGAGAAGACCAUUUUCACAUGCCCAUUUAGAACCUAUGCAUAUAGGAGAAUGUCUUUCGGCUUAUGCAAUGCACCCACAACUUUCCAAAGAUGCAUGUUAAGCAUUUUCAAUGAUAUGGUGGAGCAUAUUAUGGAAGUCUUUAUGGAUGAUAUCACCAUAUAUGGAAGUGCAUUUGAUGAAUGCUUGGUCAACUUAGAAGUUGUUCUGAACCGAUGCAUUGAGAAAGACUUAGUGCUUAAUUGGGAGAAGUGCCAUUUCAUGGUACACCAAGGGAUUGUCCUUGGGCACAUCAUCUCCAAGCAAAGCAUUGAAGUUGACAAAGCAAAGGUUGAACUCAUUGUUAAGUUGCCAUUCCCAACAAAUGUCAAAGGAGUAAGGCAAUUCCUUGGCCAUGCCGGGUUCUAUAGGAGGUUUAUCAAGGAUUUCUCUAAGCUUGCAAGGCCUCUUUGUGAAAUAUUGGUGAAGGAUGUUAAAUUCAUAUGGGAUGAUAGAUGCCAAAGGAGUUUUGAAGAAUUGAAGCUAUUUUUGACAACCUCACCAAUAGUGAGGGCUCCCAACUAGCAACUGCCCUUUGAGGUAAAGUGUGAUGUCAAUGACUUUGCUAUAGGAGCUGUUCUUGGGCAAAGAGAAGAUGGAAAACCUUAUGUGAUCUACUAUGCGAGCAAGACAUUGAAUGAGGUGCAAAGAAACUACAUAACCACCGAGAAAGAAUUGUUAGCUGUAGUUUUUGCCUUGGAUAAGUUUCGUGCUUACUUGGUGGGAUCCUUCAUCGUGGUUUUUAUUGAUCACUUUGCUUUGAAGUAUCUAUUGACUAAGCAAGAUGCUAAAGCAAAACUGAUUAGAUGGAUUUUCUUGCUUCAAGAGUUCAAUCUCCAGAUCAAAGACAAGAAAAAAAUGGAGAAUGUGGUAGUAGACCACAUUUCAAGGCUAGCUAUCGCACAUAAUUCCCAUGCUUUGCCCAUUAAUGACGAUUUUCUAGAGGGGUCUCUCAUGUUGGUGGAAGUUGUCCCUUGGUACGCUCACAUUGCUAACUACCUGGUCACAAGAGAAGUUCCAAGUGAGUGGAAAGCACAAGAUAAGAAGCACUUCUUUGCAAAAAUUCAUGCCUACUAUUGGGAAAAGCCAUUUCUAUUCAAGUAUUGUGCGGAUCAGAUAAUAAGGAAGUGAGUUCCUGAAGAAGAGCAACAGGGGAUCCUCAGUCAUUGCCAUAAAAAUGCAUGUGGAUGCCACUUUGCUUAUCAGAAGACAACCAUGAGGGUGCUGCAAUCGGGUUUCUGUUGGCCAUCACUUUUCAAAGAUGCCCACACCAUGUGCAAGAGUUGUGAUCGAUGCCAGAGGCUUGGGAAGUUAUCAUGUAGGAACAUGAUGCCUUUGAACCCCAUUUUAAUAGUUGAUCUUUUUUAUGUUUGGGGCAUUGACUUCAUGGGACUUUUCCCUAUAUCUUUUGGCUACUCUUACAUCUUGGUGGGAAUAGAUUAUGUUUCUAAGUGGGUUGAGGCAGUCCCAUGCAAACACAAUGACCAUAGAGUGGUUCUCAAGUUUCUUAAGGAGAACAUCUUCUCAAGAUUUGGGGUGCCCAAAGCCAUAAUUAGUGAUGGGGGUACUCAUUUUUGCAACAAGCCUUUUGAAACUCUCCUAGCCAAGUAUGGGGUGAAGCAUAAGGUAGCUACACCUUACCACCCUCAAACUAAUGGGCAAGUUGAGUUAGCAAACAAGGAGAUUAAAAACAUAUUGAUGAAGGUGGUGAACACAAACAGAAAAGAUUGGUCAGUCAAGCUCUUCGAUUCACUAUGGUCAUGUAGAACAGCUUACAAGACCAUUAUCGGGAUGUCUCUUUAUCACCUAGUCUAUGGAAAAAAUGCCAUCUCCUUGUGAAAUUGGAAUACAAAGCUUGGUGGUCAAUCAAGAAGCUCAACAUGGAUUUGAGCAGAGCUGGGUUGAAGAGGUUCUUAGACCACAAUGAGAUGGAGGAAUUGAGAAAUGAUGCCUACAUCAAUUCAAAAAUUGUAAAAGAAAAAUUGAAGAGGUGGCAUGAUCAGUUGAUUUCCCGCAAGAAUUUUCAAAAUGGAUAAAGAGUCUUGCUCUAUGACUCUAAACUCCACAUCUUUCCGAGCAAGCUGAAAUCAAGGUGGAUAGGUCCUUUUACCAUUCACCAAGUGCAUUCAAAUAGAGUAGUGGAACUACUCAACUCCAACAACAUCGGGAGCUUCAAAGUGAAUGACCAUUGUCUCAAGCCCUUUGUAGAGUCUUUUUUCUCGCGACAAGGAGGAAUUCAUCCUCCUUGAUCCACAUCAAGCUUGACAAGACCAGUUUUUUUUUAUGGACUUAGUCUUUCUAAAGACUAUCGAGUCCAUAACUUUUUAUUUUAUUUUUUAUUUGAGAGUUUUUCGGUAUUAUUACUUGUUUUGUUUUUUAUUUUUCGUUUUACUUUUAUUUGGUUUGAUUUAACUUAGAUUUUUUAUGAUCAAUUGCAGGGGGGAUUUCAAAUAGAGGAAAAACCAAGAUAAUUCGCACACCCUGCGAAAAUUUCGCAAGGCAUGCGAAAUUUAUGGCUCAUUUCGCAUGGGAUGCGAAAUUUCGCACACCCUACGAACCAAUUUCGCACACUUUGUGAAAAUAAACCAACCCUACGAAAUCAUUUCAAAUACUCUACGAAAUUUUCGCAGAGCAUGUAAAAAAUUUCGCAGACCAAACACCAUUUCGCAUACUAUGCGAAAAUGUAAGGGGUCUACAAAACCAUUUCGCACCUCCAAAGCCAUUUCGCACAUUGUGCAAAAAUGAAAAGUCGCCCUAUCAUCCAUUUUUAAACCCCUUGAGCCCUGAAAUCCCCAUUUCGCAAGCACCCCUGUCCUUGCGAAUCCCUCAUUUUCCUCUGCCACCUUGCGACCUUGUCCCUCUCCAUUUGAUAUCGUGCCCUGCGCACAUCUCAUUUCAAAGACUCGCACUCUGCGCCCUCUCAAAGCACGAACCCAAGGCUCACAUUCCAUUUCCGACAUGGCACAGACCCGAGGAGCCCUUCCCGCCCCUUCAUCGAGACGCACACCAAGGUAGAGAGCCUCUUUUGCUCAGAUGCCAAGUGAUUCUCCAUUUCAGGCCACGGAGGCCCUGCGGAUUCCACAUUCCAAGGGUAGAACAGCCACUGGUCCUUCCUCUUCUAUUCCUCAGCGUAGAUAUGAGACGAGGAGACCACCUACUACACAAAGGGCGACUACUUCGCGCCAUGAGAAUUCGGUACGACACCCUCCUGCCAAGAGGGCCAGGACUUCAGGCCCAGGCGAGUCAUCCAAAGCUUCACAGCCUGAGCCUCCUGCAGAUUCCGAGGUUCCUACUGACAUAUCAUCGGAGUCUAUUAUCAAACGCCCGAUGCUCACAGCACCGCCCAUUGAGGGCAACUCUGAUUGUAGAGCGAGACCUUUCCACUUGGAGCUAUAUUUUAAUUAAGAGGCCAUGCCACAGCAGCCUGAGCUCCAAGACUCUUAUGGCUUACUACAGAGGUACCAUCUUGAGGACCUUAUGACUCCUCGUGAGUUCUUUUAUCCCAGAGUAGCACUAGACUUUUACCAGUCCAUGACUACUCGUGGCGUCCCGAGUCCUACCGCGAUGCACUUCACCAUUAAUGGACGUCAUGGUAUCCUCGAGGCCAGACAUAUUGGAGAGGCUCUACAGAUUCCUUUCGAGCUAGAGGACCCAUCUGUUUUCUGCCAAUGGUCCCCAAUAUCUCAGAGGGACAUGGUCCAUAUUUUAUCCAGGGGGACAUCUACAUAUUCGAUCCUUCUACGGAAGGAGCUUCGACCUGGGAUACUCCUCGUAGAUGUGGUGCUACUUUCCAACCUCUUUCCCUUUUAGCAUUCGAUACAUAGGCGAGGAGCUAUUUUGGACGCUUUAUUCUGUAUAUCAGAGGGCUUCUACUUUGGCCCGCACCACUUGAUCAUGGUUUCCCUCAUCCAUUUUGAGGAGAAGGUCCAUAGAAAGAAGCUUCAGAGGGCGAACACCAUUCCAUUACUAUUCCCGAGGUUGCUCUACUAGAUCUUGGAGUACAUGGGCUUUCCUACUGAGCCUCGGCUUGUGUGCCGCCGCCUUUGUCAAGAGCGAUCCACUCUCGACAAAUGGAAUCAGUUGGCGGGCUAUUCUACACCUCCAGGAGCCCCUCCCAUGGUAGCACCUCUAGUGUCCCCACAGGCAGAGUAGGGCAAGCUCCCGGUAGAGACUGCACCCCUAGUGCCCACACCUGAGGCUACUUCUGCUGUUCCGCCUACGACUCCUACUGUUCCACCAGUUGGUCCUUUUACAUCUGAGUCUUCCAUCAACAUCUCGACUUCGGAGUUUCGCGCCCUUGUGCAUACCUUUCAGACACUCACCACCACACAUACUGCUCUCUUCUAGAAAAUGGCUGAGAUGCGUGCCCAUCAGGACCAGCAGACUACUAUACUCCGCCAAAUUCAACAGCACCUGGGACUUCUGCCUCUGCCUCAGCUUGACCUUCCCACAUCAUCAGAGCCUCUAGCUCCAGUUGAGGAUACUAUUCCACCUGAGGACACUACCACAGUAGAGGUUCAGAUUCCACCACCUCAGGAGGCCACCACAGCUACAUUAGAGGAUGCAUCAUCUCCACCUGAGGCUCCCACUACUUGAUCAUAGGACAUCUCUUUAUCUUAUUGUAUUUACAUAUUAUAUUACUGGAGAUUUGUCUUUGUUUUGAUACUUUAUAUUCUGGCAUUGAAUGUAUUGCCUAAUGAUAUCUCAAUUGUACUUUCUCAUAUUAAUAUAUAGACAUCAAUUUUUUUUAGUAUACUUAGGAUUUUUCUAUUUACUCUACUCAUUACUCUUUUGUUUUUUUUUUUUUACUCAUGUGGUUUCUCCUAUACGACUCAGACUCCAUUUCACUCAGGAGGUACCACUUCUUCCCUUUAUUUUCAAUUGCUCUUGAAACAUUGAGGGCAAUGUUGAUCUUGGUUGGAGGGAGAGUUGAGGAAGGAAGUGAUUACUACUCAAAAAGUGCUAUUUCAUAGCUUGUAAUUAACUCUUUUAAAACACUUUUGAGUAGUAGUUAUCACCUUUUAACCCAAUUAACAUAUUAAGGACCCUUGCAAUCAAUUCUAAUCAAAUUGUGUUAAGUUUUGGUAUUUUGAUAGCUUUUUUAUCACCAAAGCAAUCCGAGAUUGAGGAUAUUUAUUUGGAAUCCAUGGCAAAAGAUGUUUGGACAGGACGUCCGGACACACCAUCGGAGGGCGGCGGAACGUGGGCUGUGGCAGGCUGUCGGAAUGACGUAGCAAGGCUUGUGCACUUUAGCCAAUGAUCGGGAUAACAUAUCCGAAAUUCUGCUCCGCCGACAUUCCACCCGGAUGUCUCACAUCCGGAAUUCUGCUCCGCCGACAUUACACCCAGAUGUCUCACAUCCAAAAUUCUUCUCCGUCGACAUUCCAUCCGAAUAUUUCACAUCCGACGCUUGACGCCGGAUGGGAGAGGAGGGCGUUUCAACUUCCCCGGUCAGACAUAUCCGAAUCCUUUGAUAACGCUUACCCGGAGAGUUUCGCAGCCAUUUUGCACAGUGCCGCGGUGUUCUCUUGAAGCUUCCCGAUAUGUGCGACCGACAUUUUGAGAUAUUUUGCUUUAGAUAUUUGAUGUCUAAAUCCCCAAACUCUCCUUGUAACCCACCAAUUAUAGGAUUCCUUAGUUAUUAAGUUUGGAAAAAUGGUGAAUAACCCCUUAUAUAUAGUUUGCAAUUUUCAUAAAAAAGAUAUGUAGAAUCUCGGGAGCUUGUUCCCAGAGAGACGCAUCCUUUGUACAGUUUUGGAAGGAAGUAAAAUACAGAGCACUUGCUCUGCUUUUCAUAUAUAUUUUUGUUUUCUCGUUCUUUUUAUUUCUAGCCAAUCAAAGUCUGAGGAUUUUUCCUCAGAGGAUGAGAGGCUAGGCUCUUCGUCUCUUGGAGUGAAGAAAACUAGGUAAGUUUCCACAUGCAUAAAUUGAAAGUUUUGUUGUUUUAGUUUUUAAUGAAGAGAAAGUGUGACCCGUUAAUGGUUUUUAUCUUUUUAGUUAACUUAAAACGCCUUUAAAUCACCCGGGCCAACACUUGAUAAGGCAAGUGGUCUCCAUCCAUUGAGAUGCACUAGUUUAUCUCUUGCGAGCCUUUGGGAGGUGGUUUGAAGGUAGGAUUUUCUAGAAUAACCAACACUUGAUAAGCUUUUGGACUCUAAGGAGACAUCCAUUAGUUAUCUCUUGCGAGCUUUUGACGGGUAAUCCAAGGUUAAAGAUCACCUUGAAUGGCAAGUACUAGGUGAGAGGUAUGAGCCAUUGCAAGAUGCAUUAGUGAGAGGGAUUUAGUGUUUGAACCCAUUAAAGGGAAGCAUCUGUACCACACCGGUUCGGGAAAUAACUAUAUGUUAAAUCCCCAAUGAGAGGAAAAGAAACAAGUGACCGGAACUCCCUUUUUGUAUAAGGAACCUGAGCCUAGUGAUCUAAACUCCAAGAAACACUUUUCUUUGUAAGUAAAAUCAGUUACUAUUUUUGGUUAGUUUAAAACCAAACCUUUUUCAUUCAAACAUCUUUAUGUUUUCUUUUAAAGCUAACCUUGAAAUGAAAAGGCACCAAUUCAUAUUUGAAUUAAUAUCAAUUGUGAAGUGAAAACCCAUCCCAGUGAACGAUCCUAGAGCCACUAUGCUAUAGUAGCUUUGUCUUUGCUACCCUAGUUCAUGGUUUAAUAGGUUAUAAAUUUUGUUGAUUACUCCCACAAUCAAAGGAGCACCAGUUGGACAUGAAUCAACUGAGACACUAAUUGGGCACAAAUCAGGAAGUUUUGUUAAUAAUGCUAGGUUAAUUUGUUAAUUUAGUUACUUUCUGCUUAAUUUUAAAAGUUUUCACUUUACUUUCCAUAGUUAUUAAGGAAAAAUUCUCAAAAUGAAAUGGGAGAAAUUGAAUUCUUACAUUUUUACUUGAAUUUUAGAAUUUGUAUUAUGCUUAUUGAAGCUGAUGAAUUAUUGAAACUCCUAUUGAAUUCAACCUUAUUUCUUCCACUUUAAUCUUACCACACACGGUGCACAUUAGGUUCCGAUUAUAAGAGGUGCGUUCUUAGCCUAUUGGAGGUUGGUCAAUUUGUUAAAGUUUGAGAAAGAUCUAGGUUAGGGGAGAGAGAAUAGUCUGACAUACUAUAAUCGAAAACUAAUAAACUUAACACUUAGAUCUUUGUGGAAGAGUAAGGAUUGGACCUUUGGGAGUGGAAAUUCGUUUGAUGCUUAAAUUUGCAUAAUGCUUACACUUUAUAAAUUGUGAUUAGGCAAGAGAUUUGAUGACUCUUGUUCAAGGUUGGGUUUUGCCUCUUUGAUGUUCCAUGAGAGAGUAUAAUCCUCAUCAUGCCACUUGAAAUUUUUUUUGGAGUGAUUAACAUGAUUUUGUAAAUUACUUUACUGUCUAUUUUUUUUUUAUCUCUCCUUCAUUGCUAAUGGACUAGCAAUAUGUCAGUUGAGGGGAGUGAUUACUACUCAAAAAGUACUCUUUUAUAGCUUGAAACUAACUGUUUUGAACACUUUUGAGUAGUAGUUAAUACCUUUUAACUCAAUUGGCACAUUAAAGAACCUAGCAAGGGUUACUAAUUAGUUUUUGGCAAGUUUUGGUGUUUUUGGUAGCUAUUUGAUCAUUGAAACAAGCCAAGAAUGAGGGAGAAUUUUGUGAAGUCCAUGGCAAUGCAAGUUAAAGCUCAAAUACAUGAAGAAUCCAAGCUUUGGAGCACUUCAUAGCCCUUUCCAAAGCCAAUCAGAGAUGCAAGGAAGAAAACCAGAGGAAGAAAUCCAACAAUUAGCAUUUUCGCAUGGCUGUGCGAAAUUUCGCACACCAUGCGAAACCACAAGAGGCAGCCAAAGAAUUUUGCACACUAUGCGAAAUUUCGCAUGGUAUGCAAAAUCUUCUUGUGCACCAACUCCGUUAUAUUUUUAUCUCAAAUAUUUUGUGUAAUUUCCUAGUUUCUCCUUGUAACCAACCUAGAUAUUUUCUUUUAUAUAUUUUUUAGGUAACAUCAUCUAUAGGGGGAGAGACAUAAGGAGGAUAUGGAUGUUUUUCAUAGAACACUUGUAAAUUUCCGGUAGUAAGAAAUAUACAGAGCUUUUUGCUCUACCUUACCUUCUCAUUUUGUUUUCACUUGUCUUUCUAGCCAAACAACCUCUGAGGAUGAUUUCUUAGGGAAUGAGUGGCUAGGUUUUACGUUUCUUGGAGUGAGGGAAGCUAGGUGAAAGACCCGAAUGCUAAGGUGGGAGUUGUCCUUGCUUUAAAUGAAAGUAGUUGUUAAACAUUAAUGGUUUUUAUUUUAAGGUUUAGCUUUAAAUCCCUUAAAAACAUCUUGAAUGGUCAAUACUUGGUAGGCUUUUUGGAUUCUAUGGAUGCUUAUUGCUAGAUCCCUGGAUGUCUAUUAGUUAUCAUUUAUGAGCCAUUGGAAGGUGGUUCAAGAUGAGGGUCUUUAAUGUUUGAAGCCAUUAAUAGGAAACAAUUACCAUUCUUUCAUGAAUCCUUUGGAUCAAAUCUUAAUUGCUAAAUAUAAAACUAGUUCGGGAGAUAACCAUCCUUUAUGUUAUUAUGCCCAACGCGAGGAGAAGAUUCGGAAUCUUCCCCUUUGUCUAAGGAACCCGAUCCUAGUGACCUAAAGCUCUAAGAGACCUUUUCUUUAUAGUUAACUUCACUUAUUGUUUUUUCUUAACUUAAAAUCAAUCUUUGCAACCACAAUUCCAUUUUCUUUGAAAGCUAAUUUUCAUAAGGAAAAUCACCAUUUUAUUUUCUUCCCUAAGUCAACUGUACGAUGAAAACCCAUUCCCAUGGACGAUCCUAGAGCCACUAUACUAUGUUAGCUAUGCUACCCUAAUGUGAGGUGAUUUAGGUUUUAUAAAUUUUGUUGAUAACACCUGUUUGAGCCAGAAUCAAAUGGCGCAACUGAACCAGGGACGAAUCAACAACUUAUAUGGGAGGGACACAAGUUUAAUUGAUUUGCAUUUCAACGUUAUAUAUAGGUAUGUUUUGGAAGAUUUGUUCUGGAAAUACUGCACCAAGUACGAUUCUUUUUGUCUUGAGUGGGUCUACUUGCAUGCCAAUUAACGAGUGGAAAAGUAGGAGCACCUACCUCAUGCUCGCGGAACCGAAGGUCAGUGAAGUGGGGCUCCUUUUGGCCUCUUGUGUUUCUAUUCCAACCAAGGCGGCGUAAGGAAAAACAACAAUAUGUUUGUGCUAAAUAUCAACGCAUGAUAGAUGUUUUUGUUUUUUGGUAUGUCAAGGCUAAUGAAUGAAAUGCUUUAGCUUGUUUUGUGACUGGAACUGCAAAUGUCCAAAUUGGAGUAUCUCCAUUUCUCACUUCGGAUGGUUAACUUAUAAACAAGAUAUAGGAAACAUGUGAACAUCUUGAGGAACAAUUUGAAUUAUUCAUUAGAAGUCCUGGGUUGAGUUCCAAGAUUUAAAUUAGACCCCUCUAGCAGCUUCAGGGGUACCUAGCAACCUAUAGCAUAUUAAUGAAGAUUUAGGAUUUAGACUCUAGAAUACAAAUUAAUAUGUAUCUCAUGCUUUGACUAGCUUCCCUACAUAUGCACAAAAUGGAGAUGACCUAAAAAAAUAGCAGAAUCUAGCUUCCCUACAUAUGCACAAAAUGGAGAUGACCCAAAAAAUAGCAGAAUUUCCUUAGUUUCUGUGGUUAAGGUGAUUCUCCGCUUAAUAUCACAUUGACUCAUUAUGCAAAAUCAACUGAGCUAAUUUUGUUUAUUUAUUUAAUGUCAAAUAGGAACUCCUAAUUAACCUAACCCUUGGCCUGUGUAAAUUGAUUUCACAUGCCCAAUGUUGAAGUAGAAGUCCAUAUUUUGAAUUUUAUUUUUGUAAAGGUAAGGAAAAUGAAGCAUUGUGUAAUUAUAAAAAUAACUUCAUUGGAAUUCACAAGGUUCACCCAAAAUGGAGCUACAUCCGUAUUCUAUCCUGCAGUAGACUAUAUAGAUUGUACAAUAGUAAAUUGCAAAUACAAUUAAUAAGUCUUGUGCUUCCUUACUAAUAAUCCUUUGACAUGAACAUUGCAGCACUAAGGUCCUCUUGGGAAGACACCUUGCACCCAUGAGAGCACGAAGAGGAAGCAAGGCAGAGUCAUGGGUGCAAUGUCAUGACUUGUUGUUGCACCAAGAGAGGCUUGGUGAUGGCAUGGUGUUGCAGUAGCAAGAAUGUUGCCUUGGUAGGGACAUAAUCUAGGGAUAGAUGCCAAGAAAGGCUUAGCACUCACAUGAGUUGCACAAAGAUGAAUGUAAUAGAGCAUCAGAGAGACGUCUUGGCAAGUAAAUGAAUGGAUCCAAGAGGCAACAACAUGAGGAGUUUCAAAUGGAUAAGGAAUGAGUCAAAGACAUUUGAAAGCUACAAGUUGGAUUCUAAUUACGAUUGCAAUUUGAGUUUGAGUAGGAGUUUAGAUUCUGAUUGUAAUUGUAGUAUGAGUUGGACUAGGAUUGCUUAUCCCUAGUCAAAAUAGGAGUGGUUCGUGUCACACCCUAUGAAAAGAGUUUGAGUAGGGACUAGGAUUGCUUACUCCUAGUCAAAUAUGGAGUAGGUGGUGCCACACCUAUAAAAAAAAAGGGACAACAUGAGAGAGAGAGAGAGAGAGAGAGAGAGAGAGAGAGAGAGAGAGAGAGAGAGAAAGAGAUAAUGAAUUCACUAAAGAUAUUGUGGGAGUUUUUCUUUGUUACGUCUUGUAUUAUUACUUAGAAUAGGAAUAAAAUACAAGUUUGGGCUAGAGCCCCAUAAUUAAUCUCGUGUGCCUUUGUGGUUAUUCUUUAUUUGUCAUCUCGUGUGGAUUGGAUUACAUUGACUUAGAGGGCUUCUAAGCACCACCUUUGUGGGUUAUUAUUUAUUUUCCAUUUCUUGUGGAUUAGAUUAGGUUGACUUUGAGGGCUUUUAAGCACCACCUUUGUGGGUUAUUCUUUAUUUUCCAUAUCGUGGGGAUUGGAUUAGGUUGACGAUGAGAAAAAUUAUGUGGGAAAUUUGUGUUGGGACACUUAUCAUAACCAGGUAAAAUCUGCCAAGUCCUUUGUAAUAUCUUCAACAAAUAUUUCAGACUAGUUCUUCACCAUAAACAUCAUAUUGUGUUUUGUUUUUCUCCUGGAUUCUGAGUUGAAUUGUUUCAAGUCAAUUGAAUGCAUCUGAAUAUUAUUAGCUUGUUUGAAGGCCUGGUGAUUUUCCAUUUAACUUUACUUUCUUUAGGUUAUGCUCACUAUAAGAAAAAUGAGAAAUAAUGACGCUUUUUACGCGUUAAGAAAGGCAACAGAUGAUGCUUCUCUAAAGCGUCCUCUUCGGCUCUGUCAUUAUAUGUGUUAGCCAAUAAUGACGCUUCUAGGAAGUGCCAUCUUUGAAUAAUGUUAAUAACGACACUCGUAAAAAGUGUCAUCUUUAAACAUAUUCUGGUCAAAUAAUUUUUACAAAAUUAGUAAUCUUCAAGCCGUUUCUGAAUCAUAUCUGAGCCUAUUUCUGGGGACCAGAAAACCAUCUUUUUUCCAUUCGCCUGAGAGGUCUGAUUAGCAUUUCUGGAAUCAAUCUCUAAACCCAAGCUUCCCUCAUCUACCCAUUUAACCCUCAUGCCCUCCUGUUUGAACAACUUUCCCACUAUAUACACAAAUUUUUUACCUUCUGUUGUUGGUAUUCGACCUCUUCCCAUUCCCAGCACAGAAUCCACCAUUAGUGCCACUUUGUGAAUAAAAUCAUCGAACCAGAUCUUUCGGGCGGAAGAUGAGCUCCAGAGAAAUAAAAUUUUUGGGGUCUUCCCAGCAUGAAAGUCAUAGGUAGCAUUAAUGACAUCAAGAAAUGGGGCACUGUUGAGAAAAAACAUGUUCCCAUCAACCACCCAAGAAUUGUACCAGACUCCAAACACUUCUGGAUUACAUAUGCCUUUACUAAGAUAUAUUUCUUGAUCUCCAUAUCAGAAUCUUGGAGACUCUUCAUUUUAUGAGCUCUGACACUACUGUGAAAUUGGUCCACAUCAAUCACAGGAUGACCCCUUCUAGCAAGAUCAAGCAGGAAGUCUGAAUUCGGGCCCAUAAAAAUGUAGUUCUGAAUAUUGAAACUCUCAAAGUGGCACAACAAAUUCCUUAUGACUCUUUCAGAUGCUCCAAACAGGCUCACAAGUAUAAUGGUAUCCUGUUUUUGCACAGAGUAAAGAAAAUAUCCGAGUUCUUCAAAACUCCUUACAACUAUUCCAGGAUGUACUUCUUUGAAACAGAAAUCGUACCACUUUAGCUUAGUCAGAGGUUGAAUCUAAAAUAACAAAACCCAAACUGAAAUCAAAAUCGAAAUCAACCCUAAUAGAUUUCAGAAACAACAAAUUAAAAGAGUAAAGCACAAAAGGGGGAAAACACAUAUGAAGCAAUCUCCAUACAAGCCCUAACCUUAGAUAAACCCAAAAAAAAAAAUCAAAGCAGAGAGUUACCAUAGAGCAUCUCUGUUUCAAGCUUAGAAAAUGUUUAAUGCCAUUGAUAACUAGUUGGCUAGUGGUGGACUUCAAGCUUCUCUAUUUCGGUGUUAGUAGCUCUCAAUGGCUAUGGUGAGAACAAAGAAAUGAGAGGCUUAGGGUUUGGGAUGUGAGGUUAUUGAUGAUGAUGAGGAUAAAGUUAUGGGCUCUUGGAGGGGUUAGGGAAAUUGAAGAUGGCUGAGAGUAAAGGCUAGGGUUUUUGAGAUAGUUAAUAGCUUUUUAGGGUGUGACUGUCCAUAGAUAGAAGAUAAAUGAGGGUGUGAGAAUUUAUAGAUCUCUAGGUGAUAUGGCGGGUGUGAGAAUGAAAUUUUAGAGGGAAUUGUGUGUUUGGUAGAAAUUUCACACAUGCAUAUAUAAUGUUUCAGAACAUGGCACUUUAAAAAUACGACAAGGAAGAAAUUAUUUAUUGACGCUUAAAUAAAGCGCCAAGGUCUCCAACAUUUUUGCAAUCAAUGACGUUUGUAAAAGGUGCCAUUGAAUAGGAGUGCCAUUGCUUUCCCACAAAGCAUCAUUGUUAAUCAAGCCUUUAAAAAACGCCAAGAUAUGUUGCCACUUAGGUUAAAUAUUGACGCUUUUAAAAAACGCCAAGGAAAAAAACGUCAUUAUUCAUGUUUUUUGUAGUAGUGGCUUGAUUCCUAAAAAGUAAAGGAAAGCAAAAAGUAAAAAAAUAAAAAUGUGGAGAGUUAGGACAUGCGUUAUCUAAUUGUCCUAGUCCCAAAUAUAUUAAGAAAGUCAUGUAGGUUACUUGGAGUAACGAGUCAAGUAAAGCAAGCCUUCUAGUGUUUAAGACAUUAGAUAUUACCGAACUGAUUAUGUCAUUAAUGUAUUGCAUUUGUUGUUUCUAAUAUAUAGAAGAAGAUGAAAUUAUUGGAAUAAGUGGGAAAUAGGAAUAAAUCCAAGGUACCAAAAAGUCACUUUAUCUUAGAUGUUGUUGGAAACAUAAGUGAUUUCACAAUAACGACUAUGAGACAAUCAAGGAUUAAUAAGAUAGACUUUAUAUGAUAUACCUCCCAAUUAGAGCCUAAAAAUAUGGAUGAAGCACUUAGAGAUGAAUCUUCAAUUUUUGUACUAUAGGAAGAAUUAAAUCAAUUUGUUAGCUAUUCUUUGGAUAUUUGAUUCAUCACAAGCUACAAAUCACUUUUGAUGACCAAACACGAAACUAAGAGGAUUGGGCCCAAUUCGAUGCCUAUCAACAAUGAUUUGUAUUCCACCUCAUUAAUUAUUCAAAGUUGGGAAGCUAGGUCUAACCACUUUCUCUACCUGUUCACCCUUAGAGGAGCAGAAGAAAAUUCUAACUUUGGUGCCUAAUGCCUUUGACAAUCUUUCGACAAAGAGAGUUCACUAAUUACUUUGAUUAUUUCUCUGUUGGUCACUGGGGGACAAGACUUUUGUAAUGAAGUCAACUAGAACUUGCCCUUUGAGGGCCAUUCAUGGACGAUAUUACACCAUGAAUUCCCUUAGGUCAUGUUUGGUAUGUGAGAAUGAGGAGUGGAAUGGACAUCUUAUUCAUUUUUUCAUCUAUUCAAAUGUUGGGAUAACUCAAGUGACCAUGAGAAUGAAAUCAAGAAUGAUUCAAGGGAAAUGAAAUCUUACUUAUAAGUGUGAUUUCAAUUAAUCUCUAAUAGAAAUUAUUUUGAAUCAAUAGUGCAAGUUAUUUUUAAAAACAUUUUUCCAAAAUUAAAAAAAUCAAUUUUUUUUUUUUCGAUAAGUUGUUUUUAAAAGGAUUUUUUUUAUUUUGUAAAAAGAAAAUUGUAAUUCAAUUUAUAUAAUAUAAACUAAAUUUUAUUUUAUUCAAAAAGAAAUAAUUUUUUAAUUAUAAAUAAAUUAAAAAUAAAUACUUUUAAUAAAAUAUAAAUAGUAUUAUUAUAAUAAAAUCAUAAAUAAAUUUAAUUUUUUUUAUAAAUAUUAUAAAAAUAUGGAUAUUAACAUUGGAUAAUUGAUUUAUUUUGUUAAAAUAAAAAAUAAUAAUUUUUAAUAUUAUUUUAUGUUAAAUGAAUUUUAAAAUAAAGAAAGUUUAAUUAUUUUAAGGUAUAGAAGAGCCAAAUUUUGCAUUACAUACAUAACAAACAAUAUUUAUUAGAAACAUUUCUCAAGGAGAAUCUUAUUCCAUCUCACAAAGAUACUCGUUUAUUCGAUGUUUGACCAUCCGUAACAAUCAUGUCAAUUCUACUGAUUUAAUAAUUCCUUUACAUUUAUUACUCACUUAUGAACAUGGUAUUGUGAUUUAUUUAUUUAUUUGAUGUAUAAUUAAUUAAUCAAUUUUUUAAAUUUCAAAUUAUUUUUAAAAACUAUUCAUUAAGGAAUUUAAAGCAUUAAUUAUGUCUAUUAUUUUUUAUAGUCAUUAUAUAUAUAUUGAGUUUUAAUUUAUUUUUAAAAAUUAUUAAACUUAUUAAUAAAUUCAAUAUAAAGUCUCGUUUCAUUUGAAAUUCAUUUCUUUAGUGAAAAUUUUGAAAAAAAAAUUGUUAUUUAUUUUACUUUGUUUUAAAAAAAUUGUUUCUAGAGAACAAUAAUCAAAUAAUGGUAUGAAUUUUUAAAAACAAUUUUGUUUUUAAAUCAUAUGCCCAAAUAAUUUUUUUUUAUUUAGCAAAAAACUUUGUUGUAGUAUGUGGCUCAUAUUGAGGGAAAGACAUAUAUGGAGAAAAAUGUGCAAAUGUUGGAGUGGAGCGGAGUGGAAUGACGACAUUUGUCAUUCAAACUUGUAUUUUUAUUGUUAAGGGUGACCGAUAGGUUGGUACGGUUUAGGGGUAUUUUUGGAAUUUCAUUACCUGAGGGUUAGUAUAAAUACCAUUUUAUGUAACCCUAAUUUUACAUAUAAUGUAAGUUUUCUUCCUUGUUCUUGUGGACAUAGGCAAUCCGUCGAACCACGUUAAAUCUGUGUGUUUUUUUUUCUUUUUUCUUUUUCUCUAAUUUCUUCACCAGGAAUCGUUACACUAAGAUCAACAAACUCUCAAAGAUGAUUUUUAAAAUGAAAAAAAUAAUGUAUAGUGUGAGAAUUUUUUAUUUUUUAUUUUUUUAAAAUGAAAAUAAAAAAUUGCUUUAAGGUAAAAGUGUGGAUAUUAUUGUUAAUUUAUUUCAUUUUUCAUUUUCAUUUCCAUUGUUACCUACAAUUGAAAUGGAAACAACUAAUCAUUACAACCUUACAUUCUUAUAUGCAUCCAAAUACAAAAAUUGAAAUCACCAAAUUCAUAUUCAAGGCAAAAUAGGAAUGAAAACAAAUAUUCAUUCUCAUUCUUUAUUCCCACGUGUCAAACAUGACCUCAAAGUUAUAAACAUGAACAAGAAGUCCUUGAAACACCAAUGAUCUCUUCUGGUAUAUAUAUGAGCUUGAUUGACAACUGUUUUAAAUACAGUUUUUUUUUUUUUUGUUUUCAAAAUCAAAACAAAUUUAUUUUUAUUUUUUAUAAAUAGUAGUUUUUUAAUAUUUUUUUUAAACCUUAUUAUGAAAAUAGGAUGUUUUCUAAUAUCAUAUUUUAAUUAUUUUCAAUUAUUUUCCCUUCUUUUAAGGAGGGCUAUUUUAAAAAUAUGAAAAAUGAUACAAAAUAAAGCAUUACAAAUAAAAAUCAUUUUUAAGAAAUAUAUGAAAAUAAUUUGAGAACAUUUGAAGUUCCUUAAUUAAACUUUUGUUCUAGAAAAUGCAAGAAAACUGUUUUUGAAAAUUGUUUUCAUAAUGAUAUGCAUUGAUCGUUUAAAAUUUAAUUACAUGAUAAAAAGACCUAUGUAAAAACCAGAGUUAUAUAAUCAGUCAUAGAUCAAAUCUACUAAAUAUGAAAAGUAAGUACAUAGUUGUAUAUGACUUAGAUGGAGCCUUCUCCGAAUGACAUUCUUUAGUCGGUACUCAUAUUUUUUUGUUUCGUGUCUUCAACAUAACACCUCAUGAUCCUUAAUAAAUCACCUGAAAACUAUAUUAGCACCUUAUUGUUUAAUAUUUCUCUAAAUUUUUUUAUUAAGCAAAUAAAUUCCAAAUUUAAAAUGACAAAUAAAAUUUAUUAAUUUUUAAAAAUAAUUUAAAACUCAAAAACCAAUUUAAUUGAUAUUAAAAGUCAUGAAACUUAAUAAUAUUAGAAAGUCAUGUAUCCAAAUUUAUUUUAAAUGACUUGUUUAAUUUCUUGUUUAUAUAUAUUAUAUUUUUAUAAUUUUUUUUACUAUACAAAUAAAUUUUAAAUUAAACAAAACUUAAUGCGUUGAAUUCAUUAACGAGUCUAAUAAUUUUUAAAAGUUACUUAAAAUUUAAAUACUAAAUCAAUUAGUACCACAAAUUCAUGGAAAAAAAUUGAUUUAUUACUACUAUAUUGUUUCUCUAUUGCAUAGAACCAUUAUUUUUCAAUUUUUUCAUUUGGCAAAUGAACAUCAAAUUAAACAAGACUAAGUGUAUUAAAUUCAUUAAUGGGUCUAGUAAUUUUUUAAAAUAAUUUAAAAUUCAAAUAUUGAUACUCCAAAUUAAACAAGACUUAGGUGGUGUUUGUUUUUUGGUUGAAUAGAAAAAGGUAAAAUAUUUGACUUUUUCUAUUUAGUUAAAAGUAACUUGUUGACAUCGUCCAAUAUAAUUAAAGUAAACCUAUUGAGGGCAAGUUCACUUUAAUUAUGUUGGACGAUGUCAACAGGUUACUUUUAACUCAAUAGAAAAAAUCAAAUAUUUUGACUUUUUUUUUAACUCAAAUAAUAAAUCCAUUAAUACAAAAAAAUUAUGGAUAAUUUGAAACUUUCUUUCUUUUUUUUUUUUUUUUUGCUACACAUAGCUAUAUUUUUAUAAAUUUUAUCAUUAGAGAAAUGGAUUUCAAAUCAAGUGAAACUUUGUAUUGAAUUAAUGGAUUUAACAUUUUUUAAAAAUAAUUUGGAACUAAAAAAAAAAGAUUUAAUUACUAAGAAAAUCAUAGAUCAAAACUAAUAUAUUCUGAUCCAUGAUUUUAUUAUUUUUCCUAUACAUACAAUUAUAUUUUUAUAAUUUUCUCACUAGGUAAAGAUAUUAUAAAUUAAGUGACACAUAAUUAAUAAUUUAAAUUUUUGAAUGAAUCUUUUAAUUUUAGGAAUAAUUUGAAAUUUAAAAAGUUGAUCCAAUUAAUUGUAAAUUAACUUAAAAUAUUAUAAAAUAUUAUGUUCAUAAUUAAGUACUAAAUGUAUAUAUGUAAUGAAAACUUAACUAGUUACAUGUUACAAAAGCCAAAAUUUAUUCAUUCUUUAUUUUAAAUAAAAUAUUAUUAAUAAUUAUUUUUUUUAAAAUAAUAUUUAGUAAUUAUUGUUUUUAAAUUAUUAUUAUUAAUUUUUAAUAAAAAAAUUGCAAAGUUAUUAAUAUCAUUAUAUUUCUAACAUAAAUUUAAAUAGUAUAUUUUUUAAUAUAUAUAUAUAUAUAUAUAUAUAUAUAUAUAUAUAUAUAUAUAUAUAUAUAUAAUUUAUGAUUUCAUUAUAAUAUUUUUAUUCAUGAUUGACGAAAAAUUAUUUAUUGUUUAAUUUAUUUGAAUUGCAAAACUAUUUUUCAAAAUUCAAGCGAGAAAAUAGGCCUGGAUUUGAAUUUCCUGUAGAAGAGAAGGAUGUGGAGAAUAUGUUGGGAGUAUUUGUGGAUAAAGAAAAGGCCAGGGUACUGAGAAAGGAGAGAGAACUUGCUCUUGCCAAAAGAGCCCUGCACAGGUAUUCUACUGAUUCUAAUUAUCGGUUCUUACAUGAUCAGAUUUCAGAUUUAUUUGCUGAGCUUCUGAAAUCUGAUACAGUAUUUAAACUCCGGUGAGCUUUACAAGAUUAGUCUCGCAUCCAAUUCCAAAUGGUGUCCCACAAUUGAUUCUUCUUAUGAUAAAUCCACCUUGAUAUGUGAAAAUAUUGCUCGAAAGGUUUAUCCUCGCGAGGAAUAUCCAGAAUACUAAGGAAUUGAGGAGGCUCACUAUGUUUAUAGAGUCAGGGAUAGGUUGAGAAAACAAGUAGUUGUUCCAUUACAUAAGGCCCUGGAGUUGCCAGAGGUUUUCAUGUGUUCGAACAAGUGGGGAUCACUUCCCUACAACCCUGUGGCUUCAGUGGCCAUGAAAUCAUACAAGAGCCUCUUCUCAAACCAUGAUACAGAGCGGUUUGGUGAGUAUCUUGAGAAAGUGCAAACUGGGAAGGCUAAGAUUGCAGCUGGUGCAUUACUUCCCCAUGAGAUUAUAGCUUCAUUGAAUGAGGAGGAUGCCGAGAGAGUUGCCGAGCUUCAGUGGGCAAGAAUGCUGGAAGAUUGAUCAAAGAAAGGGAGGCUCACAAAUUGCAUUGCAGUAUGUGACGUAUCAGGAAGUAUGAGUGGAACUCCAAUUGAGGUGUGUGUGGCUCUGGGGCAGUUAGUUUCAGAGCUCAGUGAAGAUCCAUGGAAAUUAAGGUAAUGUAAUUACUUUCAGUGCAAAUCCUGAGCUUCACAAGAUCCAAGGAGACAGCCUUGUAUCCAAGACUGAAUUUGUGAGGAUGAUGGAAUGGGGUGCCAACACUGACUUUCAGAAAGUUUUGACAGAAUCUUACAAGUAGCAGUGGAGGGAAAUAUGAGUGAAGAUCAAAUGAUAAAGAGGGUUUUCGUUUUCAGUGAUAUGGAGUUCGAUGAAGCUUGUGGGAGGUAUAACUAUUGUGACUAUGACUAUGAUAUGGAGGAAAUUGACGAGAGUCAGAAGGCAUCUCAGAAGUGGGAGACAGAUUAUGAAGUGAUACAGAGGAAAUUCCAGGAGAAAGGAUACAGAAAAGUUCCAGAGAUAGUGUUUUGGAACCUUAGAAACUCAUCAGCGACUCCAGUGACGGCCACAGAGAACGGGGUGGCCUUAGUAAGCGGGUUUUCAAAGAAUCUGUUGACCUUGUUUUUGGAAGGAGGUGGAAUUCUGAUCCCUCAGGAUGUGAUGGAAUUCGCCAUCUCUGAUGAAGAUUACAAGAAACUUGUUCUAUUUGAUUAAGAUAUCAAGAGAUUUAUCAAUAAUAAUAUAUUUUUUUUCUAUGUGAAAUACAUAUAAUAUUAACUGUGGAGUUAUCAAAGUUCUGGAGGUUUAAUUAUUUCUUCUUUUCAAGUUUUGUUUAUUUAAGGUUUUCUUUGUCUUUGUUAGGAAUUCCCCUUGGGUGGACCCAGCUGGGGAGUUGGAUUGAGGAAGUAAGCAGGCGAACUUGUGUUCUUCUAUGGACAGAGAAAAAAAAUAAAAUAAAAAAAUAAAAAAGGAGGUUAUUUGCAUUUGGAUGUCGUGGUUUGAGGGUACAACUACAAGCUCGAAAUUGUACAUAAUGUGAAAACUCCUGUGUCCAUUGCUGAGAACAGCAUAAAUGAUGGUGAUUUUCAAGUUGUGCCUGGUAUUCUACAGGAUGAAACAAGAAAGGAUCCAGGUGGUAUAUUGAACAAUAUCCCAAUCAUGUUGGUGGCAUCUUUAUUUAGUUAAUGGUAUUCAUUUGGUGGAAGCUGGUUGUUUAUGAUGUUUUUAAUUUUUUUUAACAUGAAGUUCGAUCAAAUACGUAUCUUAGUAUGUUUUGUUUGAGCUAAUUGGCAAAUGCGCUUUAAACAUGGUCACAUGGAUGCAGUUUUAUUUGUGAAAUGAUAAUAGUCGAUUACUUGGUCAGUAAGGUUUAUAUCUCUAACUUCAACAUCUUAUUGUAGUCUUUUAAAAUGUCAAAAGUUUAAUGCUUGAGAAAUUUUGGAAUGGAGACAUUCUAAACAAAGUUAAUAAUCCACAAGACUUGGUAAAACCGAUCAGAUGAUGCUUACGUACAUCAAUGCCUUCUUUAAGCCAUAUCCUAUUUUCAUUGAACGGGAUGUGCCAUCUAGUUUGGUUCUUUAAGCCUCCAAAUCCUAAACCUAGUCUCAAUUUAGAGCAAAUUUAGGGUGCAGGGCCUGCAUGCCUCCCCCUCCCCCUUCCACAAAUAGUAGUGACCUUGCUAUGCCUAUGCAUUGUCAAUGCCUCAUUUUCUAUGGUCUCCAAUGUAAUAUCUUAGUUUCAAUGUCUCUUUCCUUACUAUCUCCAAUGCAAUAGAUUGAUUUCAAUACCUCUUUACAACUAAGACCUCCAAAUUUUCUUGGUUCAAACCUACCAGAAUUUUUCUUCUCCUUUGCUUUCUAUCAAUAUUAGUUCCCCUAAUUUAAUAUAUACUUCUUUAUUACCUUCAACUCUACCUCUCUUUCUUUCUCUAAAAGCUUCCUCAAAGAUUUAAUUGCUUUCUUGCAUGUUUUAAGAAAACAAACAUGCUCAUAUUACAUUACCUCUACUUGAGAUCUACCUUAUACUCUACCUUCUUUCUUUACCUCCUAUAUCAUCUACUACAUUAGCUUCAAAAAUAUUAUUUAGUUUGAUACUAAAUAAGGCUCCUAAUCCUACUCUUCCUUCAACAAACUUUCUUUUUACAAGUUCCUUAAACUUUAUUUUUUAUUUUUUAUUUUUUGGAAAUUCGGGUUAGAAAGAUUCCAUUACUCUUACCUAAUAUUUCAACCAUCAAGUUGAAUCCACUUAUUGCCUAAAUCCAAGGAGUCUGCCCUCCACAAAAACAAGGAAAUUGAUCCCACAAUAACAAGGAGAUUGCCUUCCACAGAAACAAAGAGAUCUCCCUUCACAGAAGCCGAAUACAUUGCAAUCUAUUUUCUUUCUUGUAAGAUCAAAUCUUCAAUCGAGCUCCAUCUUAUGGGGGCAUAUUAGAGAAAUUUAAUAUUAUCCUUAAUUUACAUAUUAAUAUUUAUCUAUUUAUUAUAUAUUGAAUUAAAAUAGAAUAUAGAAUUUGAAUCAUAGUAGAAGUUUACUAUAAGAUUGAAUUACAAUAGUUAAUAGAGUUUAAAUUAUAAUAACUCAAAUACAUUUAUAUAUAUUUGACCUUACGAGAUUUUCUAUUUAUGUAUUUGAACUACAAUCCUUAUGAUCCUUAGGUCUCUAUACCUUCGUGAUGGGCUCCUUGACAUUUCAUAGGUUGUGCUACACAUGCAUUUGAAAUUUAGAGUGCAUUUGACAGUGAUUCUGGGAAGUGUUUUUGGCAUUUCUAACACUUAAAAUUUUUUAUUUUUCAAGUAUUAGAAAUGCUACAAACACUUUUGAAAAUUACUGUCAAACACACUCUUAGGAGCGCAUAUAGUAGAAAACUAGAAAUUGUGGUUUUUUUAGGAUUUACUGUAAUGUCAUUAGGAGGGUAGUAAGUUGAAACUGAGUAUGAAUAAAUAUUUCUUUCUUUGGGAUGUUCUUCUGGUAGGUGCUGAUGAAACUGUUCUUUUUACUGCCAAUGUCACAUAUCAGCCAGAAAUUGAAAAUUUCAGUCAAGGUGUCCUCGGUUUUAGUGGUGAGGAAAGCUAGAAAUUUUAAGGUGAAGUUCUGUUAAAAACCUUAAGUAGCUGGGAUAUCAGGCCUGUUUUGCUUGAAAAAAAAAGUUGCAAGAUAACUCAUAUGCCAAACAGGUUCUGAUAUUGUGAAUCUAUCGGCAGACAUCAGUAAUCUCAUCUUCUGAGAUGGAUGUUGGGGGUGCAUGUGGUGGUGGAGGGGCAAGGUUUCAUUUGGUUUAUUUUGUUGAUGGAUAUUGUCUAGCCCCCUGCGCCAAGUUUGAGGGGUGGUGGGUUGUGAUGGCCCUACAAUUACUAUUAAUUUCUUCCUCUUUUACCGAUUAAAGUGUCCGAACAGUCGAAGUUACCCUUAUGCAUGUCAACUUGAUCACUUACCUCUUCAAUGGAGUUUAUGCUGGUUCAUUUAGGAACUGAUUUUUAUUGUUAUGCAUUCUAUGCUGAUGUUUAGGCCUCUCCAUCAUCACUAUAUACAAAAAUUCUAGGUUGAUACUAUAGGUUGAGAUUUAUUUUUUAAAUAAAAAAUAAUAAAAAUAAAAAUUAUGGUGAUGUUUAGUUGUUUUAUGGAAAAUUUUAACAAGUUAUUUUUGGGCAAGUUUUCAAACAAAAAGAAAAGUAAAAGUUGUUUUGACAAAAACAUAUAGAAAAAAAAAAUCAUAGAAAAGAAAUAAUUUCCCCAUAUUCUAACUUUUUUUAAUUUUUCUCAAUGGGCAAAGGAAUAUCAAAUCAAGUUUGAGUAGGAUUUCUUAAUUUUUAAAAUAACUUACAAUUAAAAAAUUUUGGUGUUUUCAUUUUUGGACAAUUUUUUAUUAAGCAAAUGGACUCUGAGUCAUGCAAGAGAUAUGGUUGAUUAAUGGGUCAAACAAUUUUUUUAAAAUAAUUUAAAACUCAAAUACAUAAUCAAUGUCACAAAAUUUAUAAACAAAAAUAGGUUUAGAGAAGAUCUACACAUAAUUUUACUUUUCUAAUUUUAUUUUAUUUUAUUUUUUUGUUGGAAAAUAGUCUUCAAAUCAUGUAAGAUUUAAUAGGUUAAAUUUGUUAACAAUAAAUUUUAAAUUAUAAAAUAUAAUCUGGAACUUAAAAAUCAAUUCAAGUAAUGCUAAAAAAAAUCAAAUUUGGUAUAGAAUGACUACGUAAAAUUUUUUACAAAACAAAUGAAUUUUAAAUCAAGUGAGAUUUAAUGCAUUAGAUUUUUAUCAAAUAUAGUAAUUUUAAAAUUUAAUUUGGAACUCAACAAUAGACACAAUAAAUACCAAAAAAUAAUGAACCAAAAUUGGUUUGGAAUAACUCCACAACCUCUUUUUUUUUUUUUUGGUGCACACGAAUUUUCUUACUAGGUAUAUUGCUUUCAAAUUGAGAAAGAUUUACUAUUUAGAUUUUUUUUUUUAAUGAGUUUAAUGGUAUUUUAAAAUAAUUCAAAAUUUCAAAAAUUGACUAAUUACUAUUAUAAAUUCAUAAACCAAGACUAAUUCAAAAUGCAUUGGGGGCUAAGGGGGUUGAAAAUAGGGACAAUGGGAUGGGUUUGGGACAUGACACUCAUAUCUCAUUUCCAUUCCAAUUACAUAGUUAUCUCCCAUCCUUAUCCCAAACUUGUGUUGGAGCAAGUUGAUUUGUUCCCAUCUUUGUUGAUGAAAUGACUAAUAACCUCAUCCCCUCCUUAUCUUAGAUGUACAUUUUGUCAAAUUUGAUCAGGUAUGAUUGAUCCAAGCCCUAACCCUAAUUGGUAAUGACUGGAUACUACACCUAAUUGCAUUCUUCUUUCGUCGCAAAAUAAUGAGAUUAUAAUAAUCUAGCAAAUAAGAAAAAAUAGUAUGGAAGUUCAAUUUAACACCAUAACUAUCAAUAAUUUUAAGCUUAUAGAUGACUUAAAUGAUUAAAAACUAAUGCAAAAUACCAAAAAAAAAAGUUCAUAUAAAGAAUUCACAAGAGAACAAAAUGAACAAAAACCAAAUAUGAACAUGGGUCAACAUUAGUUAUGGAUUUGGAUUCCUUUCAAGGCCAAUCUUUGAACCAAGACUUCAUCAAAUCUACUACUUCAAAGGCUUUUGUGUUCUUCUUGGGUUGUGCUCUCAAACAAAGACUUCAAGGUGAUGCUCUAGAUGAUUGCAUUACACAUAUUUAGGGUGGAGAGAUUGGAGAAGCUUGAAGAUGCCAACGAUGGGUACAAUUGAGUGGUCAAUAAGAACAAUGUAGCCUAUGACUAGUUUGAUGUCGUGGUACAAGAGUUUUAGGCAUUGAGGUUAAAGCAAGAGCAACAUGGAAUUGAUUUUGGAGUCUUUCAAUUAGUGUAAAGGAGGAAGAAGUGGUAUUGAUUCUAGAAAUAGGGUUUUAGGUGGUGCGUUAGAGGAUGAAGAAGAAGAAAAAGAAGGAUCUGUUGGAAUUAGUGUGAGUGUGAAGAGAGAAGUAUAUAAAUAAGGGGAAGUAAAAGCAAAGUUCUAAAAGCUAUAUUUUUUUUUAUUGUUGGUGUAUGGUUGCAUGAUUAUCCCUAUAAAUAAUAGGAGUUUUUUUGGUAUUCUACUAGUAGUUGAAGGAUAAUUUCAUAAAUUUAUAUUUAGAGUGGGGUGGGGUGAGUUGUGACAAAAUUCAUACCCGUCCUAAACCUUGGUUCAGAUUUUUAAAAUAUCCUCAAACUUAUCAUAUACCCAACUUUUAUAUUUCAUACUUGUCUUGAUAGAGGCAGGUUAGGCCGGGUUACUUGAGUAACCUACAUAAUUGUCAUCCCUAGUUGAAAUACACUUUUUUGGCAGUGGCCACCAACUGAGCUAGAAGCUUGAUCGAUUGACCUACAAGAUUAGUUCUCAUCAUUUUAAAAAAAGUUUUGGCCUUGGUUGUGAGUGCAAUUGAAUCUAAACUGGCAUUUCCUUAAUGCAUCUACUUCAAUCCUAAAUUUCUUACUUCCUAAGCCUCAAUUGUUGUUAGGAUUUUGGAAAGCCCAUUUCCUUAAAUUGUAAAUUUAAGAAAAAAUAAAAUAAAAGUGAGACAUUUCUUGAUUGAAUAUUGUUAAAGGUCCCUUGGCAUUAAGACUUGGUUGAAGCCUUGGAAGAUUAGUGGAACUCUCAACUUGUGUUUGAAUCUUGAGGAGAGUGGACGUAAGCCAAAAUUUUGUCAAACCAUUAAACAAAUUGAGUUUGAAUCCUCAUUUCUUGAUUUCUUAUUUAUUUGCUUUUUCUUAUUAUUACUUGAAUUGUCAUUUGCAUUCAUUAAUGUUAAAAUUGGUUAUAAUUAACCAACACUAAUUCUCUUUCCCCUUCCCUUUCUUGGGUGUAAACCUAGGUUGGAUUAACUAGAUUAAUUUAUAAAAUCUAUUAAGAUGGUAAAAGAAUAAUUAUUCUUAACACACAUAAGAUCAUCUUCAAUCAAAUGACUCAUUGGCUAAUAUGUUGAAUUUGCUUAUUACUUGCAACUCAAAAUUGUGUUCUAGUUGAUAUGUCAAGUCCCCAGUGUAUGGACAUUAAAUUUGUAGUACGUGAUGGUAAUUAGAUGGUCCAACUCCAAGAAAGUGAUUGAAAACUAGUUCAAGAAAGGUGCAAAAGGGAAUUGUUUUGGUAUUUUCGUUUUUAUUCUUGAAGGUGGCAGAGCUAAAAUUUGUGAAAUCAAGCAAAACAUACUGAAAUUACAUUGAAAGAAAGAAAAUGGGAGUUAAUGUCUUGCAGUAGAUGAUAAGGACUUCAUGCAUGUAGUAUGACCCAUGUCUUGGACUGAUGCCAACUCACGGUUACACUUAUACCCUUGGUUCUCUCUUUACUACCUUGGCUAACCUAGAUCAGGCUAUGAGAUAGGCUCCUCACCACACCAUUACUUGCCCAUUAAUUAGAGACAUUUUCAAGCACUGAGGUAACAUGGUGACACCAAGAGGGUUUAUUCCUCGCCCUCCUCGCCCUCAACAAGUCUAGACUUGGUCUCAAAAAAAUGGAGAAAAAUGAGGUGUCGUUAUGUAGAAAUACAACAACCAUGCCUUCCUCAUUACUUUGAUUCAGAAUGUGAAGGUGAAAUUGAGAAACAGAAACUCUUGAAACCAAAAUGAAAAUUGAUACUUUUACGAAGAAUUACAACAACAUUGGAGGAAGACUACAUUCUUCCUCUUUAUUCCUACAUUUCUACACUACUUCUACUCCACUCCAUAUUUCUACAUACAUCUUUAAUCAGUCUUCCCUCCUUUAUAUAGAGCCAUCUUCACACAAAUUCCGCAAGGUAGAAAAGAGGAAUGAAACUUGGAGCAAGGUUCGACUACUGGCUGUAGCUUGUCAAGGCUGGAAGUGAACCUUUUUUCUUGGCUUUUCUGGGCAUGGGUAGUAACUUGUGGGUUCCUUUUUGGGAUACAAAUGGCUAGAACAUGUGGCACUAUCUUGUUGGAUGAUGUGUCAAGCAUGUGGCAGCCAUCUAGUGGCGAUUAUGUCAAUUUUGGGAUGGAGAGUUGGCAUCCAAUUGCAAAGAAAUAUGACGUCUACCAACAGGCAAUGUAAACCUAUGUAGAUCAUAUGAAGAUAGAGAGGAAAAAUAUAGAAAUGGAUAUAUACCUAGAACUAGCUUUUUAUUAAAUGAAACGGAGAGCCAACAAUGAAGGAAAAUAAAUUUUUUUGGCUUAUAUCAAAGAGUUCACAUUGUGCUACCCUAGGUUUUCUUAAAACUUACUUUUAUGAUAACAAAAAAAAAAAAAAACAUUAUUGUUUAAUCCUUUGUUUUAAACGCAUGUUUAGCAAGUUAUAAAAUGUAAAAAUCUUUCUAAGUUCAAAUAUGAAGAUAUGACAUCAUUUCAAGCAAGAUAGUCUCUAGGAAUUAAUGUAAAGCUAAAUUAAGGUGAAAUUAAAUUAGUUCAAUGCAUUAAUUUAAGAAACUUGACCUAUCAAAAGUACAAAAUUAGAUGAAAUCCAUUUCAAUGGUUAAAAUGAUCAAAAUCAAACUUUUUCUAAGUAUUUUUUAAAAGUAUCAAUAUUGAAAGACAAUUUUAUAUUUAGUCAGAGUUUGGACAAAACCAAAAAGCACACAAAAUCCAAGCGACCAUCUCUAGCUUGGAUGGUCGCUUGAUCUCUAGCUUGUGUACUUGGAAAGCAACAUCGAGAUGAUAUAUAUAUAUAUAUAUAUUUUAUAUAAUAUUGUUUGUCCAAAUUCCCUAAAAAUUAGGCCACCACAUGUUCAUAAUUCUCCCUUCUUGAAUUUGAAAACUCGGACAAUUGGACAAUGCGACACCUAAGUCCGGUUUCUAAAUGCUAAAGUGAAAGGGUAGGUAUGGACCAUUGAAAUGUGAUCACAACUUUUCUCUGUAGCCAUGUUGUCUCUUUUUUCUUUUGCAUGAUUUUCUCACCUUAACAGAAUCAUAGACUUGUUUAAUCUCUAAAUGGGAUUAAUUUCAUCCAGCUUUAAGCUACUAUAUUAUAUCUAGGUGGAGGACUUUUAAGAGUGCAACCGACAUAGAGCACAUGCAAGUGGGUAUAUGGGACAUGAAAUUUCUUCUUAUAAAGAUUGCAUGAUUUUUAUAUUAGAGUUGUUGGGGCGCAAUGUAUGUAGCUUGUUUUGCAGUUAAAUUAAUUGGAUAAGUAGACAUUGGCGUUUCUAAAUCUACUGUGAAGUGCUUCAUGUACGUGUGAAGUAUUAGAAAUUUCUUUCUUGGCAACUUGUUUUUUCUUUGCGGUCUACUGAUAGGUUUGACUAAAAUUAUAUUCCCUGUCAUGCUAAUUAAUUUUCACGUGCAUGCUCAAAAGAAGAGUAUGACCUUAGUGCACCAAAAUCACUUUGAUUAAUUUGUGAUAGGUUUUUGUGCAUCAUGACAUUAGCCUUAUUCAUUUAGAUAAUGUUUAGUUUUUAGAAAGUAUUAAGAAAAGGAAAAUAAAUAUUAAGAAAAAUAUUCUUAUAUUUGAUUGUAUUAUGAAAAAUGUCAUAAAAAAAUCAAAUAUAAUUUAAAUUAAUUAAUAAUUUAUACAUUUUCAAAUUAUUUAAUCUUUAUAUUGAAGAUAUAAUAUAAAUGAAAUGAGUUUUAAGUAUUAUAUAAAAGUGAUUUAUUGAUCUUGCAUAUAUGUAUUUCUUUUUUUUUUCUUCUAUUUUUUUUCUUUAUUUUAUUUUCCUUAUGUUUUCCUCAACAUUUUCCGGAACCAAACAUAGCCUUAGGAAAUCCACAAUUACCUUCAACUGAGUAUAUUCGGUUGUUUUAGCAAUGUUAGGCUGCUAACUUGUGUUGGUACGAACCUGUUAAGCCUAAAGAUGUAAUUAGUUAGGAUAUUCUUUUCCCUCUAGUCUUGUAGCUCCACGUGUAUAGUUGGUUAGGACCUCAUUGUAUAUAAUGCCUGCCCUGUUAUUGUUGAAGACAACAGAGAUAAAUAAUAUUAACAUUUUUCCUCUCAUCUCUCUUUGUUUCCCUCUGUUUUCAUCUCCUCUCUCAUCUUGGUAUCAGAGCCUCCAUGGAUUCUUUCAAAGAAACCUCCGAAUCACCUUCUGCUAGCAUUGUUAAUGUGCAAAACCCAUUAUCUCAGUCAAACAACCUUCCUUCACCAGCAGCCACACCCUCUUUUUCUUUCUUGUCUAUGAAUCAACCUCUCACAGUGAAGCUGGAUAAUGGAAACUACCUCAUCUGGAAGAAUUAGCUUCUGAAUGUCAUCAUUGCGAACAGACUCGAUGAUUUCAUUUAUGGAACUCGACCCUGCCCUCCUUGAUUUCUCAAUCUGCAACAACAAACCCUCACUCCAGAGUACUCGGUCUAGCAGAGAUACAAUCGACUUCUAAUGAGUUGGCUGUACGCAUCCUUGUCCGAAGAUAUAAUGACUCAGAUUGUUGGGUAUUCAACAACUGUGGAGAUUUGGAACGUCCUUAAUCAGAUUUACUCUGCCUCUUCAAUGGCGUGGGUUACCGAGCUUCACACCAAGCUUCAAACGCUCAAGAAAGAUGGACUCUCAGUUGGUGAAUAUAUUCAAAGGCUCAAAUCCAUUUGCAAUAGUCUUGCAGCAAUAGGAGAACUAGUUUCUGAGAAAGACCAGCUUAUCUAUUUGUUCAAUGGAUUAUAUUGUGAGUAUAAUUCUUUUGUUACCUCCAUUCAAAAUCGAUCUGACCAACCAACUAUUGAGCAAAUCCAUAGCCUAUUGCUUAGCUAUGACUUUCGGCUUGAACAACAAAACUCUGUUUCUCUCCAUUAUGCCCAAGUCCGUAUGGCUCAUCUGAACAAGAAACCUUAUAAAUCAACUCCUCAACCUACAUUCAAUCAUAUUCACAUUCAACCUAGAUACUCUUCUCCACCUUUUAAGCCAACCACUAGUCAAUAUCAACCCAGGAUUUUGGGCAAACCACAACCACAACCAUGACAGCCUCAACCUCAAUGGAAACCACAUUUUUCAAUCCAGAAUCAAAAGCCUCAGUGCCAAAUUUGUGGUAAAUUUGGACACACUGCUCUUAUUUGCUUCCAUUGCACAAAUUUGAACUAUUCACCCCAACCUUCUCCUAAAUCUUUCAAUACUGUUCUCACCACAAAUUCCCAGCUCCCUAAUCCUCCAAAAUUUUCUUACCCUACAAUGGCUCAUCCUGCUGCUACGCAUAACACGAUUCCUGAUACAAAUUGGUACAUGGACUCAGGUGCUACACAUCACUUUACUCCGGACAUCAACAUGCUUGACACUGUGACACCAUUUAGUGGUUUAGAACAGGUGACAGUUGGGAAUGGUAAGCAACUCUGUAUCUCACAUCUUGGUACUGCAAAACUACCAUCCUCGUAUUCUCCUCUUGUUCUACAUCAGGUAUAUCACACUCCAAAAAUUUCAAAUAAUCUUAUUAGUGUUAGAAAAUUGUGUUCUGAUAAUAAAGUUUUUGUUGAAUUUUAUGCCACUCAUUUUCUUAUCAAAGAUCAAGUUUCGAAGAGAGUUCUCUUUCAAGGUCAACUUGAUAAUGGCUUAUACAAAGUUCAGUCGUCAUGCUCUCCUUCUACUAUUUCCUUUCAUCCUCAAGUUUUCAUAGCCAACAUCAAGGAUCAAAAUUUGUGGCACAAGAGACUAGGCCACCCAGCUUUAUCUGUUAUUAAUCAAAUCUUGGAUUCUUGUAACAUUGCUCGAACACAGAAAAUUGGUUUUAAUUUUUGUAGUUCUUGUCAAUUAGCAAAAAGCCACAGGCUUCCUUUUUCUCUGUCUCCAUCCAUUGCAGAAAAACCUUUUGAGUUAAUUCAUACAGACCUAUGGGGUCUUUCUCCUGUUCGCUCUAUUUCUGGUGCUCGUUAUUUUUUACUUUUCAUUGAUGAUCAUACUCGUUUUACUUGGUUUUAUUUGCUCAAAACAAAAGAUGAAGCAUAUCCUACUUUUCUCAAGUUUCAAGCUCUCAUUGAAAAUCAAUUUAAUACCAAGAUUAAGGUUGUCCAAUCUGAUUGGGGAGGUGAGUUUCGAUCUCUCUCCAUACUGUUUUCAAAUAUGGGCAUUGUCUAUCGUUUAUCAUGUCCAUACACCUCACAACAGAAUGAGUGGGUUGAGCGAAAAAAUCACCAUGCGGUUGAAAUGGGAUUGUCCUUUCUUGCUCGCUCGGGUAUGCCCUUAUCUUAUUGGCCUUAUGCCUUUCAAACUGCCACUUACCUUAUUAAUCGUCUCUCUACCCCUGUGCUGCACCAUCAAUCCCCUUACUUCGCACUCUAUCACAAAUUCCCAGCUUAUACUCAUCUUAAGGUCUUUGUUCCUCUUGUUUUCCAUAUUUACGCCCUUAUAAUACCCAUAAACUCCAAUACAGGUCACUGGAGUGUGCUUUUCUUGGUUGCAGUUCACACCACAAAGGUUAUCUAUGUCUUGACAUUCAUUCUAGCAGGGUGUAUAUUUCUCGCCAUGUGAUUUUUAAUGAAGAUUCUUUUACAUUCAAGAAUUUGAAAUCUUCUCUCUCUUAGUCUAUUUCUUCUUCCUCUUCUUUAUUAGUUCCUCUGUUCAUUUCCUUGCCUCCCCUCUCCCCAUAUCCUCCUAUUUCUCCAUCUAUAUCUCAUUCUUUUCUCUCUUCUUCUUCUACCUCUAGUACUUGUUCCCCUCUCGUUGCUCCUACCUCUCUUCCUCCCUCUUCACACUUUGUGUCCCAUCUAUUCCACCUCCUUCUCCACCUUCUUCGAGUGUGGACCUGCUUGUACCUUGUGUGAAUACAAAUUUACUUACUUUUUCUCGCACUCACAAUAUUCAUCCUAUGGUGACCAGAUCUAAGGGUUUGUAUCUAUAAACCUAAGUUGCUAUUGAGUGUCUCCAUAGGUUCUCUCACUAAGCCUACUUCCUUUCUUCAAGCUAUUAAAGAUCCUUCAUGGAAGCAAGCCAUGGAAUUGGAGUUUGCUGCCCUUCAACACAACAAGACCUGGCAUCUAGUUCAUUCACCUUCCUCAGGCAAAGUAAUUGGUUGUAAAUGGGUCUAUAAGAUAAAGCUUUAGCCUGAUGGCUAAUUGAGAGAUACAAGGCCCGCUUAGUAGCUUAGGGUUAUCAUCAAACUGAAGGUAUUGACUACUUCGAAACAUUCAGCCUGGUUGUCAAGCCUUCUACUACCGUAUUGUGCUCAGUCUUACUUUUUCCCAGAAUUGGUGUAUUAGACAGCUGGAUGUUCAUAAUGCCUUCUUACAUGGUGACUUAGCUGAAGACGUUUUCAUGGAACAACCACCUGGAUUUGUUGAUCCUCUCUAUCCUACUCAUGUCUGCAAGUUGGAUAAGUCUCUCUACGGUCUUAAUAGUCACCUCGGGCUUGGUAUACUAAGCUGAGUACUUCUCUACUACACUUGGGAUUUGUUACUUCUAAGAAUGACUCUUCCUUAUUUAUUUGUCAUUCGUCUCAUGGGUUACUUCUUGUUCUUGUCUAUGUGGAUGAUAUAAUCGUCACUGGGAGCCACUCUCCUCAAGUUACUCACCUUAUCCAAUAGUUGCAUCAUCAGUUUUCUUUAAAGGAUCUUGGUCAUUUACACUAUUUUCUGGGCUUGGAGGUUCAUCACACCCCUACUGGUAUUCACCUCAGCCAAGCAAAGUAUAUCACUGAUCUCCUUACCCGGGCGGCUAUGUUGGAUGCCAAGCCAUGUCCCACUCCUAUGUCCUCCAACACAUAUCUUUCUCUUCAUGAUGGAGUGGCUCUUGAAAAUGGUUCAGAUUAUUGAAGUUUUGUUGGUGCCCUUUAGUAUUGUACCAUGACACGCCCAGAUAUAGCUUUUGCAGUAAAUAAAGUGUGUCAAUUCAUGCACCAUCCCUCUGAUGUUCACUGGCAGGCUAUAAAACGUAUUCUCCAGUACUUAAAGGGCACAUCUCAUUUUGGUCUCUUCCUACAGCCUUCCUAUGACUUCAACAUCACUUGCUAUACAGAUGCCGACUGGGCUUCCUGCCUUGAUGACAAGUGUAGCACCAGUGGCUACUGCCUCUUUCUUGCCUCUAAUCUGGUUUCUUGGUCAUCUUCCAAACAAAAAGUGGUCUCCCGCUCCAGCGCCAAAUCAGAGUACCGAGGGGUAGCAAAUGGGGCUGCUGAAAUUGCUUGGACUGAAUCUCUUCUUUGUGAACUUUCCACCCACUCGACCUCCCCUCAUUGUCUGUGACAAUAUCAGUGCCACAUACUUAGCUGUCAAUCCUAUUUUGCAUGCCCGCACCAAAACAUGUGGAAAUCGACUAUCACUUUGUCUCGGAACGUGUUCUUCAACGCUCUCUCUCUCUCCAGUUUACACCUUCGGAUGAUCAACUUGCUGAUUGCAUGACCAAGCCUCUCUCCACCCAACGUUUCAUCACUCUACGCUCCAAGCUCACUGUUCUCACUAGACCAAUGAGCUUGAGGGGGGAUGUUAAGCCUAAAGAUGUAAUUAGUUAGGAUAUUCUUUUCCCUCUAGUCUUGUAGCUCCACGUGUACAGUUGGUUAGGACCUCAUUGUAUAUAAUGCCUGCCCUGUUAUUGUAGAAGACAACAGAGAUAAAUAAUAUUAACAUUUUUCCUCUCAUCUCUCUCUCUGUUUCCCUCUGUUUUCAUCUCCUCUCUCAUCUGAACCAAAUGAUCCAUGUUAACCUUGGCUUGGUUUGAUUUGGCUCUAUCUUAGAGAGCUCAAGGAUCACGUCAACUCUGGUUUCUACUAUUCAGGUCCAUUCCCAUAUGAACUGGUUCAAAUUUGAGAAAAUGGUAACAGACCUUUAGUGAUGUUGGUUUGGAGCCAGUUGCCAAACCCGCCCUGAGCUUUACCACUAAUGUCAAGGGAGAAAGCCUUUUGAACAAAAACAAUAGCUUCAAGAGACUGAAUCGUGGAUGAAAUCUGAUCCACAUUUCUUCUCAUUUUGGAAACAAAUGAGAACUUAACUAAGAAGAUUCUACGGCCUCAUAGUGCUUUUCCUGAUCUAAGGUUGGUUCGUUUCCCAAAUUGUGAGAUGCACGGGCCAGACUUCAGAACUCUCACGCUCAGGAGUGUAUCCACGUGGUGGACAUAAGAUGGUGGCUUAAGAUCUGGUGUCGGUGGCUUUACUUUACUAGGAGAGUAGUGUGUCUUCAUCUCAUUCACUGCCGGAGGGUGGCGUAAGCAGUGACGCUAAGGUGGGGCAUAGUCAAUAUCAUUUGCAUUUGACCAUUAUAGUUUUCUCCCGGCUUGAAAGUAACCUUAUCGUGAUAAAGGAUUACUAGCACUAGUUCAGAUGACAGUCAUGUUAAAUUCGGACCAUGUUUGUGUCACAUUAUCAGCAACCAUGUGUUUAUGGUUCAUGCUUUCUGCAACUGAAAUUGAAAUUGAUAUAUAACCAGGUGAACUUCAAUCUAAAUUCUGGAAGUACUCAUGUGAGCGAUGGUGCCCAUCUGCAGAGUCCAUCAAUUGAAAAAUGGAGUGAGUGUAUCUAUAAGAGGGAAGGCUUGGCAAAUGUCCAGUUUUCUGGGAAUUCAACAAGGAUCUAAAAUAGAUUGUUUUCUUUGCUGAUUUCAAUGGUUGAAAUUUGAGAAGAUUGUGUCCCACAUAACACAACUAUUACUGGUCCUUCUGUUGCAAUUUAUCCUCUAAGGCUCUAGCAUGUCUUCCAAUUCCCACUUCCCUGUUACUCCAGGAAAGCUAUUUCUGUCAUUGUGAAGAAGAAAAGAGAAUGUAGAUAUCGAUGCUUUUAAGUGACUGGAGCAUUCAUAUCAGGUGGUCUGCAGCCAUAUAUGCCACUUUGUGAAGAUUGGAACAGUCAAUCACUAGGCUAUAUAUUAGUGUGGCCCAGCCACUUUAAUCAAGGACAAUUCUUCAUACUUAAAAGUCAAAUUCUGCCUUUAGUCUCAUUAUAAAUUGCUGUUUAAAUAUUAAGCAAACAUUUGUUUAAUGCGAUUAAGACAGUACUAACUCAAUACUUGUUCUAUUUUUGGAUGGAAAUGCUUGAUGGUUUCAUCAUUGGAUGGGAUAAAGGUGCAUUCAUGAUUAUGAAUACUUGUAGUUAUAUUUUCAUUCUCUUUUUUCUCAAUGAGACUUGUUGGCACAAUUUUUCUGUUCAGAAACCUACCUCUCCAUGGAAAAUAAGUUGUGAUUGAUAGUACUGGAUAUAUUCAAGAAAGCUAAAUAUAGAUAGCACAAAAUAUUAUCGACAUAAAUAGCAUUAACAGCGUACGUAUGUCUCAGUGCUCAUCAGCCAUAAGCAUGGGGCAAACACUUACGAUGAGCAACUUACGUCAAAAUUCCAGAAUAGGACAUAGAAGUGACAGAUCUAUAUAUAUAGAACACUGCAUAAGAGUCACAAGAAAGGAAAUUACGGGUGCAUAGCAGCUCUUAUUUCACAUACUACUCAUACUGAUCAAAGUCACUCAGUUGGGAUGGGUGGGAGUAGGAGGUUUGUGGGGUGGCUUGUGCGGAGGAGUUGGCAGCUUCUUUCCAGGACCUGGUGGCUUCUCUCCCUUAGGUGGUUUGCCAACUGGGGUUGGUGGCUUGUAUGAGUCUUCAGCAUUCUCUGCAGGAGGGUGACCAGGGUUGUGACCAUAAUGUGGUGGCUUCUCUCCCUUAGGUGGUUUGCCAACUGGGGUUGGUGGCUUGUGUUCUGGGAGUGGCUUCUCCCCCUUGGGAGGUUUUUCCAAUGGGGUUGGUUUGUGUUCAGGAGGUGGCUUCUCCACUGGAGGCUUGUGUUCAGGAGGUGGCUUCUCCACCGGAGGCUUGUGUUCAGGAGGUGGCUUCUCCACCGGAGGCUUAUGCUCUGGUGGUGGCUUCUCCACCGGAGGCUUAUGCUCUGGUGGUGGCUUCUCGAAUGGGGGAUGCUUAGGGUAAUCAGCAAGUGAGGGGGCGGUGAGAACCACCAGGCCAAGCAAGACCACUAGCAAGUAUGUAGGAGACAUCUUUGGGUUUAGACUCAGAUGGUGCAAAACUAGGAGAAUUGUCUUUUAUAGCGGAUCGCACCCAAUAAUGAAAUGACACGUGUCUUUAUGACCCAUGUGUAAUGGGGUCGAUUUGGGUCCUACAGUGUUGAAAACUUCGACAUCCACUUUUGGCCUUUUGCUUUCUCUACAGCCGCCUUGCUUUUUCCCUCUUUCCUUUUGUUUUCCUCCUGCCCCAUUCUAUCAACUAAACACAAUUAUGUAGUUGUUUAAUUCUUAAAUGAGAUAUUAUCCGUCAAUCGUAUCAUAUUUUAUCAACAGAGAACGGAGUGCAAUGUGGCAAUCCAAAGAAAGAAGAUCCAUAAUGCAGCUGUAAUUUUAUCGUUUACUUUUAUCUCUUGGACCACUGCAUUUUUGUUAAGAGGUGCAAUAAUACACGUCUUUAUCUGCCAUUCAAUGUUUACAGUAAAGAGAGGGCACAAAACUCUUCACUGCUCUGCAUGUGUCCCAAAAAUGCAAUUGGACAAAUUAUGAUUUGCAUGCUAAAAAGAGGCAAAUGAGGUUAAUUCGCACCAUAAUUAUUUUGUUUUCUGGACCCCGGGGCCCUUUGGUUGGUUUGGGGGUCAGAAAAUGAACAUCAUAGGGGGUUUUUCCCUUAUGUGCAUUUGUAUCUGAUGGCUUUAACUCGCCUUGUUACUACAAAGAAAUUGUCACAUAUAGGAACUUAUUCCAGGCUGAGUAUCUCCGCAUAGACCCUAUAAAAGAAGACAAGUCAUAAUGAACAUCUAACCUUUGUUCAAUUUGAUUCAAUGCCCCAUUGUGUCCACCUCACAAAUCUGAAUUAUUAUAUCCAUUGAAUACAUAAAUUAAUGAAGAAAAUAUGAAACCCAAGAUACAUCUCUGCACAACCUCAACCCUGGUUGCUAUGUUUCCCUUCUAUUCACAUGAGGAUAUUGAUUACGGAAUAGGGAAACCUAGCAAGGGUUUACUCGGCUCUGGUUUGAUGCUAAUUGCCAAACUUGCAACAAGCCCUGAGUUUGAAGCUCACAGAAGAUGUUAUACAGGCAGGGAAAAACCUUCAGAGUUCGCUGCCAAAGAUAAUUAUUAAGGAGAUAUCACCAAGAGAAUUCCAAGGAGUCUGAAUCAAAGACAAAUUGGUCGUUCGUGGAGGUUCUUACUUUCUUUUGGGUAUAACUCACUGAGGGCACUGUCUUUUUUAUUUUCAUUUCACAUUUAGAGUUCUGUUCUGGAAACAUAUAAAAGGAGCAUCAGUUUGUUCUUGGGUAACCCAUAGUCGUGAGUGGGUCCAUUUGCAUGCUACUUAGUUGAAAAGUUGGACCAUUUGCUCCGACGCCUACCUCCUGGAUUCCAUGCUCGGAUAAAACAAGAAUAAAAAAAUAUUUAUAAUUUACAAAUGGGGGAAAGAAAAAAAUGUCAACAACAAACUAGGAAAAAAGAGUAGUAAAAUUCAUGUCACAUGCUAGUGAGAGAAGGGGUUGUUACACUCACUCGAAGUUCUUUUCAAAAUAUCGCAUGGUAUUUUAUUUUAUGUGUGAGCGCAGUUGUGAAUGGAACGUGCAAAAGUCCAAAUUGGUGACCUUUAAUAAAUAUUUAAAACAAAAAACGAAAAAAAGGAGGGAAAAGGGAUCAGAAAAGAUAAAACAAUGUGUACAAAAGCUCAAUUAGUUUGCAAAUUACUGUUUGGAUUUUGAUAGUAUUUUAUUUGAUGUAAAAGAGAAUUUAAGAUAUUUCCGAAACAAAAGCAUUAGUUUGCUCCAUGUCAAUUUCGGCAUUUCUCAUAUGUUUCACACAUACACAGAAGAGCAUCGUUUUUUAAAGCAUGCAUUUAUGUUGGAUUAAUUUGGAUUUUGUGGGAACUGGGGCAAGGAUCACAUGGAAGAGAGGUUGACUUUUUUCAGUACUUCAAUGGUUGAGACAGGUGAAGGCCUGAUUGAUACUGAAGCCUGAAAUUGCGACUCCGUCAUUUGUCAAAACAUAUGACAGCUUCCAUGCUCUCGUUUGGUUGCAUUGUUCUGUGGUCAUGCAUACAUGCCACUUAGUGAUCAGUCUGUAACUGUCAAUCAUUGGGCUUUGACUGAACAACAUCAGCCAUGUAUAAAUACUUGCAAAUCAAACGGUCUUCUUCCUCCCAUAAGGAAUUUCGGUUUAAUUAUGAAGCAUGCAUUUGGCUGACCAUCAUAAACCACUUCUUUAAAUUGAUGAAUGAUAGUUUUUCAUUCAUUCUUUCAUUCGUUCAUAUACAGAGUAUAUAUAGAGGGUAAUCAUCAUUCUAAGAAUGGGAAAGAAUGAUACAAGGAAAUAAUGAUAUAAAGAAAUAACAACUAAUAUUCUAAUAUCUCAACUUUCCUAAUAUCUAAACAUUCCUAAUAUCUCAACACUAAAUGAUAUAAAGAAAGAAUGAUAUAAGGAAAGCAUUCCUAAUAUCUCAACACUCCUCCUCAAGUUGGUGCAUAGAUGUCAAACAUGUCCAACUUGUCUAAAAAUUUUGAGAACAGUUGACUUGAGACAUCUUUGGUGAGGAUAUCGGUCAAUUGAUCUUCUGAUCGAAUCUUAGGCAAUUCCACAAUCUUAUCAUCCAACUUUUCCUUAAUGAAAAAUCUAUCCAUCUCGACAUGCUUUGUACGAUCAUGUUGUACUAGAUUAUGAGCAAUGUCACAUGCUGCUUUAUUGUCACAAAACAAUCGGAUUGGUUGCCUAGAUAGGUAACCUAAAUCCUAUAAGAGGAGUCUUAGCCAUAAUGCCUCACAAAGUCCUAAAGUCAUACCUCUAAAUUCCGCUUCUGCACUUGAACGAGCGACGACAUUUUGCUUCUUACUUUUCCAUGUCACAAGAUUACCACCUACAAAGGUAAAGUAACCAGAUGUAGAUCGCCUAUCAUCCACUGCACCGACCCAAACAGCAUUAUACUUCUAUACUCUGAUGAUCAACAUUUUUAGCGAACAAAAUUCCCUUCCUAGGAGCAUUCUUCAAAUACCUCAAAAUACGCAUGACUACAUUCAUAUGUUGCUCUCCAGGAUUAUGCAUGUAUUGACUCACUACACUCAAUGUAUAAGCAAGAUCUAGUCUUGUAUGAGCUAAGUACAUUAAUCUCCCCACAAGUCUCUGGUAUCUUCCCUUAUCGAUUGAUACUUGAUUAGGCUCAACACACAAUUUCAGACCUUCUUCUAUUGGUGUAUUAAUAGGUUGACAUCCCGACAUUCCAGUUUCCUGUAGAAGAUCUAAGGCAUACUUUCUUUGAGACAGAAAAAUUCCUUCACUUGAUCGAGAAACUUCAAUCCCAAGAAAGUAUUUCAGACGACCAAGAUCUUUCAUUUCAAAUUCUCUAGAUAGAUACUUUUGCAAAGCUUUUCUUUCUUCAGGAUCAUUUCCUGUAACUACAUGUCAUCCACAUAUAUCAUAAGUGUCGUAAUCUUACCAUGUUGCUUUUUCAAGAACAAAGUGUGAUUUGAAUUACUUUGAUGAUAGCCAAAAGCUCUCAUUGAUUUUGUGAACCUUCCAAACCAUGCUCUCGGGGAUUGCUUCAACCCAUACAAUGACUUCUUCAAUUCGCACACCUUCUGACAUUGCUUUUCUGACACCAUGCAUCCUGGUGGAAGAUCCAUAUAUACUUCUUCAGAUAAAUCGCCAUGCAGAAAGACAUUUUUUACAUCGAACUAUUGUAAUGGCCAAUCUAGGUUUGCAGCUAAAGACAAUAAUACUCGAACUGUGUUGAUCUUAGCUACAGGUGCAAAUGUCUCUGUGUAGUCAAUUCCAUAAGUUUGAAUGUACCCACUAGUCUUGCUUUAAAUCGUUCAAUACUACCAUCUGCCUUGUACUUCACAGUAUAGAUCCAACGACACCCAACUAGCUUCUUUCCUGGUGGACAUUCUACGAGUUCCCAUGUUUCAUUUUUCUGCAAUGAUUUCAUCUCUUCAUUCAUGGUUGCUUUCCACUUUGGAUCAGCUAAAGCUUCCUGCACACUAUUAGGAAUAGCUACAGUAGAUAAUUGAUUUACAAAUGACUUAUUUGAUUCAGACAAACCAUGGUGUGGACCCGCAUUUUUCACGUGCGCCUCUACUCGAUCGGCGAGACUCGCUUUCUAUUUGUGAAAAAUUAAUUUUAGAAAAGUUGGAGUCGCCACCUAUUUUAUUUUUAUUUUGAAGGGAAAAUAAAACAAGAAAGAAAAACCCUAAAAAGUGACUCCAUAGUUUUGGAAAAAGCAUGUCUUUGGGAAACCUGAGUCUAGGUCCGGGGAUCAUGUUACUUAUUGGGAAGGUACCUCUAGGAGGUAGCACCCCUCUAAGCCUUAUGAAGGUCUCUACUAACUAAAUUAAGGGAAGUGUGGCAAUAAAUCGAUUGAUCAUAGAUACCUAAGUAGACUAGGUGAUUUUAAAGUGUGGCAUGUCAAACACAAUCAAAUUGCAAUAAAGGAGAGUUAGGGCGCGUACCUGAACCGCUUCUCAAGCGCUAUCAUAAAACAUCAAUGGUUAAUUUAAAUAAUAUAUCAUCCAGCAUGUAUUUUAUUAGAAAUAAUCAAACAAUGAAACAUGUAUAUCAGAACACUCAAGCAUUAUUAGACAUAAGCAUUAUUUCACUAUUCACAGAAUUCAGAAAGUAGGUGAUAGAGGACAUACCUGGAUAGCAUAGAUAAUUUGUAAUGUGCUUCCUCAAGUUGUAAGGGGUUAGAUAACAAAUAAUAAAAUAUAGAAAUCCUAGCAUGCUCGUUAUCUAAUUAGCAUAGCAAAAGUGAUCACAGUAUACAGAAUCAUCAAUUAUCACAUACAUCUUGUAUAUAAUUCCUAAAAAAAAUAGAUAGACAUGAUUUCAACAAGUGUCAAAUGUGGCAACAAAAAUAAAUUUUGAAAAGAUUUUCUUAUGUAGGGGUUUCACCAAUUCCCCAAAUUAAUAUACACGAAUUUAGCUUAGAAUUAUCCCAUUUAUUUGGGACUACAAGCUUUGAUUCGUGUUUUUGUUCAAAACCAAAAAUUUUUGUUGAAAAUCAAGAAGGAUGCGAACCGAACAAGAUAUGGUUGCAUAUUAUUUUUAAAUAAAUAAAUAAAUAAAUAAAGGAGAUUUUGAUCCUGAGGACUUUAAUGAGUUUUUUUUUUUAAAAUAGAUUUUUAAAAUGAUUUUUUUGAGAAAAGUAUUUUAUUUUAAAAUAAAAGGGAUUAAUUUGGGAAAAAAAUAAAAUAUAAGAAAUAAAAUACCAAACAAAACAAAAAUGAAACCUCAAAGUAAAAUUUUUUUAGUAAUUAACAAAAAUGAUAAUGGUGAUGGUAGAGGGCAAUCUUCAUGAUUUUCCAAUGGCCUCAGAAAGAAAAUCAAAUUAAAUGAAGGAUCACUAACAGGCAAGACAUUCUAAAUUAGACAAACUAACAAAGUAUCAAUUCAUGAACUAACCGCUAGGAUUUUGAAAGCAUAUAAGCUAAGAUAAGGGUGAUCAGGAACUAAUAUUAAUGAUUUUGAAAUAAAAACUAAAAAAAAGGAUCAAUUCGGGUAAGGAACUAAAAUUAUAAAAGUACCUAAACUAAUUAUGACGAGUUUGACUAAAUUAAACUAAAAACAUGAACUUUCAAACAUAGAAUUAAUUUUACUAAUGAACCAAAGCAAACUAAAAAUAUGUACUUUCAAGCAUAGAAUUAAUUUUAUUGAUGAACUAAACUAUAACAAAUAUCUAAACUAAAUAUAAUGAAUCAAAUUAAAUUAAAGCAACUUAAAAACGCAAACUUUCAAACAUAGAAUCAAUUUUAUCAAUGAAUUAAAACUAUAAAUGUAUUUGAACUAAAUAGAUGAAUCAAACUAAAUCAGAGCAAAAUUAAAAAAAAAAAAGAACUUUCUAACAUGAAAUCAAUUUUAUCAACAAAUAAAUGAAUGAAUAACAAGUAAUUAAAAGAAUAGCUACUACAUGAAUAACUGAAUGAAUAAAAUUCAAAUGUUUUCAAUCUGAAGCAAUCAAUCAAAAUUAAAUAGGGAUCAAAUCAAAAUAAUCGAAAUCGGAAAAACAAUAUGCAAUCUUUCUAAAGGUUUAACCAGACAAUUGAAUUAAAAUUAUGAAUAGAAUAAAUUAAUAAACCAAAUCGAAACCUAAAUUGUACCUAAAAAGAUUAAUUAAUUAAACUAAGAAAUCAAAAUCAAUAACAAAACUAAACUAAGGAGUAAAUUAAGACAAGACUAAUUAAAUUAAACUCACAAACACGUUUUAACUAUCAUAUGGAUUAAAACAAAAUUAGCAUGGACUUAUGAAUUACGAACAAAAAUAAUCAAAACUAUUUUAAAAAACUCACCUCUAUUAUAAGAAAAAAUCUGCCUUUGAUGCGUUGAGGUGGCUCCCCUCUCUGUGUGGAUCUCUCUGCUCCCCAGAAAAAAAAUGUCUCUUCCUCCGUUCUCUUUUGUUUCAGCAAAAUAAUAUAUCCCCUGCUGUGGAUCUCUCUACUCCCAGAAAAUAAUAUAUUCUCUCCGUGUCCUAAAGUGGACCUAGGGUGCCUAAGUGGACCUAGGGUGCCUAAAUGGGCCUAGGGUGCCUAAAUGGGCCAAGUGUAUCUAAAUAGGCUUAGGGUGCCUAAGUGGGCCUAAGUCUAAGUGAGCCUAAGUCUAAAUCAAGACUACCAAGGAUCAUAAUAAGGGGUUAGGCAAUCCCUUAACCAAAGUCUCCAAGGUGGCUAAAAAAAAGUAAGUAGUAUGAGUAGCUAUGGGUCACCAAGGAACUACUGUGGAGCAUUGAAAACGAAUUUAAAGACAUGUGCCAAAGGGACAAAAUUGAGGGUCUACAGAUGGUUAGACACAUAGUUGCUCAUGGGAUAUUUGACUUUGGUAAACAAUUCAGAUUCAUAUGUGGGUUUAGGAAUACCUUUAUUAUGACGGUGUGGUAAUCGUUUCAUGAAUGGAUCAGGUUGCAAAUUAAGAACACCCUCAGCAAACAACGAUUGGUUUGGUAUUUCAGUGAAGACAUCUUCGAACCCAAAUUGUUGACCACUCAUAUCCAACUCACCCGCUUCCUGGUUCACUAGUUCAGAUUGUCCAAAUUCAUCAUUCUCAUAGAUAUGAUAAUCAUAAUCGAGAGUCUGAAUUUCCUUAUGGUACUCCCCCUGAAGUUCAGACUUAGAUGAAAAAUACAUCGAAUAUUCAUGAAACAGCNNNNNNNNNNNNNNNNNNNNNNNNNNNNNNNNNNNNNNNNNNNNNNNNNNNNNNNNNNNNNNNNNNNNNNNNNNNNNNNNNNNNNNNNNNNNNNNNNNNNNNNNNNNNNNNNNNNNNNNNNNNNNNNNNNNNNNNNNNNNNNNNNNNNNNNNNNNNNNNNNNNNNNNNNNNNNNNNNNNNNNNNNNNNNNNNNNNNNNNNNNNNNNNNNNNNNNNNNNNNNNNNNNNNNNNNNNNNNNNNNNNNNNNNNNNNNNNNNNNNNNNNNNNNNNNNNNNNNNNNNNNNNNNNNNNNNNNNNNNNNNNNNNNNNNNNNNNNNNNNNNNNNNNNNNNNNNNNNNNNNNNNNNNNNNNNNNNNNNNNNNNNNNNNNNNNNNNNNNNNNNNNNNNNNNNNNNNNNNNNNNNNNNNNNNNNNNNNNNNNNNNNNNNNNNNNNNNNNNNNNNNNNNNNNNNNNNNNNNNNNNNNNNNNNNNNNNNNNNNNNNNNNNNNNNNNNNNNNNNNNNNNNNNNNNNNNNNNNNNNNNNNNNNNNNNNNNNNNNNNNNNNNNNNNNNNNNNNNNNNNNNNNNNNNNNNNNNNNNNNNNNNNNNNNNNNNNNNNNNNNNNNNNNNNNNNNNNNNNNNNNNNNNNNNNNNNNNNNNNNNNNNNNNNNNNNNNNNNNNNNNNNNNNNNNNNNNNNNNNNNNNNNNNNNNNNNNNNNNNNNNNNNNNNNNNNNNNNNNNNNNNNNNNNNNNNNNNNNNNNNNNNNNNNNNNNNNNNNNNNNNNNNNNNNNNNNNNNNNNNNNNNNNNNNNNNNNNNNNNNNNNNNNNNNNNNNNNNNNNNNNNNNNNNNNNNNNNNNNNNNNNNNNNNNNNNNNNNNNNNNNNNNNNNNNNNNNNNNNNNNNNNNNNNNNNNNNNNNNNNNNNNNNNNNNNNNNNNNNNNNNNNNNNNNNNNNNNNNNNNNNNNNNNNNNNNNNNNNNNNNNNNNNNNNNNNNNNNNNNNNNNNNNNNNNNNNNNNNNNNNNNNNNNNNNNNNNNNNNNNNNNNNNNNNNNNNNNNNNNNNNNNNNNNNNNNNNNNNNNNNNNNNNNNNNNNNNNNNNNNNNNNNNNNNNNNNNNNNNNNNNNNNNNNNNNNNNNNNNNNNNNNNNNNNNNNNNNNNNNNNNNNNNNNNNNNNNNNNNNNNNNNNNNNNNNNNNNNNNNNNNNNNNNNNNNNNNNNNNNNNNNNNNNNNNNNNNNNNNNNNNNNNNNNNNNNNNNNNNNNNNNNNNNNNNNNNNNNNNNNNNNNNNNNNNNNNNNNNNNNNNNNNNNNNNNNNNNNNNNNNNNNNNNNNNNNNNNNNNNNNNNNNNNNNNNNNNNNNNNNNNNNNNNNNNNNNNNNNNNNNNNNNNNNNNNNNNNNNNNNNNNNNNNNNNNNNNNNNNNNNNNNNNNNNNNNNNNNNNNNNNNNNNNNNNNNNNNNNNNNNNNNNNNNNNNNNNNNNNNNNNNNNNNNNNNNNNNNNNNNNNNNNNNNNNNNNNNNNNNNNNNNNNNNNNNNNNNNNAACCAAAGGAAGCAUGUUCCAGACGUCGAUGCCACAACCAAAUUUCAGACUUUUUCUUCUCCUCCUUAGAUCCAUCUGCCAUCAAGGCUUGUUGCAACUUAUUUGAAUCCUUUGAUUGCAAGUCCAAGUAUAGAGUUUCCCCCGCUUAAUACGACAACCAAUCGUCUGUCUUGUUUGAAUGUCCUUAAUCACACAAAAUUCAGGCCAAAAAAUGACAAUACAAGAUAAGGCUGCAGUGAUUUGAGAAACUAACAAAAGAUUGUAAUCUAAAGAUGGAACAACUAAAACAGAAUCCAAAUUCAAAGUAUCAGUAAGAGUUAAGGAUCCUUCCCCAAUGACUGGGGUUGUGUUACCAUUGGCUGUGGAAACAAUUUUUUGUGAGGAAGGUCUAAGGGGUGAAACCUGUCUAGAAUCAAAAGUCAUAUGAUCUGUAGCACCAGAAUCAAUUAUCCAUGCACUAUUAAUAACAGGUGUAAAAGUAUUUAAAAACUUACCACAAUGAUCUGUAGCGGCUACUAAUGCAGAGACUUUCUCAACAACAUUAGUCUUUGUUUUUAUUUCGGUAACAGUUGCAAUCAAGGUUUUCUUGGAAUUCUUCUUCCGUUGAUCACGAUUAUUAUCAUUAAUAACAAAGUGUUGAUAGCCUAAACAUGAUCUAAAGGUCCAUGGUGCAAACCCUCGGUUCCUCAUUGUUUUCCUGGUCAUACCAAGAGUUGUUGCUUUGAAAUUGUGGGAUAUCCAGACUGGUGGGAUCAGUUUUAUUGCAGUGAGUGCAUUUGAAUGUUGACUUAUCAAUAUUAGGGCUUGUCUUCGGAUGGUUGAUUGCUGUUGGACUACCAUAGCGACAAAAUAUCCAGGAUUUCAAUUCCAGGGCUCUGAUACCAUCUUCAAAUUGAUGAAUGAUAGUUUUUCAUUCAUUCUUUCAUGUACAGAGUAUAUAUAGAGGGUAAUCACCAUUCUAAGAAUGGGAAAGAAUGAUACGAGGAAAUAAUGAUAUAAGGAAAUAAUAACUAAUAUCCUAAUAUCUCAACUUUCCUAAUAUCUCAAUAUUCCUAAUAUCUCAACUUUCCUAAUAUCUAAACAUUCAUAAUAUCUCAACACUAAAUGAUACAAGGAAAGAAUGAUAUAAGGAAAACAUUCCUAAUAUCUCAACACCACUUCAUGAUAUAUAUAGUUUCUUACCCUUAAUCAAUGGUUUCUAAGUGAAUUUAUAUAGAAAGAAAUCCAAACUGUAGACAGCAGUAUUGGUAACACUCAAUAUUCUGUAUAUAAUAGAAUAAAUAGCGUCACAGUGAUCGUCGCCUACAAGCAAGGUACAAAUACCACAAAGAGUGACCCACAUAGACAUUCCCCAACAAGAUGUAGUAGUGACUGACACAUAGCCACAAUUAACACGUAGAAAAGGAUAAGACCGGUGCACAGUAGCUCUUAUUUUACAUACUACUUAUGCCAACCAAAGUCACUCAGUUGGGAUGGGAGGGAGAUGGAGGUUUGUGCGGUGGCUUGUGGGGCGGAGUUGAUGGCUUCUUUCCAGGAGCUUCUGGCUUUUUCAUCGGAGCUGAAGGAGGCUCAAUCUUAUGAGGCGGCUUGUACGAGUCUUCUUUGCUCUCGAAAGGAGGGUGGCCAGGGUUGUGACCAUAAUGUGGUGGUUUCUCUCCCUUGGGAGGUUUACCAAUUGGGGUUGGUGGCUUGUGUUCUGGGAGUGGUUUCUCUCCCUUGGGAGGUUUAGUGGGUGACUUGUGUUCUGGAGGUGGCUUCUCCACCGAAGGCUUGUGCUCCGGUGGUGGCUUUUUGGUUGGAGGGGGCUUGGGGUAAUCAGCAAGAGAUGGGGUGGUGAGAACCACCAGUCCAAGGAACAACACUAGCAAGUAUGUGGGAGACAUUUUUGAGUUUGGGCUGAUCAGAUGAUGCAAAACUAAAGCAUUACGUGACCUUUUAUAGCAAGUAGCUCCCAAUACCUACUUGACACGUGUUACUGUGACCCAUAAAUAUUAUGGGGUCUAUUUGUGCCCUACCGGGUUGAAAACUUGGACAAUUGGGCAAGGACCCGCCUGACUAUGGAGGACUACUGAGGUGUGAUCACAGCUUUAGGAUUUUUCUUCCUCUGCAGCCGUCUUGCCGUUGGCAUGAUUUUCUUAAUCUCAAAUAAAGGCAUAGUUAUAGAGUUGUUUAAUCUCUAAAUGGGAUUUUAUAUAUCUUCAGAUAGCCAUUAAUACAUUUGAUGAAGAAAGAAAGACAAGUGCAUACAACAUGUAUACGACUAGCUUUCAUGGAGUUCAUUUAUGAUCAGUUUUCCUGUACAUGUAAACCAAGAUCAUAUAUGUUUUUGUUCCACAACAAUUUUGGAAUCUUGUUUAUCCGUUUUUAUCAUUAUAAUGUCACAUAGGCUGCCAACUUGGGCGCUAAAUUAAAGAUCCAGUUGGGCAAGUUCGUUUCAGAAUUUCAAUGGUGGAUUCAGGAAUUGUUUUAUAAGAUAUGCAAAAUAGUAGAGGGAUGAAUAGUGUUUCAUUAAGAAAAGAGCCCUGUAAAAAUAUUGUUUAAAGGUGCCAUAGAAACUAUAAUCAAUAAAUAACUUUUUUUCCCCAUGGGUGGUGUUUCUUGUGGGGAUCAGUGACUGGUUUGAGUCAACGCCGUGUCUCUUUAGUCCAGAAAUCAACUAUUUUAUGCAUUGAAUACAUCAACAAAGAAAAUAUGAAAGCCAAAUGACACCUCCCCCGCAAAAACUAAACCCUGGUUGCUAACUUUCUAUGUUUCAGUUCCAUUCACACAAGAAUAUUAGUUCAAGUUUGAGAAAAAUGGCGACUUACCUAGUGAUAACUCGGUCUUGGUUUGCGAUUUGACUUUAACGUCAUGGGUUGAAGCCUCCUACAAUCAUCGUGUAUGCUAGUUCAAAGCUCGUGGAAGAAGUUAUACAGGGAGGGAGAAACCUCCACAGCAAGCUCCAAAAGAGAAUUAUCACAUUGAAAGCUCCAGUUGAACACUGGGUGAAAGCCAUAACAAGAUUGGUUUUCUAUCGCUCUUUUAAGUAAUGGAAGAUUAUUAUCUCUGCUUGUCACUACAACCGUGCAUGCUGCUAGAUCUUUCUAGACACUUCAAACAGUGAAACCAAGUAUGAUUCUUUUUCUCUUGAGUGGGUCCACUUGCAUGCCAAUGAACGAGUUGAAAAGUUGGACAAUUGGCCACAGCGCGCACUUACCUUCUGGAACCGAAGGUCAGUGAAGUGGGGUUCCUUUUGGCCCCUUGUGUUUCUGUUCCAACCUACUCCAGGAACCGAAGUUCAGUGAAGUGGGGCUACUUUUGGCCUCUUGUGUUUCUGUUCCAACCAAACAAAAAUGGGAGGGAAAAAUAGCAUUAUGCUUGUGCUAAAGAUCAACGCAUGAUAGCUGAAUAAGGGAGAAAAAGGCAUUGCUAUCUCAAUUUCAUAAACUUGAUAAGUAGUGACAUUAAUAGUCUUCCUCAUAGAUGGAUACAUGGUUUUAUUUUAUUUAUUUAUUUUUAUUUUUUUGUUUUAUGUCAAUGCUAAUGAAUGAAGUGCAUUAGCUUGUUUUGUGACUAGAACUACAAAUGUCCAAAUUGGAGCUUCUCCAAUAUAUUUCUCAGUGAGUUAUUGAUUAGAACUCUUGGAUUGAGUUCCAAGAUUUGAAUCAGACCCCUCUAGCAGCUUCAGGGGUACGUAGCAACCUAUAGCAUAUUAAUGAAGACUUAGGAUUUAGACUUAGGAAUACAAAUUAAUAUGUACCUCAUGCUCUGACUAGCUUCCCUGCGUAUGCACAAAAUGGAGAUGACUCCCAAAAAAAUAGCAGAAUCGCCUUAGUAUGUUUUUGUGGUUAAGAUGAUUCUCCACUUUAUAUAUCCACAUUGGUUCAUUAUGCAAAUUAAUCAACUAAGCUAUUUUUAUUUUUUCUUAAAUGUGAAAUAGGAGCUCCAAAUUAACCUAACCAUUGGCCUGAUUGAAUUGAUUUCACUUGCAUAAUGUUAUAGUAGAAGUCCGUAAUUUGAAUUUUAUUUUUGCAAAAGGUAACGUAAAUGAAGCAUUGUAAUUAAAUUUAUUUGUAAUUACAAACUAAUUUUAUUUUAUUAAGAAUUAAUUUAAUUACUCAUUUAAAAUAAAAAUCAGUUAUACUUUUACCAAGAUGAUAAUAUUCAUAUUUUUCUAGUUAACAUAUAUAAAAUAGUACACUUUUUCAUAUAAAAAAAUAAUUUAUGAUUUAUUAUAAUGUUACUAUUCACAUUUUACUAAAUUGAUGGUACAUGAUAGUGAGAGAAGGGGGUGUCACACUCAGCUAAAGUUCUUUUCAAAAUAUUGCAUGGUGUUUAAUUUUAUGUGUCGGCGCGCGUGUGAAUGGAACCUGCAAAAGUCCAAAUUGGCGUUUCUCCAUUUUCCACAUAGGAUGGUGACGUUAAUAGACAAAGAUACAAUAUCUGUAGACAUUGCUUAAAAAUCGAUGUGAAGUAUUAGAAAUUACAGGGCACUGUACUGGGGGAGCGGCUGCCCCGCCAAAGGAGGAAGAAUGUAGCAAUUUCUUCUGUUAGCCAGGCCUUAGGAUUUAUGCAUGGGAUGCCUAAUAACAAACAGAGAAAAUAUACUUUUGGGGAAGGUAUCCAACAACAGACACCAUCAUUCAGAUGGUGGGAAGGUAUCCAACAGAUGCCAUCAUUCAGAUGGUAACAUAUAUAUACAUUUAUUAGUGAGUUUUUUUAAUACCUAUAAAAAAAAAUAUACACUUUGAUAUUGUGGCUGAAUCCAUUACAUACUCAACUAACCUUGCUCAUUAGGGAUUUGACUUAACAAGGGCAACGUUGCAGUACAAGCUCAAAACUUUAUGCAGGUGACAUUACAUUUGGUAAAGAAGAGGAAAAUAACGAAAGCCAUCCAUAAAAGCAAAAUUCCACAUGGGAUGAAAUUCACAAGCUUCAUUUACGAUAGAGUCGCAUCCAGGCAAUUAAUUCCACAUUAGACCGCCUGUUGACAUGUGUACCAAUCUUUUUUCAAAAAAUAUUUAUAAAUAAUUGAUACUCACAAAAAUAAUUUAAUAUUUAUAAAGGAUAAAAAAAUAUUUUCAAAUCUAUAACAAUUUAUAAAAUAUUAAUAAAAAAUUAUCUCUUAAACUUAGUAUAGUUUUAUCAGAUUAAACUUUUAUUUUGAACAAAUAAUUUUAAUCUAAGUUUUAAAUUCUAAAAUUAUUUCCUUAAAAUAAAAUUUUAAAAUUCAACACUUCAAUUGAAAUUGUCUUUUUAAAAAAUAUCUUCUUAUUUUAAUCCUUAUAAACUAUAGUUGAUUGAAAAUACUAUUGAAGUUCUCUCUUAAAAAAAAGUCUUAUUUUAAUCUUCAUAAAUUGCCCUUGAUUUGAAAAUAAAUUUUCAGUUAUCAUAUUUUAAAUAAUAUCUAUAUUUAAAAUACUCUAUUUAAAAAAAAAUGAACUAAUUUUAAUUAUAUUAUAUUUUAUUUUUUUAUAUAUUUUUAAUGAUAAACCAAACAUAGAAAAUCAUUUUUCUAAAUAUUUUAAAAUUUCUAAGCAACCAAACAUAAUCUUCAAAAUAAAAGGAAAAUAAGGAGGGACAUUUGAGAAAUGGCGAUUAAAAAAAAGUGUACAAAAGCUCAAUUAAUUUUCUUCUAGUCUUUUAUAUAAAAAAGUAAAGGAAUUGAAAAGUAUUGAUAUGUAAAUUAAUAUUUGGAUUUUAAUAGUAUUUUAUUUGUCUUUCUCUAUCUCAUGUAAAAGAGAAUUUAAGAUAUUUCCUAAAGCAAAGCAUUAGUUAUCUGCAAUCAGUGGUGAUCAUGCCCCAUGUCAAUUUCGGACCCAUAUCUUAAAACUGUAUAAUUUGCAUUCAAACAUUACUGAUUUCUCAGAUGUUUCAUACUCCACAGAAGAGCAUUGUUUGUGAAAGCAUGCAUUUAUGUUGGAUUUUGGAUGAUGUGGGAACUGGGGCAAGGAUCAUAUGGAAGAGUGGUCGAUUUUGUUCUGUACUUUAACAUUUGAAAUAGGAGAAGCUCGGGCAUUUGUGGGGCUUAAUUGAUUUUGAAGCCUGAAAUUGCGUUUCUGUCAUUUUGUAAAAAAUAUGGCAGAUUCCAUGCUCUCAUAUGUUUGGUCUGUGGCCAUGUAUAGAUGCCCCUUAGUGACCAGUUUGUAACUGUCAAUCAUAGUGUUUUGACUCUGGCUCAACAACAUCAGCCAUUGACGGAUUUUCAUACUUGCAAAUCAAAUAGUCUUCUUCCUCCCUUAGGAAUUUCGGUUUAAAUGUUAUUAAGCAUACAUUUGGCUGACAAUUAUUAACCACUUCAUGAUAUGGUUUCUUACCCUUAAUCAAUGGUUUCUAAGUGAAUAUAUGCAGAAGGAAAUCUGAACUGUAGACAGCAGUAUUGAUAACUCUCAAUAUUCUUUAUAUAAGAGAAUAAACAACGUCAUAGUGAUCGUCGCCUACAAGAAAGGUACAUUUCCCAACAAGAUGUAGUUGUGACUGGUACAUGGACGCAAUUAACUCGUACAAAAGAAUAAGACCAGUGCACGGCAGCUCUUAUUUUACAUGCUAAUUAUGCUAACCAAAGUCACUCAGUUGGGAUGGGAGGGAGAUGGAGGUUUGUGCGGUGGCUUGUGGGGCGGAGUUGGUGGCUUCUUUUCAGGAGCUUGUGGCUUUUUCGGAGCUGAAGGAGGCUCAAUCUUAUGAGGCGGCUUGUACGAGUCUUCUUUACUCUCGACAGGAGGGUGGCCAGGGUUGUGACCAUAAUGUGGUGGCUUCUCUCCCUUAGGUGGCUUGCCAACUGGGGUUGGUGGCUUGUGUUCAGGAAGUGGUUUCUCUCCCUUGGGAGGUUUACCAAUUGGGGUUGGUGGCUUGUGUUCUGGGAGUGGUUUCUCUCCCUUGGGAGGUUUAGUGGGUGACUUGUGUUCUGGAGGUGGCUUCUCCACCGGAGGCUUGUGCUCCGGUGGUGGCUUCUCCACCGGAGGCUUGUGCUCCGGUGGUGGCUUCUUGAUUGGAGGGGGCUUGGGGUAAUCAGCAAGAGAUGGGAUGGUGAGAACCACCACUCCAAGGAACAACACUAGCAAGUAUGUGGGAGACAUUUCUGAGUUUGAGCUGAUCAGAUGAUGCAAAACUAGAAGAAUUACGGGACCUUUUAUAGCAAGUAUCUCCCAAUACCCACAUGACACGUGUUACUAUGACCAUAAAUAUUAUAGGGUCCAUUUGUGCCCUACCGGGUUGAAAACUUGGACGCUUGGCCGAGGACACACCUGACUAUGGAGGACUAUUGACGUGUGAUCACAGCUUUUGGAUUUUUCUUCCUGUGCAGCUGUCUAGCGGUUGGCAUUAUUUUCUUAAUCUUAAAUAAAGGCAUAGUUAUAGAGUUGUUUAAUCUCUAAAUGGGAUUUUAUAUAUCUUCAGAUAGCCAUUAAUAUAUUUGAUGAAGAAAGACAAGUGCAUACAACAUGUAUACGGCUUGCUUCAAUCGAGUACAUUUAUGAUCAGUUUUCCUGUGCAAGUAAACCAGUUUUUUGUUCCACAACUAUUUUGGAAUCUUGUUUAUCAGUUUCUAUCAUUAUAAUGUCACAUAGGCUGCAAACUUGGGCACCCAAAGAUCUAGGUGGGCAAAUUUGUUUCAGACUUUCAAUGGUGGAUUCAGUAAUUGUUAAAAGGUGUUUCUUCAUUAAGGAAAGAGUCCGGUAAAAAUAUUGUUAAAAGGUGUCAUAGAAACUAUAAUAAAUAAAUAACUUCUUUUCCCCAUGGGUGGUGUUUCUUCUGGGGAUCAGUGACUGGUUAGGGUCACCCAAAAUGAGUCCAGAUUAAAAUUGGUUCGAGUCAAAGCAGUCUCUUUUGUCCAGAAAUCAACUAUUUUGCGCAUUGAAUGAAUCGAUAAAGAAAAAAUGAAAGCCAAAUCACACCUCCCCUGCAAAACCUAAACCCCGGUUGCUAACUUUCUAUGUUUCAGUCCUAUUCAUAUAGGAAUAUUGGUUCAAGUUUGAGAAAAAUGGCAACUUACCUAGGGUUUACUUGGUUUUGGUUUGCGACUAUUUACGCAACCAACCAUGAGUUUGACUUUAACGUCAUGGGUUGAAGCCUCCUACAAUCAUGUAUGAUAGUUCAAAGCUCGUGGAAGAAAUUAUACAGGAAGGAAGAAACCUCCAAAGCUAGCUCCAAAAGAGAAUUAUCACAUCGAUAGCUCCAGAGAUUCCCAAGGGAACUGAAUCAAAGACAAGUUCCUCACUUUUUCUUCUUUUGAGGCCAAAUAUGAACCAAGGAUCACACGACCUCAUUCAACUUCAUAAGUUUGAUUUCAUGCAGUUGAACACUGGGUGAAGGCCAUGACAAGAAUUGAUUAAAAAAUUCUACCACUCUUUUAAGUAAUGGAAGAUUAUUAUCUCUGAUUGGCACCACAACAGCACAUGCUGCUAGAUCUUUCUAGACACUCCAUGCAAUGAAAGCACAAUGGAUCUUGUAAUGAUAGAAACUAAGCCAUGCUACAGUACUAGAUGAGGGGGUAAAACUAGUAGACAUCUUUCUAGACACUCCAUGCAAUGAAAGCACAAUGGAUCUUGUAAUGAUAGAAACUAAGCCAUGCUACAGUACUAGAUGAGGUGGUAAAACUAGUAGACAUGGCUGGCAGUUGAUUACUACUCAAAAAGUACUCUUUUAUAGCUUGAAACUAACUGUUUUAAACACUUUUGAGUAGUAGUUAAUACCUUUUAACUUAAUUGGCACAUUAAGGAACCUAGCAAGGGUUACUAAUCAACAUUUGGCAAGUUUUGAUGUUUUUGGUAGCUAUUUGAUCAUUGAAACAAGCCAAGAAUGAGGGGGAAUUUUGUGAAGUCCAUGGCAAUGCAAGUUAAAGCUCAAAUACAUGAAGAAUCCAAGCUUUGGAGCACUUCAUAGCCCUUUGCCAAGCCAAUCAAAGAUGCAAGGAAGAAAACCAAAGGAAGAAAUCCAACAAUCAGCAUUUUGGCAUGGCUAUGUGAAAUUUCGCACACCAUGCGAAACCACAAGAGGCAGCCAAAGAAUUUCGCAUGGUAUGCGAAAUCUUCUUGUGCACUGACUCUGUUAGAUUUUUAUCUUCAGAUAUUUUGUGUAAUUUCCUAGUUUCUCCUUGUAACCAACUUAGAUAUUUUCUUUUAUAUCUUUUUUUAUAUUUUUUAGGUAACAUCAUAUAUAAGAGGAGAGACAUAAGGAGGAUAUGGAUGUUUUUCAUAGAACACUUGUAAAUUUUUGGUAGUAAGAAAUAUACAAAGCUUUUUGCUCUGCCUUACCUUCUCAAGGGAUGAGUGGCUAGGUUUUCUUGGAGUGAGGGAAGCUAGGUGAAGGACCUGAAUGCAAAGGUGGGAGUUUUCCUUACUUUAAAUGAAAGUAGUUGUUAAACAUUAAUGGUUUUUAUUUUAAGGUUUAGCUUUAAAUCCCUGAAAAACACCUUGAAUGGCCAAUACUUGGUAAGCUUUUUAGAUUCUAUGGAUGCUUAUUGCUAGAUCCAUGGAUGUCUAUUAGUUAUCAUUUACGAGCCAUUGGAAGGUGAUUCAAGGUGAGGGUCUUUAGUGUUUGAAGCCAUUAAUGGGAAGCAAUUACCAUUUUUUCAUGAAUCCUUUGGAUCAAAUCUUAAUUGCUAAAUAUAAAACCGGUUUCGAGAGAUAACCACCAUCCUUUAUGUUAUUAUCCCCAACGCGAGGAGAAGAUCCGAAAUCUUCCUUUUUAUCUAAGGAACCCGAUCCUAGUGACCUAAAGCUCCAAGAUACCUUUUCUUUGUAGUUAACUUCAUUUAUUGUUUUUGCUUAACUUAAAAUCAAUCUUUGCAACCACAAUUCCAUUUUCUUUAAAAGCUAAUUUUUAUAAGGAAAAACACCAUUUUAUUUCCUUCACUAAGUCAACUGUACGAUGAAAACCCAUCCCUGUGGACGAUCCUAGAGCCACUAUACUAUGUUAGCUAUGCUACCCUAGUGUGAGGUGAUUUAGGUUUUAUAAAUUUUUUUGAUAACACCCAUCUGAGCCAGAAUCAAAUGGCACGACUGAACCAGGGACGAAUCAAAUGACGCCGCUACCAAGGAUGGUGCCAAAGUACAUUGACAUGACUUUUGGUGAACACUUGUGAUCUUCACCACAAGUUUGGUGAUUUUUCUUUUACUAAUUUUUUUUAUUUUAGCUUAUCUUUUAUUUAGUUUUUAGUUAACCUUAAAUUUUUCCUAGAAUUGUAUUUCUUUUGUUUUCUUUGUUUUUGUUUCAGUGAUCUUUAGUUGUGCAUGCCCUAUUGGAUAAGAGAUAUUGAGGGAAUACUUGUGAAGAUUGAAACUCCUCGAGAAACUGAGUUAGAAGUGUGCUUGAACAUCAUGGAUGUUCCACCUGAAGACCAGAAUAGCCAACAUGGUUAAGAGGAUAAUUUCAACACAUACCGAUCCAUGAGGAACCGCAUACAUCCACCUUGUAUGAGUGCACCGUCAGGCAUAAUGCCUCCCACUGAGCAGCUAGUAAUCUGACCUCACAUUGUGCCACUCCUACCUACUUUCCAUGGGAUGGAGAGUGAGAAUCCCUACUCGCAUAUUAAGGAAUUCGAGGAGGUUUGUAAUACAUUCCAAGAAGGAGGAGCUUCAAUUGACUUGAUGAGGCUCAAGCUAUUUCCUUUCACUUUGAAGGAUAAGGCCAAGAUUUGGCUUAAUUCUUUAAGGCCAAGAAGUAUCCAAACUUGGAUUGAUUUGUAAGCCGAGUUUCUUAAGAAGUUCUUCCCUACCCAUAGGACCAAUGGUUUGAAAAGGCAAAAUUUGAACUUCUCAGUUAAAGAGAAUGAGAAAUUCUAUGAGUGUUGGGAGAGCUACAUGGAAGCUAUUAACGUUUGUCCUCACCAUGGCUUUGACACAUGGCUCUUAGUGAGCUAUUUUUACAAUGGUAUGUCUUCUUCAAUGAAGCAACUCCUAGAAACUAUGUGUGGAGGAGACUUCAUGAGUAAGAAUCCGGAGGAAGCCAUGGACUUUUUGAGUUAUGUGGCUGAAGUUUCAAGAGGAUGGGAUGAACCAAAUGCUAGAGAGGUGGGAAGAAUGAAGUCUCAACCUAAUGCUAAGGGUGAGAUGUAUGUUUUGAAUGAAGACAUUGACAUGAAAGCAAAGGUUGCAGCUAUGGCAAGGAGAUUGGAAGAGCUAGAAAUGAAGAACAUACAAAAAGUGCAAGCCAUUUCUGAGACAUCAAUGAAAGCUAUGCCUUGUUCCAUUUGUCAAUCUUAUAAGCACCUAGUGGAGGAGUGUCCUACAAUUCCAGCAGUGAGAGAGAUGUUUGGUGAUCAAGCAAAUGUUAUUGAUCAAUUCAAGCCUAAUAACAAUGCUUCAUAUGGCAACACCUACAAUUCAAAUUGGAGGAACCAUUCAAAUUUCUCUUGGAAACGAAAGCCACCUCAAUACACACAACCUACUCAAGCACCUUAGCAAUCCUCGAAUCUUGAACAAGCUAUUGUGAACCUUAGCAAGGUUGUGGGAGACUUUGUGGGAGAUCAGAAGUCCAUCAAUGCUCAACUGAAUCGGAGAAUUGACAGUGUGGAGAGUACAUUGAACAAAAGGAUGGAUGAGAUGUAAAAUGAUCUGUCUCAAAAGAUAGACAAUGUCCAAUACGUAAUCUCAAGGCUUACCAACCUCAACACAGUGUAAGAGAAAGGAAAGUUUCCUUCUCAACCUCAUCAAAAUCCUAAGGGUAUCCAUGAAGUAGAGGCUCAAGAGGGAGAAUCUUCAAAGGUGAGGGAAGUCAAAGUAGUUAUCACCUUGAAGAGUGGUAAAGAGGUUGAUCAACCCACAUCCAAGCCAAAGCAUAAUGAAGAGAGUGUAGCAGAAAAAGAAAAGAGAGGAAAAUAAAGGAAUUAGAAUAGAGAAAAAUACAAAGAAAGAUGACCAUGAGUCUAGUGUGGAUGAAGAGCCCGAGAGGAUGGUGAUCAAGGAAGAUAUGAUGAAGAAACACAUGCCUCCACCUUUCCCCUAAGCUUUGCAUGACAAAAAAAGAACCAAUAAUACAUCAGAAAAUUUUGAAGUAUUGAGGCAAGUGAAGGUCAAUAUCCCUUUGCUAGACAUGAUCAAACAAGUGUCGACAUAUGAAAAAUUCUUGAAGGACUUGUGCACUGUAAAGAGAGGGUUGAAUGUGAACAAGAAAGCUUUAUUGACCGAGCAAGUGAGUUCCAUCAUACAGUGCAAGUCCUAGUGAAGUACAAAGAUCCGGGUUGCCGUACCAUCUCAGUGAGUAUUGGAAGGACUUGUGUGGAGAAAGCUUUGUUGGACUUGGGAGCAAGUGUGAAUUUGCUAUCCUACUCUGUCUAUAAGCAGUUGGGAUUUGGAGAGUUGAAGCCAAUAUCCAUCACUCUAUCUCUAGCGGAUAGAUCAAUGAAGAUUCCAAGAGGGAUGAUCGAAGAUGUCCUGGUUCAAGUUAACAAAUUCUACUAUCCAGUAGAUUUUGUUGUUCUUGAUAUGGAUCCGGUUGUCAAAUGAACUAAUUAUGUUCCUAUCAUACUUGGAAGACCCUUCCUAGCUACAUCAAAUGCAAUCAUCAAUUGUAGGAAUGGAGUCAUGCAACUCACAUUUGUCAACAUGACAUUAGAGCUCAACAUCUUCCAUUUGUACAAGAAGCAUAUCCAUCAGGAGGAAAAAGAAGGUCUAGAGGAAGUGUGAAUGAUUGACACUUUAGUGGAAGAGCAUUGUGAUCGAGAAUGCAAAAAGAUUUAGUUGAGAAUUUUGGGGAUCUUGAUGAAAGGUUACUUGAACCCUCAGAUUUGCUUGCUACCCUACUCCAUUGGAAGAGAAGAGAAGAAAUUCUACCCUUAUUCAAUGAGGAGGAGACGCAAAGAGCUGCAAAGGAGAAACCCCCAAAACUUAUUCUUAAGCCACUACCCACAGAGUUGAAGUAUGUAUACUUGGAAGAAGACAAGAAGUGCCCUAUUGUUAUAUCUUCAACUCUUACCAUUCAUCAGGAGGAUUGUCUACUUGAAGUCCUUAGAAGAUGUAAGAAGACAAUAAGGUGGCUAAUUUCUUAUUUGAAAGGGAUCAGCCCUUUAGUCUGCACCCAUCAUAUUUACAUGGAGGAUGAAGCUAAGCUAAUUCAUCAACCUCAGAGAAGGUUGAACCCUCACAUGCAAGAGGUGGUUCGAGCUGAAGUUCUGAAGCUACUUCAGACCAGUAUUAUUUACCCCAUAUCAAAUAGCCCAUGGGUGAGUCCUACUCAAGUUGCGCCAAAGAAGUCUGGGAUCAUGGUGGUGCAAAAUGAUAAGGGAGAAGAUGUCUCUACACGCCUCACUACAGGUUGGAGGGUGUGUAUCAAUUACAGGAGGUUGAAUGCAGUGAUAAGAAAGGACCAUUUCUCAUUGCCCUUUAUUGAUCAGGUGCUUGAGAGGGUCUCUGGGCUUUUUUUUUUAUUGUUUCUUGGAUGGCUACUCCGGGUACUUUCAGAUAGAAAUUGAUGUUGAAAACCAAGAUAAGACCAUUUUCACAUGCCCAUUUGGAACCUAUGCAUAAAGGAGAAUGCCUUUCGGCUUAUGCAAUGCACCCGCAACUUUCCAAAGAUGCAUGUUAAGCAUUUUCAGUGAUAUGGUGGAGCGUAUUAUGGAAGUCUUUAUGGAUGAUAUCACCAUUUAUGGAAGUGCAUUUGAUGAAUGCUUGGUCAACUUAGAAGCUGUUCUGAACCGAUACAUUGAGAAAGACUUAGUGCUUAACUGGGAGAAGUGCCAUUUCAUGGUACACCAAGGGAUUGUCCUUGGGCACAUUAUCUCCAAGCAAGGCAUUGAAGUUGACAAAGCAAAGGUUGAACUCAUUGUUAAGUUGCCAUCCUCAACAAAUGUCAAAGGAGUAAGGCAAUUCUUUGGCCAUGUCGGGUUCUAUAGGAGGUUUAUCAAGGAUUUCUCUAAGCUUGCAAGGCCUCUUUGUGAAAUAUUGGUGAAUGAUGUUAAAUUCAUAUGGGAUGAUGGAUUUGAAAGGAGUUUUGAAGAAUUGAAGCUAUUUUUGACAACCGUACCAAUAGUGAGGGCUCCCAACUGGCAACUGCCCUUUGAAGUAAUGUGUGAUGUCAAUGAUUUUGCUAUAGGAUUUUUUCUUGGGCAAAGAGAAAAUGGAAAACCUUAUGUGAUCUACUAUGCGAGGAAGGCAUUGAAUGAGGCACAAAGAAACUACACAACCACCGAGAAAGAAUUGUUAGCUGUAGUUUUUGCCUUGGAUAAGUUUCGCGCUUACUUGGUGGGGUCCUUCAUCAUGGUUUUUACUGAUCACUUUGCUUUGAAGUAUCUGUUGACUAAGCAAGAUGCUAAAGCAAGGCUGAUUAGAUGGAUUCUCUUACUUCAAGAGUUCAAUCUCCAUAUCAAAGAUAAGAAAGGAGUGGAGAAUGUGGUAGCAGACCACAUUUCAAGGCUAGCUAUCGCACAUAAUUCCCAUGCUUUGCCCAUUAAUGACGAUUUUCUAGAGGGGUCUCUCAUGUUGGUGGAAGUUGUCCCUUGGUACGCUCACAUUGCUAACUACCUGGUCACGGGAAAAGUUCCAAGUGAGUGGAAAGCACAAGAUAAGAAGCACUUCUUUGCAAAAAUUCAUGCCUACUAUUGGGAAGAGCCAUUUCUAUUCAAGUAUUGUAUGGAUCAGAUAAUAAGGAAGUGCGUUCCUGAAGAAGAGCAACAGGGGAUCCUUAGUCAUUACCAUGAAAAUGCAUGUGGAGGCCACUUUGCUUAUCAAAAGACAGCCAUGAGGGUGUUGCAAUCGGGUUUCUGUUGGCCAUCACUUUUCAAAGAUGCCCACACCAUGUGCAAGAGUUGUGAUCGAUGCCAGAGGCUUGGGAAGUUGACACGCAGGAACAUGAUGCCUUUGAACCCCACUUUAAUAGUUGAUAUUUUUUAUGUUUGGGGCACUAACUUCAUGGGACCUUUCCCUAUGUCUUUUGGCUACUCUUACAUCUUGGUAGGAGUAGAUUAUGUUUCUAAGUGGGUUGAGGCAGUCCCAUGCAAACACAAUGACCAUAGAGUGGUUCUCAAGUUUCUUAAAGAGAAUAUCUUCUCAAGAUUUGGGGUGCCCAAAGCCAUAAUUAGUGAUGGGGGUACUCAUUUUUGCAACAAGCCUUUUGAAACUCUCCUAGCCAAGUAUGGGGUGAAGCAUAAGGUAGCUACACCUUACCACCCUCAAACUCAUGGACAAGUUGAGUUAGCAAACAGGGAGAUUAAAAACAUAUUGAUGAAGGUGGUGAACACAAACAGAAAAGAUUGGUCAGUCAAGCUUCUUAAUUCACUAUGGGCAUAUAGAACAACUUACAAGACCAUUCUCGGGAUGUCUCCUUAUCGCCUAGUUUAUGGCAAAGCAUGCCAUCUCCCUGUGGAAUUGGAAUACAAAGCUUGGUGGGCAAUCAAGAAGCUCAACAUGGAUUUGAGCAGAGCUGGGUUGAAGAGGUUCUUAGACCUUAAUGAGAUGGAGAAAUUGAGAAAUGAUGCCUACAUCAAUUCAAAAAUUGCAAAAGAAAAAUUGAAGAGGUGGCAUGAUCAGUUGAUUUCCCGCAAGGAUUUUCAAAAUGGACAAAGAGUCUUACUUUAUGACUCUAAACUCCACAUCUUUCCGGGCAAGCUGAAAUCAAGGUGGAUAGGUCAUUUUACCAUUCACCAAGUGCAUUCAAAUGGAGUAGUGGAACUACUCAACUCCAACAAUAUCGAGAACUUCAAAGUGAAUGGCCACCGUCUCAAGCCCUUUGUGGAGUCUUUUUCUCACAACAAGGAGAAAUUCAUCCUCCUUGAUCCACAUCAAGCUUAACAAGACCAAUUUUCUUGAUGGACUUAGUCUUUCUAAAGACUAUCGAGUCCAUAACUUUUUGUUUUAUUUUUUAUUUGAGAUUUUUUCGGUAUUGUUACUUGUUUUGUUUUUUAUUUUUCGUUUUAAUUUUAUUUGGUUUGAUUUAACUUAGGUUUUUGAUGAUCAAUUACAGGGGGGAUUUCAAAUAGAGGAAAAACCAAGAUAAUUCGCACACCCUACGAAAAUUUCGCAAGGCAUGCGAAAUUUAUGGCUUAUUUUGCAUGGGGUGAAAAUUUUCGUACAUCUUACGAACCAAUUUCGAACACUUUGCGAAAAUAAACCAACCCUGCGAAAUCAUUUCGAUUACUCUACGAAAUUUUCGUAGAGCAUGCGAAAAAUUUAGCACACCAAACACCAUUUCGCAUACUAUGCAAAAACCUAAGGGGUCUGCGAAACCAUUUCGCACCUCCAAAUCCAUUUCGCACAUUGUGCGAAAACCAAGAGGCGCUGUGCGAAAAUGAAAAGUCGCCCUGUCAUCCCUUUUUAAACCCCUCGAGCCCUAAAAUCUCCAUUUCGCAAGCACCCCUGUCCUUGCGAAUCCCUCAUUUUCCUCUACUACCUUGCAACCUCGUCCCUUUCCAUUUGAUAUUGUGCCCCGCGCACAUCUCAUUUCAGAGACUCGCACUCCGCGCCCCCUCAAAGCAUGGACUCGAGACCCACCUUCCAUUUCCGACGUGGCACGGACCCAAGGAGCCCUUUCUGCCCCUUCACUAAGACACACACCAAGGCAGAAAGCCUCCUUUGCUCAAGUGCCUAGUGAUUCUCCAUCUUAGGCCUCAGAGGCCUCGGAGGCCCCGUGGAUUCCACCUUCCGAGGGUAGAGCAGCCAUUGGUCCUUCCUCUUCUACUCCUUAGCGUAGAUACGAGACGAGGAGACCACCUACUACACAAGGGGCGACUACUUCGAGCCUUGAGAAUUCAGUACGAUGCCUUCCUGCCAAGAGGGUCAAGACUUCAGGUCCAAGUGAGUCAUCCAGAGCUUCAUAGCCUAAGCCUCCUGUAGAUUCCAAGGUUCCUACUGACAUAUCACCGGAGUCUAUUAUCAGAAGCCCGAUGCUCAUAGCACCGCCCAUUGAGGGCAACUCAGAUUAUAGAGCGAGAUCUUUCCACUUGGAGCUAUAUUUUGAUCAGGAGGCCAUACGACAGCAGCCUGAGCUCCGAGACUCUUAUGGCUUACUGCAGAGGUACCAUCUUGAGGAACUUAUGACUCCUCGUGAGUUUUUUUAUCCCAGAGUAGCACUAAACUUUUACCAGUCCAUGACUACUCGUGGCGUCCCGAGUCCUACCACGAUUCACUUCACCAUUGAUAGACGUCAUGGUAUCCUCAAGGCCAGACAUAUUACAGAGGCUCUACAAAUUCCUUUCGAGCUAGAGGAUCCAUCUGUUUUUCGCUAAUGGUCCCCAGUAUCUCAGAGGGACAUGGUCCGUAUUUUAUCUAGGGGAACAUCUACAGAUUCGAUCUUUCUACGGAAGGAGCUUCGACCUGGGAUGCUCCUCUUAGAUGUGGUGCUAUGCUCCAACCUCUUUCCCUUACAACAUUCGGUACAUAGGUGAUGAGCUAUUUUGGACGCUUUAUUCCGUAUAUCAGAGGGCUUCUACUUUGGCCCGCACCACUUGAUCAUGGUCUCCCUCAUCCACUUUGAGGAGAAGGUUCAUAGGAAGAAGCUUCAGAGGGUGGACACCAUUCCAUUACUAUUCCUGAGGUUACUUUGCCAGGUCUUGGAGUACAUGGGCUUUCCUACUGAGCCUCGGCUCGAGCUUUGCCGCCUUUGUCGAGAGUGAUCCACUCUCGACAAAUGGAAUUAGUUGGCGGGCUAUUCUGCACCUCCAGGAGCCCCUCCCAUGGUAGCACCUCCAAUGUCCCCACAGGCAAAGUAGGGCGAGCUCCCGGCAAAGACUGUACCACCAAUGCCCACACUUGAGGCUAUUUCUGCUGCUCUGCCUAUGACUCCUACUGUUCCACCAGUUGGUCCUUUUACAUCCGAGCCUUCCAUCACCAUCUCGGCUUCGGAGUUUCGCGCCCUUGUGCAUACCUUUCAGACACUCACCACCACACAUACUCCUCUCUUCUAGCAAAUGGUUGAGAUGUGUGCCCAUCAGGACCGGAAGACUACUAUACUCUGCCAAAUUCAGCAGCACCUAAGACUUUUGCCUCAACCUCAACCUAACCAUCCCAUAUCAUCAGAGCCUCUAGCUCCAACUGAGGAUACUAUUCCACCUGAGAACACUACCACAGUAGAGGUCCGGUUUCCACCACCUUAAGAGGCCACCACAGCUACAUCAGAGGAUGUGUCAUCUCCACUUGAGGCUCCCACUACUUGAUCAUAGGACAUAUCUUUAUCUUAUUGUAUUUACAUAUUAUAUUACUAGAGAUUUGUCCUUGUUUUGAUACUUUAUAUUCUGGGAUUGGAUGUAUUGCCUGAUGAUAUCUCAAUUGUACUUUCUCAUAUUAAUAUAUAGACAUCAAUUUUUUUUAGUAUACUUAGCAUUUUUCUAUUUCCUCUACUCAUUACUCUUUUGUUUUUUUUUACUCAUGUGGUUUCUCUUAUACAACUCAGACUCCAUUUCACUCAGGAGGUACCACUUCCUCCCUUUAUUUUCAAUUGCUCUUGAAAUAUUGAGUGCAAUGUUGAUCUUGGUUGGGGGGAGAGUUGAGGAAGGAAGUUUUGUUAAUAAUGCUAGGUUAAUUUGUUAAUUUAGUUACUUUCUGCUUAAUUUUAAAAGUUUUCACUCUACUUUCCAUGGUUAUUAAGGAAAAAUUCUCAAAAUGAAAUGGGAGAAAUCGAAUUCUUGCAUUUUUACUUGAAUCUUAGAAUUUGUAUCAUGCUUAUUAAAGUUGAUGAAUUAUUGAAACUCCUAUUGAAUUCAACCUUAUUUUUUCCACUUUAAUCUUACCACACACGGUGCACAUUAGGUUCCAGUUAUAAGAUAAAAAACUAUCUCACCCCCUAAACUUAGAAAAAUUUACACUUGGUACCUUUGACAUCGUUUUAAUAGUGUUGGGACACCUUAUAAAAGGCCAAUGAGCCUUUAAAAAAAAAAAAAAAAAAAAAAAGAGAAAGAACAAAGUAUUGCACUUGCCUUGAAACCUGAGCAAGAUCCGAGGGGUAUACAGUGAAAGUCUUUAAAACCUGGUGCCCUAAGCCUUGAUUGGUUGGGAGUCACCGACCUCAAUGCUCGUUAUAAGGGUGAAUAGGUGGAGUUUAACAUAUUGUAGGUGCUUGGGUAUUGAAUUUCAAUCUCAAAAGUCCGGGAAAAAAUCUAAGGAGUUAGUGGUCAAAAGAUCCUUAAAGCUUGAUGCCCUAAACCUUGAUUGGUUGAGAGUCAUUGAUGGAUCCCCGCUACAUGGACAUUUUAGAAAACAAUACCUUUAGCAUUGCACGCCUACAAUGAAAAAAAAAUGUGAAAUAAAAGAGGUGCGUUCUUAGCCUAUUGGAGGUUGGUCAGUUUGCUAAAGUUUGAGAAAUCUAGGUUGGGGGGAGAGAAUAGUCCGACAUACUAUAAUAAAAAACUAAUAACCUUAACACUUAGAUUUUUGUGGAAGAGUAAGGAUUGGACCUUUAGGGGUGGAAAUUCUUUUGAUGCUUAAAUUUGCAUAAUGCCUACUCUUUAUAAAUUAUGAUUAGGCAAGAGAUUUGAUGACUCUUGUUCAAAGUUGGGUUUUUCCUCUUUGAUGUUCCAUGAGAGAGUAUAAUCCUCAUCAUGCCACUUGAAAUCUUUUUGGAGUGAUUAACAUGAUUUUGUAAAUUAUUUUACUGUCUAUUUUUCUUUAUCUCUCUUUUAUUGCUAAUGGACUAGCAAUAUGUCAGUUGGGGGGAGUGAUUACUACUCAAAAAGUACUCUUUUAUAGCUUGAAACUAACUGUUUUAAACACUUUUGAGUAGGUGUUAAUACAUUUUAACUCAAUUGGCACAUUAAGGAACCUAACAAGGGUUACUAAUAAGUUUUUGGCAAGUUUUGGUGUUUUUGGUAGCUAUUUGAUCAUUGAAACAAGCCAAGAAUGAGGGAGAAUUUUGUGAAGUCCAUAGCAAUGCAAGUUAAAGCUCAAAUACAUGAAGAAUCCAAGCUUUGAAGCACUUCAUAGCCCUUUGCGAAGCCAAUCAGAGAUGCAAGGAAGAAAACCAGAGGAAAAAAUCCAACAACCAGCAUUUUCGCAUGGCUGUGCGAAAUUUUGCACACCAUGCGAAACCACAAGAAGUAGCCAAAGAAUUUUGCACACCAUGCGAAAUUUCGCAUGGUAUACGAAAUCUUCCUAUGCACCAACUCCGUUAUAUUUUUAUCUUCAGAUAUUUUGUGUAAUUUCCUAGUUUCUCCUUGUAACCAACCUAGAUAUUUUCUUUUAUAUCUUUUUUUUAUAUUUUUUAGGUAACAUCAUAUAUAGGGGGAGAGACAUAAGGAGGAUAUGGAUGUUUUUCAUAAAACACUUUUAAUUUUCUGGUAGUAAGAAAUAUACAAAGUUUUUUGCUCUGCCUUACCUUCUCAUUUUGUUUUCACCUAUCUUUCUAGCCAAACAACCUCUGAGAAUGAUUUCUCAGGGGAUGAGUAGUUAGGUUUUACGUUUCUUGGAGUGAGAGAAGCUAGGUGAAAGACCCAAAUGCUAAGGUGGGAGUUGUCCUUGCUUUAAAUGAAAGUAGUUGUUAAAUAUUAAUGGUUUUUAUUUUAAGGUUUAGCUUUAAAUCCCUUAAAAACACCUUGAAUGGCCAAUACUUGGUAAGCUUUUCGGAUUCUAUGGAUGCUUAUUGCUAGAUCCAUGGAUGUCAUUAGUUAUCAUUUAUGAGCCAUUGGAAGGUGGUUCAAGAUGAGAGUCUUUAGUGUUUGAAGCCAUUAAUGGGAAACAAUUACCAUUUUUUCAUGAAUCCUUUGGAUAAAAUCUUAAUUGCUAAAUAUAAAACUGGUUCGGGAGAUAACCAUCCUUUAUGUUAUUAUGCCCAAUGCAAGGAGAAGAUUUCGAAUCUUCUCAUUUGUCUAAGGAACCCGAUCCUAGUGACCUAAAGCUCCUAGAGACCUUUUCUUUGUAGUUAACUUCAUUUAUUGUUUUUGCUUAACUUAAAAUCAAUCUUUGCAACCACAAUUCCAUUUUCUUUAAAAGCUAAUUUUUAUAAGGAAAAGCACCAUUUUAUUUCCUUCACUAAGUCAACUGUAUGAUGAAAACCCAUCCCUGUGGACGAUCUUAGAGCCACUAUACUAUGUUAUCUAUGCUAUCCUAGUGUGAGGUGAUUUAGGUUUUAUAAAUUUUGUUGAUAACACCCGUCUGAGCCAGAAUCAAAUGGAACCACUGAACCAGGGACAAAUCAACAGCCUAUAUGGGAGGGACACAAGUUUAAUUGAUUUGCAUUUCAGCGUUAUAGAUAAGUAUGUUUUGGAAGAUUUGUUCUGGAAAUACUGCACCAAGUACGAUUCUUUUUCUCUUGAGUGAGUCCAUUUGCAUGCCAAUUAACGAGUUGAAAAGUAGGAGCACCUACCUCGUGCUCAUGGAACCGAAUGUCAGUGAAGUGGGGCUCCUUUUAGCCUCUUGUGUUUCUGUUCCAACCAAGGCGGCGUAGGGAAAAACAACAAUAUGUCUGUGCUAAAUAUCAACGCAUGAUAGAUGUUUUUUUUUUUUUUUUUGGUAUGUCAAGGCUAACGAAUGAAAUGCAUUAGCUUGUUUUGUGACUAUAACUGCAAAUGUCCAAAUUGGAGUAUCUCCAUUUCUCACUUCGGAUGGUUAACUUUAUAAACAAGAUAUAGGAAACAUGUGAACAUCUUGAGGAACAAUUCAAAUUAUUCAUUAGAAGUCCUGGGUUAAGUUCCAAGAUUUAAAUCAGACCCUUCUAGCAGCUUCAAGGGUACUUAGCAACCUAUAACAUAUUAAUGAAGAUUUAGGAUUUAGACUCCGGAAUACAAAUAAAUAUGUAUCUCAUGCUUUGACUAGCUUCCCUACAUAUGCAUAAAAUGGAGAUGACCCAAAAAAAAUAGCAGAAUCUAGCUUCCCUACAUAUGCACAAAAUGGAGAUGACCCAAAAAAUAGCAUAAUCGCCUUAGUUUCUGUGGUUAAGGUGAUUCUCCGCUUAAUAUCCACAUUGACUCAUUAUGCAAAAUCAACUGAGCUAAUUUUAUUUAUUUAUUUAAUGUCAAAUAGGAACUCCUAAUUAACUGAUUACUGUCGAAAAGUGCUAUUUUGUAGACCUAAUUAUAAGGGUUUUAAGCACCUUUGAGUAGUAAUCAUAUUCAUUUAACCUAAUUAAUUCAUUAAGCUCCUUAGUAAUUAGUUCUAACCAUUUUUAGUGGCAAGUUUACAUGUUUUUCAUCAGCUUAUGAACCAAUUCAAGCAUGCCAAUUGAUGGAGGAGCUACUUGGGCGAGUUAAGCAAGGAUUUUGGACGUUUACAGGCUUGAAUUUCAAGUGGAAACACGAGCACAAGCAAUGGGAACACCAUUUCGCAAGGGGAGGCAAUUCACCUUGCCAAAUGACCAAUUUCGCAAGGGGAUUUUCCUCAUGGUGCAAAAUUUGGUCAUUUCGCACCAUGAAGAAACCACCUUGCAAAAUUUCGCAAGGUGGAUUUAGGCACCUUGCGAAAUGCCAAAUUUCACAAGGUGGCUUUUCACCUUGCGAAAUUUGGACCUUUCAUCUUCCCCCCUUGCGAAAUGCCUUUGAAAUCCCCUGUUUUGAGACGCUGUUGAUGAUAUUCCACUGCCGGUUCUCCAAGAUAUUUUGCUUGACUUUUAGCUUUAUAAAUACCUAUUUUACCCUUGUAAUCAACCAAUGAAAAGGUUGCUUUUGUAAUAGCUCUUGUAAUUUAGCUUUUUAUUGUCUUUAAAUAGAGGUGAAGAGCCUCAGACACGAUCAUCUUGUAACCUGUAACUUUAUAAGUUAUAAGAGCACUUUUGUUCAUACGCUUCUUUUCUCUUUUCUUUCUCAUUUUCUUAGUAGCCAAACAUCCUUGGAGGAUGAAAUCCCCAAGGAUGAGAGGCUAAAACCUUUUAGUUUCUUGAAGUAAUGGAUGCCAUGUGAAGCUCCCGUGUCAGGAUGGAGAUUUCCAAGCCAUAAAUGUAAGUAGCUGAGCGUCAUAAAUGUUUUCAUUCAAAGUAAAGCUUUUAAUCCCUCUGACUUGCUUUGAAUGGCCAAUACUUGAUAACCUUUUGGUCUCAAUGGAUUCUUAUUGUUAGAUCCACUGACGUUCAUUAGUUAUCUCCUACGAGCCAUUGUAUUGCAAGUCGAGGAGAUGACCUAUACCAAUAAAAGAGCAUUUAUGAGGUUCAACUACCCUUUUUGUAAGUUUUCAAGGACUAAAACUCAGUUGUUAAACUCAUACCGGUUCGAGAAGUAAGCAUCACCUUAGUUGCUUCCCCAACUCGAGGUGAAAAGUCCCAAAAUCUCCAUUUUUACACAGUGAGUUAAGCAUGGCUAUCCAAAGCUUUAAGAAACUUCUUUUUCCAUCUUUUAACCUAUUUUCAUGUUAGUUUAGUUUACAACACCUUCAUCUUUUUAUGUUUUCAUCUUAACCUAAUUUUUAUUAAGAAAAGUUCACUCCAUCCUCCGAACUUCACCAGUUAAAGUAAAAACCCUUCCCAGUGUUCGAUCCUAGAGCCACUAUGCUAUAGUAGCUUUGCUACUUUAGUGUAAGGACCUUAGGUAUAAAUUUUGUUGAUACCCUUACAUGCCAAGCUACCAAGAGUCGGGUUAUCAUUAACCUAACCAUUGGCCUGUGUAAAUUGAUUUCACAUGCACAAUGUUGUAGUAGAAGUCCAUAUUUUGAAUUUUAUUUUUGUAAAGGUAAGGAAAAUGAAGCAUUGUGUAAUUAUAAAAAUAACUUCAUUGGAAUUCACAAGGUUCACCCAAAAUGGAGCUACAUCUGUAUUCUAUCCUACAGUAGACUAUAUAGAUUGUACAAUAGUAAAUUGCAAAUACAAUUAAUAAGUCUUGUGCUUCCUUACUAAUAAUCCUUUGACAUGAACAUUGCAGCACUAAGGUCCUCUUGGGAAGACACCUUGCACCCAUGAGAGCACUAAGAGGAAGCAAGGCAGAGUCAUGGGUGCAAUGUCAUGACUUGUUGUUGCACCAAGAGAGGCUUGGUGAUGCCAUGGUGUUGCAGUAGCAAGAAUGUUGCCUUGGCAGGGACACGAUCUAGGGAUAGAUGCCAAGAAAGGCUUAGCACUCACAUGAGUUGCACAAAGAUGAAUGUAAUAGAGCAUCAGAGAGACGUCUUGGCAAGUAAAUGAAUGGAUCCAAGAGACAACAACAUGAGGAGUUUCAAAUGGAUAAGGAAUGACUCAAAGACAUUUGAAAGCUACAAGUUGGAUUCUAAUUACGAUUGCAAUUUGAGUUUGAGUAGGAGUUUAGAUUUUGAUUGUAAUUGUAGUAUGAGUUGGACUAGGAUUGCUUAUCCUUAGUCAAUAUAGGAGCGGUUCGUGUCACCCUAUGAAAAGAGUUUGAGUAGGGACUAGGAUUGCUUACUCCUAGUCAAAUAUGGAGUAGGUGGUGCCACACCUAUAAAAAAAAGGGACAACAUGAGAGAGAGAGAGAGAGAGAAAGAGAGAGUGAAUUCACUAAAGAUAUUGUGGGAGUUUUGCUUUGUUACGUCUUGUAUUAUUACUUAGAAUAGGAAUAAAAUACAAGUUGGGGCUAGAGCCCCAUAAUUAAUCUCGUGUGCCUUUGUGGUUAUUCUUUAUUUGUCAUCUCGUGUGGAUUGGAUUAGGUUGACUUAGAGGGCUUCUAAGCACCACCUUUGUGGGUUAUUAUUUAUUUUCCAUCUCUUGUGGAUUAGAUUAGGUUGACUUAGAGGGCUUCUGAGCACCACCUUUGUGGGUUAUUAUUUAUUUUCCAUCUAUUGUGGAUUAGAUUAGGUUGACUUAGAGGGCUUUUAAGCACCACAUUUGUGGGUUAUUCUUUAUUUUCCAUAUCGUGUGGGUUGGAUUAGGUUGACAAGGAGAAAAAUUAUGUGGGAAAUUUGUGUUGGGACACUUACCAUAACCAAGUAAAAUCUACCAAGUCCUUUGUAAUAUCUUCAACAAAUAUUUUAGACUAGUUCUUUCAGUUAGUGUAAAGGAGGAAGAAGUGGUAUUGAUUCUAGAAAUAGGGUGUGUGUAUUUGAACUACAAUCCUUAUGAUCCUUAGGUCUCUAAACCUUCGUGAUGGGCUCCCUGACAUUUCAUAGGUUGUGCUACACAUGCGUUUGAAAUUUAGAGUGCGUUUGACAGUGAUUCCGGGAAGUGUUUUUGGCCUUUCUUACACUUGAAAAUUUUUAUUUUUCAAGUAUUAGAAAUGCUACAAACACUUUUGAAAAUUACUGUCAAACACACUCUUAGGAGCGCACAUAUAUAGUAGAAAACUAGAAAUUGUGGUUUUUUUAGGAUUUACUGUAAUGUCAUUAGGAGGGUAGUAAGUUGAAAUUGAGUAUGAACAAAUAUUUCUUUCUUUGGGAUGUUCUUCUAGUAGGUGCUGAUGAAACUGUUCUUUCUACUGCCAAUGUCACAUAUCAGCCAGAAAUUGAAAAUUUCAGUCAAGGUGUCCUCUGUUUUAGUGGUGAGGAAAGCUAGAAAUUUUAAGGUGAAGUUUUGUUAAAAACCUUAAGUAGCUGGGAUAUCAGGCCUGUUUUGCUUGAAAAAAAAAGUUGCAAGAUAACUCAUAUGCCAAACAGGUUCUGAUAUUGUGAAUCUAUCGGCAGACAUCAGUAAUCUCAUCUUCUGAGAUGGAUGUUGGGGGUGCAUGUGGUGGUGGAGGGGCAAGGUUUCAUUUGGUUUAUUUUGUUGAUGGAUAUUGUCUAGCCACCUGCGCCAAGUUUGAGGGGUGGUGGGUUGUGAUGACCCUACAAUUACUAUUAAUUUCUUCAUCUUUUACCGAUUAAAGUGUCCGAACAGUCGAAGUUACCCUUAUGCAUGUCAACUUGAUCACUUACCUCUUCAAUGGAGUUUAUGCUGGUUCAUUUAGGAACUGAUUUUUAUUGUUAUGUAUUAUAUGCUGAUGUUUAGGUCUCUCCAUCAUCACUAUAUACAAAAAUUCUAGGUUGAUACUAUAGGUUGAGAUUUAUUUUUUAAAUAAAAAAUAAUAAAAAUAAAAAUUAUGGUGAUGUUUAGUUGUUUUAUGGAAAAUUUUAACAAGUAAAAGUUAUUUUUGGGCAAGUUUUCAAACAAAAAGAAAAGUAAAAGUUGUUUUGACAAAAACAUAUAGAAAAAAAAAUCAUAGAAAAUAAAUAAUUUCCCCAUAUUCUAACUUUUUUGAAUUUUUCUCAAUGGGCAAAGGAAUAUCAAAUCAAGUUUGAGUAGGAUUUCUUAAUUUUUAAAAUAACUUACAAUUAAAAAAUUUUGGUGUUUUCAUUUUUGGACAAUUUUUUAUUAAGCAAAUGGACUCUGAGUCAUGCAAGAGAUAUGGUUCAUUAACCGGUCGAACAAUUUUUUUAAAUUAAUUUAAAAGUCAAAUACAUAAUCAAUUUCACAAAAUUUAUAAACAAAAAUAGGUUUAGAGAAGAUCUACACAUAAUUUUACUUUUCUAAUUUUAUUUUAUUUUAUUUUUUGUUGGAAAAUAGUCUUCAAAUCAUGUAAGAUUUAAUAGGUUAAAUUUGUUAACAAUAAAUUUUAAAUUAUAAAAUAUAAUCUGGAACUCAAAAAUCAAUUCAAGUAAUGCUAAAAAAAAAUCAAAUUUGGUAUAGAAUGACUUUGUAAAUUUUUUUACAAAACAAAUGAAUUUUAAAUCAAGUGAGAUUUAAUGCAUUAGAUUUUUAUCAAAUAUAGUAAUUUUAAAAAUAAAUUUGGAACUCAACAAUAGACACAAUAAAUACCAAAAAAUAAUGAACCAAAAUUGGUUUGGAAUAACUCCACAACCUUUUUUUUUUUUUUUUGGUGCACACGAAUUUUCUUACUAGGUAUAUUGCUUUCAAAUUGAGAAAGAUUUACCAUUUAGAUUUUUUUUUAAUGAGUUUAAUGGUAUUUUAAAAUAAUUCAAAAUUUAAAAAAUUGACUAAUUAAUAUUAUAAAUUGAUAAACCAAGACUAUUUCAAAAUGCAUUGGGGGCUAAGGGGGUUGAAAAUAGGGACAAUGGGAUGGGUUUGGGACAUGACACUCAUAUCUCAUUUCCAUUCCAAUUACACAGUUAUCUCCCAUCCUUAUCCCAAACUUGUGUUGGAGCAAGUUGAUUUGUUCCCAUCUUUGUUGACGAAAUGACUAAUAACCUCAUCCCCUCCUUAUCUUAGAUGUACAUUUUGUCAAAUUUGAUCAGGUAUGAUUGAUCCAAGCCCUAACCCUAAUUGGUAAUGAGUGAAUACUACACCUAAUUGCAUUCUUCUUUCAUUGCAAAAUAAUGAGAUUAUAAUAAUCUAGCAAAUAAGAAAAAAUAGUAUGGAAGUUCAAAUUAACACCAUAACUAUCAAUAAUUUUAAGCUUAUAGAUGACUUAAAUGAUUAAAAACUAAUGCAAAAUCCUAAAAAAAAUAAAAAUCAUAUAAAGAAUUCACAAGAGAACAGAAUGAACAAAAACCAAAUAUGAACAUGGGUCAACAUUAGUUAUGGAUUUGGAUUCCUUUCAAGGCCAAUCUUUGAACCAAGACUUCAUCAAAUCAACUACUUCAAAGGCUUUUGUGUUCUUCUUGGGUUGUGCUCUCAAACAAAGACUUCGAGGUGAUGUUCUAGAUGAUUGAAUUACACAUAUUUAGGGUGGAGAGAUUGGAGAAGCUUGAAGAUGCCAACGAUGGGUACAAUUGAGUGGUCAAUAAGAACAAUGUAGCCUAUGACUAGUUUGAUGUCAUGGUACAAGAGUUUUAGGCAUUGAGGUUAAAGCAAGAGCAACAUGGAAUUGAUUUCGGAGUCUUUCAGUUAGUGUAAAGGAGGAAGAAGUGGUGUUGAUUCUAGAAAUAGGGUUUUAAGUGGUGCGUGAUUACUACUCAAAAAGUGCUAUUUGAUAGCCUUUAAUUAAUCCUUUUUAACACUUUUGAGUAGUAGUUUAGGCCUUUUAACUCAAUUGGCAUGUUAAGGAUCCUUUAAAGCAAUUUUGAUCACUUUGUGCAAGUUUUGGUGUUUUUGUUAGUAUUUUGAUCACCAAAGCAAGUCAAGAAUGAGGAGAACUAUGAGGAAUCAUGGGCAAAGCUUAGAAUUCAAUUGCCAAGAGUGAAUCCGGAUUGCAAGGAGAAAAAGCAAAGAGAAUCUGUCAUGAAGCCUAUUCUUGAUGACAGUCGUAGCAGCCACUUUUGGAGCACUUUCUGAAGUCCAAAUGAUGCAAGCUAUAUACCAUUUCAAAGAUCAGGAAGUCAACAAUCCAAUGCUUCAAACGGUGCGCGAUUCGGAGUUGAAACGAAGAAGUUGCAGCCAUUACAAGCCAGUCACUCUAAAGUGUUGCGGAAUCAGCCUUUUGUUGCGAGAAUUUCGCAGCACUUUUGUACAGUAAGGUGUUUCUCCUUCUGACGAUGCACGAACCAUGCCGCGAGAGGGAAGCUAGGAACUUCAAGAUGGAAGCCAACUUUGCAGCCUGGUGAAGAUAGCUUGGUCUUGCGAAAUAAUUUCGCAGCCCUCUUGGGUGUCUGCGAAAUUUCGCAGGCACCACUUUUUUCCUGCGAAAUGGCUCCGGAAGCCUCCCGAAGCUUGCUACCGACAUUGGGAGAUAUUUUCCAUUAGAUUUUUGUUGUCUAAAUUCCAAAAUACUCCUUGUAAACCACCAAUUACAUGAUUCCUUAGUUUUUAAGUUAGUAAAAAGACCAAAUAUCUAUGUAAUAAUUAGUUUUAUAUUAGUUUGCUAUAAAUACCUCUCGGGAGCAUGUUCUCAGAGAGGAGUUCCUUCUGUAACCAUUUUGGUAAGCAAGUAAAGUCUUUUCUUUCUACUGCCUUACCUUCUCACUUUGUAUUUUCAUUUUAUUUCUAAGUUAUGAAUUCUCUGAGGAGCUUUCCCCAGAGAAUGAGUAACUAAACCUCCAAUUCCUUGGAGCUAAGGUUGCCGGGGAAGGUUCCAAGUGCAAGAAUGCAAAGCUCUGUGGUUUUAGCUAGUAAUGAAGAGGAAGUGAAAUCCUUUAGUGAUUUCAAUGUUUUUAGUUAACUUAAAACACCUUGGAGUCACCUGGGCCAACACUUGGUAAGGCAAGUGAUUUCCAACCGUGGAAAUGCACUAGUUUACCCCUUGCGAGCCUCUGGUAGGUGACUUCAAGGUAGGAUUUUCUGGAAUUACCAACACUUGGUAAGCUUUUGGACUCCUAGGAGACAUCCAUUAGUUAUCUCUUGCGAGUUUGUGAAGGGGAAUCCAAGGUUAAAGAUCACCUUGAAUGGUAAGUGCUCGUGAGAGGCAUGAACCAUUGCAAGUUGUAUCAGUGAGAGAAUUAAAGUGAAAUCUAAUUGAAGGAGUCUCUGUACAUCACCGGUUAGAGAAUUGACUAUAAGUUGAAUCUCUAAUGCGAGGAAAUGAACCAUCUGACCGGAGCUAUGUCUUUUGCAUGAGGAACCACCCCAGUGAACCUAAAUCUCCAAGGAAUGCUUUUCUUCCUAAAUUAUUCCAAACUUCUGUUAAGUUAGUUAGUUUAAGUCUAAACCUUUACCAAUCAAACUUUGUGUUUUAUUUCUUAAGCUAACCGUGAAAUGAAACAAAACCAAUUCACUUGGAAUUGGUAUCCUUGAUUGCUUGCAAAUCAUUCCCAGUGAACGAUCCUUAGAGCCACUAUACUAUAGUAGCUUUGUAUUUGCUACCCUAGUGUAUGGUGUUAUAGGUAUAAAUUUUGUUGAUCACUUCCUCAAUCAAGGAACACCAGCUGAACACAAAUCAGCUGAGACACCAAUUGGGCAUGAGUCAAAUGGCGCCGUUGCCGGGGAAUGAGUGUCAAGAUCAUUGUGAUACCAUUUUUGAGCACUUGUGAUUUUCAUCACAAGUUGGUAAAGUUUCUUUCACUUUACUAAUUUUCAUUCUCUCUUUGUUUAUUUACAAUCUAAGUUUAUCUUUUUAAAAUUUAGUCUAGUUUAAUUUUGCUAUUGUAGCCUUGUUUCUCUUGUUGUCCUCUGUUCUUGUUGUCCUCUGUUUUCAUUUUAGUUGCAGCUGAAUACUAGUUGUGUAUGCCAAAGUGGAUACGAGACAUUGGAGGUAGGCUUAUUAAGUGUGAUACACCUCAGAGAGGAGAAUUGGAAGUAAUCUUGAAUAUCAUGGAGGCUGCACCUGAAGAUCAGCAUAGUCACCAAGGUCGUCAAGACAAUCUCAAUGAAUUCAGAUCAAUGAGGGACCGUAUGCAUCCACCUCGUAUGAGUGCACCAUCAUGUAUAGUGCCCCCUACAGAGCAACUAGUGAUCAGACCAUAUCUUGUUCCACUUCUACCAACUUUCCAUGGGAUGGAAAGUGAGAAUCCGUAUGCACACAUCAAGGAAUUUGAAGAUGUUUGUAAUACAUUCCAAGAGGGAGGAGCUUCAAUUGAUUUGAUGAGGCUUAAGUUAUUUCCUUUUAAUUUAAAGGAUAAGGCCAAAAUUUGGCUUAAUUCUUUAAGGCCAAGGAGUAUCCGCUCUUGGACUGAUUUACAAGCUGAAUUCCUCAAGAAAUUUUUUCCUACUCAUAGAACAAAUGGCUUGAAAAGGCAAAUUUCAAACUUCUCAGCUAAAGAGAAUGAGAAAUUCUAUGAGUGUUGGGAAAGAUACAUGGAAGCUAUAAAUGCUUGUCCUCACCAUGGCUUUGAUACUUGGCUACUGGUGAGUUAUUUUUAUGAUGGUAUGUCCUCCUCAAUGAAGCAACUCCUCGAGAAAAUGUGUGGAGAAGAUUUCAUGAGCAAAAAUCCAGAGGAAGCUAUGGAUUUCUUGAGCUAUGUAGCUGAUGUUUCAAGGGGAUGGGAUGAACCAACUAAAGGAGAAGUGGGAAAGAUGAAGUCUCAGUUGAAUGCUUACAAUGCAAAGGCUGGGAUGUAUACUUUAAAAGAGGAUGAUGACAUGAAAGCAAAGUUGGCAGCUAUGACAAGAAGAUUGGAGGAGCUGGAGCUGAAAAGAAUGCAUGAAGUGCAAGCUGUUGCUGAAGCACCAGUGCAAGUGAAGUUGUGUCCCAAUUGUCAAUCGUUUGAACAUUUGGUAGAGGAAUGCCCUGCAAUUUCAGCUGAAAGGGAAAUGUAUAGAGAUCAAGCAAAUGUUGUUGGACAAUUCAGGCCCAAUAACAAUGCUCCUUAUGGAAAUACCUACAAUUCAAGUUGGAGGAAUCAUCCAAAUUUUUCAUGGAAGGCCAGAGCAACUCAAUACCAACAGCCGGAUCCACCAUCUCAACAAUCUUCAAGUAUUGAACAAAUAAUAGCUAAUCUCAGCAAGGUAGUGGGAGAUUUUGUGGGAAAGCAAGAAGCCACCAAUGCUCGAGUGGAUCAAAGAAUGGACAGAGUGGAUCAAAGAAUGGACAGAAUGGAGAGUAUGUUGAACAAAAGAAUGGAUGGAAUGCAAAAUGAUAUGAAUCAAAAAUUUGAUAACAUCCAAUAUUCAAUUUCAAGGCUUACAAAUUUGAAUACACUGCAAGAAAAGGGAAGAUUUCCUUCUCAACCUAACCAAAAUCCCAAAGGUGUCCAUGAAGUGGAAAGCCAUGAGGGAGAAUCAUCACAGGUGAAAGAUGUGAAAGCUUUGAUCACUCUAAGGAGUGGUAAGAAAAUUGAGCAGCCAACACCCAAGCCACAUGUUGAGAAAGAAGAAGAGAUGAAGAAAGGGAAGGAAAUGGAAGAUAAAGGCAGUGAGAUCAGUGAAGAAAAGAAGGACUCUGAUGCAACAAUGAAAGUAAUUCCAGAGAAGGAGCUUCUGAAGGAAGAAAUGCUGAAGAAAUCAACUUUUCCACCUUUUCCUCAAGCAUUACAGGGGAAAAAGGGGGUUAGAAAUGCAGCUGAAAUCCUAGAAGUAUUGAGGCAAGUGAAAGUUAAUAUUCCACUGCUGGAUAUGAUCAAACAAGUUCCAACGUAUGCAAAAUUCCUAAAGGACUUGUGUACUAUCAAAAGAGGGUUGACUGUAAACAAGAAAGCCUUCUUGACUGAGCAAGUAAGUGCAAUCUUACAGUGUAAGUCUCCUUUGAAGUACAAAGACCCUGGAAGUCCUACCAUUUCAGUCAUGAUUGGAGGAAAGGUAGUGGAGAAAGCCUUGCUAGACUUGGGAGCAAGUGUGAAUUUGCUUCCAUAUUCUGUCUACAAGCAACUGGGACUUGGAGAGUUGAAGCCAACAGCAAUCACUUUGUCUCUGGCAGAUAGAUCAGUGAAAAUUCCAAGAGGGGUAAUUGAGGAUGUAUUGGUUCAAGUAGAUAAUUUCUACUAUCCUGUAGAUUUUGUUGUUCUUGAUACAGAUCCUACUGUAAAGGAAGCUAAUUUAGUUCCUAUCAUCCUUGGAAGGCCAUUUCUUGCAACUUCAAAUGCAAUCAUCAACUGUAGAAAUGGGCUUAUGCAACUCACUUUUGGUAACAUGACACUGGAUCUAAAUAUUUUCUAUAUGUCUAAAAAGCAAAUCACUCCAGAAGAAGAAGAGGGUCCAGAAGAGCUAUGUAUUAUUGAUACUUUGGUGGAGGAGCACUGCAAUCAACAUAUGCAAGAUAAGUUGAAUGAAAGUUUUGUGGAUAUUGAGGAAGGUUUUUCUGAAUCUCCUAAUGGGCUUGCUACUCUACAAAGUUGGAGAAAGAUAGAAGGAAUUCUACCUUUGUUCAAUGAAGAAGAGGAGGCAGCUGUUGAAAAAGAAAUUCCAAAACUCAAUCUGAAGCCUUUACCUAUGGAGCUGAAAUAUACAUAUCUUGAAGAAAAUAAUCAAUGUCCUGUCGUAAUAUCUUCAUCUCAAACCAAGUCUCAAGUGAAGGAUGCAAGCUUCAAAUGGGAUCCGGGCAAACUGAAUCAGGAAGGGCAAAAAGUUUUGAUGUAUGACACAAGACUCCAUAUCUUUCCUGGGAAGCUCAAGUCAAGGUGGAUUGGUCCAUUUGUUAUUCACCGAGUAUAUUCCAAUGGAGUGGUGGACUUAUUGAAUUCCAAUGGCAAGGACAGCUUUAGAGUCAAUGGAUAUCGUCUUAAGCCGUUCAUGGAGUCAUUCAAAUCAGAAAAGGAGGCAAUCAACCUCCUUGAACCUCAAAAAGCCUAAGUGAAAUGGGUUUGCUGGACGUGGUUUUACCACAGUCCAAAAAUUUUUGUAAAUUUUGUAAAUUUUCAAGUUGUUUCCAUGCUUUUAAUCUUAGUUUUUGAUUUUAAAUCAUGUUUUUAGGUGUGUUUUAAUCGUUUUAUAUGAUCCCAGGCGGAAGAAAUUUCAAGGGGAUUGAAAAGAAAAAAAUCGGGUCGAAAUUGGAGCCGAAACAGAGCAAAAACAGGGGAAAAACAGAGCUCUGCGAAAUUUCGCAGGGUGAAGGAAACUUCUGCGAAAUUGGCAUUUUGCUGCCAAACCAUUCCGCAGCACUGUAGAAGCCUCUGCGAGUGUAUUUCGCAAUUGCGAAAGUGGAUUUGGCACACGAGUGCCACUUCGCAGCACAGUGACAUCAAUUUCGCAGCUGCGAAACUCACUGCGAAGUUGCUGCGAAAAUGGCAAGUUGCUGCGAAAUUGGCGUUUUGUUGCGAAACGUAAUCUGACCCCUGGGCUUCCGUUUUUCCUAUUUAUACCUGUCAAAAGUGCUGCGAAAAAGGUUUCAAAAAUUAGAGCACCAUUCUCGCAGCCCUUUCAUCUUCUUCGCCAAGCCACGCCGUCCGUUUCUCCGGUCGUCUUCUCCGUUUAGCAGCGCCGGCCAAAGAUCGAUAGCCCAAAAAUGGCACGAACGCGAGGGGCAAAGUCUUCAUCCCCUUCGAACCGCAAAAGGAGUCUGCGAAAGGAGCCAAGUUCAGGCUCUGUUCCAGAACCUGCUCCAAAGCCUUCGCCGUCGAGACCACAACCUUCUCCAGUGAAGCCGGCGCCACCAAAGCCGCCGGCAAGGCGAUAUUUAACCAGGUCAGGUGGUCAGCCAUUGAAGAAGAAAGCCAGAGUUGAGAGCUCUGAACCAAUCGAUUUGACUGAGCAAUCCCCUGAGAAAUCACCAAAUCCUUCACCGGUACAAAUUCCAGUGCCAUCACCGGUUCCCUCGCCAAUUCCCUCACCAGAAGCAACUCCAAUUCCAUCGCCGGUACCAUCUCCGGCACCCCAAGAAAAAGCUCAGGAGCCUCAAGCGCCAAUUCCAGAGCCCCAAAUUGCAGCUGAAGCACCUCUGGAAGAAGUGAUCCGAAGGCCAAUGCUGCCUCAGCCCCCAAUCGAAGGAAACCUGGAUUGCCGAACUCGGGCAUUCCAUUCUGAGCUUUGCUUCGAUUUAACAGCAUUCAGAGUGAGGCCAGAGCUUGCCCAAUCCUUCCAACUGCUGAGGAGAUAUCAUAUGGAGCAUCUGCUAGCUCCAAGGGAUUUUUUCUAUCCCCGGGUAGUCACGGAUUUCUACCAAACCAUGACAACCAAAGAAGUAAGAAAUCCAACUCUGAUUCAUUUCAUAAUUGAUGGAAGGCAUGGUAUUUUGGGAGCAAGACAUAUUGCUGAAGCCCUGCAAAUUCCUUUUGAGCCAACUCAAUUCGACAAUUUUAAAGCUUGGACAAAUCCUACUGAGUUAGAGAUGGUUAGCACACUAACCAGAGGAGCUGCAAAUCGAUCGCAUUUGUUGAGGGGGGAGCUACCUCCAGUUAUGUUUUUGAUUGAUGCCUUUUUGAGGCAUAAUAUCUAUCCCCUGCAGCAUUGGACCCAAAGAAGGGGAAUUCUCCUAGAAGCCUUGUACAAAAUGUCUGAAGGAUUCUUCUUUGGGCCUCAUCAUCUGAUCAUGGCAGCCCUUCUAUACUUUGAGGAGAAGGUUCACAAGAAGAAGCUUCAAAGAGCAGAUUGCAUUCCACUCCUCUUCCCAAGGCUGCUAUGCCAAGUUUUGGAGCAUCUCGGAUACCCCUCUGAGCCUCAGCAGGAAAGAAAGAGAAUAUGCCGUGAGCCUUUUACCCUUGAUAAAUGGAAUAAUAUGACGGCCUACAAAAUUGAUCAGCCUGGGCAGCCUCAGCCAGCAGCAAGGAGAGUCUCCCCAAGACAUAUACCUGAAGGUAUAACACUUGCUACUCCUGCCAUCCCUCGAGCUCCACCAGCUGCACCUGCUCCAUCACAGCCAUCCACAUCAGCUGAGCCGAGGAUGGCCAUCCCUAUAUCCGAAUAUCGAGAGCUGUGCCGUGCAUUGGAGACUCUUACAGCUUCUCAGAGCAAUCUUGCUCAGGAGUUGGCAGCCAUUAAAGCAUGCCAGGAGCAGAUGUUAGCCUCUCAGACUCAACAAGCUGCCAUCCUAAGGCAGCUUCAAGUCCAUUUCGAUCUGCCACAAGCUGUAGAGCCCUCUAUUCCUACUCCACCAGAGCCACACUCUCAGCCUUCAGAGUCUCAUCCUCCAGAACCCGAAGCACCAGCUGAUCCACCUACUGAGGAGGCAGAUCCUUCUGCCUAGCACCAUCACCCCCCUCAUCAGACAUUAUAUAUAUAUUUGCUGUUUAUGUUUUUAUGCAUGUUUGUUUUGUUUUAGUUGAAAAGAAAUCCCAGUAUUUUGGUACUAUAUAUGGGAUUCCUUGUGUUACUUGUCUUUAGUAUUGUAAUCACAUGAACUCAAAGUAAUACAAGUUGACUAUUUCUUGUUAAAAGUUAGCAUUAAAGUUUCCUUAUUUCCUUUUCUCACAUAUUCUAUUCUUUUUGAAACAUGUGGUUUUCCCCAAUCAAUAUUCGAAUUUGAUAUCAGCAUGGAGGUACCACUUCCUCCCUUUUAUUACAGUCACUCAAAUCACAUUGAGGACAAUGCUCAGUUCGGUUGGGGGGUAUGAGGAAGGAAGUAUUCUAAACCUUUUUGGUAUUGCAAUUAUAUUGGUUAAUUAGUUGUAGAUUUUACUUUUUACUAGUGUUACUCUAUUCUCCAUGAAUUUUGAGGAAAAAUUUUCAAAUUAAACCAAGAGAAAUUGAACUGUUGUUUUUCACUUGACUUAGAGUAUGGAUUAUGCUUACUAAAGUGGUUCAAUUGUUGAAACUUCUACUGAAAUUGAAUUGAGUUCUUCCACUUUAAGCUAUCCACACACUGUGCACAUUAGUUUCCGAUUAUAAGAUGAAAAGCUAUUUCCCUCUUGACUUAGUAUAUUUUUGGGACUUGGUAUAUUUGACCUCAUUUGAUAAAAAUUGAAACACCCUGCAAAAGGCCAAUGAGCCUUUGAAAUAAAGAAAGUUGUUUGCUUGCCUUGAAACCCGAGCAAGGUCUGAGGGGUAUAUGGUGAAAAUCUUUAAAGCCUGGUGCCCUAAGCCUUAAUUGGUUGGGAGUCACCGACCUCAAUGCUCGUUACAAGGGUGAAUAGGUAGAGUUAGCAUAUGGUAGAUGCUUGGGUAUUAGAAAUUCAUUCUUAAAAGUCCGGGGAAAAAUCCGAGGAGUUAGUGGUUGAAAGAUCCUUAAAACUUGGUGCCCUAAACCUUAAUUGGUUGGGAGUCAUCGAUGGACCCCCAUUACAUGGACAAGUCAGAAAGAGUACCCCAUAAAGCUACCUUAAAAAAAAAAAAAAAAAAAAAAAAAAAAAAAAAGAUGAAAGUGUGUUCUUUUCUUAUUGAUUUUGGUCAGUUUGCUAAAGUGUUGAAAAGAGAUAGGUUGGGGGGUGAGAUUAGUAGCAUAUUAUUCUCGGAACCUAAGGAACCAAUACACAUAGAUUUUUGUGGAAGAUUGAAGUUUAGUUCUUAGAAAAUGAAAUGAUUUUAAAACUUCAGUUUGCAUAAUGCACUCCCUUGAUUGACAGUGUUUAGCAUAGGUGUUAUGACUCUUGUUGAGAUUUGGGUUUGUAUUUCUUUAAUGAUUCAUGUGAGAAAUAGAUCAUCAUGCCACUUGAGAAUUAUUUUCCUUUUAGCAUGAUGUUGUAAAUUUUAGAUUAGUUUGCUAUUUAUUUUUUAUUUUCUCUCCUAUAUUGCUAAGGGACUAGCAAUAUGUCGGUUGGGGGGAGUGAUUACUACUCAAAAAGUGCUAUUUGAUAGCCUUUAAUUAAUCCUUUUUAACACUUUUGAGUAGUAGUUUAGGCCUUUUAACUCAAUUGGCAUGUUAAGGAUCCUUUAAAGCAAUUUUGAUCACUUUGUGCAAGUUUUGGUGUUUUUGUUAGUAUUUUGAUCACCAAAGCAAGUCAAGAAUGAGGAGAACUAUGAGGAAUCAUGGGCAAAGCUUAGAAUUCAAUUGCCAAGAGUGAAUCCGGAUUGCAAGGAGAAAAAGCAAAGAGAAUCUGUCAUGAAGCCUAUUCUUGAUGACAGUCGUAGCAGCCACUUUUGGAGCACUUUCUGAAGUCCAAAUGAUGCAAGCUAUAUACCAUUUCAAAGCUCAGGAAGUCAACAAUCCAAUGCUUCAAACGGUGCGCGAUUCGGAGUUGAAACGAAGAAGUUGCAGCCAUUACAAGCCAGUCACUCUAAAGUGUUGCGGAAUCAGCCUUUUGUUGCGAGAAUUUCGCAGCACUUUUGUACAGUAAGGUGUUUCUCCUUCUGACGAUGCACGAACCAUGCCGCGAGAGGGAAGCUAGGAACUUCAAGAUGGAAGCCAACUUUGCAGCCUGGUGAAGAUAGCUUGGUCUUGCGAAAUAAUUUCGCAGCCCUCUUGGGUGUCUGCGAAAUUUCGCAGGCACCACUUUUUUCCUGCGAAAUGGCUCCGGAAGCCUCCCGAAGCUUGCUACCGACAUUGGGAGAUAUUUUCCAUUAGAUUUUUGUUGUCUAAAUUCCAAAAUACUCCUUGUAAACCACCAAUUACAUGAUUCCUUAGUUUUUAAGUUAGUAAAAAGACCAAAUAUCUAUGUAAUAAUUAGUUUUAUAUUAGUUUGCUAUAAAUACCUCUCGGGAGCAUGUUCUCAGAGAGGAGUUCCUUCUGUAACCAUUUUGGUAAGCAAGUAAAGUCUUUUCUUUCUACUGCCUUACCUUCUCACUUUGUAUUUUCAUUUUAUUUCUAAGUUAUGAAUUCUCUGAGGAGCUUUCCCCAGAGAAUGAGUAACUAAACCUCCAAUUCCUUGGAGCUAAGGUUGCCGGGGAAGGUUCCAAGUGCAAGAAUGCAAAGCUCUGUGGUUUUAGCUAGUAAUGAAGAGGAAGUGAAAUCCUUUAGUGAUUUCAAUGUUUUUAGUUAACUUAAAACACCUUGGAGUCACCUGGGCCAACACUUGGUAAGGCAAGUGAUUUCCAACCGUGGAAAUGCACUAGUUUACCCCUUGCGAGCCUCUGGUAGGUGACUUCAAGGUAGGAUUUUCUGGAAUUACCAACACUUGGUAAGCUUUUGGACUCCUAGGAGACAUCCAUUAGUUAUCUCUUGCGAGUUUGUGAAGGGGAAUCCAAGGUUAAAGAUCACCUUGAAUGGUAAGUGCUCGUGAGAGGCAUGAACCAUUGCAAGUUGUAUCAGUGAGAGAAUUAAAGUGAAAUCUAAUUGAAGGAGUCUCUGUACAUCACCGGUUAGAGAAUUGACUAUAAGUUGAAUCUCUAAUGCGAGGAAAUGAACCAUCUGACCGGAGCUAUGUCUUUUGCAUGAGGAACCACCCCAGUGAACCUAAAUCUCCAAGGAAUGCUUUUCUUCCUAAAUUAUUCCAAACUUCUGUUAAGUUAGUUAGUUUAAGUCUAAACCUUUACCAAUCAAACUUUGUGUUUUAUUCCUUAAGCUAACCGUGAAAUGAAACAAAACCAAUUCACUUGGAAUUGGUAUCCUUGAUUGCUUGCAAAUCAUUCCCAGUGAACGAUCCUUAGAGCCACUAUACUAUAGUAGCUUUGUAUUUGCUACCCUAGUGUAUGGUGUUAUAGGUAUAAAUUUUGUUGAUCACUUCCUCAAUCAAGGAACACCAGCUGAACACAAAUCAGCUGAGACACCAAUUGGGCAUGAGUCAGUGCGUUAGAGGAUCAAGAAGAAGAAAAAGAAGGAACUGUUGGAAUUAGUAUGAGUGUGAAGAGAAAAGUAUAUAAAUAAGGGGAAGUAAAAGCAAAGUUCAAAAAGCUAUAUUUUUUUAUUGUUGGUGUAUGGUUGCAUGAUUAUCCCUAUAAAUAAUAGGAGUUUUUUGGUAUUCUACUAGUAGUUGAAGCAUAAUUUCAUAAAUUAAUAUUUAGAGCGGGGUGGGGUGAGUUGUGACAAAAUUCAUACCCGUCCCAAACCUUGGUUCAGAUUUUUAAAAUAUUCUCAAACUUAUCAUAUACCCAACUUUUAUAUUUCAUACUUGUCCUAAUAGAGGCACGUUAGGCCGGGUUACUUGAGUAACCUACAUAAUUGUCAUCCCUAGUUGAAAUACACUUUUUGGCAGUGGCCACCAACUGAGCUAGAAGCUUGAUUGAUUGACCUACAAGAUUAGUUCUCAUCAUUUUAAAAAAAGUUCUGGCUUUGGUUGUGAGUGCAAUUGAAUCUAAACUGGCAUUUGCUUAAUGCAUCUACUUCAAUCCUAAACUUCUUACUUCUUAAGCCUCAAUUGUUGUUAGGAUUUUGGAAAACCCAUUUCCUUAAAUUGUAAAUUUAAGAUAAAAUAAAAUAAAAGUGAGACAUUUCUUGAUUGAAUAUUGUUAAAGGUCCCUUGGCAUUAAGACUUGGUUGAAGCCUUGGAAGAUUAGUGGAACUCUCAACAUGUGUUUGAAUCUUGAGGAGAGUGGAUGUAAGCCAAAAUUUUGUCAAACCAUUAUACAAAUUGAGUUUGAAUCCUCAUUUCUUGAUUUCUUAUUUAUUUGCUUUUUCUUAUUAUUACUUGAAUUGUCAUUUGCAUUCAUUAAUGUUAAAAUUGGUUAUAAUUAACCAACACUAAUUCUCUUUCCCCUUCCCUUUCUUGGGUGUAAACCUAGGUUGGAUUAACUAGAUAAAUCUAUUAAGAUGGUAAAAGAAUAAUUAUUCUUAACAUACAUAAGAUCAUCUUCAAUCAAAUGACUCAUUGGCUAAUAUGUUGAAUUUGCUUAUUACUUGCAACUCAAAAUUGUGUUCUAGUUGUGUCAAGUCCCCAGUGUAUGGACAUUAAAUUUGUAGUACGUGAUGAGUAAUUAGAUGGUCCAACUCCAAGAAAGUGAUUGAAAAGUAGUUCAAGAAAGGUGCAAAAGGGAAUUGUUUUGGUAUUUUCGUUUUUAUUCUUGAAGGUGGCAGAGCUAAAAUUUGAGAAAUCAAGCAAAACAUACUGAAAUUACAUUGAAAGAAAGAAGAUGGGAGUUAAUGUCUUGCAGUACAUGAUAAGGACUUCAUGCAUGUAGUGUGACCCAUGUCUUGGACUGAUGCCAACUCACGGUUACACUUAUACCCUUGGUUCUCUCUUUACUACCUUGGCUAACCUAGAUCAGGCUAUGAGAUAGGCUCCUCACCACACCAUUACUUGCCCAUUAAUUAGAGACAUUUUCAAGCAAUGAGGUAACAUGGUGACACCAAGAGGGUCUAUUCCUCGCCCGGAACAAGUCUAGACUUGGUCUCAAAAAAAUGGAGAAAAAUGAGGUGUCGUUAUGUAGAAAUACAACAACCAUGCCUUCCUCAUUACUUAGAUUCAGAAUGUGAAGGUGAAAUUGAGAAACAGAAACUCUUGAAACCAAAAUGAAAAUUGAUACUUUUACGAAGAAUUACAACAACAUUAGAGGAAGACUACAUUCUUCCUCUUUAUUCCUACAUUUCUACACUACUUCUACUCCACUCCAUAUUUCUACAUACAUCUUUAAUCAGUCUUCCCUCCUUUAUAUAGAGCCAUCUUCACACAAAUUUCGCAAGGUAGAAAAGAGGAAUGAAACUUGGAGCAAGGUUCGACUACUGGUUGUAGCUUGUCAAGGCUGGAAGUGAACUUUUCUUGGCUUUCUGGGCAUGGGUAGUAACUUGUGGGUUCCUGUUUGGCAUAAAAAUGGCUAGAACAUGUGGCACUAUCUUGUUGGAUGAUGUGUCAAGCAUGUGGCAGCCAUCUAGUGGCGAUUAUGUCAAUUUUGGGAUGGAGAGUUGGCAUCCAAUUGCAAAGAAAUAUGACGUCUACCAACAUGCAAUGUAAACCUAUGUAGAUCAUAUGAAGAUAGAGAGGAAAAAUAUAGAAAUGGAUAUAUACCUAGAACUAGCUUUUUAUUAAAUGAAACGGAGAGACAACAAUGAAGGAAAAUAAAAUUUUUUGGCUUAUAUCAAAGAGUUCACAUUGUGUUACCCUAGGUUUUCUUAAAACUUACUUUUAUGAUAACAAAAAAGAAAAAACCAUUAUUGUUUAAUCCUUUGUUUUAAACGCAUGUAAGGUGUAAUUAAGUUAGUUCAAUGCAUUAAUUUAAGAAACUUGACCUAUCAAAAGUACAAAAUUAGAUGAAAUCCAUUUCAAUGGUUAAAAUGAUCAAAAUCAAACUUUUUCUAAGUAUUUUUUAAAAGCAUCAAUAGUGAAAGACAAUUUUAUAUUUAGUCGGAGUUUGGACAAAACUGAAAAACACACAAAAUCCAAGCGACCAUCUCUAGCUUGGAUGGUCGCUUGAUCCCACCUAGAGAUGUGCAUGAGUAAAAGGAUUUGAAAAUGGAAAUUGACUAUGUAGUCGAUCAAUUAACUUUGCAACAUCAUAUGCAAUCCUAAUUGCUAGUCAUCUAAUCAAUUAGGUAGUCAAUCAACAGGCCAAAAAUAUGUUUAUAAUGACUAUUUUGUACAAAAACCACCUGUAUAGUUAAAUAUAAUGCAUUUCAUUUAUAAAUCUUCUAAUUCUUGAAUAACGAUCCUAUCAUCCUUUGAAAGUUUUUAUUACACUUUUUUUACUUUUGUUCUAAAACUUACACAUCACCCUUAAUUGUACCAUGAGAACCUAGCUAUUUUUUAUUUUUUUUUUUGUAAUUCAUCAAAGUUAGCUUUUGUAUUCAUUGUUGUAUUAUUUUUAGUAUAACUUAGAAAGCUAGUGUUUUCAAGUGAGUAAAAUUAACUUGUAAAUAUUGUAAAGAUUCAUCGACAUGUAUCUUAAACUAAGUGUACAAGUUAAAACAUUUGCUAGUAGAUUUUCUCAAAAUUUAGAAUAGAGCUUGAGACUAUUGAAAUAGGUGGGGUUGCACCAAACCACAUCACAUCGUUGUUUGCACCUUUUUUCACUCUCUUUUACUUAGUUGCUCUAUAUUUGUUGUCUAGUAAUAUCCUAUAGGCUUGAUGGGUUAGGGAGCAUCCCUUUGUGAAAAAAUUUUAUUCAAUCCUUAGUUGUAUCACGCAUAUAUAAAAUGCCUCAUUGUUUUAAUGGUAUUCAGUCGUGGCAUCACAGAUAUGGGCAUCUAAAUUUUAAAAGUUUGAAACUUUUAUCUAAAGAAAAUAUGGUGCUUUGCCUUUUUGUAAAGCAUGUUGAUGAAAUCCAUGAGAAUUGUGUACUUGGGAAGCAACACCGAGAUGACUUUUUUUUUUUUUUUAUAAUAUUGUUUGUCCAAAUUCCCUACAAAUUAGGCCACCAGAUGUUCAUAAUUCUCCCUUCUUGAAUUUGAAAACUCGGACAAUUGGACAAUGCGACACCUAAGUCCGGUUUCUAAAUGCUAAAGUGAAAGGGUAGGUAUGGACCAUUGAAAUGUGAUCACAACUUUUCUCUGUAGCCAUGUUGUCUCUUUUUUCUUUUGCAUGAUUUUCUUACCUUAACAGAAUCAUAGACUUGUUUAGUCUCUAAAUGGGAUUAAUUUCAUCCAGCUUUAAGCUACUAUAUUAUAUCUAGGUGGAGGACUUUUAAGAGUGCAACCGACAUAGAGCACAUGGAAGUGGGUAUAUGGGACAUGAAAUUUCUUCUUAUAAAGAUUGCAUGAUUUUUAUAUUAGAGUUGUUGAGGCGCUAUGUAUUUAGCUUGUUUUGCAGUUAAAUUAAUUGGAUAAGUAGACAUUGGCGUUUCUAAAUCUACUGUGAAGUGCUUCAUGUACGUGUGAAGUAUUAGAAAUUUCUUUCUUGGCAACUUGUUUUUCUUUGCGGUCUACUGAUAGGUUUGACUAAAAUUAUAUUCCCUGUCAUGCUAAUUAAUUUUCACGUGCAUGCUCAAAAGAAAAGUAUGACCUUAGUGCACCAAAAUCACUUUGAUUAAUUUGUGAUAGGUUUUUGUGCAUCAUGACAUUAGCCUUAUUCAUUUAGAUAAUGUUUAGUUUUUAGAAAGUAUUAAGAAAAGGAAAAUAAAUAUUAAGAAAAAUAUUCUUAUAUUUGAUUGUAUUAUGAAAAAUAUCAUAAAAAAAUCAAAUAUAAUUUAAAUUAAUUAAUAAUUUAUACAUUUUCAAAUUAUUUAAUCUUUAUAUUGAAGAUAUAAUAUAAAUGAAAUGAGUUUUAAGUAUUAUAUAAAAGUGAUUUAUUGAUCUUACAUAUAUAUAUUUCUUUUUUUUUUCCUUCUAUUUUUUCUCUUUAUUUUAUUUUCCUUAUGUUUUCCUCAACAUUUUCCGGAACCAAACAUAGCCUUAGGAAAUCCACAAUUACCUUCAACUGAGUAGAUUCUGUUGUUUUAGCAAUGUUAGGCUGCUAACUUGUGUUGGUACGAACCUAUUAAGCCUAAAGAUGUAAUUAGUUAGGAUAUUCUUUUCCCUCUAGUCUUGUAGCUCCACGUGUACAGUUGGUUAGGACCUCAUUGUAUAUAAUGCUUGCCCUGUUAUUGUAGAAGACAACAAAGAUAAAUAAUAUUAACAUUUUUCCUCUCAUCUCUCUCUGUUUCCCUCUGUUUUCAUCUCCUCUCUCAUCUUGGUAUCAGAGCCUCCAUGGCUUCUUUCAAAGAAACCUCCGAAUCACCUUCUGCUAGCAUUGUUAAUGUGCAAAACCCAUUAUCUCAAUCAAACAACCUUCCUUCACCAGUAGCCACACCCUCUUUUUCUUUCUCGUCUAUGAAUCAACCUCUCACAGUGAAGCUGGAUAAUGGGAACUACCUCAUAUGGAAGAAUUAGCUUCUAAAUGUCAUCAUUGCUAACGGACUCGAUGAUUUCAUUGACGGAUCUCGACCCUGCCCUCCUCGAUUUCUCGAUCUGCAACAACAAACCCUCAAUCCAGAGUACUCAGCUUGGCAGAGAUACAAUCGACUUCUGAUGAGUUGGCUGUACGCAUCCUUGUCCAAAGAUAUAAUGGCUCAGAUUGUUGGGUAUUCAACAGCUAUGGAGAUUUGGAAUGCCCUUAAUCAGAUUUACUCUGCCUCUUCUAUGGCGCGGUUUACUGAGCUUCGCACCAAGCUUCAAACGCUCAAGAAAGAUGGACUCUCAGUUGGUGAAUAUAUUCAAAGGCUCAAAUCCAUUUGCAAUAGUCUUGCAGCAAUAGGAGAACCAGUUUCUGAGAAAGACCAUCUUAUCUAUUUGUUCAAUGGAUUAGAUUGUGAGUAUUAUUCUUUUGUUACCUCCAUUCAAAAUCGAUCUGACCAACCAACUAUUGACAAAAUCCAUAGCCUAUUGCUUAGCUAUGACUUCCGGCUUGAACAACAAAACUCUGUUUCUCUCCAUUCUGCCCAAGUCCAUAUGGCUCAUCUGAACAAGAAACCUUAUAAAUCAACUCCUCAACCUACAUUCAAUCAUAUUCACAUUCAACCUAGAUACUCUUCUCCACCUUUUAAGCCAACCACUAGUCAAUAUCAACCCAACAUUUUGGGCAAACCACAACCACAACCAUGACAGCCUCAACCUCAAUGGAAACCACAUUUUUCAAUCUAAAAUCAAAAGCCUCAGCGCCAAAUUUGUGGUAAAUUUGGACACACUGCUCUUAUUUGCUUCCAUCACACAAAUUUGAACUAUUCACCCCAACCUUCUCCUAAAUCUUUCAAUACUGUUCUCACCACAAAUUCCCAGCUCCCUAAUCCUCCAAAAUUUUCUUACCCUACAAUGGCUCAUCCUGCUGCUACGCAUAACACGGUUCCCGAUACAAAUUGGUACAUGGACUCAGGUGCUACACAUCACUUUACUCUGGACAUCAACGUGCUUGACACUGUGACACCAUUUAGUGGUUCAGAACAGGUGACAGUUGGGAAUGGUAAGCAACUCUGUAUCUCACAUCUUGGUACUGCAAAACUACCAUCUUCGUAUUCUCCUCCUGUUCUACAUCAGGUAUAUCACACUCCAAAAAUUUCAAAUAAUCUUAUUAGUGUUAAAAAAUUGUGUUCUGAUAAUAAAGUUUUUGUUGAAUUUUAUGCCACUCAUUUUCUUGUCAAGGAUCAGGUUUCGAAGAGAGUUCUCCUUUAGGGUCAACUUGAUAAUGGCUUAUACAAAGUUCAGUCGUCAUGCUCUCCUUCUGCUGUUUCCUUUCCUCCUCAAGUUUUCAUAGCCAACAUCAAGUAUCCAAAUCUGUGGCACAAGAGACUAGGCCACCCAGCUUUAUCUGUUGUUAAUCAAAUCUUGGAUUCUUGUAACAUUGCUCGAACACAGAAAAUUUGUUUUAAUUUUUUAAAUUCUUGUCAAUUAGCAAAGAGCCACAGGCUUCCUUUUUCUCUGUCUCCAUCCAUUGCAGAAAAACCUUUUGAGUUAAUUCAUACAGACCUAUGGGGUCUUUCGCUCGUUCGCUCUAUUUCUGGUGCUCUUUAUUUUUUACUUUUCAUUGAUGAUCAUACUCGUUUUACUUGGUUUUAUUUGCUCAAAACAAAAGAUGAAGCAUAUCCUACUUUUCUCAAGUUUCAAGCUCUCAUUGAAAAUCAAUUUAAUACCAAGAUUAAGGCUGUCCAAUCUGAUUGGGGAGGUGAGUUUCGAUCUCUCUCCAUACCGUUUUCAAAUAUGGGCAUUGUCUAUUGUUUAUCGUGUCCAUACACCUCACAACAGAAUGGGCGAGUUGAGCGAAAAAAUCGCCAUGCGAUUGUCCUUUCUUGCUUGCUCUAUGCCCUUAUCUUAUUGGCCUUAUGCCUUUCAAACUGCCACUUACCUUAUUAAUCGUCUCUCUACCCCUGUGCUGCAUCAUCAAUCCUCUUACUUCGCACUCUAUCACAAACUCCCAACUUAUACUCAUCUUAAGGUCUUUGGUUCCUCUUGUUUUCCGUAUUUGCACCCUUAUAAUACCCAUAAACUCCAAUACAGGUCACUAGAGUGUGCUUUUCUUGGUUACAGUUCACACCACAAAGGUUAUCUAUGUCUUGACAUUCAUUCUAGCAGGGUGUAUAUUUCUCGCCAUGUGAUUUUUAAUGAAGAUUCUUUUCCAUUCAAGAAUUUGAAAUCUUCUCUCUCUCAGUCUAUUUCUUCUUCCUCUUCUUUAUAAGUUCCUCUGUUCAUUCUCUUGCCUCCCCUUUCCCCAUCUCCUCUUAUUUCUUCAUCUAUACCUCAUUCUUUUCCCUCUUCUUCUUCUACCUCUAGUACUUGUUCCCCUCUCGUUGCUCCUACCUCUCUUCCUUCCUCUUCACACUCUGUGUCUCCAUCUAUUCCACCUCCUUCUCCACCUUCUCCGAGUGUGGACCUGCUUGCACCUUGUGUGAAUACAAAUUUACAUACUUCUUCUCGCACUCACAAUAUUCAUCCUAUGGUGACUAGAUCUAAGGUUUGUAUCUAUAAACCUAAGUUGUUGUUGAGUGUCUCCAUAGGUUCUCUCACUAAGCCUACUUCCUUUCUUCAAGCUAUUAAAGAUCCUUCAUGGAAGCAAUCCAUGGAAUUCGAGUUUGCUACCCUUCAACACAACAAGACCUGGCAUUUGGUUCCUUCACCUUCCUCAGGCGAAGUAAUCGGUUGUAAAUGGGUCUAUAAGCUAAAGCUUCAGCCUGAUGGCUAAAUUGAGAGAUACAGCCUGCUUAGUAGCUAAGGGUAUCAUCAAAUUGAAGUAUGGACUACUUCGAAACAUUCAGCCUGAUNNNNNNNNNNNNNNNNNNNNNNNNNNNNNNNNNNNNNNNNNNNNNNNNNNNNNNNNNNNNNNNNNNNNNNNNNNNNNNNNNNNNNNNNNNNNNNNNNNNNAGCUUCAGCCUGAUGGCUAAAUUGAGAGAUACAAGGCCUGCUUAGUAGCUAAGGGUUAUCAUCAAAUUGAAGGUAUUGACUACUUCGAAACAUUCAGCCUGAUUGUCAAGCUUUCUACUAUCUGUAUUGUGCUCAGUCUUACUUUUUCCCAGAAUUGGUGUAUUAGACAGCUGGAUGUUCAUAAUGCCUUCUUACAUGGUGACUUAGCUAAAGACGUUUUCAUGGAACAACUGCCUGGAUUUGUUGAUCCUCUCUAUCCUACUCAUGUCUGCAAGUUGGAUAAGUCUCUCUACUGUCUUAAAUAGUCACCUCGGGCUUGGUAUACUAAGCUGAGUACUUCUCGCUACACUUGGGAUUUGUUACUUCUAAGAAUGACUCUUCCUUAUUUAUUUGUCAUUCGUCUCAUGGGUUACUUCUUGUUCUUGUCUAUGUGGAUGAUAUAAUCGUCAUUGGGAGCCACUCUCCUCAGGUUACUCACCUUAUCCAACAGUUGCAUCAUUAGCUUUCUUUAAAGGAUCUUGGUCCUUUACAUUAUUUUCUGGGCUUGGAGGUUCAUCACACCCCUACUGGUAUUCACCUCAGCCAAGCAAAGUAUAUCACUGAUCUCCUUACCCGGGCGGCUAUGUUGGAUGCCAAGCCAUGUCCCACUCCUAUGUCCUCCAACACAUAUCUCUCUUUUCAUGAUGGAGUGGCUCUUGAAAAUGGUUCAGAUUAUCGAAGUUUUGUUGGUGCCCUUUAGUAUUGUACCAUGACACGCCCAGAUAUAGCUUUUGCAAUAAAUAAAGUGUGUCAAUUCAUGCACCAUCCCUCUAAUGUUCACUGGCAGGCUAUAAAACGUAUUCUCCGGUACUUAAAGGGCACAUCUCAUUUUGGUCUCUUCCUACAGCCUUCCUAUGACUUCAACAUCACUUGCUAUACAAAUGCCGACUGGGCUUCCUGUCCUGAUGACAAGUGUAGCACCAGUGGCUACUGCCUCUUUCUUGCCUCUAAUCUGGUUUCUUGGUCAUCUUCCAAACAAAAAGUGGUCUCCCGCUCCAGCGCCGAAUCAGAGUACCGAGGGGUAGCAAAUGGGGCUGCUGAAAUUGCUUGGACUGAAUCUCUUCUUUGUGAACUUUCCAUUACUCCCCCUCCCCUCAUUCUCUGUGACAAUAUCAGUGCCACGUACUUAGCUGCCAAUCCUAUUUUGCAUGCCCGCACCAAACAUGUGGAAAUCGACUAUCACUUUGUCACGGAACGUGUUCUUCAAUGCUCUCUUUUUGUCCAGUUUACACCUUCUGAUGAUCAACUUGCUGAUUGCAUGACCAAGCCUCUCUCCACCCAACGUUUCAUCACUCUACGCUCCAAGCUCACUGUUCUCACUAGACCAAUGAGCUUGAGGGGGGAUGUUAAGCCUAAAGAUGUAAUUAGUUAGGAUAUUCUUUUCCCUCUAGUCUUGUAGCUCCACGUGUACAGUUGGUUAGGACCUCAUUGUAUAUAAUGCCUGCCCUGUUAUUGUAGAAGACAACAGAGAUAAAUAAUAUUAACAUUUUUCCUCUCAUCUCUCUCUCUGUUUCCCUCUGUUUUCAUCUCCUCUCUCAUCUGAACCAAAUGAUCCAUGUUAACCUUGGCUUGGUUUGAUUUGGCUCUAUCUUAGAGAGCUCAAGGAUCACGUCAACUCUGGUUUCUACUAUUCAGGUCCAUUCCCAUAUGAACUGGUUCAAAUUUGAGAAAAUGGUAACAGACCUUUAGUGAUGUUGGUUUGGAGCCAGUUGCCAAACCCGCCCUGAGCUUUACCACUAAUGUCAAGGGAGAAAGCCAUUUGAACAAAAACAAUAGCUUCAAGGGACUGAAUCGUGGAUGAAAUCUGAUCCACAUUUCUUCUCAUUUUGGAAACAAAUGAGAACUUAACUAAGAAGAUUCUACGGCCUCAUAGUGCUUUUCCUGAUCUAAGGUUGGUUCGUUUCCCAAACUGUGAGAUGCACGUGCCAGACUUCAGAACUCUCACGCUCAGGAGUGUAUCCACGUGGUGGACAUAAGAUGGUGGCUUAAGAUCUGGUGUCGGUGGCUUUACUUUACUAGGAGAGUAGUGUGUCUUCAUCUCAUUCACUGCCGGAGGGUGGCGUAAGCAGUGACGCUAAGGUGGGGCACAGUCAAUAUCAUUUGCAUUUGACCAUUAUAGUUUUCUCCCGGCUUUAAAGUAACCUUAUCGUGAUAAAGGAUUACUAGCACUAGUUCAGAUGAUAGUCAUGUUAAAUUCGGACCAUGUUUGUGUCACAUUAUCAGCAACCAUGUGUUUAUGGUUCAUGCUUUCUGCAACUAAAAUUGAUAUAUAACCAGGUGAACUUCAAUCUAAAUUCUGAAAGUACUCAUGUGAUAGAUGGUGCCCGUCUGCAGAGUCCAUCAAUUGAAAAAUGGAGUGAGUGUAUCUAUAAGAGGGAAGGCUUGGAAAAUGUUCAGUUUUCUGGGAAUUCAACAAGGAUCUAAAAUAGAUUGUUUUCUUUGCUGAUUUCAAUGGUUGAAAUUUGAGAAGAUUGUGUCCACAUAACACAACUAUUACUGGUCCUUCUGUUGCAAUUUAUCCUCUAAAGCUCUAGCAUGUCUUCCAAUUCCCACUUCCCUGUUACUCCAGGAAAGCUAUUUCUGUCAUUGUGAAGAAGAAAAGAGAAUGUACAUAUCGAUGCUUUUAAGUGACUGGAGCAUUUAUAUCAGGUGGUCUGCAGCCAUAUAUGCCACUUUGUGAAGAUUGGAACAGUCAAUCACUAGGCUAUAUAUUAGUGUGGCCCAGCCACUUUAAUCAAGGACAAGUCUUCAUACUUAAAGUCAAAUUCUGCCUUUAGUCUCAUUAUAAAUUUCUGUUUAAAUAUUAAGCAAACAUUUGUUUAAUGCGAUUAAGACAGUACUAACUCAAUACCUGUUCUAUUUUUGGAUGCAAAUGCUUGAUGGUUUCAUCAUUGGAUGGGAUAAAGGUGCAUUCAUGAUUAGGAAUACUAGUAGUUAUAUUUUAAUUCUCUUUUUUCUCAAUGAGACUUGUUGGCACAAUUUUGCUGUUGAGAAACCUACCUCUCCAUGGAAAAUAAGUUGUGAUUGAUAGUACUGGAUAUAUUCAAGAAAUCUAAAUAUAGAUAGCACAAAAUAUUAUCGACAUAAAUAGCAUUAACAGCGUACGUAUGUCUCAGUGCUCAUCAGCUAUAAGCAUGGGGCAAACACUUACUAUGAGCAACUUACGUCAAAAUUCCAGAAUAGGACAUAGAAGUGACAGAUAUAGAACAUUGCAUAUGAGUCACAAGAAAGGAAAUUACGGGUGCAUAGCAGCUCUUAUUUUACAUACUACUACUCAUACUGAUCAAAGUCACUCAGUUGGGAUGGGUGGGAGUAGGAGGUUUGUGGGGUGGCUUGUGCGGAGGAGUUGGCAGCUUCUUUCCAGGACCUGGUUGCUUCUCUGCUGGAGUUGAAGGAGGCUUAAUCUUCCGAGGUGGCUUGUAUGAGUCUUCAGCAUUCUCAGCUGGAGGGUGACCAGGGUUGUGACCAUAAUGUGGUGGCUUCUCUCCCUUAGGUGGUUUGCCAACUGGGGUUGGUGGCUUGUAUGAGUCUUCAGCAUUCUCAGCAGGAGGGUGACCAGGGUUGUGACCAUAAUGUGGUGGCUUCUCUCCCUUAGGUGGUUUGCCAACUGGGGUUGGUGGCUUGUGUUCUGGGAGUGGCUUCUCCCCCUUGGGAGGUUUUUCCAAUGGGGUUGGUUUGUGUUCAGGAGGUGGCUUCUCCACUGGAGGCUUGUGUUCAGGAGGUGGCUUCUCCACCGGAGGCUUGUGUUCAGGUGGUGGCUUCUCCACCGGAGGCUUAUGCUCUGGUGGUGGCUUCUCGAAUGGGGGAUGCUUAGGAUAAUCAGCAAGUGAGGGGGCGGUGAGAACCACCAGGCCAAGCAACACCACUAGCAAAUAUGUAGGAGACAUCUUUGGGUUUGGGCUCAGAUGGUGCAAAACUAGGAGAAUUGGCUAGCCUUUUAUAGCGGAUCGUACCCAAUAAUGAAAUGACACGUGUCAUUAUGACCCAUGUGUAAUGGGGUCGAUUUGGGUCCUACAGUGUUGAAAACUUCGACAUCCACUUUUGGCCUUUUGCUUUCUCUACAGCCGCCUUGCUUUUUCCCUCUUUCCUUUUGUUUUCCUCCUGCCCCAUUCUAUCAACUAAACACAAUUAUGUAGUUGUUUAAUUCUUAAAUGAGAUAUUAUCCGUCAAUCGUAUUAUAUUUUAUCAAGAGAGAACGGAGUGCAAUGUGGCUGUAAUUUUAUCGUUUAGUUUUAUCUCUUGGACCACUGCAUUUUUGUUAAGAGGUGCAAUAAUACACGUCUUUAUCUGCCAUUCAAUAUUUACAGUAAAGAGAGGGCACAAAACUCUUCACUUCGCACCAUAAUUAUUUUGUUUUCUGGACACCCCGGGGCCCUUUGGUUGGUUUGGGGGUCAGAAAGUGAACAUCAUAGGGGGUUUUUCCCUUAUGUGCAUUUGUAUCUGAUGGCUUUAACUCGCCUUGUUACUACAAAGAAACUGUCACAGAUAGGAACUUAUUCCAGGCUGAGUAUCUCCUCAUAGACCCUAUAAAAGAAGACAAGUCAUAAUGAACAUCUAACCUUUGUUCAAUUUGAUUCAAUGCCCCCAUUGUGUCCAUCUCACAAAUCUGAAUUAUUAUAUCCAUUGAAUACAUAAAUUAAUGAAGAAAAUAUGAAACCCAAGAUACAUCUCUGCACAACCUCAACCCUGGUUGCUAUGUUUCCCUUCUAUUCACAUGAUUUGAUGCUAAUUGCCAAACUUGCAACAAGCCCUGAGUUUGACACCUAGUAUCGAUGGGCGAAUUUAAAGUCUCCUCCAAACAUAUAUUCCACAGCUUGAAGCUCACAGAAGAUGUUACAGGCAGGGAAAAACCUUCAGAGUUCGCUACCAAAGAUAAUUAUUAAGGAGAUAUCACAAAGAGAAUUCCAAGGGGUCUGAAUCAAAGACAAAUUGGUCGUUCGUGGGGGUUCUUACUUUCUUUUGGGUAUAACUCACUGAGGGCACUGUCUUUGUUAUUUGCAUUUCACAUUUAGAGUUCUGUUCUGGAAACAUAUAAAAGGAGCAUCAUUUUGUUCUUGGGUAACCCAUAGUCGUGAGUGGGUCCAUUUGCAUGCUACUUAGUUGAAAAGUUGGACCAUUUGCUCCGACGCCUACCUCCCGGAUUCCAUGCUCGGAUAAAACAAGAAUAAAAAAAAUAUUUAUAAUUUACAAAUGGGGGAAAGAAAAAAAUGUCAACAACAAACCAGGAAAAAAGAGUAGUAAAAUUCAUGUCACAUGCUAGUGAGAGAAGGGGUUGUUACACUCACUCGAAGUUCUUUCCAAAAUAUCGCAUGGUAUUUUAUUUUAUGUGUCAGCGCAGUUGUGAAUGGAACGUGCAAAAGUCCAAAUUGGCGUUUUUCCUUUUCCCGUGUAGGAUGGCGACCUUUAAUAAAUAUUUAAAACAAAAAACGAAAAAAAGGAGGGAAAAGGGAUCAGAAAAGAUAAAACAAUGUGUACAAGAGCUCAAUUAGUUUGCAAAUUACUGUUUGGAUUUUGAUAGUAUUUUAUUUGUCCAUCUAUAUUUGAUGGAAAAGAGAAUUUAAGAUAUUUCUGAAACAAAAGCAUUAGUGUAAAACUAAAUUAAGGUAUAAUUAAGUUAGUUCAAUGCAUUAAUUUAAGAAACUUGAUCUAUCCAAAGUACAAAAUUAGAUGAAAUCCAUUUCAAUGGUUAAAAUGAUCAAAAUCAAACUUUUUCUAAGUAUUUUUUAAAAGCAUCAAUAUUAAAAGACAAUUUUAUAUUUAGUCGGAGUUUGGACAAAACCAAAAAGCACACAAAAUCCAAGCGACCAUCUCUAGCUUGGAUAGUCACUUGAUCCCACCUAGAGAUGUGCAUGAGUAAAAGGAUUUGAAAAUGGAAAUUGACUAAAUAUUUAGUUGAUCAAUUAAAUUUGCAAUGUCAUAUGCAAUCCUAAUAGCUAGUCAUCUAAUCAAUUAGGUAGUCAAUCAAGUGUUUGUAAUGACUAUUUUGUACAAAAAACCACAUGUAUAGUUAAAUAUAAUGCAUUUCAUUUAUAAAUCUUCUAAUUCUUGAAUAACGAUCCUAUCAUCCUUUGAAAAUUUUUAUUACACCUUUUUUACUUUUGUUCUAAAACUUACAUAUCACCCUUAAUUGUACCAUGAGAACCUAGCUAUUUUUUUUUUUUUUGUAAUUCAUCAAAGUUAGCUUUUGUAUUCAUUGUUGUAUUAUUUUUAGUAUAACUUAGAAAGCUAGUGUUUUCAAGUGAGUAAAAUUAACUUGUAAAUAUUGUAAAGAUUCAUUGAUAUGUAUCUUAAACUAAGUGUACAAAUUAAAACAUUUGCUAGUAGAUUUUCUCAAAAUUUAGAAUAGAGCUUGAGGCUAUUGAAAUAGGUGGGGUUACACCAAACCACAUCACAUCGUUGUUUGCACCUUUUUUCACUCUCUUUUACUUAGUUUCUCUAUAUUUGUUGUCUAGUAAUAUCCUAUAGGCUUGAUGGGUUAGGGAGCAUCCCUUUGUGAAAAAAUUUCAUUCAAUUCUUAGUUGUAUUACGCAUAUAUAAAAUGCCUCAUUGUUUUAAUGGUAUUCAGUCGUGGCAUCACAGAUAUGGGCAUCUAAAUUUUAAAAGUUUGAAACUUUUGUAAAGCAUGUUGAUAAAAUCCAUGAGAGUUGUGUACUUGGGAAGCAACAUCGAGGUGACUUUAUUUUUUUUUCCUUUUAUAAUGCCACACCUAAGUCCGGUUUCUAAAUGCUAAAGUGAAAGGGUAGGUAUGGACCAUUGAAAUGUGAUCACAACUUUUGGCCUUUUCCUUUCUCUGCAGCCAUGUUGUCUCUUUUUUCUUUUGCAUGAUUUUCUUACCAAAACAGAAUCAUAGACUUGUUUAGUCUCUAAGCUACUAUAUUAUAUCUCGGUGGACUUUUAAGAGUGCAACCGACAUAGAGCACAUGCAAGUGGGCAUAUGGGACAUGAAAUUUCUUCUUACAAAGAUUGCAUGAUUUUUAUAUUAGAGUUGUUCACGUGCAAUGUAUUUAGCUUGUUUUGCAGUUAAAUUAAUUGGAUAAGUAAACAUUGGCAUUUCUAAAUCGACUGUGAAGUGCUUCAUGUACGUGUAAAGUAUUAGAAAUUUCUUUCUUGGCAACUUGUUUUUUCCUUGCCAUCUACUGGUAGGUUUGACUAAAAUUAUAUUCCCUGUCAUGCUAAUUAAUUUUCAUGUGCAUGCUCAAAAGAAGAGUAUGACCUUAGUGCACCAAAAUCACUUUGAUUAAUUUGUGAUAGGUUUUUUUGCAUCAUUUAGAUAAUGUUUAGUUCUAAGAAAAAUUUAUAUAAAAAUGGUUUAUUUAUCUUACAUAUAUAUAUAUAUAUAUAUAUUUUUUUUUUUUUCAUUUUUUUUUCUUCUAUUUUAUUUAUUUAUUUUAUUUUCCUUAUGUUUUCCUCACAUUUUCCGGAACUAAACAUAGUCUUACGAAAUCAACAAUUGCCUUCAACUGAGUAGAUUCUGUUGUUUUAGCAAUGUUAGGCUGCUAACUUGUGGUGGUACGAACCAAAUGACCCAUGUUAAUCUUGGCUUGGUUUGAUUUGGCUCUAUCUCAGAGAGCUAAAGGAUCACGUCAACUCUGGUUUCUACUAUUCAGGUCCAUUCCCAGAUGAACUGGUUCAAAUUUGAGAAAAUGGUAACAGACCUUUAGUGAUGUUGGUUUGGAGCCAGUUGCCAAACCCGCCCUGAGCUUUACCACUAAUGUCAAGGGAGAAAGCCAUUUGAACAAAAACAAUAGCUUCAAGAGACUGAAUCGUGGAUGAAAUCUGAUCCACAUUUCUUCUCAUUUUGGGAAAAAAUGAGAACUUAACUACAAAGAUUCUACUGCCUCAUUCAUAGUGCUUUUCCUGAUCCAAGGUUGGUUCGUUUCCCAAAUUGUGAGGUGCACGUGCCACUCUCACGCUCAGGAGUGUAUCCACGUGGUGGACAUCAGAUGGUGGCUUAAUAUCUGGUGUCGGUGGCUUUACUUUACUAGGAGAGUAGUGUGUCUUCAUCUCAUUCACUGCCGGAGGGUGGCGUAAGCAGUGACGCUAAGGUGGGGCACAGUCAAUAUCAUUUGCAUUUGACCAUUAUAGUUUUCUCCCGGCUUGAAAGUAACCUUAUCGUGAUAAAGGAUUACUAGCACUAGUUCAGAUGACCGUCAUGUUAAUUCGGACCAUGUUUGUGUCACAUUAUCAGCAACCAUGUGUUUAUGGUUCAUGCUAUCUGCAACUAAACUUGAUAUAUAACCAGGUGAACUUCAAUCAAAAUUCUGGAAGUACUCUUGUGAUAGAUGGUGCCUGUCUGCAGAGUCCAUCAAUUGAAAAAUGGAGUGAGUGUAUCUAUAAGAGGGAAGGCUUGGCAAAUGUUCAGUUUUCUGGGAAUUCAACAAGGAUCUAAAAUAGAUUGUUUUCUUUGCCGACUUCAAUGGUUGAAAUUUGAGAAGAUUGUGUCCACAUAUCACAACUAUUACUGGUCCUUCUGUUGCAAUUUAUCCUGUAAGGCUCUAACAUGUCUUCCAAUUCCCACUUCCCUGUUACUCCAGGAAAGCUAUUUCUGUCAUUGUGAAGAAGAAAAGAGAAUGUACAUAUCGAUGCUUUUAAGUGACUGGAGCAUUCAUAUCAGGUGGUCUGCAGCCAUAUAUGCCACUUUGUGAAGGUUGGAACAGUCAAUCACUAGGCUAUAUAUUGGUGUGGCCCAGCCACUUCAAUCAAGGACAAGUCUUCAUACUUAAAGUCAAAUUCUGCCUUUAGUCUCAUUAUAAAUUGCUGUUUAAAUAUUAAGCAAACUUUUGUUUAAUGCGAUUAAGACAGUACUAACUCAAUACUUGUUCUAUUUUUGGAUGCAAAUGCUUGAUGGUUUCAUCAUUGGAUGGGAUAAAGGUGCAUUCAUGAUUAUGAAUACUUGUAGUUAUAUUUUCAUUCUCUUUUUUCUCAAUGAGACUUGUUGGCACAAUGUUGCUGUUCAGAAACCUACCUCUCCAUGGAAAAUAAGUUGCGAUUGAUAGUACUGGAUAUGUUCAAGAAAGCUAAAUAUAGAUAGCACAAAAUAUUAUCGAUAUAAAUAGCAUUAACAGCGUACGUAUGUCUCAAUGCUCAUCAGCUAUAAGCAUGGGACAAACACUUACUAUGAGCAACUUACGUCAAAAUUCCAGAAUAGGACAUAGAAGUGACAGAUCUAUAUAUAUAGAACACUGCAUAUGAGUCACAAGAAAGGAAAUUACGGGUGCAUAGCAGCUCUUAUUUUACAUACUACUACUCAUACUGAUCAAAGUCACUCAGUUGGGAUGGGUGGGAGUAGGAGGUUUGUGGGGUGGCUUGUGCGGAGGAGUUGGCAGCUUCUUUCCAGGACCUGGUUGCUUCUCUGCUGGAGUUGAAGGAGGCUUAAUCUUCCGAGGUGGCUUGUAUGAGUCUUCAGCAUUCUCAGCUGGAGGGUGACCAGGGUUGUGACCAUAAUGUGGUGGCUUCUCUCCCUUAGGUGGUUUGCCAACUGGGGUUGGUGGCUUGUAUGAGUCUUCAGCAUUCUCAGCAGGAGGGUGACCAGGGUUGUGACCAUAAUGUGGUGGCUUCUCUCCCUUAGGUGGUUUGCCAACUGGGGUUGGUGGCUUGUGUUCUGGGAGUGGCUUCUCCCCCUUGGGAGGUUUUUCCAAUGGGGUUGGUUUGUGUUCAGGAGGUGGCUUCUCCACUGGAGGCUUGUGUUCAGGAGGUGGCUUCUCCACCGGUGGCUUGUGUUCAGGAGGUGGCUUCUCCACCGGAGGCUUAUGCUCUGGUGGUGGCUUCUCCACCGGAGGCUUAUGCUCUGGUGGUGGCUUCUUGAAUGGGGGAUGCUGAGGGUAAUCAGCAAGUGAGGGGGCGGUGAGAACCACCAGGCCAAGCAACACCACUAGCAAAUAUGUAGGAGACAUCUUUGGGUUUGGGCUCAGAUGGUGCAAAACUAGGAGAAUUGGCUAGCCUUUUAUAGCGGAUCGUACUCAAUAAUGAAAUGACACGUGUCAUUAUGACCCAUGUGUAAUGGGGUCGAUUUGGGUCCUACAGUGUUGAAAACUUCGACAUCCAGUUUUGGCCUUUUGCUUUCUCUACAGCCGCCUUGCUUUUUCCCUCUUUCCUUUUGUUUUCCUCCUGCCCCAUUCUAUCAACUAAACACAAUUAUGUAGUUGUUUAAUUCUUAAAUGAGAUAUUAUCGGUCAAUCGUAUUAUAUUUUAUCAAGAGAGAACGGAGUGCAAUGCAGCUGUAAUUUUAUCGUUUACUUUUAUCUCUUGGACCACUGCAUUUUUGUUAAGAGGUGCAAUAAUACACGUCUUUAUCUGCCAUUCAAUGUUUACAGUAAAGAGAGGGCACAAAACUCUUCACUGCUCUGCAUGUGUCCCAAAAAUGCGAUUGGACAAAUUAUGAUUUGCAUGCUAAAAAGAGGCAAAUGAGGUUAAUUCGCACCAUAAUUAUUUGGUUUUCUGGACACCAUAAAAAGAUGUUAUACAGGCAGGGAAAAACCUUCAGAGUUAGCUACCAAAGAUAAUUAUCAAGCAGAUAUCACCAAGAGAAUUCCAUAGAGUCUGAAUCAAAGACAGAUUGCUCGCUCGUGGGGGUUCUUACUUUCUUUUGGGUAUAACUCACUGAGGUCACUGUCUUUUUUAUUUGCAUUUCACAGUUAGAGUUCUGCUCUGGAAGGUUUGUUCUGGAAACAUAUAAAAGGAGCAUCAUUUUGUUCUUGGGUAACCCAUAGUCGUGAGUGGGUCCAUUUGCAUGCUACUUAGUUGAAAAGUUGGACAAUUUGCUCCGACGCCUACCUCCUGGAUUCCAUGCUCGGUAAAACAAGAAUAAAAAAAAAUAUAUAAUUUACAAAUGGGGGAAAGAAAAAAUGUCGGAAAAAAUAGUAAAAUUCAUGUCACAUGCUAGUGAGAGAAGGGGUUGUUACACUCACUCGAAGUUCUUUUCAAAAUAUCGAAUGGUAUUUUACUUUAUGUGUCAGCGCAGUUGUGAAUGGAACGUGCAAAAGUCCAAAUUGGCGUUUUUAUUUUUCCCAUGUAGGAUGGUGACCUUUAAUAAAUAUUUAAAACAAAAGACGAAAAAAAAAAGGAGGGAAAAGGGAUCACAAAAGAUAAAAUAAUGUUUACAAAAGCUCAAUUAGUUUGCAAAUUACUGUUUGGAUUUUGAUAGUAUUUUAUUUGUCGUUCUAUAUUUGAUGUAAAAGAGAAUUUAAGAUAUUUCCGAAGCAAAAGCAUUAGUUUGCUCUGUGAUGUCCCACAUCGAAUAGGGGAGAAAGUUUCUGGCGCUAUAUAUGUAGAGGCUCCUCUUAACCAAGUAGAUGCGUUUUAAAACCAUGAGGGCCCCCUUAGGUCCAAAGCGGACAAUAUCUACAUGAUUGGGUGUAAGUCAUUACAAAUGGUAUCAGAGCCGAUCCCCGACCCCGGUGUGGGGGUUUGUUUGGCCCUGUAAGGGGUGUUUGUCUGUUUGACCCCACAAUCCCAUGGGACACAACGAGGACGUUGUGUCUGCAUGGGGGGGCGUUUGUGAUGUCCCACAUCGGAUAGGGGAGAAAGUUCCUAGUGCUAUAUAUGUAGAUGUUUCUCUUAACCAAGUAGAUGCAUUUUAAAAUUGUGAGGGCCUCUUUGGGCCCAAAGCGGACAAUAUCUACAUGGUUGAGUGUAAGUCAUUACAUGCUCCAUGUCAAUUUCAGCAUUUCUCAUAUGUUUCACACAUACACAGAAGAGCAUCGUUUUUUAAAGCAUGCAUUUAUGUUGGAUUAAUUUGGAUUUUGUGGGAACUGGGGCAAGGAUCACAUGGAAGAGAGGUUGACUUUUUUCAGUACUUCAAUGGUUGAAAUAUGUGAAGGCUUGAUUGAUACUAAAGCUUGAAAUUGCGACUCUGUCAUUUGUAAAAAAAUAUGACAGCUUCCAUGCUCUCGUUUGGUUGCAUUGUCCGGUCGAGAGGUGCAAAAAGCAUUCUCUCUCUUCUAAUAGUCUUUUCGUUUAAAUCAAGGGAUUUGCCUUCCCGGUCGAGGUCCAAUAGAGGGUAACGGUCACCUACUAAACAUUAAAUGCUCCAACAACUAGUGAACUGAUCGACCCCAGCUCGACUAGUUGAGGUUACUUUUUGGUUUUCUUGUCUCCCGAGGUUAGAAACCUAUAAAUAGAGAGCUUCACUUCAUUUAUGAGUAAGAGAACACCUAAAUUUAUUUGUUUACCUACUUGUUUUUGCCAUAAAAGCUCUCAUUUCUUUUCUUGGUGUAUUAAAUCUCCAUUUGCAUAUCCUUUAGUGCACCUUUGUGAUUCAUUCUAGCCUUGAGUUGUAUUUAAGCCUUUGUUGAGCUAGGUUGAGAGUUUCAUACUUGUUUAUUGAGUGUUAAAGCCUUCAAGUGAGUUAAAACUUGAAGAGAUUGUGUAAGAGCCCAUUGGAGUCGGAAUCCAAGUGUAAAGGUGAUUAAAAGCUUGGUUGAAGCUUCAAGUUAGUGGAACUCUCACUCGGUUAUGAGCUUGAGAAGAGUGGACAUAGACAAGGCAGUGUCGAACCACUAUAAAAUCUGAGUUUGAUUUCUCUAACCUUAUCUCUUUAUAUUUGCUUCUCUUGUGCUUAAAUUUUUUGUGUUUAAAAAGAAUUUUUAAAAACUCAAUUCACCCCCUUCUUGGGAGUUUUUCUCUUUUAAGAUCAGCUUUUAUUUUCUCAAUUGGUAUCAGAACUAUGCCUCUUGUUUAAGACUUAAUCGUCUAAGAGGAAAUGGCUAAUCCAUCAAGUUCAUCUCACAUUGAAAGUUUUGCAACCAAUAGACUUCUUUUUUUUUUUUUGCGGGAACUGAUUAUCCCUAUUGGAAAACUAAAAUGACUUGGUUUUUACAAUCAAUUGAUUUAGAUGUAUGAGAUGCCAUUGAAGAUGACCUAACUUUUCCUUCAAAACUAGUUGAUGGAGUCAUGGUUCCAAAACCUAAGCAAGAAUGGGAUGAGCGUGAUUGAAGAAAUUUUCAAUUAAAUGCUAAAGUCGUUUAUACUUUGCAAUGCUCUAUGGACAGAAAUGAAUAUAAUAGAAUAUGUCAAUGCAAAUCGGUUAAAGAAAUUUGGAGAUUGCUUGAAAUAACUCAUAAAGGAACAAAUCAAGUUAAAGAGUCAAAAAUCAAUUUACUUGUUCAUAGAUAUGAAUUGUUUUUUAUGAAAGAUAAUGAAACUAUUGUUAAGAUGAUCACUAGGUUCACCAACAUUGUUAAUGGUCUUAAAGCCUUGGGAAAGACCUACAAGGAAUCCGAAAACGUGAUGAAGAUCUUGAGGUCACUUCCAUCAAAGUGGCAUACCAAGGUCACCGCAAUUUAAGAAGCAAAAGACUUGAUCAAGCUACCUUUGGAGGAGUUCAUAGGGUCAUUGAUGACAUAUGAAAUCAAUUUGGCAAAGAAGUAACAAAAAGGUGAAGACAAAAAGAAGAAGAACAUAACUCUCAAAGCUACAACUAAGGAAGAAGAAGUUGAAGAAGAAAAACAAAUUGAAGAAGAUGAAGAUUUAGCCCUCAUCACAAGAAAGUUCAACAAAUUCAUGAGGGGUGAAAGGUUUAGAAGAAGAAGGUUCACUUCUAGAAGAGACUUUUCUAAAAAGGAAUCUUCAUCUAAUGGUGACAAAAAGAGAUGGGAAGAGAAAAGAGACUUGGUGUGUUUCAAGUGCAAGAAACCGGGACACAUUAAAUAUGAUUGUCCUCUCUACAAAAGUGAAGUCAAGAGGAAAAAGAAUAAGGCAAUGAUGGCCACUUAGAGUGAAAGUGAAGAUGAAUCAUCCGAAGAAGAAAAUGAGAAAGAAGUGGCAAACAUGUGUUUCAUGGCAAUAGAUGAACUUGAUGAGGUAAAAUCUAACCUUAGUGAUUAAGAUAUACAUGAUGCAUUUGAAGAAUUGUAUGAGGAUUUUUAAAAACUUAGUUUGAAAAAUAUUUCUCUUAAAAAGAAAGUUCAACAACUUGACAAAGAACUUAGAGAAGUAAAAGAAAAAUUUUCAAAUGUUAAAGUUUCUAAAACUCAUCUUGAAAAAGAAAAUGAGAUUCUAAGAAAGAAAAAUGAAUAGUUGAACUCCUCUCUUUCAAUCUUUUCUUCUAGACAAAAAUCUUUUGAAAUGAUUCUAACUAGCUAAAAAUGUGUUUUUGACAAACAAGGGUUAAGAUUUAAAUCUUCAAAAAAUCAAAAGUAUUUUAAAAACUAUUUUGUAAAGGAAUCCACAAGUGCAAGUCCUUCCACUACUUGCAACUUUUGUGGAAGAGAAUGGCACAUUAGUAGUACGCCCUUUAAGAAAUGGUUCUCAAAAGAAUUUAAAUGCAAAAACUAAAAAAGAUUUGGAUUGAGAAAUCCAAGGUCACUAACCCUCAAGGACCCAAAAAGAUAUAGGUACCUAAAUCAACUUGAGUUUUAUGUUGUAAGGUUCAAAGAAUGAUAAGUGGUUCUUAGAUAAUGGUUGCUCAAGACACAUGACCGGAGAUGAAUCCAAGUUUGCUUUUCUUAAAAAGAAAAAUGGAGGAUAUGUUACCUUUGGAGACAAUGCAAAAGAAAGGAUGAUUGGUCAAGGCAACAUUGGUAAUGGCACAUCCUCUCUCAUUGAAAGUGUUUUAUUAGUAGAUGGUUUCAAACAUAACCUUUUAAGCAUUAGUCAAUUUUGCGACAAAGGUUUUUAAGUGAUUUUUUAAGCAUCUCAUUGCAUCAUCAAGGAUAUUCAAAAUGAUAAAACCAUUUUCAUGGGCCAUAGAUGUGAUAAUGUUUAUGCUAUAAAUAUUUCAAAAUAUGAUGGCCAUGAUAGAUGUUUUUCAAGCAUGCAUGAUCAAAGUUGGUUGUGCCAUAGGAGAUUGAGACAUGCUAACAUAGACCUCAUUUCCCAACUCAACAAAGAUGAACUUGUUAGAGGCCUUCCCAAAAUAAUUUUUUAAAAAGAUAAAGUUUGUGAAGCUUGUCAAGUGGGAAAGUAAAUCAAAAACUCUUUUAAAAACAAAAACUUCAUUUCCACAUCUAGGCCACUUGAGUUGUUGCAUAUGGAUUUAUUUGGUCCCUCUAGGACACCAAGUCUUAGAGGAAAUUCUUAUGCAUAUGCUAUUGUGGACGACUUCUCUAGAUACACAUGAGUCUUGUUUUUUAGUCAAAAGAAUAAAGUUUUUUAUGAGUUUUCAAAGUUUUGCAAUAAGAUUCAAAAUGAAAAAGGUUUUUCAAUUACUUAUAUAAGAAGUGAUCAUGGGAGAGAAUUCGAAAAUAUUGAUUUUGAAGAGUAUUGCAAUGAGCAUGGAAUUGACCACAAUUUUUUGGCUCUUAGAACUCCUCAACAAAAUGGGGUAGUUGAAAGGAAAAAUAGAACUCUUCAAAAAAUGACAAGAACCAUACUAAAUGAAAACAACUUACCAAAAUAUUUUUAGGCCAAAACGGUUAACACUUCUUGUUAUGUUUUAAAUAGAGUAUUAUUGAGGCUCAUACUUAAGAAAACUCCCUAUGAGCUUUGGAAAAACAAAAAACCCAACAUUAGUUAUUCCAAAGUCUUUGGAUGCAAUAUUUUAUAAUAAACACCAAAGACAAUCUUGGAAAAUUUGAUGCAAAAUUGGAUGUUGGAAUUUUCCUUGGUUACUCAACUUCAAGUAAAGCUUUUCGAGUUUUAACAAAAGAACCAUGGUUGUAGAGGAGUCCAUCCAUGUUAUUUUUUAUGAAUCUCCAAGAAAGAGAGAGGAUUGAUGAUGAUUUAGGUUUGAAGACCUCUAUAGGAAGAUUGCAAAUCGAAGAUAGAAGACAACAAGAAGAAAAUGGAGAGAAUCCAAAGAAAGAAGGAUCACCAUUGGCACUACCCCCUCAUCAACAAGCGCAAGGUGAAUCAAGUCAAGAGCUUCCUAAAGAAUGGAAGUUUGUCAUCAAUCACCCACAAGAUCAAAUUAUAGGCAAUCCAUCUAGUGGGGUAAGAACUAGAUCCUCUCUUAGAAAUAUUUGCAAUAAUCUAGCUUUUAUCUCUCAAAUUGAGCCUAAAAAUAUAAAUGAUGUUUUAGAUGAUGAAAAUUGGAUAAUUGCAAUGCAAGAAGAGUUAAAUCCAUUUGAAAGAAGUGGAGUAUGGGAAUUAGUACCAAGACCUUCAAAUCAAAGUGUUAUUGGAACUAGAUGGAUCUUUAGAAAUAAAAUGGAUGAAAAUAGCAUAAUUGUUAGAAAUAAAGCAAGAUUGGUAGCCCAAGGUUUUAAUCAAGAAGAAAUGAUAGAUUAUGAAGAAACCUUUGCCCCCGUAGCUAGGUUGGAAGCCAUUAGGAUGCUACUUGCCUUUGCAUGUUUUAAAGACUUUGUUUUAUAUCAAAUGGAUGUGAAAAGUGCUUUUUUAAAUGGUUUUAUAAAUGAAGAAGUAUAUGUUGAACAACCACCCGGUUUUCAAAGUUUCAACUUUCCUAACCAUGUUUUUAAACUUAAAAAGACACUUUAUGGUUUGAAACAAGCACCUAGAUCAUGGUAUGAAAAAUUGAGUAAAUUUCUUUUGAAAAAAAUGUUUUAAAAUGGGAAAAAUUGACACAACUCUUUUUAUAAAAACCAAAGAAAAUGAUAUGCUCUUAGUUCAAAUAUAUAUUGAUGAUAUCAUUUUUGGUGCUACUAAUGUCUCUCUUUAUGAAGAAUUUUCUAAGUGCAUGCAUAGUGAGUUUGAAAUGAGCAUGAUAGGAGAACUCAACUUCUUCCUUGGACUUCAAAUCAAGCAACUAAAGGAAUGAACCUUCAUCAAUCAAGCAAAGUAUAUAAGAGAUCUUCUCAAAAGGUUCAACAUGGAAGAAGCCAAAACAAUGAAGACUCUAAUGAGCUCAUCCAUUAAGCUUGAUAAGGAUGAGAAAGGUAAAUCCAUUGACUCUAUUAUGUAUAGAGGCAUGAUAGGUUCUUUGCUCUAUUUGACCACUAGUAGACCUUACAUUAUGUAUAGUGUGUGUUUGUGUACUAGAUUUCAAUCUUGUCUUAAAAAAUCUCACUUAAGUGUCGUGAAAAGAAUCCUCAAAUAUUUGAAAGGGACAAUGGACAUAGGCUUAUGGUAUCCUAAGAGUGAUAACUUUGAAUUAAUUGGUUUUUUGGAUGCUGAUUUUGUCAGUUGUAGGGUUGAAAAAUAAAACACUAGUGGCACUUUUCAUUUCUUAAGACACUUACUUGUCUCAUGGCAUAAUAAGAAGCAAAAUUUGGUAGCUUUGUCAACAGCAGAAGCUAAAUACAUAGCAACUGGUUUAUGUUGUGCACAAAUCCUUUGGAUGAAAUAAACACUUAGUGAUUUUGAUUUAUCUUUUGAGCAUAUUCCUAUUAAAUGUGAUAAUAGUAGUGCCAUAAGUAUAUCAAAAAAUCUCGUGCAACACUCUAGGACUAAGCAUAUAGAGAUUAGACAUAAUUUUCUUAGAUAUCAUACACAAAAGGAUGAUAUAACACUUGAAUUUGUAAGCAUAAAAGACCAACUUGCCGAUAUCUUUACAAAACCUCUAAGAACAUUUUGUUGAUAUUAGAGGACAAUUAGGAGUGAUUUCUUUAUGAUCUAAUGUGAUGAAUUCUUGAUGAAUAUACUUUUUGAUUGCAUGAAUUUCAUGUCAUAUAUGCAUCAUAUAGAAAUAUACUUAGAUAAUGGUCAAAUUUCGACCAAAAAUCAAAAUUCCCAUGGCAUUAGGCAUAAAAAUUUUGGAAUUUCAACUGAAAAUGGUAGGAGGAGGAUCACAAAAUGAGAAAGUAUGCAAAAAUUGAAAAAUCAAAACGUUGACCAAGCGGUCAAUCGGACUAGACCGAUCGACUAGUUUGUCGAGAUUUAGGAUUUUUAAGAGACUCCAACGCUUCAAUUUUUGCACCGUUCUCCUCUAUUUCUUCACGGUUUCUCUGAUUUUGUCUUUUAGAGACUAAUUUGAGUGCGUUUUGGAUCAAUUGAAGCAUUUUGGAUUGGAUUUUAGGAAGAUUGAAAGUUAAGGUUUCGGAUUUGGGUCGCCUUCUCUUCCUCUCGCGUGUCACAAUCAGCUUUAGCAUUGUUCUCUUUCCAUUUUCACACACCUAGGGUUUCAGUUGUGAGCAUCUCUCUCUCUUUACCAACCACUACUCCCUUGCUUCUUCCAUAUGGCUCCUAGGCGAGAGUCCGCUACUUCUAGGGCACAAGGCAAGCACCCAACUGAGUCGUCUCAGUCAAAGGCACGUCGAAAAGUGAGAUUUGACAUUGCCUUGUUCAGUUCCAUGGAGGACUACCAACUAUACAAGCAACACUUUGCUUAGAGACGAGUAGUUCCCAAGAGAAAUAUUAAUUUUCCUCAACUUCAGCAUUUCGAAUUUAAGGGUCUAUUUACUAGGAUGGUUGGUUGUCUAUUGUCACAAUUUCGGAGCCGGUUUUCCUGACCUUAGUGCGAGUUUUUUACUCGAGGGCGACUUAUGGCAUGGGUGGCAUGAUCAUUUCUACUGUUGGAGGAGUUGAGAUCUGUCUGGACCCAGAGAGCAUCUGCCAUAUUUUCGAUAUUGCUCUGGUUGGACUCAAAGUAUACAAGUCCAAAAUGUGGCCCAUUGUGCCAGGAUUUGAGCUUAGAGAGGUCAUUCAGAGGAUUUGUGAACUUCCAGACGCCCAGGAGAUGGGCAAACCAUUGCCACACAGUUUGACGGUCAUCAACAGGGUGCUACACCAUAUAUUGUGCUCUAUCUUUCUACCACGAAGUGGACAUUGAGAUGAGGUCUCUUAUUAUGAGGCAUUCCUUAUUGACUCCAUUCUAACGGAGAGACGAAUUCAUCUACUAUGUCAUCAUUCACUAAGCCUCCUCACAGUGACAUACCACCUCAUCAGGCACCUCUUGCUCCUGACCAUGCUCCAUUGAUGGAUUUAUUUACUCAUAUUAGCUCUCUAGGCACUCGCAUGAAGGAGUUUGUUGUAGUUAGUGAUACAUGGUUCUACUCCAUAGAGGAUCGCAUGGAUCAGUAUCAGACUGGCUUCACGUCACAGUUUGAGUAUCUCCAAUAGAGGAUUGAGCAUAUUGAGGAUCACUUGAGCAUGAGAAGAUGAUGGCUUUUCUAUGCUCUGUGUUUCCACCUCCACCUCGUCAACCUUGAUUUCUUAGAGACCCAUUGUUUUCAUUUUGUAAUGUUGCCAAAAGGGGGAGAUAUUUAGGAUCUAGGACUCUAUAGGAGACUUACAUGCAUAUCAUUUUCAUAUCAUUGUUUGGAUCGUACAUAUUGGAUAGUGAUACUUUUUACUUAUAUAUGAUAUGCCUAUAUGUUUCAUGUCUUACAUUGUUUCUUAUUGCAAAUUAUCUCUAACAUGUCUUGAUUAUCUUUUUUUUAACUUCAUAAAUUUUGAUUGUUAACCCAUGAUUGGUUUGAGGGGAAGAUUCUUCUUCUCCUAGAUAACCAAGGUUUGUCAUCAUAAAAAAAUUGGAGAUUGUUAGCCCAAGGGUUCUCCUAAUCAUGUUUUGAUGAUAACAAACCAUGCUUAAGUUACUAAUUGGUUUGAAUUAUAAAGAAUUUCAAGUGUUAAUUUGAAAAUUCAUCAAAGAACCUAAUGGAUGCAAGAUCAAGAUUUUUGGAAGACCUUUAAUCAUAAGAAACAUAUGUAAGAUGAAUGCAUGGGUGCACUUAAGAUUUGCAUAUCAUUUCAUGCAUAUUUGGAAAACACGGUUUAUGCUUUAAAGUUACAUUUCCAUCAAAAUUUGAGAUCCAUCAAAUGAACCUUAGGAAAAAUGUUUUAAAAUUGGCAUAUAAUUUUACCUAAAGACCUUGCCUAAGUGUUAGAAGCAAAAGGACAAAAAAAAUAUAGGUUUUCUGGUCAAAAAUGGUGAACCAGUCAAGGCAUUGUCUAAAUCAGCUCAAUCGGCCAAGGUACCGGUCGAUCGGUUUCCCUUUCCCUGUCGAGAUCUAGUCAAGAGGUACAAAAAUCACAAUCUCUGUCUCUUUCUCUCUUUGUCUAUCUUCCAGUAGUCUUUCCUUCCCGGUCGAGGGAUUUGCCUUCCCGAUUGAGGUCCGAUUGAGAGUAAUAGUCACUUGCCAAAUAUUAAAUGCUCCAACAGUUAGUGAACUGGUCGACCCCCACCUUGCCCAGUUGAGGUUACUUUUUGGUUUUCUUGGCUCCCGAUGUUAGAAACCUAUAAAUAGAGAGUUCCACUUCAUUUAUGAGCAAGAGAACACUUGCAUUUAUUUGUUUACCUACUUGUUCUUGCCUUAAAAGCUCUCAUUUCUUUUCUUGGUGCAUUAAAUCUCCAUUUUGAUAUCCUUUAGUGCACCUUUGUGAUUCAUCUUAGCCUUGAGUUGUAUUUGAGCCCUUUUUUUAGCUAGGUUGAGAGUUUCAUACUUGUUAAUUGAGUGUUAAAGCCUUCAAGUGAGUUGAAACUUGUAGAGAUUAUGUGAGAGUCGAUUGGAGCCGAAAUCCAAGUGUAAAGGUGAUUAGAAGCUUGGUUGAAGCUUCAAGUUAGUGGAAUCCUCACUCAAUUAGGAGCUUGAGGAGAGUGGACGUAGCCAAGGAAGUGUCGAACCACUAUAAAAUUUGAGUUUGAUUUCUCUAACAUUGUCUCUUUAUAUUUGUUUAUCUUGUGCUUAAAUUUAUUGUGUUUAAAAAGAAUUUUUAAAUACCCAAUUCACCCCCCUCUUGGGUGUUUUUCUCUUUUAAAAUUAGCCUUUAUUUUCUCACAAACUAUUGUAGUAUAGUGGUUUUUAGGUGUCAUCCAUUAGGAUGAAUUGUUCUCGGUAAUUAAGGCGUGAAUGAGAGGAGAAUUAAUGAUUGUGAUUAAGUAAAAUUGAUUUGAAAAUUCAUGGUGAAAAAUCAAUUUAACAAUGGUUUCUAAUUGAGAAAAACAAUGAAAUGUGAAAUAAAAUAAAAUUAAUAGGAAAUGAAAUUCUCGAAGUUAGAAUUUUCUAAAAAACAAAUUCCAUGGUGAAUGGAUGUUGAGAUCUAAUUUUCAUCAAGUUAGAUUGAAAACCGAAAUUUUCAUAUAAACUGAUUUUUUAUUUAGUUUUAGGUCUAGAUUUAAUUUCCCUUAAAAUUAGGUUAUUUAAUCCAAGAAAUCAAUUCAAAUCAUAUAUUCAAUUCAUCUUAAAUUAUCUUCCAAUUAUUCACACAAUGCAACUAUUCAAUCUCAUCAAAUCUAGCUUUUAAGAAUUUAAUGAAUCUACCUAGUUUGCAUUGUAAUAGUCAUCCAUGACAAUUUGAAGAGAAAAAUAAUUCAAUUAAUCAAUCACUUGGAUCAAAUUACCUUUGCAAUUAAAGUUCAUUUCUCUAAUUCACCACAGAUUUUGUCUCUAGAUCCUCCUUUCUCAAAGAAAAAUGAGAUUUAGCCACACAUGAUUGGAGAUUUGGUCUCAUAAGGCAUGUUUAGCUAGUGAUAAAAUGAGAGAAAAUAAAGAAAAAUAGAGAAUUCGAUUAAGAAAGAAAAUCUAAAAAAUUCUACAAUUAGAAAUGUCCAAAAAGCUUUUUCAUGAGAAAAUCAAGUUUCUAUUUAUAGGCCAAGGUCAAGUGGACACUUGACAUCAUCUAAGAGGUCUUCCGGAAGCUUCUUCAUCAAGAAAUCUGGAGUUUAAUAAUAAAAUGGUCAUUUCACAAGAGCUCAAACAAUUUCGCAUGAUUAUGUGAAAUAAAAAAUGCAACAACAGCAAUUUACAUCUUCUUGGAGCAUUUCGCAUGACUGUGUGAAAUUUUCACAUGAUCAUGUGGAAUCGACUUGACAACUCUCAUUUAGCCUACAACAUAAUUCCACCUUUUGGUCCAUUUUUCAUAGUCAUGCGAAAUGGAAAUAUUUGAUUUUUAAGUUUUCUUUUGUCAUUUCUUUCAUUUCCUUCUCUUGAUUCCACUUCAACUACCUCCGAAUCCUGGUCCAAACCAAUUGCAUUACUUCUUUCAUUAUGCAUUUGGAUCAUCAUCAACAUUAUUUGUUCUCUUCAAUUUGAUUCAUCUCUUUUGUCACCAAUUUAUCAAAAUCAUACCUUGAAAUGACUCCAAAACUUCAUAAAACUUGUUAGUAACUCUUGCAAGGGCAACAACAUAUUAAUUAAGUGUUUUAGGCAUAGUUACUACUCAAAAGAUGCGAAACUCAUGAUAAUUAUUAUAUAAAAUAUGCUCUUUUUGAGUAGUAAUCAACUUUCUUGCAUAAGCAGACCUUUUAGGGUGGAGUACUAAAGACCAAUAUGCUUGUCCUUGUUGUAAUAAAGAAACUUGCUCUUAUUGAUUGCACCAUGGGAGAAAAUUUUGCUACAUGAGUUAUCAUCAAUUUCUUCCCACCAAUCAUAGAUUUAGACGUGACAAGAGGCCUCUUAAUGGCAAGGAGGAACUGACACUCACACUUAUACAAUUAUCGGGCAUUGAUGUGUUGCAACAAUUAGAAUAACUUACACCAAUUAUGUUGGGGAAGUCACAAAAGGCAAACAUGAAAACUAAAAGGAAAAAAGAAAAAUGUUACAUAUCACCACAACUGGAAAGAAAAAAGUAUUUACUUUCAUUUGCCAUAUUGGAAAGCACUUAUUUUACAUCAUAAUAAUUUAGACAUAAUGCAUAUUGAGAAAAAUGUGUGACAAUAUAAUUGAGACAUUGUUCAGUAUUGACGAAGAAACAAGGACAACCUAAAUAGUCAUCUCGAUUUACAAGCUCUAACUAUUAGAAAUGAGAUUCACCCAAUAGAAAGCAGGACCAAAUUUAUUUUGCUUGCAACAUGCUACUCACUCACCCCAAAUGAGAUUAAGGAAUUUUGCAAGUUUUUGAAAUCAAUAAAGGUCCCCAAUGGCUAUUCUUUCAAUAUCUCUCGUUAUGUGCAACUCAAUGAAAGGAAGAUAUAUGAGCUCAAAUUGUAUGAUUGUCAUGUCCUAAUGCAACAACUUCUCUCACUUGUAGUUCGUGGAGUUCUACAUAAGAAUGUUUGUGGAGUUAUCAUAGAAUUGCGUAAUUUUUUCAAGCAAUUGUGCUCAAAGGUGUUAGAAACAAAUCACUUACACCAACUUGAGAACAAUAUUAUUGUCAUACUAUGUAAAAUGGAGCAAAUAUUUCUUCCAUCAUUCUUUGAUAUUAUGGUGCAUUUACUUGUGCAUCUAGUAAGGCAAAGGUUGCAAGACUUGUGCAAUAUUGUUGGAUGUACCUAAUUGAACGAUAUUGUUAUAAUUUCAUAUGAAUCAUUUAAUUUUAUUUUAUAUUAUGUUCAGUUCAUUAACAUGUACAUUGGUCUACAUAUGGAUGAUGAUAGGUACCUAAGCACUUUAAAGUCAUAUGUGCGUAAUAGAACUUUUCUAGAAGGUUCUAUUGUAGAAAGGUACCUUGCAAAAGAAUGUACAACAUUUUAUUCUAGGUACUUGAAUGAUGUGGAAAUAAAGUAUAAUCACAAUGAUAGAAACUUUGUUGGUUUCAACACUAGAGGAGAUGAAAGGGGUUAUCUUUAAACAUAUUGGACAUGCAUUGGGAAAGCCCAUAUUUCAUUAACUUAGUUCAAAAGAGUGGUCACAAGCACAUUUAUAUGUGUUGACAAAUUGCGAAGAUGUCAUACCAUUCAUUGAGUAAAAAAUUUAUUUGAAUUUUAAUUAAAGCUCUAGUUUAUAUCCUUAAUCAAUGUUUUUUAAAUUCACAAGGAGCACAAGCAAACCAUCAAGGCUAGACCACAUAUACGUGUUUGAGACGUAGAUUUAAUUCAUAACAAGGAAUUUAUCAAGUGGUUUGAAAGACAUGUAAGUAUAUUCCUUAUUAUAAGGGAUUUAUUUCACAUUAUGUUUAUAUUGAAUCCAAACCUAUUAUUGAAUUGUAGGUUGAACAAUUACAUAAUGAAGGUCAUAUAUCUGAACACCUUCUCACAUUAUCAUGUGUUCCAAAUUCAUUAGUUACAUGCUUCAAAUGAUAUAUUGUCAAUGGAUUUAGAUCCCACAUUAAAGAACGUGAUAAAAAAGUUUUUAAAAAAAGACUCAGAAUAAUGGAAUUGUUGUAGUUGCAAAAACGUCAAGCUUUACAAGUGCAUGUGAUAUGAGUCCAAUUAUUAGUGAUGCUCUCUACUAUGGUGUUCUAACUAAAGUUGUUGAGUUACAUUAUCUUGGUGAAAAUAAGGUUGUUUUAUUCGAGUUUGAUUGGUGGGAUGUUACAAAUAUUGGAAAAUUGAUAAAAGAUGAUGAGUACAAUUACACAUUUGUUAACUUUGCAUGAAUUCUAACCACGAACGAACGAUUUGUACUUGCAUCUCCAGCAAAGUAAGUGUUCUAUGUGAAGAAUGCGAAUGAAUCAGAUUGGCAUACUAUCAUGGAGAUGCAACCUCAAGACCUCUAUAAGAUGAACGGGAUAGGAUCCAAUGGUGAUUUUGAACCAUUUCAACAAAGUGAACUACAUGAUCACUAAUAUAUCUCAGAUUUAGUUGAUGAAGAUAUAAUCAAGUGGAACAAAAGUGAUGUUUUAGGACUAAUCAUCCUAAAAAAUAUUGUAGUUUCUUAAAAAAAAAAUGAAAAUGAAGAAGAUAAUUGAACCUUUGUCAUACUUUAAAAAGCAACUAUGCAUUGUUCAUUUUGUAUGUUUUGGUUUUCUUCAUUUAAUUUCCUGAUUUUUGUGAUUCAAUGUCAUAUUAUUGAUCUUGAAAUAUUUUUCUAAUUUUUCAUUCUACGAUGGUUUCAACAAGGAUGACAUCAAGUCAAAAAAGGAAAUGUGGUCCCACACACAAUAUUGCAUUACAGGGAUUAAGGUCAGGGAAGAAGGUAAAAGUUGCAUUUAAUGAGUACAAUCAAUUGGUUAAACAGAAAAAUGGAAAACACUUAUCGAGCUACAUAGGGACACUUGUAUCUAACCAACACAAUGUACCUCUCCAAGCUAGUGAUUGGAAAAAUGUUCCAAAUGAUGCAAAAGAGAAAGUAUGGCCUUUGUUUUGGUAUGUUGUAUUUCUCACUAUAUGAUGUCAUUUCACUGUUAUUCUAUUUUGUGACUAACGUUUGAAUCAUAUGUAAGAAAAAUUUGAAGUAGAUAAAGACUGAAAAGAUUACAUGUUGGGUAUAGCCUCAAAUAAAUAUAGAAGCUAUAAAAAUAUGAUGAAUGCAAAAUACUAUGACCCUUGGCAUAAGGAUGCAUGAGGAGAGGUUAAUACAUAAAUCACCAUUUGUCUCUGAUGUUGAUUGGAAGUGGCUUGUCUCUGAUGCAUAAACCAAAUCCCCCACUGAAUGUUUGAUAUUUGAUAGCAGGAAAAACACACCCGCAGCUAUACACCUCCAUCAUUCAGAUAAUUAUAGUGGGGGAGAUGAUUCAUGGUUGCCCUUAUACCCUUUAUUUGCACCAUCUAUUGAGAUUCUUUAUCAUGGCCAGGUUUUACUGCAGCAAUAAGAUAUGGUGGCAACAAUUUUAUCUAUAGGUGCGGUUCCAGACCGCCUCCAUAGGUGCGGUUCCUGACUGCCUCCAUAGGUGCCUCUUCUUGUAAUGUUUGUUCUGGGAAUUACACUUGAAAGCCUUAUCGUGAUAAGGGAUUACAAACACUAGUUCAGAGGACAGCCAUGUUAAACUUCCACUAUGUUUGUGUCACAUUAUCAGCAGCCUAGUGUUUAUUGGUCAUGCUAUCUGCAACUAAUAUAACCCGGUGAACUUCAAUCUAAAUUCUGAAAGUACUCAUGUGACAGAUGGUGCCUUUCAGCAGAUAUCAUCAAUUUAAAAGUAGUGUGUGUGCCUAUAGGUGGGAAGGCCUUGGCAAAUGUUCAGUAUUCCGGUAAUUCAAGAAGGAUAUAUCUAAAAUAGAUUUUCUUCUUGCCCAUUUCAAUAGUUAAAAUUUGAGAAGAUUGUGUCCACAUCACACAAAUAUUAUUGGUCCUUCUGUUGCAAUUUACCUCUGAACAUGUCUUCCAAUUCCCACGGUCCUGUUACUCCAGGAAAACUAUUUCGGUCAUAUUGAAAAAAAAAAUAUUAAAGAAGGUACACAUGCUUUUAAGUGGACUGGGGCAUUCAUAUCAGGUGGUCUGUAUCCACAUAUGCCACUUCGUGAAAGGUGGAACAGCCUAAUCACUAGGCUAUUUAGUGUGGCCCAGCCACGUUAAUCAAGCACAAGUCUUCAUACUUAAAGUCAAAUGGUGUCUUUAGUCUCAUUACACAUCGCUAUUUGAAGAUUAACUCAUCACUAGUGUAAUGCGAUUAAGACAGUCCUAACUCAAUAUUUGUUCUAGUUUUGGAUGCAAAUGCUUGCUGGUUUCAUCAUUGGAUGGGAUAAAGGUGCAAUCAGGACUAUGAAUACGUGCAGUAAUACUUCAUUCUCUUUUUUCUCAAUGAGACUUCUUGGCACAAUUUUGCUGCUCAGCAACCUACCUUUCCAUGGAAAAUCAGUUGUGACUGAUAGUAAUGGAUAUAUUCUAGAAAGCUAAACAUAGAUAGCAUUCAAUAUUAUCGAUAUAACAUUAACAGCGUAUGUCUCAAUGCUCAUCAGCUACAAGCAAUGGACAAACACUUUGAGUAACUCACAGCAGUCAAAAUUCCUAAACAGGACAGACGUGACAGAUCUAUAUAUAGAACACUGCAUAUGAGUCACAGGAAAAGAUAAUACGGGUACAUAGAAGCUCUUAUUUUACAUAUUACUCAUACUGAUCAAAGUCGCUCAGUUGGGAUGGAUGGGAGAAGGAGGUUUGAGGGGUGGCUUGUGCGGGGAAGUUGGCAGCUUCUUUCCGGGAGCUGGUUGCUUCUUUGCUGGAGUUGAAGGAGGCUUAAUCUUCCGAGGUGGCUUGUAUGAGUCUUCAGCAUUCUCAGCAGGAGGGUGACCAGGGUUGUGACCAUAAUGUGGUGGCUUCUCUCCCUUAGGUGGUUUGCCAACUGGGGUUGGUGGCUUGUUUUCUGGGAGUGGCUUCUCUCCCUUGGGUGGUUUGCCAACUGGGGUUGGUGGCUUGUGUUCUGGGAGUGGCUUCUCCCCCUUGGGAGGUUUUUCGAAUGGGGUGGGUUUGUGUCCUGGUGGUGGCUUCUCUCCCUUGGGAGGUUUACCAAUUGGGGUCGGUGGCUUGUGUUCUGGGAGGGGCUUCUCUCCCUGGGGAGGUUUAGUGGGUGGCUUGUGUUCUGGAGGUGGCUUCUCCACCGGAGGCUUAUGCUCUGGUGGUGGCUUCUCGAAGGGGGGAUGCUCAGGGUAAUCACCAAGUGAGGGGGUGGUGAGAACCACCAUGCCAAGCAACAACACUAGCAAGUAUGUAGUAGACAUCUUUGGGUUUGGACUCAGACAGUGCAAAACUACGAGAAAUCGCUAGCCCUUUAUAGCGGCUCGGACCUAAUACUGACAUAAUAUAAAAUAAAUAUUAUAUUUUAUCAAGAGAGAACAGAGUGUAAUUUUAUCAUUAAUACCGAUCGAGGCCAAAGAAAGAAGACCCAUAAUCCAUUUCCCACAAGCAUACACAAUGCAGCUGUAAUUUUAUCAUUUACUUUUAUCCCUUGGACCACUGCAUUUUUGUUGAGAGACACAAUAACACAUUUUUAUCUGUCAUUCAACAUUUACAGUAAAGAGAGGGCACAAAACGCAAUUAGAUAAAUUAUGUUUUGCCUGCUAAAAAGAGGCAAAUAACUUUAUUUGCAACAUAAUUAUUUUGGUUUCUAGUGACCCCGGGGCCUUUCGGUUGGUUUGGGAUCGGAAAAUGAACAUCAUAGGGGGGGUUGUGCCCUUAUGGGCAUAUAUAUCUGAUAGCUUCAACUGGCCUUGUUCCUAGAAAGAAAUUGCCAAAGAUAUAAACUUAUUCCAGGCUGAAAGUAGAUGAGAGUCAUAAUGAACAUCAACCUUUGUUCAGUUUGAUUCAAUGCCCCCAUAGUGUUCAUUUCACAGAUCUGAAUGAUUAUAUCCGUUGAAUACAUAAAUUAAUGAAGACAAAUAUGAAACCCAAGAUACAUCUCUGCAUAACAACCCCAACCCUGGUUGCUAUGUUUCCCUUCUUCUAUUCACAUGAGGAUACUGGUUAUAAUUGUCAAACUUGCAACAAGCCCUUUGACACCUAACGUCAAUGGACGAAUUAAAAGUCUCCUUCAAACGUCUAUUUCACAGCAUGAAGCUUAUAAAGGAUGCUGACAACCUUCAGAGUUAGCGACAAAAGAUAAUUAUCAAGGAGAGAUAGUUCCAUGAGAAUUCCAAGGAGUCUGAAUCAAAGACAAAUUGCUCACUCAAGGGUUCUUAUUUUCUUUUAGGUACAAAUCUCUUGAGUGUUGUUAAAGAAACACGUCACUGUCAUUUUGAUUUGCAUUUAACAUUUCACUUUUGUUCUGGAAGGUUUGUUCCGGAAACAUAUCAAAUGAGCAUCAUUUUCUUCUUCGGUGACACAUGGUCGCGAGUACGUGGGUCCAUUUUCAUGCCACUUAGUUGAAAAGUUGGAAAGAAAAAACAUGCCAACAAGAAGAUAGUGAGAGAAGGGGCACUUCAAGCCUUUAACAUGAACAAACAGUAAAUAAAAGAUGUUUCUCCACUCAUAAAAGUGUGUUAGAUAGCAAUAUAACGAAUCACAUCCAAAAUCUUUACUAGGCUCAAACAUAAAGAAGACUCAUUUUUAAGAAAAGAUAAAAAUGGCAUUGUCUGAUAGUAUCCAAUACACGAGAUGGCACUUAAUUUGUACAAGAUCUGUCAAUGCUGACGCACAUUUUCUGAUUAAAAAAAAACUGAUCAGUCAAAAGCAAUGAAGAGAAGUGAUGACAAUGAAUGAUGCUUCCAAUAUUUUCACCCCUUAUAGUGUUCUUCAUGAUUCAGAUAUAUAAUUGGAAAUAGAACAACCCUAUGCCAUACAUUCGUCUAAGUAUGGUGUCUAAUUUUUUGUGUCAGCGGUUGCGAAUGGAGCGUGCAAAAGUCCAAAUUGGCGUCUCUCCAUUUCCACAUAGGAAGGUGACCUUUAUUGACAAAUACCCAAUAUUUGUAGACAUUCCUUAAAUAUCAUAACUUCUUGUUGAUUUGAAAAUCAUUUUUCAACUACCAUGUUUUAAUAAAUAUUUUUUAAAAUGUAUUUUUAUCAAAGUCCACCAUGAUGGAUAAUAUUCACCAUGCAAUAAUUAAUAAAGUACAAACUAAGCGAAAUGAAAAGCAUUUUCUUUGCUUUGAGUUGAUUUUGGUUGCAUUGAGUUGAUUUUGGUUUCAUGGUUUUUUCAACUCUUAUUUUGAUUGGAAGAUGUCAAGAAAAGAAAACAUAAAGAAAAAUUAAAAGGGAAAAAAGAAGAAAAAUAAAAAAAAAUAGAUUUAAAAGUUAAUAAAUUAUUUUUUAUAUUUAUUUUAAUUCAUUUCACUUAUUUUUCUUUUACUAUAUAAAAUUUAAAUAAUUUAAAUUUUAUAAUUAAUUUAAUUACAUUUCAUUUUCUUCUAUAUUUAAAUAUUGGAAAAAUAUUUUACUUAAUAUUUUUUUCUUUAAUUUCUUUGGCAUUUUGGGAACCAAACUUAGCCUUUAAAAUAAAAAACAAAAAAAAAAUGAAAAUAAGGAGGGAAAAGUGAGAAAAGAUAAAAACAAUAUGUAAAGGAUUUGAAAAGUAUUAGUUUGUAAUUACUAUUUGGAUUUCAAUAGUAUUUUAUUUGUCUUUCUAUAUUUCAUGUAAGAGAGAAUUUAAGAUAUUCCCCAAGGCAAAGCAUUAGUUACCUGCAAUCAGUGGUGAUAAGGCUCCAAGCCAAUUUUGGGCCCCAUAUCUUAAGACAGUACAAUUUCCAUUUCAACAUUUCUGAUUUCUCAGAUGUUUCACAUACCACAGAAGAACAUUGUUUGUGAAAAUAUGCAUUUAUGUUGGAUUUUGUAUGCUGUGGGGACUGGGGCAAGGAUCAUAUGGAAGAGUGGUUGACUUUUUCUGUACUUUAACGGUUGAAAUAGGAUAAGCACGGGCAUUUGUGAGGCUUAAUUGAUUUUGAAGCCUGAAAUUGCGUUUCUGUCAUUUUGUCAAAAAAAUGGCAGAUUCCAUACUCAUAUGUUUGGCCUGUGGCCAUGUACAGAUGCCAUUUAGUGACCAGUUUGUAACUGUCAAUCGUUGCGUUUUGACUCUGCCUCAACAACAUCUGCCAUUGACGGGUUUUCAUACUUGCAAAUCAAAUAGUCUUUCGUCCCAUCAGGAAUUUCGGUUUAAAUAUUAUUAAGCAUACGUUUGGCUGACAAUCAUUAUCCAGUUCAUGAUUUGGUUUCUUACCCUUAAUCAAUGGUUUCUAAGUGAAUAUAUGUAGAAGGAAAUCCGAAGUGUAGACAGUAGUAUCGAUAACUCUCAAUAUUCUCUAUAUAAUAGAAUAAACAGCGUCAUAGUGAUCGUCGCCUACAAGCAAGGUACAAAUACCAAAACGAGUGACUCACAUAGACAUCUCCCAACAAGAUGUAGUAGUGACUGACACAUGGACACAAUUAACUCGUAGAAAAGGAUAAGACCAUUGCACAGCAGCUCUUAUUUUACAUACUACUUAUGCUAACCAAAGUCAAUUAGUUGGGAUGGGUGGGAGAUGGAGGUUUGUGCGGUGGCUUGUGGGGCGGAGUUGAUGGCUUCUUUCCAGGAGCUUCUGGCUUUUUCAUCGGAGCUGAAGGAGGCUCAAUCUUAUGAGGCGGCUUGUAUGAGUCUUCUUUACUCUCGACAGGAGGGUGGCCAGGGUUGUGAUCAUAAUGUGGUGGCUUCUCUCCCUUAGGUGGCUUGCCAACUGGGGUUGGUGGCUUGUGUUCAGGAAGUGGUUUCUCUCCCAUGGGAGGUUUAGCAAUUGGGGUUGGUGGCUUGUGUUCUGGGAGUGGCUUCUCUCCCUUGGGAGGUUUAGUAGGUGACUUGUGUUCUGGAGGUGGCUUCUCCACCGGAGGCUUGUGCUCCGGUGGUGGCUUCUUGGUUGGAGGGGGCUUGGGGUAAUCAGCAAGAGAUGGGGUGGUGAGAACCACCAGUCCAAGGAACAACACUAGCAAGUAUGUGGGAGACAUUUUUGAGUUUGGGCUGAUCAGAUGAUGCAAAACUAAAGCAUUACGUGACCUUUUAUAGCAUGUAGCUCCCAAUACCCACUAAGUAUUGUGGGGUCCAUUUGUGCCCUACGGGGUUGAAAACUUAGACAAUUGGGCAAGGACCCACCUGACUAUGGAGGACUAGUGAGGUGUGAUCAUAGCUUUAGGAUUUUUCUUCCUCUGCAGCCGUCGUGCCGUUGGCAUGAUUUUCUUAAUCUUAAAUAAAGGCAUAGUUAUAGAGUUGUUUAAUCUCUAAAUGGGAUUUUAUAUAUAUCUUCAGAUAGCCAUUAAUAUAUUUGAUGAAGAAAGAAAGACAAGUGCAUACAACAUGUAUACGACUAGCUUUCAUGGAGUUCAUUUAUGAUCAGUUUUCCUGUACAUGUAAACCAGGAUCAUAUAUAUGUUUCUGUUCCACAACUAUUUUGGAAUCUUGUUUAUCAGUUUUUAUCAUUAUAAUGUCACAUAGGCUGCCAACUUGGGCGCUAAAAGAACCAGUUGGGCUAGUUCGUUUCAGAAUUUCAAUGUGGAUUCAGGAAUUGUUUUGUAAGAUAUGCGAAAUAGUAGAGGGAUGAAUAGUGUUUCAUUAAUAAAAGUGUCCUGUAAAUUAGAAGGUGUCAUAGAAACUAUAAUCAAUAAAUAACUUUUUUUCCCCACGGGUGGUGUUUCUUGUGGGGAUCAGUGACUGGUUUAGGUUCACCCAAAAUGAGUUCAGACUAAAAUUGGUUUGAGUCAAUGCCGUGUCUCUUUUUUCCAGAAAUCAACUAUUUUAUGCAUUGAAUAAAUCAUACAAAGAAAAUAUGAACGCCCGCAAAACCUAAACCCUGGUUGCUAACUUUCUAUGUUUCAGUUCUAUUCACGCAAGAAUAUUAGUUUAAGUUUGGGAAAAAUGGCAACUUACCUAGUGAUUACUUGGUUUUGGUUUGCGACUAUUUACGCAACCAACCAUGAGUUUGACUUUAACGUCAUGGGUUGAAGCCUCCUACAGGAAGGGAGAAAGCUCCACAGCUAGCUCCAAAAGAGAAUUAUCACAUUGAUAGCUCCAGAGAUUCCCAAGGGGACUGAAUCAAAGACAAGUUCCUCACUUUUUCUUCUUUUGAGGCCAAAUAUGAACCAAGGAUCACACAACCUCAUUCAACUUCAUAAGUUUGAUUUCAUGCAGUUGAACACUGGGUGAAGGCCAUGACAAGAAUUGAUUCAAAAAUUCUAUCACUCUUUUAAGUAAUGGAAGAUUAUUAUCUCUGAUUGGCAUCACAACAGCACAUGCUCCUAGAUCUUUCUAGACACUCCAUGCAAUGAAAGCACAAUGGAUCUUGUAACGAUAGAAACUAAGCCAUGCUACAGUACUAGAUGAUGAGGUAAAACUAGUAGACACGGGUGGCAGCCUAUAUGGGAGGGACACAAGUCUAAUUGAUUUGCAUUUCAGCAUUAUAGAUAGGUAUGUUUUGGAAGAUUUGUUCUGGAAAUACCGCACCAAGUAGGAUUCUUUUUCUCUUUAGUGGGUCCACUUGCAUGCCAAUUAACGAGUUGAAAAGUAUGAGCACCUACCUCGUGCUCGUGGAACCGAAGGUCAGUGAAGUGGGGCUCCUUUUGGCCUCGUGUAAACUUGAUUCAGAAGUGAAGUUAAUAGUCUUCCAUUCAGAUGGAUACAUGGGAAUUUUUCUCUUUUAUUUAUUUAUUUAUUUUUUUUUUGUGUGUGUAUGUCAAAGGAUAAUGAAUGAAGCGCGUUAGCUUGUUUUCUGACUGGAACCGCAGAUGUCCAAAUUGGAGUUCCUUCAUUUCUUACUUAGGAUUGUUACAUGUAUAAACAAGGUAUAAGAAAUAUGCCAACGUGUCUUGAGGAGUUAUUGAUUAGAAAUAACAAGUCACCCGACUGUAGAGUUCCAAGAUUUGAAUCUUCAGACCCUAUAGCAGCCUCUGGGGUACGUGGCAUCCUAUAGCAUAUUAAUGAAGGCUUUUUCGAUUUAGACUUCACAAUACCAAUUAAUAUGUAUGCACAAAAUGGAGAUGACCCCAAAAAAAACAGAAUCGCCAUAGUUUAUGAGGUUAAGGUGAUUCUCCACUUAAUAUCUACAUUAGCUAAUUAUGUAAAUCAAAUGAACUUCUAUUUUUCCUUUUUUUUUUUGGUUUAUGUCAAAUAGUAGCCCAUAAUUAACCCAACCAUUAGCCUGUUUGAAUUGAUUUCACAUGCACAAUGUUGUAGUAGUUCAUAUUUUGAAUUUUAUUUUUACAAAGGUAGUUAAGGAAAAUGAAGUAUAAUAAUUAUAAAAGCAGACUAUAUACACUACAAUAAUUGUUAGAAUGGUAUCUCAAAUUCUAAUUUAAAAUAUUAUUUUUUGUAAAAGAAAUAUUAUAUAGAAUAUUUCCUAAUUUUAUAAAUGAUUAUAAUUAGAUCUUUAUAAAAUAAGGAAAGUUGGUAAGAAUAUCUUUAUAAAUAUUUUAGGUCAUGAGAGAAAGAAAUGGGAUAAAAAUGUGAUGAAGAGGUGAAAUAAGAGAGUUGAUUAGGAUAUAGAUGUGAAGAAGAAAGGGAUUCAAUAUAUAUAUAUCUUUCAAUUACCACAUUAAAACCCUGUGAACCUUUUAUAUGGUUUACUUUAUUUUUAUAUUCCUCCUUUAAUAUAUUUACAUUAAUGCUUCCAUUGGCACAACAAUAACGAAUUACAAAUACAAGCAACAAGUCCCAUGUUUUAUUACCAAAAGCAGGUAAAAUCCACCUAAUAUAUUACAAUAUAUUCAUCCAAUAUUUUAGACCAAUUCUUCACCAUAAAUAUCAUAAUGUGGCUUUUGUUCUUUCUUAAAUUUAAAUUGAAUUGUCUUAUAUCAAUUUGUUUGUGAUUUUUUCAUUAACUUCACUUUCAUUUGGUUAUCUUUGGUUUUUGAAAAGUAUUAAGGAAUUAAUUAACAAAAUAAUGUUAAGAAAAAUAAUUUUCUCUCUUUUGAUUUUGAUUUUGUAGUAGAAAAAUAUAAUUAAAAUUAUUUAAAAAGUAUGUAAUUUUAAAUUAUUUAAUAUUUAGAUAAAAAAAAUAAGUCUAAUGAGUUUAAAAUAACAUAUAAAAAUAAUUUAUUUAUUUUAAAUUUAUUUUUUAUUUUCCAUUAUGUUCUCUUUCUCUUUUACUUUUUCAUAUUUUUUCUUACGAAGAAUCAAACACAACCUCAUAUUAUAUGUCAAGUGUUUGUCUAUAUUUGAGCAAUGUUAGAUACGGCCAUGGAUUCAUCAAACUAAACUGAUUUUAAUAGAUACUUCACAAAUUGAUUUAUACACUAAAUCAUUGGAUAGCAAUGAUGCAUUGGAAUUAAACGUAGGAUGAAGCUCGAAGAACACUGUUUGUGUAACAACAUAUUUAUGAAAUUAUGCAAAGGAUGAGCUUCGGGGUAGUAGUACAAGGUCAUUAAUGGAGAGCCGUGUUAAACCUUGAUUGUGAUUGGAUUCCGUUAUCAGCAACAGCAACCUUGUUUGUAACCUUGAAAGUCAUUCUGUCCACAUCGAAACUCCAAUUUGACGUUUGUAAUUACCAUUCCUGGAGUGUUCCUUGAUUGAAAUUUAAAUAAUAAUUGCGGCCCACAAGGAAUAUUUUCGAUUCUGUGGGAAUUUGACAAGGUUUGUUAGAGAAGACUGGUGACAUGUUGACUUCAAUGGUUCAAAUAGGAGACGUAUGUGGAUUUGGGGGGUUUAAUUGAAACUGAGUCCCUAUGGCUUUUUAAUAUUUGCAUUGAGCAGUCUCCAUGUGACUUCCUAAUUCCCACCAACCCUCCUGUCCAUGCUGUGAAACUAAAUUGUAAUUUAUCAGCCUUUGUCAAUGGUUUCUAAAUUAAAGAUAUAGACCAUGCAUGUACUUUAAUAAAAGCAAAUCUAAAGUGUAGAUAGCAGCAAUGGUGACACCCAAUAUUCUCCAUAAAAUAGAAUUAGAAUAAGCAGUGUUACAUUGUUCAUGAUCACCUACAAGCAUACAAGAACUUCCAUGAAUAACUCAUAGCAAUUGCCAACAGGGCGUCGUAGAGACUCAUACAUAGAACACUAUCCACCCAGAGGAAAGGACAAGACCAGUGCGCUGCAGCUCUUAUUUUUCACAUGUAUACCACCACUCGUAAUAACCAAAUUCACUCAGUUGGGAUAGGUGGGAGAUGGUGGUUUGUGGGGUGGCUUGUGGGGAGGAGUUGGAGGAGGCUUUAUUUUCUGAGGCGGCUUGUAUGAGUGUGCAGGAGGAUGCCCGGGAGUGUGACCAUAAUGUGGUGGCUUCUCUCCCGUAGGUGGUUUGCCAAAUGGGCUUGGUGGCUUCUCUCCCUUAGGAGGUUUACCAAUUGGGGUUGGUGGCUUGUGUUCUGGGAGUGGUUUCUCUCCCUUGGUAGGUUUGCCAAUUGGGGUUGGCGGCUUAUGUUCUGGGAGUGGCUUCUCUCCCUUGGGAGGUUUGCUAAUUGGGGUUGGCGGCUUAUGUUCUGGGGGCGGCUUCUCUCCCUUGGGAGGUUUGCCAAUUGGAGUUGGCGGCUUAUGUUCUGGGAGUGGCUUUUCUCCCUUGGGAGGCUUGCCAAUUGGGGUUGGCGGCUUAUGUUCUGGGGGUGGCUUCUCUCCUUUAGGAGGUUUGCCAAUUGGAGUCGGCGGCUUAUGUUCUGGAAGUGGCUUUUUUCCCUUGGGAGGUUUGCCAAUUGGGGUUGGCGGCUUAUGUUCUGGGGGUGGCUUCUCUCCCUUGGGAGGUUUGCCAAUUGGAGUCGGCGGCUUAUGUUCUGGGAGUGGCUUCUCUCCCUUGGGAGGUUUUGUUGGUGGCUUGUGUUCUGGAGAUGGCUUCUCCCCUGGAGGCUUGUGCUCCGGAGGUGGCUUCUGAAAUGGCGGGGGCUUGGGGUAAUGAGCAAGAGAUGGAGUACUGGUGAGAACCACCAUUCCAAGCAACAAUACUAGCAAGCAUGUGGGAGACAUCUUUGAGUAGUUGUAGCUAAGAUGGCGCAACACUGUAGGCAUUGGGUGGCCUUUUAUAAAGGGCUGGACCCAACAGCCAUAUGACACGUGUCAUGAUGACAAAUGAAGUUGAGGGGAUCCAGAUGGGUCCUACUGAGUCGAAAACUUGCACUAAUUGAUCUGGUGAGAUGACUAUUUCUGUCCUUUUGCCCUUCUCGGCCACCCUGUGCUGUUUUCCUUUUGCACGAUUUUCGUUGCCAAACAAGCAAAUAAUAUUUCGCCAAGAAAGAGGAGAGUGAAUGUGGAAUGCAUCAAGUCCCAUCAAGGAUGGCAGAGAAGAAAUAGAAGAUUGCCCAACUGUGAUAAACAUAGCAUACACGUAGCACCAGGAACUUCAUUUACUUCCAUCUAAUGGAACAUAACAAUCUUCUAAAGUUUUUGCAUGAUUUUGUUAUAUGUCUCUUAGCCUAAAGUUGGAAAUGCGCAACAAAUUUUGUCACUUCUCUAUUUCCCACUGAUGAUGUUAAUUAGCCUUCAUAGAUAUCAUCCUUUCUACAAAGUGCUUCAUUUGUGUGUUAUUGUAAAGUGUAAGAAAAGUAAUUGAACAUGUUCUUUUUCCUUUCAUAGAUGACUUUUGAUGUGCAUUUUAAAAGCAGCGCUGUGAGUCGGUGACCUUGAUUCACACGGAAACUAAGGCUCCUAUAGGACCCACUUUUAGCUGGUUAGGGGUGAAGAAAAUAUCAACUUUUCAGAGUGAUUUAAGUCAAGGCCAAGCCUCACUGUGUCAUUACUCGUGUGAAUUUUAUAUGCACAUACAUACAUAAAUAAAGUAUGAGACCCAAAUAACACCUUCCCUUUACAAACUUAACCCCAGCCGCUCUCUUUCAAUUCUUUUCACACAAGGGUAUUGACUCUAUAAAGGUCAAGAAAAUCAUAAUUUCCUAGGGUUUACAAGGUAAUUGGCUUAAUGCUAAUGUGAAAACAUAAAAGAUAAUAGUAUAUUGUAAGCUAACGAAUAUUCUAUAGUUAUAAUUAUUUGUGAUGUGCAUAAAUAAAUCUUCAUAUAUAUAAUGGAACAAUGAAUAAAGAACCAAUGAAAAAAUACUAUAUAUCAUUGCUUGGCAUUUAAACCGUAUAUGCUGCUCUUUCUAGCUACUCCAUCCACUGAAAGACAACAAGGUAAUCCAUGUUAUAAUGAUAGAAGAUACUGUCUCUAGGCUUUUUGUGAUGAAAAAUAUAAGAUAUGGGUAGGGUUGACCCUUGUAUGUUUGUCCUAUAAACACUUCAAAGUAACAUAUUUUUCUUCUUUAGCAACUCAUAAUGAUGGGGUUCAUUUGCAUGUCACUGAGUUGAAAAGUUGGACAAUUGCCCAUGUCGCCUUCCUCCUAGAUUCCGUAGUUCACGGGAAGGUAACUCAAGUUUGACAUAUUUUGAAUUCUUUUCACUCGGACGUCUUCAUAACCUGACAAAACAAAAAUGAAAAACAGAGGAUUGGUAUAUUAUUCAUGGUAAGCCUCAAAUUAUAGUAGUAUGAGAAAGGAGAAAAAGAUUUUGGGAACUCCAAUCUGGAUAAUUCUCGUUUCUUCUCUUGAAUAAAAAUUUCACUUACCUAACUUCGUUUGGAGAAAUGGCAUAUUUUAAUUUUGUACGUCAUUGCUAAUAAAUGGAGCAAUUUAGCAUGUUUUGUGACUGAAACUGCAAAUGUCCAAUUGGCAUUUCUUCAUUUCCCACUUAGGAUCUGAUCUUGUAGACCAUAUAACGAUAUGUAUCUGUGCAAGCAUUGAAAACUAAUGUGAACUAUGAGGAGUUACAAGCCACUGGACUGUAGAGCGAGUGCCAAGAUUUAAAUCUUCAGGCUCUAUCUGGGUAAGGGGAGGAUAGCGACCUAACCUUUUACCAAAGGCUUAGAAUUUAGACUUUUGGAAAAAAAUUUCUCAUGUUUUGGCUGGAUUUCUUGUGCUUGGCGCAAAAAGGAGAUGGCCUCAAGAAAUAGCAGACUCACUUUUGUUUUCAGCCCUUAAUAAUUCUCCACUGCUUUCCAUAACUACAUGGGUUAUACAUGCAGUCUGCUGCAAUAUUCCAGUUAUAUUUAUUAUUUCAAAGAGGGUGAAUGACUUCACAUGCAAUAUGUUGCAGUAACAACCCAAAUUUUGGCACACCAUCUUAAGAAUAGAAAAGUAUAAUAAAAGAAAUCAAUCAGAGAAUCACUUUGCAUGCAGUUCAUAGAGUUCGCCCAAAAUGGAGCCACAUGUACGGACAACCCCACAAUAGACAAUCUUCUCUAUACAGUAAUAAAAUACAGAAAUGGUUAAUGAAGCUCUGUAUUUCCUUAUCAUAUAUGACCGGUUGAAAACUCAGCAAGUCUUCCUCAAUCACAGACAGUUGGAGUUGCUUCAUCAAAAUCAUGCCUUCAUUACUGGCUUCAUUUUGGUUUCAAUGUCUGUUCUACCCUUAAAUUGGGUCUCUGCUUACUACCGGGAUAUCCUUUAGCGUCCUGCAAUUCUACUAGAUUAAAGAGAAUGACUUAAUUCUGCAUUCUGCCGUCCCUAGUCCAAGUGGUACUAGAAUUGAUGUUUCCUUUAGUGUCCUUUCUUCAUACUUUCAGGUUCUUCCCUUGUUUCAAUAAUGCUGUUUUCCUUCAUGUUUAACCUCUGUUGAACCACUUAAAACAACACAAUUUGCACACCAAUGUUUCUUUACAGAAAAGACUGUUUGCAAAAAUGCACAUGUUAUAAGGUUAAUGGAAGAAUUAAUUUGGGGAUAAGGGACUAGGAUUGGGCCAAUGAAGUUUGGUGUUAAAUUUUGAUUAUGAUUGCUUUUCAUUAUCAGGUACCUUAUAUUUGCUGAUGCUAUCUGGAACUAAAUUCAAAUCAGACAUUAUCCGAUUACUAACAGGACAUAUCAUGUCCCUCUGCAGAGUUUCUAAACUAACAUGUAUCGAAAUGUGGCCCCAAAAGGAAGGCUAGGAAGAUGGAGGAUUUUGUAGGAAUCGACCAGAAUCAGAUGGAAGAGAGAUAGUCCUGUUGACUUUAAUGGUUGUGAUAGGAACAUGCAUCAUUAUAUGAGAAGUUGCAUGAAUUUAUGUAUCCUGUUAUCGUUCCUUGACGAUUUCCCAAUGCAAUUUCACUGUCCACAAGACUAACCUCUCCAUGCAGUCAAAUGAAUUGUAAUUUCUCUAUUGGUACCAGUAGUACAUUUCAUACCAAACAUAUAGUAAAUAUAAAAUAUAAAUAGAUCAAGGAAAUCUGAAUUGUAGAUAGCACUGCAAGUAACACUCAAUAUUCUCUAUAUAUAAUAAAAUAAACAGUGUCACAAUACUCAUCACCCAGUGGCAAGGGAGAAAAACCUACAAUGAGUACUCAAAUCACCAUUCUCAAACAGAAACAUAGCAGUGACUGAUACAUAGAACCUAUAUGCUCACAGGGAAAGAAUAAGAUGACCAGUGCACAGCGGGCAGCAGCUCUUAUUUUACGUACAACUCAAAUCCCAAACUAACCAAAGUCGCUCAGUUGGGAUGGGUGGGAGAUGGUGGUUUGUGGGAUGGCUUCUGGGUAGGAGCUGGUGGCUUCUGUCCCUUUGGUGGUUUGCCUAAUGAGCUUGGUGGCUUGUGCUCCGGGAGUUGUUUCUCUCCCUCGAGUAGGUUUCGAGUCUUGUCAGAUGGCUUGUGUUCUGGUGGUGGCUUCUCUCCCUGGGGUGGUUUGCCGAAUGGGCUUGGUGGCUUGUGUUCGGGGAGUGGCUUCUCUCCCUGGAGAAGGUUACGAGUUUUGUCAUAUGGCUUUUGUUCUGGUGGUGGCUUCUCUCCCUGGGGUGGUUUGCCGAAUGGGCUUGGUGGCUUGUGUUCGGGGAGUGGCUUCUCUCCCUGGAGAAGGUUACGAGUUUUGUCAGAUGGCUUGUGUUCUGGUGGUGGCUUCUCUCCCUGGGGUGGUUUGCCGAAUGGGCUUGGUGGCUUGUGUUCGGGGAGUGGCUUCUCUCCCUGGAGAAGGUUACGAGUUUUGUCAGAUGGCUUUUGUUCUGGUGGCGGCUUCUCUCCCUGGGGUGGUUUGCCAAAUGGGCUUGGUGGCUUGUGUUCGGGAACUGGCUUCUCUCCCUUGGGAGGUUCAGUUGGUGGCUGCUGUUCCGUAGGUGGUUUCUUCACCGGCGGCUUGUGCUCCGGAAGCGGCUUCUCUACCU